UUCUUCUUUUUUUUUUUUUUUUUUUUUUGUAAAUUUUGUUUUUUUUUUUUAAUUUCGAUUUGGUUUGCUGGUUUUUUUUUUUGUGAUUUGGGUUUUUUUUGUUAUGAAUCUGAAUAUUGGGGUUCGUGUGGUUUUUUCUUAUCUGAUUUGAUUAAUUCACUUUGUUAAUCUAGAUCCCAUCCAAGAUCUACACCUAAGUUUGAACCCCUGCUAAUUUAGAUAAAUUUAGUAUACUUAUUCUAUCGUUUGUCCAAAAUAAAUUCAGAUUUAUGUUCAAAUAGUAAAGAUUUGAAACGCUAAUUCAAUCGUAUUUGUUUUUCUUUUGUAAUUGGUUUUGGAAAAUUAGAGCCAGAAAUUUUCUGUUUGCUUCUUAUCGUGUUGGGGCAUAAUAUGUUCAUUCUUGCAUGUUAAAAUAACAUUCCAGAUAAAUAGUACAAAACAAUAUUUUCCUACCCACCACGUUUAUUUCAUUUGUUAUAUUUUGCAUCUAAAUUCUAGGUUGAAAAGGACUUAUUUAUCCCCGUUAAAAGAGUUUCUUUUUAUAAACAAUAGCGUUUAGUGAGUUAAAUUUUUAGCUGUUAGAAUAGAGGGAAUCGGUGAGGAUUAAAUUCCACCGGAUGCAUCACUUUCCGUCAUUGUAGUAAAUCGCCAUCUGCAUUUAAAAGGGUAUUGGAACUGCACGGAAAUGCUUACAGUUGUUUACUCUUUGCCAAGUGUUGCUACAAAACCCUCUUGUUUGUUUUUGUUUGACAUAUUCUCUAUUAUGCACCGGGGUCCUUGAUAGUUGGAUUCUUGACUGCAUAUCUAACCAUUCAUUGCUUCGAUGCAUGUCAUACACAUAAGUAAAGUGGAAUUUUUGUUCGUUUCGACCCUACGUACGUACUAUCAAUGGUUUCCUUUCAUAUUUAAAACAAUAACAAUACUGGUUCCAUGAUUACACAUAUGCUAGUCAUUUGAAGGGUUACAUGAACAUGUUUUAUUUCGCUUCUUAUGUUCCGAGAGCUCUUCAAUAAAAACUGCAGAUGGUUGUUGAUUUCACUGCUUCAUGGUGCGGACCAUGCCGCUUCAUCGCACCAUUCUUGGCGGAGUUGGCUAAGAAGCUGCCGAAUGUCAUCUUCGUGAAGGUUGACGUCGAUGAACUGAAGGUAAUACCGUCAUCUGUUUCAAAACGUAAUUUCUUUCGGAAUCAGUUAACAUUGCACGCUGUAAGAGAAACUCAAACGCAAGGGAAUUUCUUUGCAGACGGUCGCGCAGGACUGGGCGGUAGAGGCAAUGCCAACGUUCAUGUUCCUGAAGGAAGGGAAGAUCGUGGACAAGGUGGUCGGAGCGAAGAAAGACGAGCUGCAGCAGACUAUCUCGAAGCAUGUGGGCACUGCUUCUGCCUGAAUGUGAUAAAUUUGCAUAUUAUGCCGAUAAAUCUAGACUAUAGCAAAGCACAAGGCCACGGACCUUGCGAGUUGCUAGUAAUGUAGACUUAUAUUUCAACCUUUUGCCUUUGUUUUAAGUAUUGUGUGUGGUACUUUUCAUAGGGUUGCCACAUAAAUGUAGUUCUAUUUAGCCCAUACAUCGUUUGGAAAUUGUUACUUGAUGUGGAAAUUCUAUAUAGUUGCGGCAGGUAGAUGCUCUUGCGCCCUACCAUCGGACUAGGUGGACUUGCCGGAUUUACUCACAAAGAAAUGAGCUCAUUUGUAUUUAGGUACCACUUGGCCUUGUGCAGGCACAAACCUCAAUAUAAGGGUCUCACUUAGACCUGGCAUUGAGAUUUACUCGCAAAGAAAUGAGCUCAUUUGUAUUUAAGUACCACUUGGCCUUGUGCAGGCACAAACCUCAAUGUAAGGGUCUCACUGUUAGACCUGGCAUUGCAACUCACCCCGUUAAGAUUAGUAUUUGAGUGACUCUCACUCCAUUGUGAGUGGGCCGGAAUUGCAGGUUGAAAUUUACAUGGAAUAGGGUUAUGUAUAUCAUUUGUAUCUAUCUUUCUUCUCACGUAAUUUCACUGCAUGAGAGAGACAGACACACAAAAGAGUACACCAAAUUGUAUGCUAGUCUUUCUCCAAACUGCAGGCUGGGAUGGGAUUGGGGCAUUCAGAAACUUAGAAAGUUUGACAAGAGCCAUUCUUUGCAGUAGAGUCCCAAUAUUUUACUUUUAUUGUUGAAGGUACUAGCAAGCUGGCAAUUACCAGAUUUUCACACUUUCAUUUUCUUAUUGCACUUUUUUUCUCCCGUCUUUUGAUUUAUUCAAUCCAAAAGCUAAAAAAAAUAGAGAGAAUUGCACAAGGAGAAAAUGGGAGUGCGGAAAUCUCGAAUCAUCAGACAGACACAGGCAAAAACAAGAGGAAGUAACACCAUGAAAUGGACAACACAAGACUUUGAAUCUUUUCAUUCAUGAAAUCUGCACAGUAAACAAAUGGUGUCACACUAGGAUCCUCUCCCAACAUGAACCUACAUUUACCUAAUUGGAUUUGGGGUAUCCUUUUUUUCCCCAAAACUACAUGAACGGUAAAAACACUCAACAGAAAAAACACAUCAUUUCCCAGUGCCCAUAUAUCCCGUUAAAAGGCCGGGGACCGGAGCCUGACUCCCCCUAGGGUCCGAAUUGCCGAACCCCGAGGUAUCUACAAACUCGCCUAAGUAACAAGAUCACUGCUUACACAAGUCCUUUAAGCUUACUUAAAUUAACAGCUAAUUGCGCUUUAACUCCGAAUAUGAAUUACCCUUCGCCAAGCGCUGCUACUACGACUCCUCUUCAUCAGAAGAUAAAACUAUGGCACUCCUCCUAACUACAUUUGCCAUCUCGCUGUACUCGAUAUCUUAUUCUUGUUUGCUCGCUUCUUCUCUUGCUGUGGUGUAAAAUUAAGGGAUUAGGGUGCAACAAUUAUGAUAUGUUAUCUCACUCUUUCACUAACCCCGCGAAUUGGGUUCCAUGUUCGUUGAAGUUGUGGGAGCACAAACAGCUUCUACUGACAGCCGCUUCAACACAUUCGGACAUGGAUCUCCAAAGUUGCUGUUGGAUAUGGUGACUGCACAUCUCUGCUUCCCUAUGCACUUCUGUGAUAAUUGGAGAUAAAAAAGAUAGAACACGGUUCAGUAAGAGGGUUAUGAAUACAAGUAGAUUUUAGAAAACCAGAUAGCAUUGUUUAGUACCUUCUGCAAUACAGAAUAUGAUGUGGUCGCAUGGCAAGUUCCUUGUUGGUAGCUCCCACAGGUUCCCAAGGGUGUUCCGAAGCUAGCGAAUUUGAUGGAAGAGAUAGCCUGGCCUGGGUUACACCGCAAGUGAACCUUGGGGCUGUGGAAGUCUUCUACUUUUCCAUAGCUUUCGAUGUGCCAAUUCUUGAUUGUUGGGUGGUAUUCAGCAACCUCAGAGCAAACACUGCUCACAGCUCUCUUUACUAGAGAAAUUCUGGAGGGAUCCCCUCCAAGUUCCUCAAAAAGUACCAACAGAUUCUGCGUUGGCUUUAACCAAGAUCGAGGCACAUGAUAACUGAAAAAAAUGAAAUUCAAAUGGAAUUUAGGAGGAGAAUUUAUUUGCUGAGUAAGCCACUAAAUGUUUACGUCAUACUUUCAUACUACAAUUGUUUUGUCAAAAAAAUACAAAGUUUUCAUCGUAGAGUUGCUUACUAUCGUUGUGUGGGUUGGCCGCAACCCGAUUGACACUUCGUAGGCCUAAACCCUCCAGCAUAACUGCACCCAUUGCAAUUACCAUUAGCAAAUGCAGUCCAGUAUCUCCCAAUACUCUGUCCAUUAAUCCAUAUUUGGCCUUUUCCCAUUCCCUCCAAAUCCAAAGCCAAUGGCUCGUUUCCUUCGGGUUCAUUGAAAAUGGUCUGCAAAGUUGAGUGAGAGUAUUAAUAAUUUUGUUCUCCUGUGUUUACAUUACAUAAUUGAGUUCCACUUUUCUUUGUUGCAUACCUUGUGCCAAGUCAAUGGCUGCUGUUUCUGUGCAAUUAAUGAUCCGCUCAUCCAUUCGACGGAGGAAAAAUCAUUUGGAGAUGCAAGAUUCAUGGCUUCUCCCUUCAAUCCGACCUGAUAGAAUAGCAGGGGUAAGGAAAAAUUUCUUUUUCAUAAUAAAUAAAACGAUUUGAUUUCCAAAGUAAGAUCGACUACCUGGUAGGUCCACUUCUGCCAAGAUAAGUCCCAUUUUCCCUGGUCAAGUCCAUGAAGUGCAACGGGGCCGAGGAUUCCAGUAUUCCAAGCCUCAAAGUGUCCGCCCACAUUCUUCAACAAGCAACAAUAACUUGUCAGCAUUACAGAGGAAGAACAAGUAGAAUAAGAAGAAAAAAAUUGUGGGAAAUAAUACUAACAGGUAAUCCGACGGCAAUACUCAGAAGUGCAAUUCUGUUUGUUCCGGCACGUAGAUUGACCUUGCCAGUAUAUGUGAAUCUCCUACUCUGCCUUGUUCCGAAGGCAGAACCUGUUAUGUAUUUGUUAAGUUUUUUUCAUUGUUCAGCAAGAUAAUAUACAUGCAAGAAGCAAAUCAAAAUUGUACCUGUAAGCUGCCCAUUAAUGAAGAUGUGCACAGCAUGGCCUGUUGAUUGAACAAUAAGGGUCGGGAGUUCCCCUCCACGCAGGAAGGACUCAGAUGAAGCAAUAUCGACACUGCAGACACAUUGAAAGGAAGAUGAUAGUUUUAUAGGUCAGAAAGGACGUCACAGAAGGCAUACUUAACACUUCAGUGUGGGUACUUCCACAGACCAAGCUAGUCAAAUUGGAACAUUCUUUUGAAAGGCUGUCUAAGAAUAUUUAUAGGUGAAAAUACUUCAAUGACAAUGGAAACGCAGACCAACUGGGGAAAUCAUGAGACAAAGAGUUAGCCUCAGGAAAUUCUCACCUUGUUAUGUACCAGAGGUAAUCAGUACUAUCCCUCGUGACAUUUAUCUGUUCCAGUAGACCAGGAGCGGUCAAUGUUGAGCUGUCAUCCAGAGAAGUAAGAUCUUCAUCAUAACUCUCCCAUGAUAGCAUUGGAAUAUUUGUUGGCAACAUUUGCAUUUGUGACGUUUGAACUCCAACCUAAGGAGAAGGAACGACAAACAGUUUCAUCUCAAAAACUAAAAAAUAUUUCAAUGUUCAAAGGAAAUAAAGACUUGUGUUCCCGAAAUUGUGGUCUCAGAUUCUGUCAGAAUAGACAUCAAUCCAAGUACAUGUUCAGAAUCAAUACCUUUGCAGUGUUAAAGACUACAUUUCUGCAAUCAGGAAGGAUACUGAUUGACCAAGGAGGUAGGUUGUAGUGCAUGUUAUUAAACAUGACUCUCGCAGCUGAAUUGGAAUCAUGGUUUGAAAGAAAUGCCGAGCAAUCUCCUGAUUCGGAAGUGUACACAUGAGCCUGGAAUGACAAAACAUGCCUAGAGUUUAGUAAACAAGAAUAACUUAUGCAAACCAAACGCUAGUUUGAGAAUAAAGGUGAAAACCUGUUGAAAACUCCCCAGUGAAGUGAUGAUUGGAUCCGCUGAUACUAAAGCCCGUUCACACAUCUUAAUAGCCUUGUGAAGCUCCUUUAGAUGGCCAUACUUUGGCUGCCUGAUUAAACCUAUCAAGUUUUACGGUAAAGCAGUUAGCUAUAUUCUCGAAAGUUCCAAACAUUCGUGCAGUAAAAUGGUAUAUCACAACACGCACUGACACCAGAUCAGUUUGCUUAAGCAUGUUUUAAUUCUCACCAUAUUCAUCUAAUGGAGCAUCAUAGUCGUAGCUGGUAGUGAUGAAAGGGCCCCCGGCUGUGCGUCCAAAAUUAGUACCCCCGUGGUACUGUUUCACAAGAAAACACAAGAAUUCAGUUUUCUGUGAUAUGUUUUAAUACUGUACAUCUUUCGUACCCUCAAAAAAAGCAGUGCAAGGAAGCUGACCAUGUAAUAGUUAACAAAUGAUCCUCCUUUCUGUAUGAAUCUCGCAACUGCAUAUGCUAAAUCCUGAACUGGUCGUUGGUGAAUUGGACCUCCAAACUCCGUAAACCUUCACAAUUUUAUUGAAAGAAAGAGUCAAAUGGAUAUAUUUUCAUUUGUAGCAAUUUAACAAACUUGGGAUUCCUAAGCAAACAAGCAUAAUAAACUUACCAUCCACUCCAUGUCUCUGUCCAAAUCGUAGGCUUAUAGGGCUGGUUGGGAGAGAAAGAAUCACAGUAGAAACCGUUACAUGUGUUUAUCUGUCACGCAACCAUCCACAAAAACAUUUGAGUGACUUCCUUAAUACAUACGCAAGUCAUACAACUCUUCUCUCGAGAAUUGGUACUCCAUUGCAGGAAUGCCAAAUAAAAGGAAAAUGUAUAACAAUACAAGCUAAUAUGUGCAGCACAAAGAGUGUUAAUUACUCACCACUGGAUCUGGAGCAUCUUCCUCCUUGCACAUCACCCAUGGCACUCCGGUGUCCAACCCAACCGCCAUUUCUGCCGCCCAAGUUAUGUAAUUAUGGCCAGCAGCUCCAAGUAACUUACUUUGUGCUCCAUACUCGUUCUCAAUCUGAACCACAUUAACAAAUUUAACAUAUAUCACUAUAACUCAACUCGAAAUAACAUAAUUUACCCCUAAGAACGAAAUCAUAGAGCAAAAACGGAAAAUCGAAAAGGCUCAUAUACCUGAGAGAGAAUGAUGGGACCACCCUGGGACUCAAACAAAUUUUCACUCUUCAUCAGUCGCACAAUCUUUUCUGUGAACCCUUGCAUUGCCCUCUGCAUUUCCAGAAGUUACACUAUCAAAUUUUACUGAACAGUAAAUAGUAAAUACCCCCAAAAGCUCCAUAAAUUCUCCUCAGACAAAUUAUGCAACAAUAUUAGAUAAAAAGGUAAAAAGUAAAGAAAAUUAACCUUGAAAGGCUCAUUGUCUGUUCUGAAGCUGAUGCCUGGAACAUACUUCAGCCACACAGGAAAACCCCUACAAACCACACAAUCAGAAAAAUUAAAUAUUCAUUUUUUCUAAAAUUAGGAGAGAAAAAAAGAGUGAUAGUGGAAUAUCCUAAAAAAUUAGAAAAAUAAAAGGCCAAAAUUAUAGAUCUAGAGAAAAAAGAGUACCCAUUGUUCCACUCUGCACAAACGUAAGGGCCAAUGCGAAGGUGAGCAUAGAGCCCUGCAUUCUGUAUGGUCUUGAGGAACCUCACCAGAUCAUACCUCCCUUCAAAAUUGUACUGAAACCCAGCAGCAUUCAUAAUUAGAAGGGAAAAUAAACAGCAAAAAUGGCAGAACAAAGCAGUAAACUUUGACAGUAAAAUGUAAAAAUGAAGAGUUAAAAGUGAGAGAGCAGAUACAUUGCCAGGAGUAGGCUCAUGCACAUUCCAGAACACAUAGGUUUCAACCACAUCAAGCCCUCCUUCUUUUGCCUUCUGAAUCAGAUCUUCCCACAUCUAAACCAAAAUUACAUUCUCAAAUCAAAUAAAAAAACCCAAAAAAAAAAAUAUAAUAGUGAGAGAAUUGUUGAAAAAAAUGAAAAAUUUGUGAAAUGGGAAGUGGGAAAAUGGGAAAAAAAAGAUUUGGGUUACCUCAGGAGUGCUUCUGGGGUAAUGUAUUGAACCAGAAAUUAGGAUUCUUCUCUGCCCAUUAAUCACAAUGGCCUUCCUGUCAUAUGUGACAGUACAGUGAACCAGCUGAAAACCCAGCAACAAAAACAACCCCAAGAAAAAACCCAGCUUGGAAACUGAGUUGGUUUCCAUGGCUUUGCCUUCUCUAUCUCUCCCUCUCUCCAAACUUUAAUGGCAGACAAAACUCAAAGCAGGAAGGAGAGAAAGAGCAGCAGCAACUCAGAGAGUGUGGUGAAGCAGCAGGGUGUCCACACUCACAACUCACAGCUCUGAGACUCUGAGCAGAGCUAUAUAAUAUAUUUUUCUGUGUGCUGUGCGUAUAUAAAUAUAAAUAAAUAAAUAUAUAUAUAUAUAUAUUCAUAUAUAAUAUGGUAACGGAAUCAAAUGAGAAAAUACAGAAUUGUUUUUUCUAUGGCGUUUGGUUUGGUGUAUUUAUUACUAGUGUAACAUAUACGGACGGACAGGUCGCGGUCGAUCACAGUUCACAAAUCACAAGUGUCAAGGCUCGCCGCUGCCUGGCCGUUGGCUACGAGUAUCACCUGUCAAAUAAACAACAGUUGUCACGGAAAGCUAAAAUAUUGUCGUGAGUUGUUUUGGAUUUCUAAAAUAAUGAAACAACAAUCUGAUCUUUUUCUAAAGCUAAAAUUAAAAAAAGGUAAAUGUAACAUGUUUUUUUAUUAUUGCUUUAGUUAAGAUAAUUUGUGAGUGUUUUAGGGCUGGUUUUGUAUUGUUGUGCUUUAAAAAAAAAUUUAUUCUGCGUACUGUGAGAAUAAGCUCAUUUUUUUUGCUUCAUAUUUUCAGUUUUUUUUUUCACCAAAAACUGUGAAAAUAAGUUGUUUUUAAGUGUUUAUCAAACAUCUUUUUGAGGUCGGCUUUUUCUAUACUCACUUUUUAUAAAAACAACUCAGUACCAAACCAUUCCUUAAAUUGUUUAUAGCCCCCCCCCGGCCUUUGACCUAAUCUUAUAAAGUGCACUUUUGAGCUUAUUUCCAAUAGUUCUCUAUUGUUUUAUUGCACAAGAAGUUUAACCCCUUUUUCUUUUUACCAAUAAUCUUAAUGUUAAAUCGAAAUUUGAAGUUAAGUAUUUUUGUCUCUGAAGUUAUGCGUUCGAAUUUUUUCUCCAUUAAUAUGUAAUAAAUUAUAUAUUUGAGUAAUUGACGUCAUACAUCAAAAUCAUACCGAUAUUUAUGGAAACUUGAGUUGUUUAUAAAGUGAUCAAGGCAUGACGAGUGCUAAUGAAUGUUAGUGAAGAUAAUCAGAGUUUGAUAAAGGGUUAAUCAGACUGACGGAGAAAGCGAGUGAAGAGAAAUGAGGAUACGAAAAUUACUUCCUAAAAAUUAACACUUCGUAAGUUAGUAAAUCACCCAUCUUGAUUCUUUUUCUUUCUUUUUGUGACAUGUUUUGUAGAGGGCUUUGACCAUGCCAACCUGUCGAGGUAACCGUGGCCAAGGGCAAUAUCGUCAUUUUGUUCUUUUUCCUCUUGUGACCCACACUUGCAAUUCCAUGUGAGCCAGAAACCCUUUUUGGUUCUUUUGGGUCGUGUGACCCGUAUUAAACUCCACCACCCCCCCCCCCCUCCCAAAAAAAAAUCCCCCAAUUCGUCACAUUUUUGUCACUUUUCUUCCUUCCCAUUGACUCCAAACCUUUUCCGUCCCGAAUCGGCCUAAUUUUUAAUCUCGCAUCUCUAUCAAGGGAAAUGAACCUCUAUAAUACGGAUAAAUCGUUGUACUGAUAAUAUGUGCUAAUAAAAUAAAAAUAUAUUUUUUACAUGUCUUUGUUUUAUUUACAUAAAACGACAUGUGACAGUAAACAUGCAUCGUGCAAUGUAUGUUGUUCUCAUGUAGCAACACACGGUAACCAGUAGAUCUGUUAUCCCUGUCGACGAAGAUCUCAUUUCAAUUCAGGCUAGCUGUCAUUCAAGAUUAGGAAGCAAUGCUAGUUAUAAUUUUAUUGUGAUCUAAUAGUGGUAUGGUUCCAGGCUUAGUUAUUCUAUGGACUUAUCAUUAAACUAAUUGCAAAUUCUUCUUAGGAAAGUGUUAUUUUACGGAAUUAUAUUAUUCCCCUACGUCAAUAUCUAGGAAUAUUUACAGUGCUCACAUCUAGUGAUCCUCUCAUCUCAAGGUCAAAUUUACUAUUUCUAUUUUCCCUUUUAGAUCGAGAAGAGAAAUUCUUAGAUUUGGACCACCGAACCAUCUAACCAUUCGACUGAAGACACAUUAUAUAGGUAUUUAUAAUUUUUAAGUGUUUCAUUUUCAAUGUUAGGUGCGAACAACAUUUAGGAAAAUCUCAUUGGGUGGGAUGUUUUUGUUUCUUAGGUUGGAAUUUGAACAGCCACAUAAUUUCAUCAUCCGUACCUUAAAAGUCAUCUUUCAAGCAAUACGAUUUUCUAUACAAUUUGUACUUGUAGAAUAAAUUCAAACUUGGAAUGAAUGAGAGUAUAAAUAACAUUACCAUUUCAACAGCGUUGUUUUCGUUUCUCAACUUGGAAAAAGAAAUACCAGUGAAGACUCGAGCACGAUUUAGACAACUAGGGUUUGUCAACAAAAAGUUGCCACUUACUAAUGUCUAAUCCAAUAUUUGGCGCCACUCAAGCAUAUUCCUACUCCAUUUGUUUCUUGAUUGCCGGGAAAAAGGAUUUGCUUAAUUUAAAGCCAUAGCAGCUUUCUCUUUGUUUGGUGUUUUUAAUUACGAAAAUGGAUUAAUUAUGAUUAAAAUAAUCACAACUUCAUGUGCUCUCUAAUUAUAGUUAUCCGUUGUGGUGAGUCCAGCGUCAACAGGGUUGGUCAUGAUCGAAUCCGGAUUCAGGAUCUGGAUUCUCUUUGUAAGGAUUAUGGAAAUUUGUGAAUCGUGUUUGUUAUAUUGUGCAGUCAUAAAUUAUUUUAAAUAUUUUUAUUUAAAAUUAAACACAAAUAGUACCUGAUAAAAACUGACUGUACGAUGAACGAACAUGAUUUACGGUUCCUCAAGAUCCUCACCAAAAAGAUCCAAAGAGGAUCCAGUUGGGUCAUGAUCUAAGUUAUGAUCCUCUGUCCAUUCAUAUGUCGCCAUGUGGCGUGCUUAAUGCUUGAUUAAGAGUUAGCUUAAUAAUUAAUCAACCAAUUAGCAAGAAGCUUCUCUUGUACCUAUGUUUCUUCUUCUUUGGUUCUUGUAUCAUGCAAUAACAUUCAUAGGCGUGAACAACGGAAUGAACAUGGAAACCCUAAGACAGUGGGGCCUUCGUCCCACCCACCUCCAAUUAGGUCAACUAUAAAUUUUUAUUUUUUACAAAAAUAUUUUACACAUACCAGAGAUAUUAGUUAAGUCAUACAAUGAGUCAAAUGAUAAUAAGUAUUGAAUUCUUCAUUCAUGUGAUUCGAACGUAAGACAAUCCACUUACAUAAAAAAGCAAAAUAGUGCUAGUAACCAAGGUUUUAAAAAGCACUAAACGCUAGUCAAGUAGCGAGCAGAGCCUAGCACUAAGGCGUCUAGGCAGUUUCUAAAUUUUAAAUAGAUUUAUUAUACAACAUAUAAAUAAAUGUCAACUUAUACUUAAAAAAAUACAUAAUUGUAUUAGUCUGCAUAAAUUGCAAAAUAAUAUGACUUGAAAACAUGGGAAAAACAUAUAAUAAUUAUUCAUCCAAGUAUUCAUGACAAGUCUCUUACAAUUUAUUAAACAAAUAAAAUACAAAAUGAAAGUUAUUUAUUUUCUAUUUAAAUGAAAAUCACAAUCUAGACGAAUGCUUAGACAGGCUUAGUCAAUUUUUUAAAACAGUCCUAGUAACAUCAUUAAAAUAAGUUAAAUAACUCUAUUAUUUGUUUAGUACCAAAGCACACUAUCUUAUAUUUUUGCUAAAUUGGAUCAAAUUUCCAAGGAUUCAACUAAUAACUCGUGGGGUCAAUUAUGUCCCCACCAAAGGGUGCAAUUAAGCCUAUUUGGCGUUGGGAUCAAUCCAGGGGCACUUGCGUGGAUCCCUAUAUAUCCAAGCUGGUGCAAGAUCCUAAGCAAAUUAGAAGCUUCUCUAUCCGAGCACAAAUCCUCAACGGUAUUAAUUUUGUUACUACCAACAAUCUCUAAUUAUUUUUGUCGACUAAACGAUAUUAUUUACAUUAAAAGGAUAAAGAAGUAGGUUAAGUGUAAUAUCUUGAAAAUUAAAAAUAUAUGAAUAUGUGGAGUAAAUCGAAAAUAAAUAGAUUUAUGGUUAUGAAAAUUUGAUUAGAGAAAUUUUAGAAUUUUGUUUCAGGGAUUUAUUAUAAUUUACGUAAAUUUUUUUAUUGAUUUGUGGAAAAGACGAAAAUGCCCCUAGUUGACUAAUUUGUAAUUUUAUGAGGACAUAUUUUAUCGUAUUUCUUGAUAUAUUUGGAUAGAGCUUGACCCUAAGAAAGCGUGGGCGAAAACCGUUUGUGAAUCAGAGUUGAAACGAAGAAAUCAAAGGCUUUGAAAAAAAAAAAAAAAGGAGUCUGGAAGCUGCCAUAUGGCAGUGUGAGAGAGAAGGAAAAGGAGAGAUGCAGGAGAGAAGAAGGAGGAGAGGGACCAAUUGGGGAGAGGGAGAAAAAGAGGGGAAAUAAGGGGAAAUGAGGGAGAAUGGGAUGAGGGAACCAGAUCCCCUUUGACUCGUCGACCCAACCCGGCCAUAUUUUCUGAUUUCUGCCACCAUCGACAACGAGAACGGUGCCAAAAUGAUCCUUACUUCAAACCCAGUCGUUCUCUCUCCCAUUUCCAUCCCAAAAAACUGAUGAAAUUGGAUUGAUUUUAAGAGAAACCGCACGAUGGGUGCGACAGGUUUGGCUUCGAUUUGUCAAAACUUGAAGCUAACUCCAACCAUCACCACCACUAAUAGUCUCUCCUCAAUGUUAGGAACAAAGCCCAAGUAAUGGUUGGGGCGUCGAAGUUUGUUUUGAGGUCGAAUCGAGAACACCUAUUUCUUGGGUUUCCGGCAGUCCAAAGCUAAUUUCAGGUGUUUCCCGGCUGAAUUGGAGUUCAUCCUAGAUAUGAAAGUUGUUCCUCUCAUUGAACUCUACUUGCCUUUAAAAUUUGGUAAUUUUUAGAGUUAGUCGGAAAAUUUGGUUUCAGUUCGUCGGAAACCGCCACCUACAGCAAUGCGUGGCCAGUGGGCCGACGCUGCCUUUUCAUGCCAAUUUUGAUAUUUUAAAUCCGUAAUUGGUACCCAUUUGAGGUGAUUCAAUUGUGAAAGCUAAUGUUGAAUAUUUCCAUUACUAGAAUAUUUUUGGAAAUGGAUAAAAGAAUGAAUGGUGAACUAUGAAAUGCUUAAUCCCGCAUUAAGGGUACGUAGGUAGUCUAACAGGGGUUAGAUGCAGCCUUAAAUAAUUGAGAUUAAUCUUUUGUUGGGAAUUUGAUUGAAGAAGAGAAAUUUUGGUGAAUUAUUUGAAAAUUUAAUCUUAUGUGCUUUGGUAAGUAAAUUCUGGUUAUAGAUUUUGUAAGUAAGAAAUUUAAAUAAAGAAUUGUGAUUAACAAUUUAACAAUAAUUAGUUAAACAAGAGUUUAAUUUUUGGCCUAUCACCAAAAUUAGUUUCCAAAAUAAAAAUUUCAGGUUGGGGCAUUACACUAAGCCUCGCAAUAUGUUAACAAUAAUGUGGUUCAAAUUCGCCUGGUGAGAAUCAAACCUAAAACCUCUAAUUUACAAAUGAAAAGGAAUAGCACUAAGACCGUAGGACUAAGUUACCCUUAAUUAUUUUUACUCCAUUCUUUUAACCACAUUAUAAAUCAAGUUCUUAAUGAAUACGGAAUCCAAUUUGACCACAUUACAAAUGUCUUUACCUUCUGAUAAAAUGUGGCUCUAGAAUAUGAUAGCCUACUAAUAUAUUAUACUAUAUUUGUUGUUAGAUUGUUAGUGAGAAGAAAAACUGACGAAUAACACAUGUCGUGAUGCAUGAUAUAUAUCGAAGGUGAGUUGCAUUUAACUUGUAUCUCGACCACACAUAAGCACCACAUUGAACACCAAAUAAUUGGGCGUUGGGCGUAGAAUGUCAACCCCAUCAUGGCAAUUGUUCGAUGAAUAAUGCAUAUACGAGUUUUGUAUGUACAUAAUUGUGUGUUUAUCUUUUUAAUUACAUGAUUACUAAUCAUUUAAUGACAGAUAAAUCACAUAAUUGUAUAUAACUCAUGACUGAGGAGGGUAAGUAUGCAUGGACACUUGCCUAAGUACUAAGAAGAGCACACGUAUGCCAGGCACGUUUUUCAGGCAUGUAUGAAGUUUUGUGACUUGACAUAUGCCGCAAGCGAUGUUAUCAUGCCAGACUAGGACAUAAGCUCGAGCAUGGAGAAGACGAAGAGCACACCUACGUAGGCAUGUGUCUCUAAGCAUACCUGUCAACUUGGAGAUGUUCCAUUUCUAUUUGGACUAGGAUUUUCUCCCCUCAUCUCACACUAUUUAUUUUGUCUUUCUCUUUUUAUAAAAAAUUAAUAUAAGAUAUUAACAUGGUUUAACUGUAACUGUUCAAAUAUGAGAGAAGAUGAGGGAAAAAAAGAGGGGAGAGUUUCCUUCUCCUUCUAUUAGAAGGGAGAACACAACUAACUUCUUUCUACAUGACGAGUACUUUUUUGGUGUACUUAAACUAAAAUUACGGAAUGUUACUAUUUUUUUUUUUUUAUUUGUAACAUUUAGAUUUUUUAUUUAUUAAUAUAUCUUAAAGCAUUGUUUUAAGAAUCUCUACCUAGCGCAGGCCACCGUCUCGAUUAAUCUCUAGGUGUUUAAAAAUUAAGAAAUGACACCUAGACCUACCUAGCACCCACAUAGCCCAUUUAGACCCAAAUAGGCACUCGCCUAGAUCGUGACUCUCAUUUAGACAAAAAAUAUAUAAUUUUCAUUUUGCAUUUUAUUUUUUUUCAAUGAAUUAUAUGAGAUUUGUUGAAUAAAUUAUAAGAGAAUGAACGCUCAUUAUAUGCUCAUUCCUGAUGUUUUCAAUGUGUUAUAAUACUUUAUAAUCUAUAUUUCAUUUUAUUUUGCAAUUUAUGUAUCCCAAUAUAAUUAUGUACUAUUUUUAAGUAUAAGUAUACAUUUAUGGGUUCUUUUUAUCACAAAUGGUCCUGAGAUUGAUCAAACUCAUUAUUUUGGUCCCUCACUUUCAAAAUCAAUCAAUGUCGUCCCUGACAUUCACUACCGCACAUCAAUUUGAUACUUCCGUUAAGAUUCCAUCAACUAUUCUGUUAGUUUGUAUGUGGGACCCACAAAUCCAAUUAAAUGGUGACACAUAGAUUACACAAAAUAAGGGUUUUAUCGUAAAUGGUCCCUGACAUUGAUCAAACUCCUUAUUUUGGUCCCUGAGUUUCAAAAAUCGAUAAAUUUGGUCACUGACUUUCAAUAAUGCACAUCAAUUUAAUCCUUCUGUUAAAGUUUCGUCAAUAUUUUUUGUCCCACUAAUCCAAUCAUAUGGCGCCACAUGGAUUAACUAUAAGAAACUAUUUUGUUAAGAUUUAAAACUAAAAGUAAAAUAAGAAACUAAAAACCAAAAAAAAAAAAGAAAAAAAAAGGUCAUCGUCGUCUUCAUCAGGUAUGCUCUCAAAAGGAAAAGGAAGGCACCAUGACAUCACUAAAGUACUUGGCCUCCUGAACUCACUCCUCAUUCUCUCUAGUUGGUUAUAAUCCUAAAUCCUAUCAAAUUUGAAUUGAAUUGGGAUUCGAUUUUAUCGAAUUUAGAUUGAAUUUUUUUUUUCCAAUUGGGGUUGUGGGAUUCGAGAAAAAUGCUAGCGCGGAAUACUCUUCUUUUGGUUCACUCUUAAAAAAAAAAGUUUCGUAUAGUUAAUCCACGUUGAGCCAUAUAAUUGGAUUAGUGGGACCGCAUUAACGGAGGGAAUAAAUUGAUGUGCGGUAGUGAAAGUCAGAGACCAAAUUUAUAGAUUUUUGAAACUCAAGGACCAAACUGAGGAGUUGGAUCAAUGUCAGAGACUAUUUGCGAUAAAAACCCUUAUUUUGUGUAAUCCACGUGUCAGCAUUUGAUUUGAUUUGUGGGACCCACAUACAAACUAACAUAACAGUUGAUGAAGUCUUAACAGAAAGACCAAAUUGAUGUGAGGUAGUGAAUGUCAGGGACUACAUUGAUUGAUUUUGAAAGUGAGGGACCAAAAUGAUGAGUUUGGUCAAUCUCAUGGACCAUUUGUAAUAAAAAUCCUACAUUUAUUUAUAUGUUAUAUAAUAAAUUUAAUUAAAAUUAAAAAAACUGCCUUGGUCCCUGCUUAGACGCCUAGGCGCUAAGCCUCUGUCUACUGCCCGACUAAUCCUAGCACCUGUUAGAACCUUGUUUAAAAUUAAAACAUGUUAGCCAUAUCGUUUAUCUUUAUUAGUACAACAUAAUGACUUGUGUUUGCGAUACUUAUCAAACAUUUAUCCUCCAUGACUUGAUUAAAGUAACAAAUGAAGCAGCUUUCUUGGUCAAGUGAACAGGAUUACAGGGAAGAUAAGCACAAAGUUCGUGAUAAAGAGUACCAAUUUCUGUCAAAUUCAAACCCACCAAAAGAAAAUAGAAUAAAAGAGCAAGUAGUGCAUCCACCACCACGGAGGACGCAAUUUCAGGUACUUUCUCACUAGAAUUCUUAGCAAAAUUCCAAAUAUUCCGCAAUAUUAUUCCGGGUGUUUAAAUUAGUGGCACAAUUAGGUUAACUUUUUGUAAGCAGCUCGAGGUUUGAAAUAUGAUCAAAUUAAAGCAGUCCAAUCUUCCCCGUAUCACUAUCUUACAUUAUUGUAGCAAUACUUUAUAGAGAAGGCUGAAGAGCUACCUUUAAUGUUUUAGCCUUUUAGGUACACUUGUUGCAUGAGACGACACGACAUUUUUUUUUUUGUAAUUUAAUCUUUGCUUUGUUUGUACACACUGUUGUGUUGUUCACUUGCUUGCUUUCUUCCAAUAUUUUUAUUCAUACAACUGUAAAUUCUUCGUUUACUCAUGUUAUGAUUUGUAAAUUAGUAACACCACACGUUAUCACGUACAAAAAAAAUUCUUAUAUAGAUGUAAUUCUUGCAUUUUUAUUUUCAUCUUUUGCUCUCCUUUUUUAAUUAUCUUUGCUAGUGCAGAAAGUGAAACAAGGUUGCGGAAAUCACUUCCUCUCUUCAUAUAAUCCCACCACUAAUCACCUAAAUCAUACACACCCAUCUCUAUGGGUAUGUCUCCCUCACAAAAAGAAAAAAAAACAAGGCAUUUAAUUUUCAAGUACAUAAAUGAAAGCGAGAUGUAUACACAUAAGACAUGACACAAACUCUUAUAAAAAUCAAAUCAAAUAAAAAAUAAAAUCAGAUAAUAUCAUAUCUGACUGUCAAAUAAUGAACGUAACUAAAAACAUAGGGUAAAAUGAUAAUUUUAGAAAAGCUUAUAGCUAUUAUCUGAUUAAUUUUAAAAUAAUAUCUAUACAGAUCCUCCAUUUAGAGUUUUCUUCUUAAAACGAUGUAGGAUAAUAUCACAUCACACAUGUGACAUGUGCAAUGUUUUUCUUGAUACAUUAAGGAGCAGGACCAUUCUUGUCGGAUCCUCUUUGUGAGAAUUUUCCAAUCACAUCCGUUUAUCGUAUAUUUAUUUAAAUAUAAAUAAUAUUUGACAAAAACUGACAGCUAUGAUGAAUGGAUGUGAUUGGAGGAUCUUUGGAAUCCUCAAAAAGAGGAUCUGGUCCAUUAAAGAGACCAAGAUCGUGACAGGUGGUACCACUACCACCGUACAACACCCCAGCGACGGCGAACCACUAACGCGGCCGAUUGACGGUCCACGUGAAAGAAGAUGGGACCCAACGUGAGGUCGUUGGUGCGGGGUCCGUUCGGAGAUGCGUCGGUGCACGUGCUGUGCAUUAUUGCCUGAGGAGGUUCUUAGAUCAACUCGGCGCCGUUUUCGCACCGUCACCCGCCAACAUGACUUAAUGGGUGGCGUGCUUUGAUUGGCUAGCCCACGUGAUUCUCCUUCCGUUAACGUCGGUGGAAACGUUUCCCGUUAUGGUUCGUUCCCGUGUGGGAAGAUUCUCUCUCUAUGCUUGUUUCCCGAACUUGCCACUCGGUGCGAGUAGCGUGACGUGUCGUUAUAUGAUUGGGUAAGAAUCUGGGAGGAAGAAUAUUAUUGGCUGUUUCAGCAGGCUUCAUGUCCCGCGAGUGAUGGCGCGUCUUAGCGGGUAAUACCGAAAUUAGGUCUAUAAACUUUACCGUUAAAAAACAACAAACGUAGAAAAGCAAUUAGGGGAUCUGUUUUGGAGGAAGAGAUUCUCUCCGGAUUCACUUUGUCAGGAUCCUAUAAAUCUUCACAUUUUAAUCGUUUAUCGUAUAUCGUGCGUCAAAUUUUCAUCAGAUACUAUUUACGUUUAAUUUUAAAUAAAAAAAUCAAAUGAUUUCUGAUCGCACGAUGUAUGAUGAAUAUCUGAGAUAUGAACAUCCAACAAUUUGAAUCCGGAUGGGAUCCAAAUCCUGUUUUGGAUGCAUGCUUUGCUGCCACAUGGUUGGGUUAGGCUUUUAGGCUUCUCUCUUUUCGCCAAACCUCAAAUUUACAAGUUGAGAAAUGUUAUUAUCUCAAAAUUGGAACUCAUUAUCUGUCACCUGACAGUUUAAUGUUACUUUUCAAGCAGUAAUUAUAAAAUACUAUACUAAAAUCAUGAGCUGGUAGAGAGUUUAUGGUGAGUCUCACUAUAAGAAAGUCCCAUUCUUUACUAUUAAUUUUGACAUAAAAAUUGAUGUUAAACUGUGCAGUGACAGAGAGUCUAUGGAGAGUCUUACUUUUAAGAAGUCUCCUUAGCAUUUCUCUUGAACCAUAUUUACCAAUUGUUACUCUAGAAAGAUUGCAUAAUUGUUAUUUACAUGUACGUGAUCUAGUUAUGGUUGUUUUUACUUUGUGAGUCAUACAAACAUGAAUAAUCACAAUCUAUCUAUAAAUGCAUGCGCGAUAAAUUUUAGUGUUUUCGAAGUCACAUAAGCAGAUCCAUCUAGUCAGUAAGGUAAUCAAGAAAUACAUCGUUACACCAAAACCUCAAACAUACUAAAUCUUGUAAUUGACAUCAGCCUACAUAGGUAAAAUAAGCAUUAAAGUUUACAAAUUCUGCAACUUUUGAAACACAUUAUACUUCUAACAUGACACAAGUACGUCACAAAACACACCAUAAUUUAACCCUCGUUUUCCCACUCUUUAUGGCAAAAAGGAAAUGGAAACUAAAAGGUAAAUACUAGGUAAAGCCAAUAAAGACAUAACAAGCUAACAACAGAAAGAAAAAAGGGUAAUUAAGUCGUUAAAACAAUGAUUAGUAAGUAGUAAUUGAGCAAAUGAGCUCCAAUCACGGGUUAGGAGUAAAUUAAGGUUAGUUUUUGUGGUACCAAACCAGGGGCGGAUCAACUUAGGGACAAGGGGGGGUCAGCUAACCCUCAGUUCGGUAAAUCUUCAUAGAUGACUUGAGUCUGCUCCUUUGUAGGUUGGAGUUGCUCUUCAUGCAUGCCUUCCAACUGCUUAAUAAACAGCCUGAGAGAGAGAGAGCUUGGACUGUUGGGCAGCAAGGCAUGCUUGGCCACAAAUGAGGACUUAAAAGGCGUGCAAUAUGUCUUUGCAAAUGACUUUAGGCAUGUCAAGAUUCGAUGAAAUUUGCAUGCUAUAUCAGUAAAAAAAAAAAAAUUUGCACAUUACACACGCUAUUCUUAGAGACCCCCCAAUAAUAUUUCUUGGAUCCACCACUGUACCAGACUCACAAACCCAAAUACAUAAUUUGCAUGCACGAGUUGUGAAAUGUUGAAUGUGAUUGAUUAGGUUUUUGGCACGCGCUUGCAAUUCUAUUCCUUCACCCACAAGUUUUAGUUUGGAUAUAUAAUCUACUUUUUGAAGGCAUCAUUGCCUUGGCGACAAUCUUCUUCCCCGUAUUGCGCUGGGGCCUUAGAUGUUGGCCUUCAUUAUUUUUACGGUUGUAUGCAUGGCGUGAUGGCAUUAUAACAUCAACACUCGCUCACUUCCCCUGCGCUCCAGAAGCUAAUCACUUUAUGUGUUCCACUAUUUCUUAAUUUGCUUUGCUUCAACAGCACUACACUUUGUAAAGUAGAUUAUUGGAUACCUCACUUUUCCCAUUUCCUUGUCUUGCGGGCCAUCAUCACACGAUUUACCAAAAAACCGUUACUUAUGGUUGAUUUUGAGUGAUUUUUUGCCGUUGAUACAUGUGGAGUCUGUGGUCAUAAUAAUCAGAAAUUACAUGUGGGCGUUUUUGGGACUGAUGUCAGCAAAAAAAAAAAAAAAAACAAAACAAAAAGUCUUGUAAACUAAACUUACCUACGACCAUCUCCUCAUAUUAUUUAUGUUUAUACAUUGAUUCUAAAAAUUAUAAAACUUGUAUGGCGCUCAGGUCGAGUAACUAUGAAUUAAUAUUAAUUAUAUAUUUUUUGUGAAUGCGGGUGUCCCAACUUACAACUGAGGUCGGUCAGGCGAGUAGAAUAAUGUGAUGAUGGUGUUGAAUGUGCUGCUGACUUUUGCAAUUGAGUACUUACGGCUGAUGAAGGAACACCUUUAGGCCUAGAGUUCUAAAACCUGAAUGCAAGGUUGCCUAAUUCACUACAAAGUUUAGGAUCUCCUGUACCAGGUUUGGCUACCUCAACUAUAUUCGUGAGAAUAUAUGUGCUCCAAAUCGGGCAAAGAUACUAAAAAAGAGAUGAGUGUUUUUAUGGUAAAUAUGGUUUGACCGUCUGAAUGUCGAACUACAAAAUGAACUUGAGAGUAGUUAAUCAUAGAACAUUUCAUUGCGCCAGAAAGCUAAUGAAGUGACCUCUUUCAGCGAAGGAAUCGAAGAUUCUUUACUGGCUAAGACUUAGAUAGAUAAUCGAAUGAACUAGAAGUAGUGUUGUUCCUCCGAACUGAAGGUACUUCUAAAGCGAUUAGUUCUACAACUCCAGUGAUGUUUCGAUGAACAACCACUGGUGUUCCAACGAACUGAAGAUGUAGUGAUGGAGGGGUUUAGGAUAAUUAGUAUUAUUCUCAAGGUUAUGAGAAGAUUUUGCGUAGAUCGUUUGAGUUGUUUGUUGAGUUGAAGGGACUUCUACGUUGCAAAACAUCAUGUAUUUAUAGAGAUGAAUUCCUUGAUGGCUAAGUCUACCGAAUAAUAUUAUUCUAAUAAUAUUCCAAUUAUUCGGCAUAUUCUCCAAGUAAACUUGAAAUUAUUCUCGGCUGAAACUCUAUUGUUAUCGAGUCUCGUCGUCUUCGACUAGGAAUCUGAACCUAAAUUGAUUAAAUGAUUGAUUCAACCUUUAUCCGAAAAGCAAUCAUGAUCCUUAAGAUUUAUUUCAUCUAACAACUUACAAUAUAUAGGUCAAAUGCGUGCAAAAUCGAGUCCAAACAACUUGUUAAUUAUUUCAGAGUUUCAAUGCCUCCAAUACAUUAUUCACCAUGUUUAGGGAUGGGCAAUGGUUAUGUGGACGGGUAACCGCGGUUACUUUACCCAUAACGGUUUAUGUUCAUACCCGCAUAACCGUUUACCCGUUGGGUAAUUACAUAAAUGGUUAUACCCAUAACCAUAACCGUUUAUAAACGGUUAUCCAUACCCAUAACCGUGUACCCAUUUACCCAUAACCAUUUACCCAUUUAACCAUAACCAUAACCAUUUACCCGUUUACCUAUUUUUUCGCUCAUUUAUCCUUUUUUUUUACCCAUUUACCUUUUUUUUUGCCCGUCUACAUUAUUUUUUUUAACAAUUUGAAAAUUACAAAAGAAAAAUUUGUCAUAAUUUUUAUUUUCUGACCAUUAAACACCGUUAUAAGUACAUUUUAGCAUACAUUUCCCUAUUUUAAUCAUUUAAGUCCUCGUAUAAUUCCAAUAAUUGAAAUAAUAGUUUACGAACGAUAUUUUUCUGUAUAGCAACCAAUCAGUUUUUUUUUAUUCUGAAUAGCAACCAAUAAAUUAUGGAAGUUCAAGAACCUGAGAAAAUUGAGCCUAAAGGAAGAGUAAAAGUAGAGCUUUUUUAUUUCUGAAUUCCCGAAUGAUUUUUAAAGCAACAGCUCAUAAAUCUGUGUUUCUGAUAACAAAAAACAACCAUACGAAACCAACCAAAUUUCAUCUAAUUCAUCACAAAACUGAGUUAACCCUCUAUUAUUUCAUAUAAUUUCAUCUAAUUGAAAUCUGUGUUUCGAACACGUUCAAUCACAAAGUAUCAUCAACUCGUUGUCACCAAAAGAGGCCUACAAAAGAAAUGUAUAAUUGAAUUAGUAUGCAUAAAUUGAAUGAGUAUCACCAAUAACUCCAAAGUAAAAAAAUAAAUAAAGAUUAGUUUUUACCACAUUCACAUCAGUAUCAUCACCGAAUGAAGAAUCUUCAACACGAGUAGAGUUUGAAUCUGGUUGAAUAGUAAAAUUAAAAUUAGGCUAAAAUAGUAAAUUUUUGAACAUAUACAUAAUUUAUAUGAAAUUUUACAGUAAGUACCUCGCAUCUGACCCCACAACCAGUCUCGAGAACACAUGAGUGCUUCCACUGUGCUUGAAUGAAGUCGGCUACGGUGUGGACUAAUAAUCCUACCACUAGUACUAAAUGAAGACUCUGAAGCUACUGUAGAUACAGGAAUAGCCAAAAUAUCUCGAGCUAUCUGAUGCAAAAUAGGAUAUUUAAUCCCAUUUGUCUUCCACCACGACAAUAUAUCAAAAUCUUGAGUCCUAGGCAAGACUUUCUCCCCCAAAUAUAGGUCUAAGUCAGAUUGUUCAUUAUCGAUGGUAGAAUCCAUAACAAACUGGUCAUAAGAUGUUAAAGGAUCACCAACUCUGAAAUCAAAUGACUGUGAUGGAAAAUCAGUCGAAGAAGAAGAUUCAGAAGACCGAUGCCCAGGUCUAUGCUUCAAUUCAUACUCUUUGACCAACUUAACAGCCAAGUCAAAAAUUUUCUCAAUUUCUGAUGGAGCAUUCUCUUUAUAAAUAAGAGAAAAAUAAUACUCAAUCAAUUUCAUCUUGAACCUUGGAUCCAGAAUAGCUGCAAUUUCCAUAGCACCAUGAAUUUUAUGCCAAUACUUUUCAAACUUGAUUGACAUCUUUGUUGCCAUUAACUUAACUUCAACAUACCCAUUGAUUUGUAUGUUUGAUGGACCAUUGAUUUGUAUGUUUGAUGGUUAAUUGGUCUCAUAUGCUACGUAUACAAGGGUCCACUUAUCUAAGCAUACAAAUCAAUAUUAGAUCCCCUGCAAACUGCUAUAAUAUGGUUUUUAGUUUGCUAAUUAAAAGCUUAACAUGCAUGGAUUAACAAGAAUAUAAAAAAACUGAUGGGCUUGUGUUUUGUUUUGUGAUGAGUAAUUAUACUCAUCUUUUUACCAGACUUUGGGUAAGUAAACGUAACUGUCAAGGAUGGGAAGUUGGGAACAUUUGUUCGUAUAAAAUGGCGGCAUUUAGCACAGCAAUUAUACUUGGGGCUACUUUCUGUCGGUGCCCCUGCAGGUCGUUGCAUACUUGACUCCUACCCCCCCAAAAAAGAAGAGAAAAUUGCAUACUAAAUUGGGGUGAGUCUAAAUCAUCCUGUCUCUUUGUUAUAUCUUGCCGUGUGACCAAUGCAACAUAAUUAUGUACGGAUGCACGUACUUUUAUGGGUAUCAAAACAUUAGGGAGUGAUUCCACACAUCUCUUUCACUUUAUUUUUCUACUAUUACAUUCAACAAACCAAAUGAUAAUAAGGGGCAUGAAAAGAAAAGGUAAUUGGAGCAACGGACCUGAAGUUCAGUUUUGAACUAAAAAUUUGUGAAUAUUAGUCCUUCAAUUUGUUGUAAUGUGGAGCAAUGGUUCUUUUGACUAACUAAGUUAGAACUUCCAUCCAAAAUAAAGGAACAAAAAAUGGAUGCUAAUUCUGACGGAGUUAGCCAAAAAGACUAUUGUUUCACAUUGUAACAAGUUCAAUGAUCAAUACUUGUGGAUUUUUAGUUUAGAGACCAAAAUUCCAAUUGGGCUGAAAUUCAGGCACUAUUGCUUCAAUUUAAACCAAAAAAAAAAAAAAAAAACCAAAGAUUUGCCAUAAGGAAAAAUGAAUGUAAAAAUCAUUUCCCAAACAGAAUGACCACAAAACAUAAAGAAUUUCAAUAAACCAAACUAAAUCGAUGAUGUAGGGUUGGCUACACUUUGGCCAAAUCAUUACCAACAUGGUUAGUUCAGUUUACAGUUUAGGUCAUAAACUGAAAGAAACUAAAUCUUGUCCACCUUUACUCAAAAGGAUAAGGGUCGUUUAGUGGGCUGGAUGAGAUUUGGUCUUAAGGAUAGGUUGACUGAUAGAGACAUGUAAGACAAGGCUUGUAAAACACGACAAAGAUAGGUUCGAUAACCACUCUAUUGUAGAAUCAUAACCAAUAAUGUUCAAUCAUGUCUAUCACACAUUUGACACAACAAAUAAAGGAAUGAACUCAAGUCUAUUUUAAUUGGUCAUAACCUAUCCCAACCAAACCACCAAAAAGGCCUAAUGCCACAUAGACAAACAAAUAUAACCAUGGUGUAUAUGGGUUUCACCUAUAUUUAGAUAAGUGGUUUUUGGCUUGUUAAAUAGUUUGUUUUUGUAUUAAAUUCAGAAUAUUUGUGAGAGAAAGUAUUUUGGGCCCCAAAAUGGCCCAACACUUGUCCAAUAAAAAACGAAACGUACAUAGCCCAAUUUUUGUUCGAGAUUGGGCCACUAUGGGGCAGUUACUAGCCCAAUAACAAAUUAGCAGUAUACCACCUCUCACUUUUCAAGUUUUGAGCAUCAAACUUGCGAAGCCAAAAUUCCGACCACACCAACUGAAAUUUAAAUCUCAACGGUAAUAUGCUUCGAGUCCUAAAACCUCUUUCUGGACUCAGCCCCAAGCAACAUUCACUUGGGCAGCUGCAAUCGAGGUACAGAUAUCGCCGCCACCCCAAAAACGAUGGCGGCGGCGAUGGCGUUUGGAAAACAGAGGAGAAGAAGGAUGGUUAUUUGCAAUUGCACAAGAACAAAGGGCAGCACCUCUUAACCAAUCAACGAAUUCUCGACAGUAUUGUUCGAAAUCCGCGAUAAAACCUACCGACACCGUCCUCGAGAUCGGACCCGGCACCGGAAAUCUCACCCUCAAGCUUCUAGAAGCCGCCCAGAUGGUCGUCGCCGUCGAACUUGAUAAGCGGAUGGUGGAGGUUCUUCAAAAGCGAGUUGCGGAGAGUGGGGUUCAAGAUCGUUUGACUGUAAGUUAAACGCCGGUUAAAUGUUCGAUGAAAUGCCUGAACGGGAUUUUGAGCAUUUGGAAUGAAUGACAUUGGUUAAGGCGUUUGAUGAUUGGUCUUUUUGCAGGUUAUCUGUAAAGAUGCAUUGAAGGCGGAGUUUCCACCGUUUGAUCUUGUUGUGGCGAACAUUCCAUACGGAAUAUCUUCGCCUCUGGUGGCUAAAUUGGUGUACGGGGCAAGGCCGUUUCGGAGCGCCACACUGCUGCUGCAAAAGGAGUUUGCGAGGAGAUUGUUGGCUAAGCCAGGCGACUCGGAGUUCAACCGCUUGGCUGUGAAUGUGAACCUGGUGGCGGAUGUGGAGUUUGUCAUGGAUGUGAGCAAGAGGGAGUUUGUUCCUUGCCCAAAAGUCGAUUCAUCCGUGGUUAUAAUAAGGCCAAAACCUGAGGUUCCGAACGUUGAUCUAAACGAAUGGUGGGCUUUCACGAAAGCUUGUUUCUGUAAGAAGAACAAGACGCUUGGGGCUACAUUCAAGCAGAAGAAAAAGGUGAUGGAGCUACUGGGGAUGUCCAAACUGGCAGGCUCAAAUGGUGAAAGCAAAGAUUAUAUUAGCAGCACUGACAACGACGACGAUGAAGGAGAGAGUGAUGAAGAGGAGUUUUCUCCGUCUCCUUGCUCGGAAAUGGGGGCAAGUUCUUUCAAGGAGAAGUUAAUGGGGGUUCUGAAAUCAGCUGAUUUCGAAGACAAGAGGCCUUCGAAGCUGUCGAAUGAGGAGUUACUGCAUCUACUGGCAUUGUUUAAUCAAGCGGGAAUAUAUUUUCAUGAUCAGUCCAAGAGUAGGAAUGCAGAGAAUGAAUCAUUUACUGUUGCUUACAGUUGAUAGCUAUUAGCUUAAACUACUUGGAGGGAAAUUCAAAUUUGAGCAUGAAGAAAAAAGGCACACCGCUCUAAUCAAUUUGGCUAUGUCCAAACUUGCAAUAGCUAUUAACCUAUUAGCUACGUGGUGUUGUCACAAUUUCACUCAUUAGUUGGGGAUGUCACAUUUUGGGGAUUCUCUAAUACAAUUAGGGAGUAUAAUCCAAUGAUCUGUAUCUAUCUCAUCACGUGACGAGAGAGAUACUGAUAAGGGAUAUAUCCUAAUUACAUGUUAGAAUCUCUCUAGAUUUUGAGGCGCUCACACUUAAUUAUAGGAGAACCUUACGAUAAUAUGACAAUGAUCUUAUGAUGCCCUCACAAAUAAUUGUUUAUAGUUUUUGUUUAGCUAAAUUGGUUGAAGCGAUCAAUUCAUAAAUCUCAAUUAAUGAAAUGCUCAGUUUUCUAUAUUUUCAUUGAUAUGUAGUCAGUAUUUGAUUUUCACCAAUUUAGCACAAUUAUGAUUUGUAAAAUUGAUCAUUUCAGUCAAUGUUCCUUGCGUCUAUUUGUUUUUCCUUGUUUUCACCAUAAGCUAUACUAUUGUAGAAACCUUGAGAAAAUGAUCAAUUUAUUUUGUGCCUGAAAUUCUCAGGGCACUUGUGCAUUCCUCAAAUUGAUUGUCAAUGUAAUCUCAUGAACAAAAUGAUCAAAGAUCCAUGAUUCAUCAUUUGAUUGUUUGAUUUAGAACAUUAUUGAUGGAAGAGUCUUUAAUGAAUUUGAAGUUGAAACUCAUUCCAUCAAAGAGAAUGAUUGGGGUGGUUAUUUGUUCGGUUUUACGUCCGAUACCCUAUCCAUUUGGUCGGCUUUUACUUGCUUUCUUUGCUCACUCCUAGUUAGAUUUAACCACUAACUGAGUUAGACAAUCAUGUGUUUAUCUUUCUUAUCACGUGAUUGUAGAAAGUUUUCGUGGCAACCUAGGAGGCAGGCUUCGACGUGCAACCAUGAUCACCUUGUUACAAUUAUGGUACCAUGUGUGGCUCCACCAGCUCAAAACUAAUUGAAUGGUGGUACUGGAACUGGAGCCUGUAUGCAGCAGGGUAGGACCAAAGGCAACAUUUCUUUCUUUGAGUAGAUAACCACCACUCAACUCAAGUUAUCAGAUCGAUGGGGCUUUAAAAUAGGAAGUUUUAACAAAACACUCCCGGUACUGUUCACUUUUAAUGAAAAACCACAUUUUUACAUUUCCUGGUACUAUUCACUUACACAUUUAUUUGUUCUUUUUCAUUAAAACUAAAGCUUUUGAGGAUUUUUUUGUUAGUUUUUCUUUAAAAAUAUGGGAGUUAGAUUCAUUCAAACCUCACUUGUAUAAUUGCAUUCAAUUUUUCAAGGGCCAAGAAGAAGGAGCCAGCCAAAGGGCCCAAAAGCACCUGCAAUUUACAAGAUGGCGACACAAGAACUACCCUAUAAUAGUAUAAUACACUUAACAUGGGGGCUUGUUAGAUUUCAUGAUUGGUCUUUUAUAGUUCGGAAAAAUGCUAGGAUCAGUCGUGCAUGCCUGUGACAGCAUGACGGGAAGCUAGUCCUGGCCACUAAUGCUUGUGAUGCGCAUGUGUGGGUGAUCCUAGUAACUCUUUGUUUAUUCAACUGGUUGCUAUUUGUACAGAUAAAACUAACUUUCUAAGUGUUUAUGGACGUGACUUUAAUGGGCAACUUCCUCUUCAUCUUGACCAUUGGAAAGUGAACAAUGUCAUCCUUCUCAGCAACCCAUCUGAAUUGAAGAACCAAAAAAAACUUCAGCAAGUGGAAAUUGCAGCAAUUGGGUUUUAUUUAACAUUUUUUUUAAUUAACGGCAAUUUUAAUACCUAUAAUUGGUGACAAGAUGAUGAAGAAAGAUUGAUAAUUCAAGCCUGGAUAGCUCCAAACCAGGGCACAGCCUCUGUCCUCCACCAAAGGGUGUAAAACUAGUGUUGUAGUUUACAGCAGCUUCUAAUUUCUGUCAAAGAAAACAUAUUUGCAUAAAAAUUAACAAAUUUUCAAUAAAUUAAAAAGCUGACGUUCUACUUGUGAUUUGUUGACUUUGCGGUACAACUAAAGAUUAACAUGUAUGAUCUUUGAUUUGACGAACACUCGAUUGGAUCGUCAUUACACCAACUAUUCCAUCUAGGUGGCGUAAAUUAUCUCUUGAGUGGUAUAAUCAUAGUUACCAAAAUAAGAUAAACUAGGAGGGUUUAUCUUACCUCCCAUCUCCAAGGAUCAAACUGGUAUGGGUUUUUAUAGUUUUCUUCAUCCAUGUGAACAGAAGUAAAAGAUGCCAAGACACACCAUCCUUUUGGUAUCAAAUAACCUGGAAAAAAAAAACAACAUAAAAUCAUAGGCAAAACGAAACCGAGAUAUUAUUGAUAGUUUAAAAAAAUCGUUCUAAAUUCCUCCUUUAUAGAAACACGAGGGAAAAAAUACAUGCGAAGGAUUACAAUGGGGCUUUUUAAAGAAUGCUAAUAACAGCUAUCAACGAAAAUAAUAAUUAAUUUCCUUUUUGCUUCAAAUAAAUAGUGAUAUAUACCUUUGAUUUCAACAUCCCUUUGAGCUUUUCUCCAAACAGCAUUGAUGAUAUUUGCCAUUCUAAGAGUCUCACUUAUCACCUUAAUGAAAAAAAAAAAAAAAAAAAAUAGAGCAAUUGACCAAAACGAAAACCUAAUCUCGAUUGUCAAAAUAAUUAGACGUGUUUUAUAGACUCAUCAUAUAAUCCUUAUCGACUCGUCAUUUCACUCUUAUAGACCCAUCAUAUUUUUAGAACGGUUAGUUCAGCACUUAACAAUAAAAAAAAUCAAGAAUCAUUUUAUAUAUAUUGGAUAGUACUAUUUAUAUUCAUUUUUACCUUCUACACAUACUUGUUAAUUUUUAUCCAUUGAAAGUCUUCAAUUCAUUCGAUUCAAUGACCGAAGGAUGUGUGAGAGAUAAAAAUCGAUGUGUGCAUACCACCACCCUUUAUAUUCUCUUUGAAACAAAUUGGGACUCACAUUUUGAGUAAAUGGCAAGGACAUGUAAUCAGUCCAUGCAUAAUUUUCCGUGGAAUCAGUCUUCUUCUUCUUCUGCCUCUUCAAUUCCAUGUUCUCCUCCUGCAAAUAUAUAUAACAACAAAGAACAUUCUGAUCACUAAAAAUACCUUUUGUGGUACAGCAAUCAUACUAAAAAUAUCAAACUGAUCACUCAAAGUAUUUCACUUUUUCACCCACUUUCUCAGAAUUUCGCAGUGUCAGAGAGAAGAGAAACAAAGGGUUGUAUUCUGUGACAAUGUACUGCACCAAACAGUUCUUAGAUUCAUCUUCCACUAUGAUGUUCUUAAUAAAUUGCCUUUAGCCCUACAUGGGGUUUAAAGUUUGGAACCCAACUCUUUUCAGAACUUUCUCGUCACAACUCUCUCGCAUGAAAGUGAGAUAAUGUCGCAACAUAAACUACUUAUAUUGUCAUAAUGUAAAUCUUGUGAGUUAGUCAAUGUUUGUUUUUGCCUGAAUGUGCAUGGUGGGUUCAUAGUUUAUAACUCAUAAUGUACUUUUCUUUAUCAUAACUAUCGAGUCUCGUUUUUAUGACUAUGAUUCAUGAUCGUCAACUCUCUUUCAUAUCACAUAUUGAGAUUAGAAUAGUGAAAUUAUUUAUAAUUAUUAUUGACUUUUGAUAUAAACUUUAAUGGUAAGUGAGAAAACAAAUUUCAUGUAAUUCAUACGAUAUAUCGUGGACUAUAAAACCUAACAUAAUUUUACUUACAAAAAGGGUUGCUGACCCGAGCUAAGUGUCGUAUAGUGACUGUACGACUGUGCCCUAGUGGUCGUAAUUCGCACAGAAACGACGUUAAUUAUAAGAGUGGUCCCUCAUCCAGAAGCCGUUGGAUUUGCAAAUCCUACGGCUGAAAACUGUAACAAAGUGGGGACCUAUUCCCCGCCACACAAACUCUCCAUGUCUGACUCAGUGCAUGCAGUCGAGUUUCUAAAGGAAGAUGAUUCUUUUUGGAUUCACUUUGUAAGAAUUUUAAGGAUUCUUAUAUUCUAACUGUUUAUCGUAUAUCAUAUGAUCAGUUUUCAUCAAAUACUAUAUAUAUUUAAUUUUAAAUUAAAAAAUUUAAAUCAUUUUUAAUUGCACGAUAAAUAAUUAAGAUGAAGGGAUCCUCACAAUUUACUUCCCCAUGGAAUCCAAACCCGUUUCUAAAGAAACGAAAGCAAAGUUUGUAAGAAAAGUCAAGCACUUUAGAGAUAAAGUGACUGGGCCCACAGACUCAGUACAAAACGAAUCCUAGCCGUUCGAUUAAGAAGCAAUGAGUAAACCGUUGUGAUGUCAACUGAGGUGGAUAUACGUACGUACCCGUAAUUUGUCUAAGGCCACAGGGCUGUCACUUAGAAAUUUGACGGCUAGGGUCAUGGCCAUGGGAACAGUCUCCUCUCCUGGGAUCAUCAUCUCUAUUAUAUUUCCGGUGAUGAAAUCCAACGGCAGGCCUUGAGCCUCGUUGUUUUGGUCACCACCUUCUAACAGCACAUCCAUUGCAUCUUUUACUGGAAUUGUAUUUUGAGGACAAUUUAUAUUCUCCAUUGCUACCUUUUUCAUGUCUAAUAUCUUCCCCACCAUCUUCAACAAUCGCUCUCUAGCCUGCCAGCAAAUGAAUCAUGAUACAUCCACACAAAUAACACCAAUAAUUGAAACAAAACCCUGGAUAUGAGUAGUAUUAGAGUAGCGGAAUUCAAUCGAACUUGAGAUCACGGGUGCAAGAGUGAAUUAACUGAGCUAACAAACCCUUGCAAAUAUAAGCAUGCACUAAAGUUUAAACGCAAAUAAUUCACACGUACUUUACCUUGAGAGAUUUAUAUAGCCUUGUUCCAGGGAGCUUGAUAGGUAUGCAAAUUAAUCCUUUGAUGUACUCUUCAAAUUCUCUCUUGAGAAGGUUUAAGUCUUCACCAGGAUUAACGCUCAUUAAUACUUUAACCAGUACUUCAAAGGUAAUCUGAAAUAUCCAAAAAGAUAGUAUACACUACAUAAAUGUUCUCACAUGUAUGAUGAAAGAAGAGCACUAUAUAUAGUACAUUCAAUCGCUCAUGCACGCCCUCGUUCGUUAAUACAAGAAUGCUUCAACAACCAAAAUAUGCACAUACAAUUGAAGGGCAUACAUUUGCAAUUCUAUGUGAUAUGAAUGACAAUUUCCUAUCGUAUAUCUAGCAUGUUAUGUUACAACCAAUUAAUAUGGUUCACUUUGUUCAAAUUUUUACUUUGGCAUGUAAAAUGUACUACUUGAGCACAUAGAUAGUUGGGGGACCUUUUGGGUUUCAUCUUGGACGUAAAUGGGAGACUGCAUGUCUCUCCAAAGAGCCAAGUUGAGUUUGAUUGAGUUUUCGAUGUCGGUGGUGAUUCGAGCUUUGAACUGUGGUGAUUUCAGAAAACCAGCGAUGAGUCCAUGCACUCUCUUAUGAAGGCUUCCAUUUGUUUGGAGAAUGGAGUAUUUUCCCAUCAGUUCUGUAAUUGAUUUCGGAUAAGCAGGAAUGAAAGUAUUUCCAUGGUUUUGCAUUACCACCUUGUUCACCUCAGCAUCCGUGGAUACUAUGAUAGGAGUCCCCAAUAUGUUAGUCUUGAACACCUUUCCAUACCUAUAUUUAGAGAGGCACAUUGUUAUUAAAAAAUUCUAGUGUACUCCGGUUUAUAAUUAACAUGCAUCAUAUAAAUAGAGAGUUGAAUAUACAAUUCAGAAUUGAACAGACUAAGAAUCUAACGGUUAAGAAUCCCAAUACAUACUAUACACAGAUGAAUAUUAGAAAAUCUUAUUGCGAGUAUAUAUAUAGGAUCUAGAAGCCCAUGUAUAUCAUAUACUGAUAAAUACUAGAAAAUCACAUUGUACGUGUACACUAUACAUUAUCAAAGAGGAUGCAUACUAUACACCAAUUCGCUGAUACAUACUAGAAAAUCGAAUUACUCAAGCCAAUUAAAUUUGCUAGUUUAUCAUUGAUGAUAGGAUAUGUAUGGUCAUUUUUGUUGGGAGGCUGAAAUCUAUGGUCCCAUGGAGAAUAGGAUGUGUUGUUAGUUAGUUAGUACAGAACUGCAGAAAACAAUAAAGGUUGGGGGAAGGUCUAUUUUCAAGGCUUCCCAGCCAGUUAAUUAGUAUAUAUAGCAGGCUUUUUCUUUCCUUCUUUUAACUCCUUGGGGUGGCUCCUUUUACACCUUGUUUCUUUUUUCUGCUAUGGUCACCAUCUGCCAUGAAUGAAGAAAUUCCAUUCUUUUAUUUUAUUUACUUUAUUUAUAGAUGUUGGUAACACUUUCUUGUUGCCCUGCCGUGCCUGCCCAUUAAUUUCUUAUUUUCUUUGUUUUAAAAUUAUUUUAUGACACAAUAUUCUAUUCUAUACUUUUAUAAGCCAAACGACCUAAUAAAAAUUAUUUACGGUGGUAAACAAAUGUUGUUUUAUAUUCGACAUUUUAUUUUAAGAAGGUGGAAGAAUUGGACUAAGACAAAUUUGACCUGUCAUAAAAAUUAAAUAUCAAACUGUCAUCUAAGUGAAUUAAAAUGGAAACUUCCUACUAAGUAUUAGAAAAAUACUCGUAAGCUGCCAUGUAAUGAGUCAUUAUUUUUUUUUAUACUAAGAGAUACGUGGUAAAAGGAAAAUAUUAACUUAGAACUUGGGGUGGAGAAAUAAAUGUUCUAAAUAACAACUUGAACUAUAUGAAUUGUUAUGGUGGAUACGACAUUCCUUCUCAACCCAUUCUACCUCGAAUUUCUCUUUUCUUAGUGUAGCUUAAAAUAAUAAAAUCGCUUAAAAAACACAUUAAACUACAAAUGCUAUAAAAUCAUUAUUUCAUGUCUCAUCGUUGAUUAUCACUUUAUAUUUAAAACAUAUAUUUGAAAAGAAAAAAAAAACUAAAACAUAUAUAUUUUAAUGUUUAGUAUAUAUUUUCAUGUCUCUUCGUUGCGGAUGCUUUGACGUCUAUUGGCCUAAAUAGUUCGAAUCUUUGGGUUUAAGGGGUUUUUCUCUCUAAUAUAUAUAUAUUUUUUCUAUCAAAAAAAAAAAAAAAUUCCAUCGGUUAACGUUAUCCUUUUCUUUCUUCUUAUCUCUUUUUUCUGGUACAUGUUAGAUGAUUCCCAUUAAAAGCAAUACCUUUACCAACUCGAAUCUCUUUACCAACACAUGAACCGAUCCAACCCUUAACUUUUAGGGAAUAAAUUUUUCUUCCAUAAGAGUUCUACAACAUCAAAUAAUCAUGGUUGAAUGUUUGGGAAAAAUCUAAAAAUUGAAAAGAAUAUCACCAAAGAGCAGGAGUACGUCUGAAGUUCAUUGAAGCACAGCAGAGCAAUAAAUACACACAUAUAUUUGUAUAAUAUGCUAUAUCUAUAUCUAUAUAUUUGGAUACUUUAUAUAGUUUAGCCUCAAGGCCAUAAUUCCCUGAUUAGGAUAAUAAUAAUACGAAGAAAAUAGAAUUAAAUCAGAAACUAGUACUAUUUUCCGACAAAAUAAUCCAAUAUUAGUAAGGGUAGAGAGAAGGGAAGAAGAAAAGGAGCGAGAAUUCUUACAGAGAUCUGCGUUUUUCCAUGAAGCUGACAGGUCGAGAGGUGUAGCCACAAGCAAUGAAGUCAAGGGUUUCUCCUAUGAAAGGCCAACCUAACUUCCCUUUUGGAACUUGACCCUUUUGAUUUUCCCUCUCUUUCUUGUUCUGGUCCUUAAACCAAUACAAUGAUCCUACAAGAAUUCCCACCAAAACCCAACAUCCCAAAACCCAUCCCAUCCUCACAAAAAGUAGAAGGAUAAAAAACUUUUGGUUCUUUCGAACUCCUUGUGAUGUUUAUGUAAAUCCCUGGUUGUAGAAACCUAGCUAGAUCAAGGAUUCAAAACGCUGGAGUUAGCCUAAUGGCAAGGAUGGAUAGAAUGAUAAGUAGGAGCAGGUUAGGUUCAGAGUUGGAAGUUGAGUAUGAGUAACACAGAGAUUUUUUGAGCAACCCAACUGCUGGUUAUGAGCUUCUCACUAUUCCAUGCAACUCCAACUAGCUAGCUCUCUCUAUAUACCGUAGUGUUUUUGUGUGUGUGUGUGUGUGUGUGUGUGUGAGAGAGAGAGAGAGAGAGAGAGAGAGAGAGAGAGAGGUUGUUGUUUUUGAGGGUUGAAAUGAAUUGAAUUGAAUGAGAGGAGGAUCGAGUGAGAGAUUCGGAAGAUCAAUGAGGUUUCAACAGUCAUUAAAGAGGUGGUCAUAUUAUUAUCAUUAUUGGGUGCACCAAAUAUGUGACACGCUUCCAUUUGAUAUUUUCCCCUCCAUGUUCAUAAUUUUAUAGAGUGAUAGGAUUUUAAGUGGAUUUUACUUAAUGGAAAAAGGGGGAGAGGAAUAUUUCCUUGUAAUUUGAUAUGAGAUUUCGUUGGUCUUGAGUAUAUUCAUAAUAAUGUUUUUUUUCUUAAUAGCAAUGUUGGAGUGACAAUGACAUUAUUGCUUUAAUUAAAAAAAAAUUCAUGGACUAGCAAAUAAUCUCUCUAUCACACUUUUCAUUGUUUUUUUCGAAAAUGUUUUUCGCACUUUUCUCUUUCUGGUUAUACACUCCCUUUCUUUUUUAGGACUCAGAAGUUAGAAACAAAUAAUAGGGAAAAAUAUAAGACUAAGAAGAGUAAUAGGGAAAAAGUUUUAAAUGGUUUUUAGACAAGUAUUGAUUUACAGCUAAUUUAAAUUGCAAAAAAAAAAAAAAAAAAAAAAAAAAAAAAAAAUUCAACAUUGAAACUAUAAGCUCUUUGAUGACGGUAUGUUCUUCGGUUUUUAUGACACUCAAACUCCACUUUUUUCAAAGAAACUAGUUAGUCAAACUAUAAUUUUAAAGGAUUUUAAAAGUGAUAGAUUUGAUAGGAUUUAAGAAGAUUAAAGACUCCUACAAAAUUCAUAUGGAUUUUAAAGAAUUUGAAUGGAUUGUGGUGGAUUGUGGGGGAAUGAUUUGAAAUCCUAGGAGGUGAGGUUGUAUUCUUUUUAGUUUUGGUUAUACAUACUUUUUGCUUUCAAAUCCCACAAAAUCCACAACUUAUUGAAAUCCUUCAAAAUCUUAAUUUUUUUAAUACACUUAGAUUUGGAUGGAUUCUAAAAUCUUUUAAUUGACUACACCUAGAUUUUAAUGGAUUCUAAAAUCCUUUAAAAUCUUUUAAUUGACUACAAUAGGAUUUUAAAAUCUUUUAAAAUCCUCUCAAAUCCAAGUUUGACCACACCCCCUAAAUAUCAUAAAUUUAGUUGUUAAAAGAAUAAAUAAAGAAACUUGUCAAAUAAAUAAAGAAAAUUAUUGGAGCCAAAAAAUAAAAAAAAUUGUCAACCUCAUCUUUUUAUCUCAUUUGGAAUGUGUUCAACAACGACCACCCUAUAGCUUUUUAGGUUUGAAAGAAACCUAACAAGGGGGAGUCUUCUAGUUUAGUAAAAUACUUUAUAACCAAGCUCACGAGUCACGACAUAAGUUCGGCUCUUAUUAUCUGGACUCUUUGAGAAUAAAAAUAACAAGAAUGAAGGAAUUAUAAUAUGAGAAAUAAAAUAGUGGAGUGAUUAUAACAUGAACAUACUUAGUGCAACAGUUAAUUAACAUUAUUAUAGAAUCUUUUGCAUUGUUUAUUCACAUUGCCCAUAAUGAUUAAGUGAGUGUGACCUAAAGUACCAAACGAAUUACUAUUUAUUUAGUACUCCAAUCAUAUCCUCAACAUUAUUCGUUAAUGCAAAGACACGUGUUCUUUGAUUAUGACGCCUAGAGGGGGAAAAGUGGAACUCUAGUGUAGUAUCUCACAUCGGCAUGGUGAGGGUUGGUUCCUGGCAUUAUAUGUACUUGCCCCUCUUCCUAGCAUGAUGCGUUUUGGGUAGUGAUGUUCUCUUGCCUAGGAACAAAUCCGUGAGAGCGUGGCCCAAAACAGACAAUAUCGUGCUACGACGCAGUCGAGAUGUGACAUCUAGCGUUGCUAAUAUGAUUUUUAACUAAUAGAGAAGAUUUAGACUCAAAAUCUCAACGAAAUAGAAUACUUUUAAUCGAUUAAACUUUGGACGCUUUAAAUUAAUUUUCGUUUAAAAAAUUUAUUGGAGUCAGGUGGGACAAAUCUUGUUUACAUUCUAGUUAGAAUUCAUCCCAUAAGUCUUUAUGUUUUAUAUUAAGUUUUACGAGGGAUGCUACAAUAAUUUGUGAUUUUCAGGACACUAAAAUAUUAAUUUCUGAUUUAUUUCUUUAAAUAUCACUCGUUCAUUUUCCGUUGUAGGGUGGAAGAUGUCCCAAAGUUUCAUAUCAUUCUCAUUUCGCAAUUCAUUUCAAAGUUUCCAAACAUGUGGAUUGCUAUGAAAUAAAUUAUGUGAGGAAAAAAAAAAAAAGAAGGGAAGGACAAGGGUGAUGACUACUGAGACUGCUGAGUGGUAUGAGCGGUGACAGACGGGUCUAUUCCAAGAAAAUAUGAGCCGAAUUAUCUUCAUGAACCUCAUGUUUAUAGAAUGAGAGUUGUUAAUGAAUAUGAUGUCGUGAUGUUCUUUUUCAUUUUUAAGUCAGAGAUUUUUGUUUUAAUUUUUAAAAUUGAUGAGUUCGUUACUAAUUUAUUUCCACCCUUAUCUAUCUCAUUGUAAAAAAUAAAAUAAAAAUGUUGUCAAACACAUUUAUUUCUUUGUAAACUAAAAGAAAGAGUGAAAUGAUCAUUUUAAACGUAAAUAGCAGCUUUCGACGACUUCCGAUUGAGUUCGUCAAUAAAUGUCCACAUAUGCAAGAAACUUUGUCAAAUAAAUGUUGACAUCAGAGCACACAAAGGCAAUGCCAAUUGUUGCCAAGUCUCACUCAUGCACUUUGUCAAACAUUUUAAGGUGCACAAAGUGGUUACACCUCAACGACCAAGGAGUCAUCGGAGGCGAGCUCAACAACUUUUUUUGGCCACCACGGGAUCAAUCGACCCCUUUGACCUCAACGUGAAUCCGCCAAUAAGGAUGUAUGAUGCACACGAUUAUGUCGGUAAGUCUCUGAUGAAAAAUCUGCUAUAACGAUUAUUUUUUAAAUUAUUUUACUAAAAUGAUAAUUUUUCAAUAUGUUGUCAAUGUUUGCUCACAACAAUUAAAUAUUUAGUGACAUACUGAAAAGUUGAUUGUUUUAACCAUUGAAAUUUAAGAAAUGAUGGUUUCUUUUUUGCAAAAAGAAAUGAAUGGAUGCCAUAAGAGUGAGUGGUUUGGGUUGCCAGCAUGUGAAUGCACUUAGGUAAAAAGAUGAUUGUGGGGGUGGUGCACUCUGAAGGGCCAGUGCUGCUCAUAAGUCAUUGACCCUUUUCAUUUGCUGCUUGGCCUUGGAUUAUCAUGACACUUCAAUGUCACCCAUUACCAUAUUGAUGAUGAUCAUCAUGAACAUGUAAUCACUCGACUAUAUAAAUUUCACGGCAACAAAUGCAUAAUUUUAGUGACGCCACCGGUUGUAUAAGAAAUUUUCUCUUAUAACAAUGUAUAGUUACAAUAACGUCAUCGUUCUAAUUAAUGUGAAGUCACCAGUUGCACGAGAGUAUUUCUCGGAGAACCUAAUUGCAUAUUUGCAUUAUUUCUGACUGAUUUCAAAAUUGAUUGAUUUGUCCAUCAUCAUCAGUGUUACCGUUGGGGAUUUGGGUCAAAAGGACCAUCCUGCCAAAUUUGGGAUCUCAAUCUUUUGAAGUGUCGGAGUUUGGCAGGGAUAUGAAAGGGUACCAGAAGUUAUGAAGAUGUAAUCCGUUUAAGAUUUGCUAUUGCAGAAAGUACUUAUGCUAUAAGCCCUUUUAUUAGAAGCACAUCAAGCUCUAUUAAAAAUCCGAUUACUACUUAAAAAUAGCACUUAACAGAUGCUGCUUCAAAAAGAACUUCCAUUAAGUAUUUUAUGUCUGCAAAGUUCUGCCUUUUAUGAUAGAAACAACAUGGAUAAGUUUGUAGUAAAAUCUGCUGUAAUCACAUUCAUCAAACAAAUGGAAUGCCUACUUGAGGAGAACUUCCCUGCACAGCGGCAUGCCUGUCGUAAGUUUCUUUCUAUCCUGUUCGAGAGAUCAAAGGUAGGGAACAGGGUGAAGAGAUCAAAAUUUCAUAAAUAUCAAACAUAUGGUUAUAUCAACUCUUUAUACAUCAAUGCGAAGCACCCUAAACCUUCUCGAAGUUUGAGGUUGUCACUAGUCACUGAGAAUGUCGAAUCUGUACUCUAAAAUAGGGGUGGAAAAAAUAUUCCAAACCGAAAAAAUUCUAAUCUCAAAUAAAAAAUUUCCCAAAUCGAAAUUUCGAUACAAGAUUCAGGAUUGUCUUCUCAAUAUUUUGGGAAUCCCAUACAGAACCGAAAAUAUAUAUUAUUAAUUAUUUUAUAUAUAUUUAUACAUAUUAUAUAUAUUUAUAUAUAUAUAUAUAUAUAUAUAUAUAUAUAUAGUUAGAGUUAAUUUCAACCAUUGGAUUGUUUCAAAUUGAUCUGUGCGGUCCAUUCAUUGUUACGGUUCUCCAGCUUUCUCUCCAUUCAUUUCAAUUGAAGCUAACCUCCCUCCCUCAGCCACCUAGCCCUCUCAUCUCUGUCUCGAAUUUGAAGUCAACUCUGGCCCACCACCUCACCAUACUAUUACUACCGUAUCCAAUUGUGGAGCCUUUGACACACCCCGACCGAGAUCAAGGCAUGCUGACUGUCACGUAAGAGUGACGUAGCCAUGUGCACAAUGCGGAAGCGAUAAUGAUAAGAAUUAUACGAAUAAUUGAAAACCAAAUUGCUAGAGUGCACUACUAAACAGAAAGUGAUAGAAAUUAGUUACAACAGUAAACACUCAUAAUCAGAGCAUAAAGUCUAGGUGCAGUCCAGUAGGACAAGUACUAGUUAUACAGUACCAGGAAUGUCCUACUAUUAUUUAGAUAAGUCAGAACUGCCGAUGUCCUCAAGCCACCAACAACAAGCUUACUUAAAACCUGGAGGGGUGCAAAACAGAAAACGUGAGUGGGCAAACAAAAAUGUUUUACAAAAUCAUUUCAUUUAUCAACAUAUCUAACCCCUCGCUGUAAAACAUGUAUAAUUUUCCUAGAAUCAAGAUAUAAACAUAUAUAUAUAUAUAUAUAUAUAUGAAAUCAUAAUAAUUCAAUUCAUGCUUUACAUAAUCAUAUUCAUAUGUAUGCCAUGCCAAAAUAUAACAAAGUAAACAAUCCAGGUAAGAAUGAUUUCAUAGAAAAAUGAUAUGUUAGCCGGAACCCAUGUGGUAGUCUGUACGGCUGAUUUUAUAGCUCAAAAGUCAAUCUAGCCGAAGUCACUACAAUAACCUAUACGACAAUAUACUACACAUAAGUCGGAACCACUAAAAAGGGGUUUGUACGACAAGAUUGGGUGUAAUAUAAUUAUGCUCAAUUCUAUUCUCUCAUAAUAGCUGGGCGAUAAAUCGCUAGUCACCUACGAGUCGGAACCAUAAAUAAGGUCUGUAUGACAAGACUGUGCACUUAAGUUGGAUCCAAUAUGAGCAUAUAGUGCGGGAGGUGACCUAAAUAAACAAGCCUGUAUUUCACAUUUCUGGCUAAAUCACAAUCACCCUAGGUGCAGUUUUAUGAGCUUAACAUUAUUCAAUCACAUAUCACAUCAUCGAUGAUUCAUAUAACCAAACAUAACUUACCUGAACUUACCUGUGCUUCCACAGCACCACAUAUAUAUAUAUAUAUAUAUAUAUAUAUAUAUAUAUAUAUAUAUAUAUAUAUAUAUAUAUAUAUAUAUAUGCAACAUGAAAUGCAUAUUCAGAAUAUAAAAGCAUUUGGCAUAUUAUUUCAAAGCAUACUUUCCUUAAAAAAAUGCAUUUCUGGGAAAUAUAUCAGUCGACGGGUCGUAACCCCCGAGUCGCCCGUGGAUACGCUUAUCCUCGGGAUAAGUCUCACCUAUAUGCGAAUUAACUAUAAAAAUGUUAUUUUAAAGCACAUAGGCAAAACUAGCUAAUAACUUCUCAUACAUUGCUCUAUUUUGGUAUUUGAAUAUACCAACGUGACCUACACAAACUCACGAACAUUGUGAUAUUUUUAAAAUAAUUUUUCUAUGGCUCACGCGCCCUUACGCGCCUGGGAGGGCACGGCCUCACGCUCGGCCCUUACGCGCUGCCCAUGCGCAGGUGCACUGAUGGAUUCCCUAACUGCCGUUAGGGAAUAUUCUGUUAAAAUCUAACAGAUUACGUUAAAACUUACUGACGAUGUCAGCAUAUUCCGUCCAAAUUGACGGAAUAUGCUGUCAUCUUCUCCGGCAAGUCGUCGGUCACCGGAAAACUGGGUAAAACUUUAAAACGUCUAUUCUCGCUCGUUUCUUAACCAUUUUUCAUGAAAUUUGUACCAACAUGAAGCUAGGGACAUCCACAAUCACGUUAUAAUAGUUUUAAGACCUAAAAACUGCUACAUUUUUCCUAGGGAAAGCUAGAUAGUUCGGCUUACCUAGAAUAGCUUCAAUCUCGGCCCUCAGACGUCCAUUUCCUUCCAACGAAGUACCCCGAGACUCGUGAGGACCUCUUUAAGCUUCAUGUGAGCUUGAAAUUUCCAAAAACAAAGAUUUAACGUUUGCAUGAACAAUACCCCAAAUCGGGUUAUGGUUUCGACGUGAAGAUAAAGUUGUCCUUACCUGAAAAUGGUCUAGAUGUGUUCAUGAGCUUGCAAGGAACACGAUGGUACCUUUAAUGUCCUCGAUCUACGAAGUUUGAAUAGGUUUUGGUGUUUGUCCGUACACAAUGCCGAGAGGGAGAGAGAGAGAGUCUGAAAGAUAGAGAGAUAGCACGGGAAAGAAGAGAGAGAAAGGGGUAUGAAUGUGUAUGUGGUCCAAAAAUAAACACCAAUCAAAUUUGUUUAAUCCUUUUGUUCUAAUUGGGUCCAAUUAUUUAGGAAUAGAACUAAUUGACCCAAUUCCUUAACCCAAAACACAAACACACAUCCAACGCUCAAGGGUAAAUCUGUCUUUUCACAACCACGAUAAUUAAUUCUCAGGACGGGCUGUGACAGCCUUCCUUUAGCACACAGAGCCACCGCUCUCUCUCUCGCAAUUCUCUCUAUCAGACACUCAAAGUCUGAGAGUCUUCUUCAUCCAGUGCACUGUGCACCGAUUCUCCUCCAAAUCAAGUAAAAUUUGGAAUUAAUUUAGGGUUCGAAUUUUAGAUUACGGUUUGUGAAAUUUGUUCAUGUUUUAGAUUGGAUGUUCAUGAUUCCAUCCUUAAUUUAAUUUCUAUAUUUAUGUUUACCAUUAGGUUAGGGUUUAUGAAUUUUUUUUUUCGAUUUAGGAGUUUGGCUAUGAUUUGCUAUGAUUUGUUAUGUUUUGUUUUUGUUAGGCAGCUUAAAGACUUUAAAAAAUUUUCAAUUGGCGACUACACUUUUUGUUACUUAACUGAUUGGAAAUGUAUGAAUUGACAGUUGAAGCCACCACUACCUAGAAUGCUAGAUAGAGGGAGAAACUCCCAACCCUAGGAAAAGAAACUCCUAAAAGCAUACAUCAUGAAAUCAUUGAUGCCCUAAAUUGGAUCAUUAUUUAAUUGAAUCAUAUGCUAUGCAAGAAAUUGUGCCUUCAGGGAUUAUUAGUUGAUUGAAUCUUAUAUGGAGCACAACACUGGAAAGAAAAGAUCAUUGUUUAACAACAUAUACAUAUACAUAGACAUAGACAUAGACAUAGACAUACACAUACACAUACACAUAUACAUGUGUUCAAUAAUAUUUUGGGCUAGAAAAAUUGAAGUCAAAUAAAUUAAACUAAGAGGAAAAAGGCUAAUUUGUUUCUAUCUCCAAACAAUAGUUGGCUUGAAAGAUAAAAACACUAGUUGCAGAGUUUUUGGUUGUUCUGGAAUUUUCUGAUGUUAAACUGAAGUAAAUGCAGAGAUGUGAAUAAUUUUCUUGCCCGUAGGUUCCCGAUAGGUAUAUAUGUUGUGCAGACAAACCUUCAUUUUGUAAUGCGCUGCUCCUCUCAAACGUGUUGUGUUUCUCCAUUUUUGUUUACUUCCAUUCCACGGAGAAGUCACAAUUAAGUUGUAUAUUAUUAGUAUGAUUUUAAAGUUUGUGUUGUCCUCUCUUUAGGAGCACCACCGUUGAACUUGAAUUAUGUGAUUUAAUUUACACAGAUUUGAGAAAUUUAAUUAUGUAUGUUUCAUUGUUUUGUGACUUUGUCCAUUUGUACUCUUCUUUGCCAAAACUCAGAAACUUCAUCACACAAUGGAAUGCAGUAGCAACAAUAGGAAUGAUAAAGGUGUAGAUUUAAAGUCCUGUUUUCUCCACAAUUUUUUGCUUCUUUAUAUAUACUUUUCAACUUUCUAAUUUGUCUUUAAUGCUUUAAUAGGUCUUCAAUCCUUUUCUCUGCUAAUUUGUCUUGAAUGCUUUAAUAGAUUUUAUUCAAUCCUGAGAUUUAUAGCACCGACUGCACCACUCUGUUACUCGUUGUAAUUGACAAGUGUAUUCGGUCUGCUUCAAUUGACACUAGGAGGUCUUUGUAUAAGGUGAAGUUGGCCUUGAAUUGAGCUUAAGGAGACCGGUCCUUGGUUUGUAUUGAGGCUUUUUAAGGUUAGUACUCUAUCUUCAUUGUUGAGAAAUUUAUGCUUCUUGUAAGGAUAUAACACGUGUUUUAUUUUGCAUUCUCAUGUUUGUGUUGUUUAUGUCAUAUGGACAUUAAUUAGAUAUGAAUAAAUAUAAAUCCUCUUUAUGAAUAGAUAUGAAUUUUCUUUAAUUGUUUCCUCUUAAGAAAUGCCAUUUAGCAUGAAUAGAUUUAAAAUUUAAUGUUGUGCUUACUUUGCAUAUAUUGAAUAUGUUAUUGCACUUGAAUUGGAUAUGUGAUUUAUUGAAUUGGAAUUUGGAUAUAUGCUGAAAUGUGGUUGUGAUAUAUUAAUGUGCAUUGUUAGUUUAUUUGUUAGGAUGGACAUAUCUAGUAGCCAAUUUAGUACACCUAUGGUCUCGGUAUUAGGAAAAUGAAAAAAAAUCCAACCUAGUGGUACCUUUCAACUAGGCACUCCCUCACCUCAAGAUUAUUUGCAUGAUGAUUAUUAUGAAGAUUGUUGGGAUGAUGAUCCGGAUGAUAUUGCAUUAGAACAAGUAGAAGAACAGGGAGAAGAGGGGGAAGAGGAAGUAGAAGUAGUGAGAGAAUGAGAGGGACCUCAUCGGAAAAAGGAUAAUAGGAGAAAGAGCCCAAGUCCAGUGUGGAACGAUGGUAAGAGGGUAAUUAUCACCGAUAAUAAUAGGGUGGAAUUGUACAUGGCCGAAUGCAUACAUUGCAAACUCUUAGUAUCGGCACACCCUAGAAAUCAUGGGACGGUGGGAAUUCUUAAGCAUCUGAAGAAAUGCCUGGGUUCUAAUCUCUUUGAGAGUGUGGAUCCGAACCAACCAACAUUGACACAAGCAAGGAUGGGAGGUGCGGGUCACUCACACUUUUAAUAAAAAAAGACUUGAUAUGAGAUAUAUGAGGUGGAUUAUAAUAGCGGAGAUGCCUUUUAUGGUGGUCGAUCAAUAGGACUUUCGAGCUUUUAUUCGUGACUUGAAUCCAAAGUGUAAACUUCCUAAUAGACAUUGGCGACAACGGUUUUGGAGCUGUUUUUGAAGAGAAGGCAAAAAUAAAAAGUCUGAUUGAGGGGUUGAGAGUGAGUAUCACAACCAAUACUUGGACCUCGAUCCAAAAGAUAUACUACAUGGUCCAUCACGGCCUAUUUUUUGGACACUAAUUGGGCAUUGCAUAAGAGGAUCCUAAGCUUUGUCCAAGUUACUUCUCACAAAGGUGAUGACAUUGGAAGAUGUCUAGAGGUUUUCUUGAAUGAUUGGGGCAUAGACAAGGUGUUUAGCAUUACCGUUGACAAUGCUAAUGCAAAUGACACUGCUAUUGCAUACAUGAAAAGAAGACUCAAGUCAAAUGAUACUCUUUUAUUCAACGAGGCUCACGUGCACAUGAGGUGUGCUAGUCGCAUCCUCAAUUUGAUAGUUAAGGAUGGAAUGAUAGAUCUUAGUUGUGAGAUUGAUGCCACAAGAAAUUAUGUGAAGUUUAUGCACUCAUCCCCGGCAAGGUUGGAGUCUUUUAGGGAAUAUUGUGUCUUGUUGAGACUUGAUAAGAUGUCAAGUAACCUUUUGAUGUUGUCACAAGGUGUAAUGCCACCUAUGAAAUGCUUAAUAGUGCUUUCAAGUUUAAAGAAGUGUUCUCUAAGAUGACCUUUGAGUGUGACUCUUUUAUUGCUUACUUUAAAAAUGAGGUCUUGAAAGAGGUUGAUGAAGUGACAACAAAGGCUAAGUGGGUGGGUUAUCUGGAGGAUGAUUGAGAAAGGUCGGUGAGUUUUGCUCACUUUCUCAAAAAGUGUUAUGAUGCCACCUUAACAUUGAAUGCAACCCUUACUCUAGCGUCACACUUAAUACUUAGCAUGGUGAUUGCUUUGCAAGUGGAGAUAGAAAAACAAAUUUUAAACAUCUCUAAUGGCACUUUGCAAAGUGUGGCUACCUCAAUGAAGCUCAAGUUUGACAAAUAUUGGGGUGACGUUGAAAAGGUGAACCGUAUUCUCUUUAUAGCCCAAGCACUCGAGCCGAGGUACAAAUUUGAAAUGUUGGAGACAAAUCUAAAAGAGCUCGGCUAUGGAUGUGACAAAAUAAGGGAAGAGAAAGCAAGGGUUAAAAUCCAUGUAACCGAGUUGCAUAAUGCAUAUAAGGAGGGAGUGGUCCUUAGUAGUAGUAGUAGUAGUAGUAGUGCUACUUCAAAUGUGGAGCAAAGAUCAAGUGUUGUAGUGGAUGAUUUUGGGGGGGGGGGUGGUAGAUAUUGAUGUUGCUAAAAGGAUGACAAGGAAGAUCCAACAACAGAGGGCAGCAACACAACAAAAUGAGAUAGCCAAUGAAGUGGAUAUUUACUUCAGAUCCGCAUCAAAGCCUAACAUAUGAAAGUUUCAAUCUUUUGGAUUGGUGGAAAGGAAAUAGUGGUACAUAUCCAACUCUUAGUAAAGUUGCUAAGGAUGUAUUUGCUCUUCCUAGUAGCACCAUUGCUAGUGGGAAUGCCUCUAGUCUUUAUGGGAUAGUUGUUGAUCUUUUUAAAGCUUCCUUAACAACUAAAACGGUUGAUGCUUUAAUGUGUACUAGUGAUUGUCUUAGAGGGAAUGAAUUUUGUUUCUAUAAGGAGCCUACACUGGACGAAUUCAUUUUCGACAAGGAACUUGAACAAUUAGAAAAAAGUAAGUAAAUAAUUUAAUUUCCUCUUUUAUUUUCUUAGUAUUUAUUAUUAUAAUUCAAUCUAAAUGAUUUGUGGUUUAUUAUUUUAGGCGUGACUAAUUUAGGAGGUGAGGAGAAUACAGCACAUGGAAACAAAAUGCCACCUCCACCUCCUUGACCAUCUCAAGUUGAAGUUGAACAACGUCAAAAUCAAUCACUACCUUCACGAGCACCCAUUUUAAGGGGAAUGGCUCAACCAUCAACAUCAAGGGGAAGAGUAUCAACAAGAAGAGGAAUGGGUCAACAAUCAACAACAAUAAGCAUGGUAAGGGAGCAACCACAAUCAUCAACAAGAUUAAGGGGCUAAAGGGGCCAAAGAGGCCAACAAUUUUCACAAACUUUAAGCUUUUCUUUUUGCUUUUGGUUUGUAACUUAAUUUAUUUUAAAACUUUGGCUUGUAACUAAUUUUUUUGCUUUUGGGUCUGUUACUUAAUUUAUUUUUGUUGCAUGCAUGUGGAAUGUUGAAUUUAAAUAGUUUGAUAGUAGAAUAUAUUUGAAGAAAAAUUCAUAAUUUUAUAUUUCAAUUAGGGCUAUAAAUCCAUGAUUGCACAGAUUGGUAUGUAUGAAGUAGAAGGCUCAAAAUAGAUUGCACAAACGCACAUAUGACAUAUUGGUAUUUAUGAAAUUGGGCUGAUAAUUUCAAUCUAAAAGGCUAAAUUUUAGCCCAAAAGCCCAAUAUAUCAAGUUUCAGCCCAAUAGCCCAAAAGCCCAAAAUCAAAAUUUAAUCCCGAUUUGUCCUGAAAUCCCAAAAAUUUGGUUUGGGAUUGGUCUUCAAAUCCCUGUCCUGAAAAAUUUUAGUUUGGGAUUCGGGAUACUAGUUUCGGUUCGGUAUCCCAUACCGAACCAGCCCUAGUUUCAUUUUGGGGUUCCCAACUUUUUUUUUUUAAUUUUAAUUUAUAGUUAUUCAGUUUGUUUUGGCCCCCAAACAGGAGAGAAGAGCAAUUUACAAUAAGUAAACCCAAAAUUGAUAACCGCCAUACUAAAACUCAAGGAACUCCCUUUUGGUUUUGUCUCAGAAUCAAAAGGAAAAAACAAAUCUCACAAACUAAUAACCACUAUAUUGAUAUUCAAGUAUCCAAAUCUAAAUCCAUGUAUGAACUCCACUAAAUAACCAAUUACACCCAAACACCUAAUUGGUUAAUUAAAUUAAAUAUCUUUUUUUUUUAUAUUAUGCGGUUCGGUUCGGUUUCAAAUAUUAGGAAUUGAAACCAAACCGUUAUUUUAACUUUCGGUUCAAUUUCAAACCAAAACUAUUUAAACUGAAAAAAUUGAACCGUUUGAUGUGGUCUGACUUAAUUCCUGUAUCGGUUUCAAUUUUCUGUCCCACGUGCCCAACCCCAUCAGCCGCUCUCUUAUUUCAUUUUUUUUAACUUUUUAUUUAUUUCUUCUUCUGUCUUGUUUUUUUCUUUUCCAUUGUCUACAUUUAUCUCUUCGAUAUUUUCUUCUUUCUUCCUAUCUCUUCUCUUCGCUCGCACCGUGGGUCAUUGAUCUUUUUUUCUUCUUGUUUCCUCUUCUUCUCUUCACCCGCACAUGUCUUUUUUUUUAAUUUGGGUGAAAAAUACAUGGGUCUAGUGUGUUGAAAUAGCAUGUUUUGAAAUAAAAUAAAAUAUUCAAUUAAAGCUGAAAAUCGGUCAAACCAAAACGGAAAUCGGAUAAACCAAAGCAUGCCGGUUUUACUUAUUUUUUAGUAGAACCAAACUGAACAGCUUAGGUCAUCUCCAUUGGAGAGAGCUAAAUGUCCAAAAGUAAAAAAAUGGUCUGAUUUACCCAAAAAUUGAUCUCCAAUCGAUGGCUAGGCUGUAACUCUAUGGAACCCACAUGCCAUUAUUUGGCCAAAGGGGCAUCACAUUAGCCAAAUGUAGCCCCACUAUUAGCUCUUUGUUUGGAGUCUAGCUCCUCAAUUGCAAUAAUGUAUUCAAAUUCAACGACUAGAUUUGAAAACAUCUCACGGUAGUUUAAAUAAAUUAAUCAAUAAGUUUAAAGUAUGAACUUGAAACUAAUAAAUUAUUGAGGAGGAUAUGUUUAGGUUAAAGAAGUAUCUAAGUAUGCCCUGACACUGUGCAUUUAAAAAUAAUUUUUUUGUAAAUCUAUAAUUCUGGACGAGAUUACGUUUAGUCUUUUCGAUUAGAAAUGGCCUUAUAUUAUUUGGUUUUAGUUCCGAUUUAGGAGAUAAACCGGACCAACUACAUUUUUCAUUGAGCUUCUAUUGUUUGCAAAGAGCUAAAGAUCAUAACGUGUCUACUAUUUGCUAUAGAAAAAACCUCCUCAUCAUAUUCAGAAGACUUUCUCUCUCAAGAAAAUAUUUUUUUUAUCACUUUACCAAUUUUCUCUCAUUUUCUUUUAACAUUUUCAAUCACUUCCCCUACUUUUAUUUUUCCUCAACCCAAGGGUAUGGCACAUUUUUCUCGAAGAUUUUCUUAGAUUUUCGCGGAUUCCAAAUAGUAUAUGGGCUACAUUCUGAAUAUUCUAGAAGAUAUUAUCAAUAAGGUUCUCUCUUUCAUACCGAUUAGAGACGAUGCUUAGACCAAUGUCUUGUCCCUGAUCUAGCACUUUUAUUGGAGGAAAACUCUCGUUCUUGAAUUCGAUUGGGAGACUUGCCCUUAAUUCAAAGAUGCACCGAGAGACAUUGUCACACCCCGAUCCCGACAUACGUCCAGGAUAGACACGUGACGCCAUCGAGUAUCCGUAUUUCCAACAUACCCCAUCUCGGGGAUAUGUACAGAGUAUAACUCAAGAUUCGAAUUGCGUAGUAAUUUUUGUAUACUUUAUGGCUGCAUUUAACCUCUUCGUUAGACUGCCUAUGUACCCUGAAUAGGAAUCAAGCCAUUCGUAGUUCACCAUUCACUACACUCGAACAUUCAUCGCAUAUAUCAUUACGUCUCAACAUAAUACCAUGUAGCACCUCAAGGAACAUUCAACAAAGCACAAUAAUAUUCUCUAGUCAUCUUGCCAUUCACCCACACAUAUGCAUUCCAACACCAUCCAAUAAUCACACCAAUCAAUAACACAUACAAUACACCUAAAUGCAAGGCUAGAGCGACACAAUUUGGCCGAAGCCUACAUCUCUGAAGAAUGGGAUUUUGAAUCCAAGGAACCAACAAGUCAAAUGAUGAAAUUUUAGACCACUUAACAAAAUCCAUCAGCAUCAGGUUCCAGACCACUCAACGGAACCAAAACACCAAGUCGGAUUCCGGACCACUCAAUGGAAUCCAAACCAAGAUACUAUUCCGGACCACUUAACGGAUUCGCAGAGAAGAAAGGAUUUCGGACCACUUAACGGAAUCGCGGAGUACAAUGCGUAUCGAACCACUCCAUGAAAUCCAAGCUGGAUACGAUUCUGGACCACUCAACGGAUUCGCAAAUCAUGAGGGAUUCCGGACCGCUCAACAAAAUCCAGACAGAGCAGGGAACCAGACCACUCAACGGAACCCCAGCAGAUAUCCAGUUUUGGAUCACUCAACGGAACUGAUCGGAAGGCCAAGAAAUAUAUCACCGAUUCAAAGAACAAAACAUGAACCAAGUACUCAAUUUACAAAGGCUCAACGAAAUGAAACAAAGCACAAGUACUAAAUUUAGAAAUGAUCAAUGAAGCGAGAAAUGAAACAAUGAAAUGGGAUAUGAAAUAAGCUUCGAAGAAACAAACCCCAUGGCAAUGAGUUAAUGGUCCACUACUAGCCCUCAUAUUUCAUUACAUCAUACCAAUCAUGCAAAUCAAACCACAUCUUAAAUAUGCACGUCAAUCACAUUUCACAAAUAUCAUCAGUACACAAGUCAAAUCACAUUUAAUAAACAUAGGUCAAUGGCUAAAUAUAUAAAAAUCACAUUUAUAAAACCAAUUCAUAUUCACAAAUGAUAUCAAUGUAAGAAGUCAAGGUAAUAACCAUAUCACAUAUAUUCAAGUCACUCUCUAACCGAUGUAGGCCUACUAGACUUCACUUAGUCUCCUAUAGUACUAAUUUUAGUAUUUAGAAUGUUUCGAGACAUGUUGACCAAAAGUUAACUUUUAGUCAACGGUGGGGACCUUAUGUAAUUCGAUCUGGAAGAUCCGCACAUCGGAUUUCGGAUCCGUAACUUCCUAAAGUCCUCAUUAAGCUCAUAUAACGACAUACUAAAAUCUCAUUACUUGGAUCUCAGCCAAUUGCUAGAAUUAGGUGGCGGUCAACAAUUAGUUUUACAAACUUAGAAAUCCAAUUCAGGAAGAUCCGUACGUUGGAUUCCCGAUCUGUCAGUUCCUUAUGUCCUCAAAUAUUACAAAUAAUAACCUUUUAAAGUUUGGUGAUAAUCCAAUGGUUGGAUCGUCAAUUCAUAUAAUAACCCCGUGGCGGCCAACUAGGCAAUCAACUACAAAACUACGUUAAACAUUGAAAUUUCACUAAACGGAUGUCAAAUAUGGAAUUGGGGCAUCAAAAUUAGCCUAGAAUGGUCCGGUGGGUUCUCAACCCACGCGGCGGCCGGCCGCUUAUACUCGCUAAAAAAUUCAACUAAUUCUAAAAUUUACCAAAUUUUACCAGAAUGAAGAUCUCAAUGAGUGGAGUAAGUUUCUUACCUGUGACUAAAGCUAAUUUGGCCGGGAAAAGCCUCAAAUCGCCACGAACCCGCUGAAAACCCUAGAAAUGGGUGACUUCGAUUCGACUUUUCUGGUGCUCCGCCGCCUCUAAGGUUGUUUGGGCUUUGUUCCUGGCCUCAAGGAGAGUCUAAUGGUGGUGGAUAUCGAUGUGAUUGCAUUCGGAAAUGGCUGAUCUUUGGCGUGGUCAGUCGCACCCACCGGUGCGAUUCUUUGUGAUUCUGAGCCCAAUUUCUUCGAAUUUGGGGUGGAAAUGGUAAAGAGAAGGUUGUGGCGUACUUCCCAGGUGGUGGCUCGGCUUAAUUGUCAGAAUUUGGCCAGAGGAACCAACGGGUUCCAUUAUUUCCAACUAGGUCGGGUCGCAAGGGGAAAUCGGCUGAAUUAUCCGGUGCCUUCCCCCUCUCUCUUUCCCUCAUUUCUCUCCUUUCCCCCUUCUCUGCCGUCCAUCUCUCUCCUUUCUCUCCUCCACUGUUCAUCACAACCGUCCACGUGGCUCAAUCAGAUUGUUCCAAAAAAUCUGGAACCUUAUAGAGUGAAGGUUAAAUUUACUAAAAUGCCCCCGACUUUAAACGUUAAUAUCUCAUUCGUUAUAACUCCAAAUUACGUUCCGUUUGCGCUCACGCGCUCGUAUUGACGAGUACUAUCCAAAUACGUAAAGAAAAGUGAGAAAAUAUAUGCAAAUCAAAUACAUCCUCGAAAAAUCCGUUUGGUCUAUUAAGGGCGUUUUCAUCCUUCUAUUGAAAUAAAUCUAUGCGCCGCAAUAUAAACGCGUUGAAUUAAUAGUACAAAAUACGUAAUUUUAAAAAUGUGAAAUCCGGAGAUGGGAUUUCACAGGCAUUGUUGAGAACCCUGAAUUCUCGUGGCCUAUUGUCGGGCAAAGAGUCUACUUCAUUGAUCCAUAGAAACAGUGACAUCACUUCCUUCCUGUUGAAAUGAGACAUGUAUAUGGUACAUAUUAUUGUGUAAGGCAAGAUGUCAAAUAAUGCCACACUGGAGGGGUUGUGUUGAGCCUAUCCGUCCAUUGCCAUUAUGCAUCGCACAACAUCCGCAUACAAACCUCGAGUAGUUAGUUAUAACACCAGUGUGCAGCUGCACUGCAUGCUAUAGGGUUCCAACGCCCAAUUGGGGUGAUUUAAAUAAUUAGAACAAACAGUUUGUGACAUUAAAAAAAAAAAAAAACUACAUUUUAGGCUGGCAUAAUUGGGGAUAAGAGUGCGUUGGUACAUAAACAAAACUUCCGGGUAACUUUCAAAAGCCAGAAAGACAAUUUCCUGGGGAGUCCCUAUCCGUCUUCCAAACAACGGAAGCAUCAAGUAGUUAAAGUUGGUACAAUGCAUGGGUGAAGUCCAUGAGGCUGGCUUUAAGGACCUAAGUGUCCAUUACGCUUCCCUUCCAUAUUUUCCUUCAACACCUUUGAAGAACCUCAAGAACCAGUACGCAGAAGAUUUUGGGUGUCUCGAGAGCCCAUUCUUAUAGUCAACGUAAACCAAACCAAAACGCUUGGUAUAUCCUUGAGCCCACUCAAAGUUACCCAGUAAUGACCACGCAAAGUAUCCCCUUACAUUUGCCCCAUCCAUGUCCAGGAAAAAUGUGACAGUAUUGGUUUCCUUUAUACCUACCUUUUCAGAACAUUGUUCACACACUAAUAUGAGUUAAUUACUUUUUAACAAGGUGAUAAUAUGUACUAGACAUGUGAAAAUGCUCAAGAUGGAGAAACAAAAUGACCAACUAAAGCUUUUCUUUGGUUAAUAACAAUUGAAGAUAUUUUGUGAAAUGUGACAUCUAUGUCUUUCCUCGUUUGCAGUUUCCCGCUACAAAUAAAUAGAUGAGUAGCACAAGCCACAAGUUAUAAACCCACCUCCCAUUUAUGCAAGAUUUUUGAAUUUGACAGGAUACUAGGGUUUAUAAACCUAACACCCAUGGAUGGAACCCUGGGGACGCCAGUGGAUUGGGUUGGGUGGGGGGCUGUGCAUCUAUUGGAGUAUAAAUGUAUUUGCUGUGAUAGUUACAUUAUAAGCAAUGUGUAGGCUUUAAUGUGAACCGUUGGAUCAUAUUCCAAUUGGUAUUUAGUUUAGAGUGUAAUGAGUCAUAGCUCAUGACAAGUGUAAGCAUCUUACAUGAUAGCUUAUGAAUGAAUGGUUGUGAUUGCUUUGUAAUAGAGUGAGUGAAAUUGUUCUCACUCCUCUAACUGUCAUAUAAGCUGUAAAAGGUUUUUAUGAAAAAGAGUUGAGAUGGAAUCGACACAGUACUAAGAAACAUUUCUCUCCUUCUUCUUCGGUGUAUUUUCAUUGAGUUUUUAAACUUCCAUUGAAACUAACACAGAAACCAAACUCUAAUAUGGUAUCAGAGCUUGCCAGGUUGGAUCUCAAUCUGGGCGUGAAUCUGUGACAAGGUUCGCAACUGAGGAACUCGACAGAGAAUCGAGUUUGCUGCGGUUGAAGAACGAUCUGAAAAUCUCUGGGUAACUCGAUAACAAGUCUAAUAUGGCUGGAUCGAGUGAUGCUGAUCUUCGAGCACCGAUUUUCAAUGGAGAAAAUUUUGAUUUUUGGCAGAUAAAGAUGAAGACUAUCUUCAGAUCUCACGAUCUGUGGGAUAUGGUUGAAACGAGGCAUAAUCCUUUGGCGAAGAAAGAAGAAGAAGAACUCACUGCAGCUGAGCUAAAGCAUCUGAAGGAGAACAUGAUCAAGGAUGCAAAGGCUCUCAUAAUUAUUCAAGGAGUUGUGUCAGAUGAAAUUUUCCUAAGGAUUGCCAUUAUGGAGACAACAAAAGAGGCCUGGGAUAUACUGAAGCAGGAAUUUAUUGGAGAUAAACAGGUGAGAUCCGUGAAACUUCAAAGCUUAAGGUGUGAUUUUGAAUAUACUCGAAUGGGUGAACAUGAAUCAUUUUAUGUGUAUCUUGUGCGUUUGUUGGAUCUCAUUACACAAAUGAAAAGUUAUGGUGAGAGUAUUGGAAAUCAAAGAAUAGUGCAGAAAUUAUUGAUUAGUCUUCCUAGAUCCUAUGAUAGUAUUGUAGCUGUGAUUGAGAAUUCUCGGGAUUUGGAGACAGUUGAUGUGCAGGAUGUAGUUGCUACUCUAAAAGGGUAUGAACAAAGGAUUGAGAAACACUCUGAAAAUAACACUGAAAAGGCCUUUGCUAGUUUAAGUAUAGCUCACAGGAAGAACAAUUACAAUGGCAAUCAAAACUUCAAACCCACAAAGAACUGGCAGACAAAGGGUAAGAAAUGGGAUAACAAAUCUGUGCACCAUCAAGGAAAAUUUACUGGGUCUUCUGAUAGUGUUAAGAAUGCUUGCAAGUACUGUGAUAAACUUCAUUUUGGAGAGUGUUGGUUCAAAGGGAAACCAAGAUGCCGCAACUGUGAUAAGCUAGGGCAUUUUGCCAAGGAUUGUAGAUCUAAAAAGGUUACCCAACAGGCAAAUUAUGCUAAUCAAGUGGAGAGCAAUCCAACUAUGUUCUAUGUGUGUAUGUCUGCUGCAGUGAAGAAUGGAGAAGACGUUUGGUAUGUUGAUAGUGGCUGCAGUAAUCACAUGACAAGAAGAGAAGAUUUACUGGAGAACAUUGAUAGAAGUGUUACUGCCAAAGUUGAGAUGGGCACAGAGGAGUUGGUUAAUGUAGUUGGAAAAAGAGAGUUAAUGGUUGCAACUAAGCAAGGCAAAAGGUACAUCAAGGAGAUCAUGUUAGUACCUGGUUUAAAGGAGAAUUUAUUGAGCGUGGGACAGAUGAUGGAGCAUGGAUAUUACCUUGUGUUUGGGGGGAUUGAAGUCAGAAUUUAUGAAGACUUUACAUGCUUUAAUCUGGUUGUCAAAAUUCCUAUGAAGGGAAAUUGAAGCUUUCCUUUGAAGUUGCAACUAGGAAUCCAAAUUGCUAUGAGGGCAAGUGUUAGACAAGCAGCUGAGAUAUGGCAUAGAAGACUUGGGCAUCUAAAUAUGAACGCUCGAAUGCAACUCCAAGAGCAUGACAUGGUGACUGGUUUACCUGAGCUCAGAAUGAACUCCACAGUAUGUGAGGGAUGUGCCAUUGGAAAGCAUUCUAGAGAUGCUUUUCCUAAAGAAACAAACUGGAAAACUGCAUUACCAUUGGAGUUAAUAUAUACUAAUAUAUGUGGACCAAUGCAAACACCUACUAAAGCUGGAAACAAGUAUUUCAUCACUUUCACAGAUGAUUGUACUAGAAUGGGAUAGGUCUAUUUCAUGAGGAACAAGUCUGAAGCAUUUGGUAUAUUUAAAAGGUUCAAGGCAACUGUUGAAUUACAAAGUGGAUUCAAAGUGAAGAAAUUAAGAAGUGACAGGGGAUGGGAGUACAUUUCUCUGGAAUUUUCUCAGUACUAUGAAGAUCUUGGUCUAGAAAGACAACUCACAGUGGCCUAUUCUCCUCAACAGAAUGGUGUUGCCGAGAGAAGAAAUAGCACCAUUGUAGAGAUGGCUAAAUGCAUGAUGUUGGAGAAAGGCAUUCCAUUUGAGUUUUGGGCAGAAGCAGUUAACACUGUAGUCUACAUUCUCAAUAGAUGUCAUACCAAGACCUUGCAUAAGAAGACUCCAUUUGAAGCCUACAGUGGAAGAAAGCCUGGAGUAAAACACUUAAGAGUGUUUGGAUCCCUAUGUUAUGCACAUGUUCCAUCAUAGAUGAGGCAUAAACUAGAUGCAACAAGUGUAAUGUGCAUAUUCCUUGGUUAUGGAACCUGUGAGAAGGGUUACAGGUUGUUCAAUCCUAAAACUAACAAGAUGGUUAUUUCUAGAGAUGUAAUAUUUGAUGAGAACUCUUAUUGGGAUUGGAAAUCUGGUAAUAAGAAGACUAUGUCAAUCUCAAUUCCCAGUGAAGCUUAUGGAAGCGAAGAGAAUGAGGUUGAAGCUGCUGAAAAUGAUGCAGUAUUUGAAUGCACAUAAUUACUAUAUGAGCAACAUGAGCAAGUUAUUGCUUCUCCUUCAAGACAAGAAGAGCAAAUGGAUCACACUGGUUCACAAGUGUAUGAUCAUACUCUUCUAAGGUUCAAAAGCUUGAAUGAUAUCUAUGAAAUGUGCAAUUUCUGUGUGAUAGAGCCUGAAUGUUUUGAAGAAGCAUCAGGAGAUAAAGCUUGGAGAAAAGCUAUGUCCACAGAGAUUGAGAUGAUCGAAAACAAUGACACAUGGGAGUUGGUCAAAGGGCCAUUUGAUAAACCUGUAAUUGGUGUAAAAUGGGUCUACAAAACAAAGCUUAAUCUGGAUGGUUCAGUGCAGAAGAACAAGGCACGACUAGUGGCUAAGGGUUAUUCUCAAAAGCCUAGAGUGGACUUCAACGAGACCUUUACACCUGUGGUAAGACUUGAUAACAUUAGAACUCUAAUUGCAUUGGCAUCUCAAAAGGAAUGGAAGUUGUUUCAAUUAGAUGUUAAGUCUGCAUUCCUAAAUGGUACACUGCAUGAGGAAGUAUAUGUGGAUCAACCACAGGGAUUUGAAGUUCAAGGACAAGAAGACAAGGUUUACAAGUUGAAAAAGGCCUUAUACGGUCUGAAACAAGCUCCCAGAGCUUGGUAUGAUGAGAUAGACAAUUAUUUCAAUCGAUCCGGUUUUAAGAAAAGCCAAAGUGAAGCUACUCUGUAUACAAAGUUCAGUGAUGUAGGUGUGCUUAUUGUAUCUCUAUAUGUAGAUGACAUUAUCUAUACAGGGAAUUCUGAUGAAAUGAUUCAAGAAUUUAAUAAGGAUAUGAUGAAGCAAUAUGAGAUGUCAGAUCUAGGACUAUUACAUCACUUUCUUGGUCUGGGCAUAAUUCAAACCGAUAAGAGUAUAUUUAUUCAUCAGAAGAAAUAUGCCAAGUCACUACUUGAGAAAUUUGGAUUGAAAGAUUGUAAAGCUGUGAAAACCCCACUUGCAAUUGAUGACAAGUUAUCUAAGGAAGAUGGGAGUGAAGAUGCUGAUGAAAGUUUGUACAGGACAAUGGUUGGUAGUCUGUUAUACCUGAUAGCUACUAGACCCGAUCUAAUGUAUGCAUCUUGUUUGCUGGCAAGGUUCAUGAAUAAAACUACCAGAAAACAUGGGGACAGCUAAAAGAGUCUUGAGAUAUGUACAAGGCACAUUGGAUUUUGGGAUUGAAUAUGUGAAAGGAAAAGCUGUUGUGUUGAUAGGCUACUGUGAUAGUGAUUGGGCAAGAAGCUUGGAUGACAUGAAAAGUACCUCAGGCUAUGCAUUUAGUUUAGGUUCAUGAGUGUUUUCUUGGGCUUCUGUUAAACAAUGCAGUGUGGCUUUAUCUAUUGCAGAAGCCGAGUAUGUAAGUGCUGCAGAAGCUACAACACAAGCAAUGUGGUUGAGGUUUGUUUUAUCUGAUUUUGAAGAAGAACAGGUGGAGGCUACACCUUUGCUAUGUGACAAUACUUCUGCCAUAGCCAUGUCUAAGAAUCCAGUGUUUCAUCAUAAAACCAGGCAUAUUAAUCGGAGGUAUCAUUUCAUAAGAGAUGCCAUUCAAGAUGGGACAAUUGAACUACACUAUUGCAGCACAGAAGAGCAAUUGGCAGACAUCUUUACCAAGGCUCUUCCUAAGGAUCGAUUCGAAUACUUGAGAACUGCUCUUGGUGUGAAAUUAGCAAAACAUUUAGAAGGGAGUAUUGGAGUAUAAAUGUAUUUGCUGUGAUAGUUACAUUAUAAGCAAUGUGUAGGAUUUAAUGUGAACCGUUGGAUCAUAUUCCAAUUGGUAUUUAGUUUAGAGUGUAAUGAGUCAUAGCUCAUGACAAGUGUAAGUAUCUUACAUGAUGACUUAGGAAUGAAUGGUUGUGAUUGCUUUGUAAUAGAGUGAGUGAAAUUGUUCUCAUUCCUCUAACUGUCAUAUAAGUUGUAAAAAGUUUUUAUGAAAAAAGAGUUGAGAUGGAAUCGACACAGUACUAAGAAACAUUUCUCUCCUUCUUCUUUGGUGUAUUUUCACUGAGCUUUUAAACUUCCAUUGAAACUAACACAGAAACCAAACUCUAAUAGCAUCAGCCACCCACGUGUCUCCUAAUAACCCAUCUAUACGACCUUAAUAUCACAAGCCGUGUACACAUGCAUAUUUUCAUGCAAAGUAGAUGAGCAGCACAAGCCUCAGCCUUCCACAUCCAAGACAACGGUUGCUGCAACUAAGUACUCAUCAACCUUGCAAUGGUAGCACGACUCCAUGCAGGCGAUGAAUGACAUGAUAAUCUAUAUGGAAUUUGUGAAGUCUUUCGUGCAGGACUUACUAAAGAAUGACUUGAAAGCUUGUUCAUUUGAUAAAUGGAUGAAAUGAAGUCGACCUACCUUAUCGCUUUGGCAACUGCUGAAAGGUAUCUCUUAAAGUAACUAACUCUCAGUUUGUCAUCCAGCAUUUCAUGAAGUGGGGAGGUGUCAUUAUCUUCGUCAUCCAUACCUGUAAUUUAAAAAAGAAAUUAAAAGAAUCAUAAUGUUGACUAAGUACAAACUCCUAUAGUUUUCCAGACCAAUAAUCAAAAGAACUUUAAUUCAAUAUAUUUCACCUCAGUACAUAUUUCAUUUAUAUAAUGGGCAAAUGCAUUAAACCACAACUGAAAUUCUAGAUUCAAUUUUGUUUUCCAAGUAAAGUCUCUCCAAGCAUACCAUUCUCAGUAACAUAUAUUGGGGGAUUAUUGUAUCUCUGCGCUUUGUAAUUCAGAACCUUAUGCAUGCCCCAAGGAACAACAUACAGCCAUUCUGAUGCUGCCCGCCAAGCAAAAUAUUUCAGUAGACUGGACAGUUAGUGGAAUAUGUCUGCAGGAGAGAGUUCAUACCUUCUCACCAAUAGCCUCACCCCCUUCCCAUUCAACUGAUGAUAAAGAGAGAAAAUUAUAUAAAGAUCAAGAGAAAAUUUGUUGUGAAAACCAAUGACAUAGUAGUUACAGUAUUUUACCAAUUUUCUCUAUCCCUUGUGCUUUAUAAAAAUCACCCUUAUCAUGGUUAUCUCUUCCAUGUGCAAUAAAUCUCGAUGCAUAGUGAUUCAGACCAAUAAAGUCUACUGAGUUCUUAAGCAACUCCUUAUCUUUCUCUGAAAAUAUGGGAAGCCGAUCUCCAAGUCUUUCACGCAUAACUUUGGGGUAUUCCCCAUGAUAUAUUGGAUCUAAGUACCUGCGUUUGGAAUCAGCUGAGACGGAUUCUAAACAAUAGUGUAAGAGGAGAAAACCAUUUAAAUUCAUCUAACGAACUGCCUGGCUUGGCAGCAAGCAGAGCUGGAGAAAUUGCUAAAAUCAUCUGCACCCAUUCAAUGAUGCGGCCCAUAUGCUGUUUAUAUGUCUCAGAGUAGGUUUUAUAUCUUAUAAGGAUUCAAAUAGAAUGCAUCUUUCAAUUAAUAUGGUUUCACCAGAAGGCAACAAGACAAUUUGGUUGCAUUUCAAGUAGAUGGGAAUACUCAAUAUAAACAGCACGAUACAUGAAAACUUAUGGAUCUGCUCAAAACUAAGAUACAAACUUUGUAUUUCUAUGUUGUUUUGUCAUUAAUUACAGCCCUACUCUCACCAAUUAAAUAACUACACAAUAACUACACUGAGAUCAGUUACUCCUGCUAAUUUACCAUGAGGUUUUCCAAUGUACUUUGACGGUAUGGAUGCUUUAAUCGUGCACAUUUAGUGUACUUGUGUGAAUAUUGAAUGCACAUUAAAAUUGUUGAGAAUGAGUGUCUGUAUGAGGGCUCAUGUGUGUGUGUGUGUGUGUGUGUGUGUGUGAGAGAGAGAGAGAGAGAGAGAGAGAGAGAGAGAGAGAGAGAGAGAGAGAGAGAGAGAGAGAGAGAGAGAAAGAGAAAGAGAGAGAUCCAUACAUAUUAUCUGAAGUUACAUAGUUAGUUAACAGUAUUUUUUGUGACCAAACAGUUACAUAAUUUAGGGAACAAGUAAUUACCACCCAAGCUGAAAAUCUAGGCGCCUUGCUGCAGCAACUUUAUCUUCAAUUGUGUCUGAAUUAGCCUCUGCCCAUUCACAGUCUACGACCAAGCCAACUUGUCCCCCUUGCUUGUCCUGAAAGACAAUAGUAGCAGCAAGAGUAAGAACAAUAUAUAAUAUUUGGGUAGUGGAGUGGAGAAAGAAGAUAAAAAAGGUCGUACCCAGUGCACAAGGCUCCCGCUUUACGCAGGGUCUGGGAGAGGUGAAUGUCGGCUAGCCUUACCCCCAUUUUAUGGAGAGGCUGCUCCCAAUUCCGUAUGGGCUGCUUUGAGCGACGCAAGUCCUGUAUGUGCCCAUAUUCAGAAAUCUAUAUUAUGUAUCUUUAACCUUGACCGUCUUCCAAUCAAUUUCACAUUCAUUGCACUUUACGUGAAAUCUGAUUUUGAACCCAAAUAUUUAAGCACGGUUUAUUAAGUUUACAUUUUCCCAUAUGAUGUCAGUUCUACUUAAAAACAUAUCCUAAAUUAUAAACGAAUUAUGUGAAAUAUUUCUGGAUAUCAGCUAAAUGAGUUCUUUAGCUGACUACAUGCACUCUCCCAUAUAUGAAAGGAAAAACAAAUAAAGGAAAAAACAAACAGAGAGAACACUAGUGUUAAGAUUUGCUUGUUCACAGAAUCACAAUCUAAUCUUACACAAGAAGGAAGCUAUAAAUUACUGAAAUGCUGACUAAUAUAUUACUUCCCUUGUUGAGUAAAACAUCUUGCCUUUAAUAAAUAAAGUGAUGAAGUCAACGGCAAAUACCAGAAGCUCGGUCAGUGAUAAAAAGAGUAACAAGGAGACAAGCAGACAAAGAAACAAACAGUAAACCUUAUACUUGCUUCGGUAUAUGGAAACAGCAGCAGCAUGUGCCAAUAGUUGGUGGUGUGCAACCCAAAAUGGUUCUGUUGACGUGCAUUCAUGCCUUCCAGGAGCAAAUCUCCCAACACCAUAACCGUUAAUAGCAGUCUGAUAAGGCUCAUUAAAAGUGAUCCAGUCCUUCACUCUAUCGCCAAAGCUUGCAAAGCAGGUGUCUGCAUAGACUGAGAAGUAUUCUCUGCAUUCACAAAAUCUGACUACUCAUAUGAUAGAAUCUCACAGCACUAAAUAACAUAUAGGCUAUGAGGAAAUUGUCUAACAAUGACUUAAACACAUACAAAAAAUUACUAUAUUUGUUUCCUGAAAGUAACGGAAGUUUGUGCUGCAUAUCAUUUUUUUUCCCCUGCCAAUACUGAUGCAUGCAGACAAACUGCUGUAUUGUAGAUGAUUUUAAGAUUGCUAAUAACCUGUAUUCCCUAAUAGAACAUUUAAUAUUAGCCAGAAGACCCUUAAUGCUCUUGCUACCCAGAGUUUCUGUUCCUCUUCUAUAGAACUACCUUCUCUAUUGAAUUAGUCAUUCUUUCUAAUGGGUGCUCUAUUAAUCUUUGUUGGGUCUAGUAACCACCAUAGCCCAUGUCUCCUUUUUUAUCUUCUACAGGUGCCACUUAACCUUCUCAUAUACGAGUUAGUUACUCUAAGCCACAUUAUCUCAAUCUCUCUACCAAUGAUGGAGCGCAGAUGGCACAAAUUCUUCUCUUUUGGAGUUCUUUUGACUCACAAUAUUGUCGCCACCUCCACACCUGUAUUUCUUCUUUUGUUGUAAUUGUAUUCUACGUAUUCAGUUUUAUAUCUACUUAUCUUAAGUAUAUUGCUUCUGAAGUUUCUCUCCGUAACUCUUUUUUAUAGCAUUCUUGCAUCUUUAGUCUAUUAAAUCAAAAGAAUAUGCCAAUAGUCUGACCAUAUAUAAAGCUCAUCCUGAAUAUCAGUUUGUCCAUAAAGAAAGGGCCUCUGUGUUGAUCCCUGAUAUAAGUCUACACUAAAAAAAAACUUGCUUUUCUCUCAUGAAAUUCUUCACAGAAUAGUUGUACAAAAAGCAAUUCGGGGUUGUCCAAGAGAAUGAACAAUGUACGGUUGGUCAAAUAAAAGCAACACAUAUACCGAUAGGCGGAAAUAUAUUUUAGCUCACGUGCCUUGAGUUAAAAUACAUCCAAAAGGAAGAAAAGGGAUGAACUUGCAACUUGGGUUCUUGCGGAUCAAUUCACAAAAUUUUAAGCAGUUCUAAAAGCAUUUGAAGUGCUUCUUGCAAGAAGCAUUUUUAAGUGUUUUUCCAGGAUUUACUUGCAUUUUUACUAAAGAUGAGGUUCAAGAACAUUUUCACCAAAAGAACUUUCAACAUUUUUAAAAGCACUUCCAAAUAAUUCCAUAAUUGUUGGAGCUUCUAGAAUAAUUCAGAGUUUGUCUGAUUUUAUUUAAAAUGCUGGAGCUUCUAGAUGUUUUAACACUGUUUUGCUAGGCUUUCUUUCGUUUUCCUAGGGCAUAUGGUCUUGUUUUUAUCAGUCAAUAUAAUUAGACUUUUAGAAUUCCUAUAAGUCUUUAAUGUGAGUCAUUAAUUACUAGCCUUCCGGUGCUUGUGUAGCUCUAUAUAAGGGAAGCAGAUUGUCUGCCUCUUGUUUGGGUGUCCUCCUCAUCCCCUUUUAUAUUCUUAUUGCUUUUUGUCUUAUUAUCUCUAUAAAAAAAAUUAAUAUAAAAUAUUGACGUAGCUUAACCGUGACCGCACAAAAUAUGAAAGGAUAGGAAGGACACUCAAACAGGAGGGCAGACAAUCUGCCUCCCUAUAUAAGACCCAUUUUGUACUUAUACAAUUAGUCCAUGAAGAAUAUUGUGUUUGCUUCAACAUAAGUUAUGCCCACAUUCCCACAAUUCAACCUCACCAAACACUAACUUUAGCCUGUUGUUGUGGACCUAAACAACCACAUAAGACCCAAUCCGAAACGUGCAGCAUUCUUUGAGGAAUCAAGCAUCUUACAGUGGUUGUUUGUUACCUUGCCGGUGAAUCUUUUUUGUAUUUCUGGAAUUGUGUGUUAACAUUUGUGAGAUAUUUAAUUUUCUUCCUAAUUGUUAUUUUAAUUCCUAUCUCAGCUUCAUCAUUUGCAUCCUAUAGUGCCUUGUACAUAUGAAUUAAGAGUUAGGUAGUCCUAUAUUAUAAUUUAAUGUUAGAAUAAUUCCUAACUCUUGCUAUAGAGUCUAGUGUUUGUCUAACAGAAAUGAUUGCAGUUGUUCGUGGAAAGGCGUCAUGCGAUGUUAACGUAUCUGUCUAAAAUUCACAAUGGAAGGAUCUUACAGCACUCUGCAAUUCGUUGGCACAUGGACAUAAACUUUUCUCUAUUCCUUGCUUUCAAUUUCAAGAGAAGAGUUGGAAUGAAUUGAGUAGAUAUCUUCACUUGUGCAAUAAUAAAACAAAAUUGAUAUUUAAAUGAUGAUAUAGAACUUACACAAUUUGCUUAUUCAGCCACCCUCCCAUAUUCUCAUGAAGGUACAAGGGUAGAUCCCAAUGGUACAGUGUUACGUCAAUGAAGAAGGGAUACGUCAAGAGAAUGAAACAUGGACAUACGCUUCAAGAACUUUUUCAAGAACUUUUUCAAGUCCUUGUCUGAAUUCUGCUUGGGGAUAUCCACUUAAAACAUGUCAUAUUGUAAUCUCCACAUGUUUUCAAAACCUUAGAUAGCUAAGGACACUUCUGCCACAACUAUCUUAAGUUUUCCUAAGGAGCCAAUUAUAAAUAUUUUCGUCUAAACAUCACCAAAACAUUGUCCAUUCAUAUUUGCCGAACUUGUGAAAGAUCCAUUCAAUCUUGAAGUUAUUAUUGACCAUUAAUCUUGAAGAUUUGAUCAAUAACAUUUCAACUUAGCUCAAGCAUCUAUGCCGUUCAAAUCACCUUCACUACCAUAUUUUAAUGCAGAGAUCACUUCCCAGAGGUAGGAUGUCAAGAAGAGUCAAAUGCGAAGGUAAAUGCUAAAAAGGAAAUGAAGGUGAGAAAGUAAUUUUAAAACAUAAAACCAGAGGACAGUGAAUUGAUAAUAUCCUGCGUUUUAGCACUAGAAAGAACUCUAUAGAUGGCAAAAGGUAGCAUACCAGGGAAGAUUCGAGACCAUGAUAUGGAAAAACGAUGAGCUUCAAAUCCCAACUUGGCAAUGAGUUCAACAUCUUCCUGUUAGCAUUAAAUAGAUUGUGAGUUGUGUUAAAUGACUCAGAUGAAUUGAAAUUUCAGACUUGCAUAACUAUCUGAACAGAAUGAAGAACGGCAAGUGUAAGAAUUUUAUCAUGUUCUUUUAAACCAUUACGAAAAGAAAACGCUACUAACAGAUGGGGCCAGAACUGACCACAUUCUUCCCCUUCCUAAACCAUCAACAUAAAUAGGGGGAAAUGACAUUGAAAACUAGUAGAGACAUCACAAAUACCAGCAGUUUUGGGAAGAUAGCACUGGCAUAAUGCCAAAGACCAAAAGGAUUGAUUCGGUUAUGACCAACUUUCUACUAACCUUAUACCGAUGAUAUUGAUCAACUGCAACAUCCCCAUUGCUUCCAUCAAUGAUAUUCCCUAAUGAACCAAGACACACAUAAUAAGUUCCGUAAGUUGCUAACUAAAAAAAUAGUAUCAGAUUGGACAAAAUCAAGAGAAAUUCAGGUCCUAGAAAAUAUUAUCACAAGCUCAAUGAAGAAAAGGUACCUUUUGAAUGUGAAAAGGCAUCCCAAAUGCUGGGACCCCUACCACCGUCCUUGCAGGCUCCCUCUACCUACAGAUAAACAAGAAGCCCCUAAACCAAAAUUCAUAGACUCUGAGUUUUGGAAUUCAAGACAGUGCAUUGGACAACUCAAAAGUAGAAAAUGGGAUUUGUUAUUUUGCAAAAAUAUGAUUGAAGACAGGAUACUCACAGUUACAAACACUACAUUAUCUUAGUGGUCGCUUGUUUUUUAACCAUGGAACAAUCAUGUACAUAUUUUAUUUUGAAACAUACAUGUACAGAUACUUAAACAAACAAACAAACAAUAAAUAAAAUUGCUGAGUAACAUGCAAUGCAACAAAAACUGGGAUUGUGAUUGGCUAAAAUUUCAUUUACGAAGUAGAAACGUAAAUUAAGGGCGCGUUUACUAAUCCAUAAUCAAAUUGAGAGGAUUGAGUUGAGGAGGAAUUGGAUUGAGGAGGAAUUGAAAUGAGGUGGAAUCAGAAUCAGAUUCCUGUUGAAGUUGUUUACUAAAAUUGUCUGGAAUCGGAGUAGGAAUGAUGUUGAGUCCAUAUAAGUUGUUUACUAAUUCACUUCAAUCGGAAUGAAAACUAGGUUAGUUACUAUAUUGCCCUUACAUAAAUAAAUUAUUUUCAUACUAAUUAAUUAAAUUAAAUUCUUAAUUAAAUUUAUAUAAUAAAAUUCAUCUAUAUAAACAUUUAUAAAUAGAUUUUAUUUAUUUAUUAAAGAUGGCAUGAAUGAUGUUAAGUCCAUAUAAGUUGUUUACUAAUUCAUUUCAAUCGAAAUGGAAACUAGAUUAAUUACUAAAAUGCCCUUACAUAAAUAAAUUAUUUUGACACUAAUUAAUUUAAUUAAAUUUAUAUAAUAGAAUUAUCUAUAUAAAAAUAUAUAAAUAGGUUUUAUUUAUUUAUUAAAAGAUGGCAUAAUGAGUAGGGGUGGGUUCAAAAAACCGAAAACCGAAAAAACCGAAAACCAAACCGAACCGAAACCGAAAAAACCGAACCGAACAAAAAAACCGAACCGAAUUGAAAAAACCGAACCGAACCGAAUUCUUUUGGUUCGGUUCGGUUUUAGUGAUCUAGAAACCGAACCAAACCGAACCGAACCGAAUUAAUUAAAUUAAUUUUUUUAUUUAAUUAUUUGUUUUGGAUAUUAUUUUCUAAACCCAAUUUGUAAGUUAAAAUAUGCUAAACCCAAUGUGUUGCCAAACUUUAAGCUCAAAAUAUUAAAAAAAAAUCCUAUAAAAACUUUAAACCCUAACCUAUUAUUUAUCCCCCAUAUAAGGUUCCGGAGCCAAACCUCAUCCUGAAGUACCUACAUCCAUCUCCAUAGCACUGUCUACUUUUGUCUCAGCUUUCUUUUCCAAAUCUACUCUCAUAUAACAUGUAACAGAAUCUAUAAACAUUUAUUUCGGGUAGAUUACUUAGGGAAUUUGUGAUGGAAAAGAAUCCAACACACACUAAAUAAAUCCACCCACGCAUUUCUUUUACUAAUCAAGUUGUCAACAUGCAGUUACAAGCAAACAACCCUGAUCUUUGAACAACAUCAUACAAUUUAACUUUUCUAAGUCAUUUGUACGAUUUUUGUGUUGUGAUGUUGUUAGUUUGGACUUUGGAAGACUUGAUUGAUGAUUUUAGUUCAACUUUAAAUGUUUAUUUUCAUUGUCUUUGAUUAUAGUUAGAAUGCUUGUGUUAUGAUUGUGUUGGAUACGUUAAAAUUUAAAAUUUCAAUGUUUUUCAUUUUUUGAAAGAAAAAAAAAACAAAAAACCGAAACCGAACCGAAACCGAACCGAAAAAAAACGAACCGAAAAAAAACCGAACCGAAAAAAACCGAAAAAAAAAUGAACCGAACCGAACCGAACCGAAAUUUCGGUUUGGUUUCGGUUUUGGCAAAAAACCGAACCGAAUUAAACCGAACCCACCCCUAAUAAUGAGUGUCAAAUGAAUGGCAAUAUUUAGAUAAUAAGAAACAUGUGAGUGCAUAAUAGGAAUAAAAGAUGCAUUCCCGAUUCCUUACCCUCAGGGAAUUCAAAUACCUCACAAAACUAGGGAAUCCGUUCCUCCAAUUUCAGGAAUUUGAUUCCUUGUUUUGUGUGGGCUCUAUCAUUUUUUUAUUCCUUAAUAUUUAAUAAAUACCGGAAUACUUUGUAAUCGGAAUUCAGUUUCGUUUCUUUAUUCCGAUUAGCCUUACGUAAAUGUGUCAUAAAACUAUUCAAUGAAAGAUUGCUGGAAACCACACCCAAUCGAAUGCAUCAGAAGCAAAAUAACUCCACUGUAUGACAAACUGACCAAAAUAAUAAAAUAAAGAAAAACGGAAUUCAUAAUCAAAUUGAAUUAAUUCCAGCAACUAGAUUUUGGUCUGGUGUUUCUGCUGCAUUAUUGGAAGAGGUCCCCAAUUUGGAUCCCUUCACCAGUUGAUGAAAUAAAUAAAUAAAAAUAAAUCAAUUUAAAAAGGAAAAAAAAAAGAAAAACAGCCACUAACUUGAUACGCGGAAGUGCCAACGCCAAAAACGAAGUUGGGAGGAAAGUCACUGCGACCAAGGAUUAAAAUAUUGAUAAUAUCGGUGAAAUAUCGCAGAUAUUAUCGUUUUUCAGAUAGAUCGAUAUUUUCCCACGUAUCCUCUAAUUAUCGUCAAAAUAUCACGAUAUUAUCAAUAAUAUCGAUAAUAUCGCGAUAUAUUCGAUAUUAUCGAAAAAAUCGUCGUGGCUCCGUCGUCGGAAAGGCAGCCGAGGCUGCGUCGUCGCAGCUGCCCAGAUCUCUCUCUGCAAUCCAAGCUCAGACCCAAGAUCUGCGCCUCCGUCGUCGGAAAUGAAAAAUCCAUUUUCUCCGGAUCCCAAAACCCGCUCGGGUUUGAAUCAAACCGUUUGAUGGAUCCCCUUGCCUGAUGGUGGUCGCCGGGAGGUGAGAAAGGGAGGAGGAACAACGACAUGGGUUUUGAUAGACUCACCCACUACACUCGAUCCUCCUGAGCCCAGCGUCAUAGAUGAUGAUCAGUUGGGUGGGUGGGUGGGGGUGGUUUCUCAGGUGGGGGUGCCAAGAUCUAGGGGAAGGGAGAGAUAACGGAGGAGGGGAGAGGGGGUCGAACAGGCGGAGAGUGAGCACUCGAUCCUCCUGAGCUCAGCGUCAUAGAUGAUGAUCAGUUGGGUGGAUGGGUGGGGGUGGUUUCUCAGGUGGGGGUGCCGAGAUCUAGCGGAAGGGAGGGAUAACGGAGGAGGGCGGAGGGGGUCAGACAGGCGGAGAGUGAGGAAUUUGAGAGAAUAUGGAUGGAGAGAGAGAGAGGGAGAGGCGACUAAAAGGCAAAGUGGGAAUAAAAAGGGAAAGAGUCUGAGGGCAAUAGGGAUUUUGAUAGGUUAUGAAGAAAGAUGAUGGGUUGGGAUUUUUUGCAUUUUUGGGAAUUAAGUGGGACUCUUUCUUUGCAAUUUUCUUAAUGCCCAUUUUGCAUUUUGAAAAUAAAAUAAAAUAAAAUAUUGUUUUCGAUCACAAUUUUACAUAAUUUAAGAGCAUCUUCAAUAUAAAUUUUAAAUAAAACCCCCACAAACAUAUAAUUCUUAAAUAAAAAAAAUAAAGGGUAAUAAGUCACUCAUGUAUCUUACCUUGCAAUGUAUAAAGUGUAAAAUAUUGUACUAAUUCAUUAUAUAUAAAUGAUUAUGGUGUGUUUAGACUUCUUUUAUUAAUUACUACAUAUUUUCUACACUCACAAUGUUUGUCAGCUCGUUAUAUAAUCAACUUGAUAAUGUUAAAUCCAUCAUGCAAUGCAUUUCCUUCCAAUUUUUUGUGAUAAACUAAUAGAUAAUUGACUAAAUAAACAUCCUGCAAAGUUUCAAUAAAAAUUUCCAAGUUUUUCUUACAAUUUUCGUGGUUUCCAUGUAAUUUUUAUCGAUAUCGAUAUUAUCCCGAUAUUUCCAUCGAUAUUUCCGUGUUUUCGGACUACCGAUAUUUCCGAUAUUACCGAUAUUUUCUUCCUUGACUGCGACAGACUUCAUGAGUUUCUUCAUCAUAUUCCUUCAUAUUCCUUCAACAAGCCCUUCUUUGCCAUUCCUACUCCUACUUAGAGCAGCCAAGAAAGUAAGGAAAAUACUUGAUUUAGGGUUUAUGCAUAUCGGAACCAAAGGACUGCGUUGGACCUGGACUAUGGUUACUGCAAAAAUUUAUUUUUAAACAAAGACCUACACAUCCAGAAACCAAAUAGUAGGUGAGUCGCCAGAAAGAGAAUAUAAAAUGGGGAAAGCGUCACCGCCAGUCAUUGUAGCCUUUCUAAAAAGACGAUACCUGCCCACCCACUCACACAAUUUAACAUAGUUAAAUCCUUUGUUUCCAGCAAUCUUUCAUUGAAUGGUUGGAUCCUUUGCUUACAUCACUUUUCUGUCCACCCAUUAUCUAGUGUUCACCCACUCACGCUUAAUUGAGGAUUCCAUUUCUUUCUCCAUAAAGGCAGAAGGAGGAAAGAACGCGGGAGGAACAACACUACGCCGGAAAACAACACAGCAGCAACAAGAAAUAUCUCUCCUUCUCAGACCACUCCCCACCAUCCUUUUCUUGUACCUUAUGUACAGUCUCUAGGUCAUCUUCAUUGUAUUUUAUAAAUCUCCCGUGCAUAGUGAAAUCCAAAUGCAUAUGCAACUCUAGUGGACGUAGCCGAAUUGAUGAGCCACUUAAAUUCGGUAUGUCAUUGUGUUUUACUAGAUUUAUUCUACUCUCUGCCUCUAUCCUCUCCCAGCAAGAACUAUGAAAAUACACCACCAAUCAACCAAAAAAAUAGCUACGCAUGUGCAAGUAGAUUAGACAUGAAUCACAAAGCAAAGGGGGAAGAAAGUAUUUGAAAGCAAAAGAACCAACACAAACAUAUCUAAUUCCUUCCAAUGGAUUCUUCUUGUCUUCCCGUUGCUUAUCAAGCUCAUCAUGGCCAACCUAAUUCCUUACAUAUUUAUUCAUCAACUUAAUCUCAUCUCUCACAUAUCAAGUUUCUACAAAACAAAACCACAAACUCACGUAUCGUCAUAAAAUGCCAAACUACAUAUUCAACACCACCAAAAGCUGCAUUGUCAGCAAGAAGCUCGCAGUGUCGGGACGCCAACCUGCAACGACAACGUUGCCUGUGGCCAGUCAACCUGUCACAUCCAGUCCGCAUAGUAAGAUAUUAUCCAUUUUGGGCCACAUCCUGAUUUGUUCUUGGACUUCCACGCAAAACGCAUCUCACUAUAGGGAGGUGGGCAUGUAUGUUAAGGCACAUUAUCCCCUCUACCCCGGGCGAUGUAGGAUCUUACAAUCCACCCCCCUCAGGGGCCCGACGUCUUUGUCGGCACACUUCCGGCCAGGGACUACCAAAUUGUCACAUCCCAGUCCGCAUAGUAAGAUAUUGUCCGCUUUAGGCCACACGCUCAUGGAUUUGUUCUUGGGCUUCCGCCCAAAACACGUCUCACUAUAGGGAGGUGGACAUGUACAUAUAAGGCACAUUACCCUCUCUCCUCCGUGCGAUGUGGGAUCUUACACAACCUCAUCCCAAUGAGAGACAUGGCGGACGUUGACGAUGUUGAGGUUAAGACUUGUACAACCGAGCAAGCUAUAUUCCAACAGAAUUGCUCUACGGAACCCAAAUGGGGUUAUGCAUCAAUAUCGCCUAAACGAAGAUGGAGUACAAUGGUAAAGUAAUAUUUCUCAAUUAUAUUGUUGUGUGUUAUCAAAUACGUUAUUAUUGAUAAUAUAAUACCAUUUUUGCUACUAACUAUUUUGAUUAGUUUUGCAGAUUGUUUGAUUAUUAUAGAGCAUGCGAUUAGUGAUCAUAUCCAUAUUACUUUGCAUAUUCAUAAGCAUGCAAAGCAAGAAAAAAAAAGUUGUGUUGUGUCAAGUACUCACUUGUGUAAAGUGUUUGAGUGGUGAAGAUAUUCAAGGGAUGGCAUUGAAUAUAAAAUAAUAAAAUAUUGUAUAUGUUAGGGGUCGGGGAAAGGAUUUGAAUAUACAAUUGGGCGUCAGUGGAAGUGCAUAUAUAGUAAAAUGGAAAAACUGAGAAUUUAAUUAUGAAAAUUGGGCUUAAGGGAUGAACGGGAGUUAACUCAUAUUCUAAUGUAUUUGGAGCCAAGUGGUAUAAGCAUGAUAUGGGACGUGCAUGCUUGGGUGCUUUAGAUAUGUGUUAGUGGGAUUAGAUGGAAGUGAGUACAUUAAUCCAUCUCAUUUGCAUUAUUUCAUGCAUUUGAAAGAAUUGUUAUAAUUUAAUUAUUAUUUUGUUAGUAGUUUUGGUUGUAAAGUAACUUGUGCACUAAUUUUAUUCCAUUGCAUAUUCAAUAAAUUUUAUGUAGUAAACUCAAUAUUUUUAUCUUGUAAAUAUUAUUACUCAGUAUUAUACAAUGUAUUGUGUAAUUGUUACAGAUUACUUUAUUUUAUUUUCCACCAUAUCUUGGUUGUAUAAUUUAUUUCUAUAGCUAAUAGAUAUGACUCACAUCCUAAAUCCUUGCCAGCAUUUACUUCUAACUCUAACAUUACAAAUUACAGGUCCUAAACCAGCUCCCUCCCUUCAUAUUUGUAAACGCCAAAUUAGUGAACCUGUGUAAUAAGUUAUAAAAAUAAGUGAACCAGUACCUAUUCUAUCAUUAGUGAACGUAUAUCCCUAUAAUUAGUCAACCUGUGGGCUAGAGCUGUAUCCCCAAUUAAGGUAAUUGGAUAUGCGGUUUUAAAUGGUUUUGAUUGUGAAAGUGCGUUUUUUUUUUUUUUUUAUGAUUUACUUUUCUGCUUUAGUUGGUGAACCUAAGCACAUGAAACUUCCUUGUUAGUGAACCUAUCAUCGUCAAUGGCCCUGUCAGCGUGGUCUACUAAGUAACACUUUUAUGCAUUGUUUAUUCCUUACUCUAAGCUUGAUGCAAGUUAGGUUAGACCAUUGUCGACAUUUUGCCGUGUUAUAUUGAGGAUGAGGAAUCAAAUCAGAAUAUUUCAUAAAGAUGUGCAUGACGUCAUUUUUGGAGUUAUUUAAACCAUAUUACAAAGGGAUGUCAUCGAAAUACCAUAAGAGAUCAAGUUUACUCAACAGUCAACACUUGAUCUUGAUGAACAGACCCAUUUUCGCUAGUCCCCCAAUAAGAGUACCAAAGGAACACAAAUUAGGAGAGUGAAACAUGCUAACCAAAGCAAACCAAAACUUUCAUAUAUGAUACCUCUAAUCAAGUCCCCAAGCACACUAACAACAAAGUCUAAAUAUACUAAUACAAUCACGAUGCAUACAAUGUCUCAAUAGCUUAUAAACAGUGAAAGUCAAAUGGGGUAAACAAAGAGACAAAGUACUCAAAAUCAAGAGCAUUAAGAUCGUGUAACCGUGCAUAAAUUUAAAACAACAAUUUAGAUUUCUAAAUGGGCUUAAAUGUCAACAUAGUCCCUAUGUUUUACUUUAUUGGCCAAUUUAGACCCUGUGUUUUCAAUUCAACCAAAUUGGUCCCUAUGUUUAUAUAUGUUAGCCAAUUCAAGGUAAUCCGUUAAAAGACUGUUAAAAUUGACAUGUGCCAGACACAUGAGAGGACAAAAAUAUAAUUUUAUUGUACACCCACUAAACAGAUACAAUGCAUAUCUUUAAGAAUUGAUGCUUCGUUCGUUCAGUUCACUUGAUUACUAUGUGAUUUAGGGUUUCAACAUCCGUCAGGUCAGAAGUUGUGGGGUUGCCAACUGAGAUUUUGGUGAAUACUCCAGAGAAGAUGACAAGUCGACGAAUUGAACCAAACAACCAAGGUGACGAUCGCGGCUUUCAAUAUUGUUGAGACAAGGCCAAGUACAACCCCAACUUCUUUGCAAGCUAGGUUUCCAUUGCCUCAAGUAGUCCCAGGCUCUAGUAUAUACAUGCCUAGAAUAUCCAGGCUAAGCAUACAAACUAUGCCUUCAACUUCAAGUACGUAUGGAACUUCACAUUCAUGGAAACCACCUGGCAAAGCUGUUCAUACAACGAACGCAACUACAAGUUCGAAGAAAAAUAAUAUUUGAUUAUAGUUUGAGUUGUUUUAGUUUUUCUUUGGCAGUAGGGAUUCUGUUAAGUUUUAUCUAUGUGACGAAAAAAGACCAUGUAGUACUUGUUUUUGGUGGAGUUCAAAGCAACUUCAUUUUAUAUUGUUUGGAAUUAAAGCAUGGGUUUUAUUUUUUACGUUUACAAAAGCAUGAAAUUAGUUUUCUUUGUGAUCAUGCUAGAGUUCACUUUGAAGUUGCUUUUUGUUUUCGUUUGUGCAUAUAGGAAUAUACUUGUGAUCAAGUUUAUGUGUAGAUUUAAUUGGAACAAAUGUAGUCUCAUUUAUACUGAAAGCAAACAAUAGUCAACAAUAAUCUCAUAUUUAAAAUUUAAAUGAAUGAUUUUCUCUAUUUAUGUACUUGUGACCAAGUUUAGUGGUUGUAUAAUAAAAUUACAUUUUUGUCCUCUCAUGUGCCAAGCACAUGUCAAUUUUAACUUUCUUUUAACUAAUUGUCUUGAAUUGGCUAACGGAUAUAAACACAGGGACCAAUUUGGCCAAAUUGAAAACACAAAGACUAAAUUGGCCGAUAGAGUAAAACACAAGGACCAUGUUGACAUUUAAGCCUUCUAAAUAUAGCCUAAGGGUAUAUACUCGGAAAAAAAAAUACAAAACACAUCUUUAAAAUUAGGCUAACACUGUCACUAGUACUGCACUUGUAUGAAGGUUUUGGAUUCGAUUCUCACUAAAAGCAAAUUUAAACCACAUUAUUGCUAGCCUAUUGUGAGACUUAUCCCACUCUUCACCCUUUAGUAUAGAUAAUAUCGUUUGCUCAAAAAAAAAAAAGGCUAACACAUUAUCAUAAAAGUAAGAAAGCCAAUAGACCUGGAUUGAUAUGCAUAAACUUCAUGAUAAAUCUAAUAAUUGAUGACAAAUUAAAUUGGAUCUAUAUCUAAUUAUCUCGUGGUUAGGCGUGGAUUUAAGAUGGACCUUAUUUGAAGUAUAAUAGUGGUAAUUAAGAAUGCUUGAUCGUUCAAUUAACUAGCUAAGACGACAUAAUGCAACAUAGGGCACCAAUUUGCAGUGUAUAUAUAAAUUGUUCUAGUUGUUAUAUACAUACCAGCAGUACGUUAAAAAAAAAGGAUCCAAAGGACUAAUUAAAAUCGAAUUAUAUAUAUACUAAUUAAUUGAUUCAUUAGAUCUUAGACUUCAAGAAGCAGAGUUACAUAGAAAUCAAAGGGGAUUAGAAGUUGUCUAGGAAUCGCCUCGAUGAAAUAAUUGUGAAUGUGAUGAUGUGAGUCAACUCAAGCUCAAGAUAGCCUAGGCGGUAUAUGAAUGGGUGAUGCAUGGUUGACAUGAGGCAUUUCGUGUCAAUAGUACAAGGGCAAGUUGGGGUGGGGUCGGGAGGAACAAAGUGUUCGGCCGCACAGAACUCUAAAGUUUAAGAAAAGCUUUUGUUAUCUAAUAUAAAUUGCAACAUUAUAUUUGAAUAUGACUGAAGAAUAAAAUUACAUAGUUAAACACGAAAAAAAUAAAAGAGAAAUUCAAGACCUACACUUACCCCUUUAACAACUUUCCCAUUUUUCGGAAAAAAAAAAAGAAAAAAACUUUUCCACUUUUUUUUUUAUUUUUUUAACAAUUUAAUAAUACUUUAGUGGGCCUUACAAUUAUAAUUUAAUUGAUAAUUUUGCACCAAAAAAUGUACGGAUAUUCAUCUUUAAGUGAAACUUUAAUGUUGUACUUUUUGCAGGUUUUGUUUAUUUGGUCUUUUAAGAUUGAACUGAUUGUUGAUUAUUUAGUAAUGAUUAUUUUUGUAGCUUUCUUUACUUAUUAUGUAAUGAAAUUUGGAAACUCAUAAUUAGCAUGAGUUUUAAAGUUUGUUUGAGUUUUAAUUAUUGCUCUAUGGUAUCAAUAUAAUAAAUAUAUUUUCUGUCAAUAUACUGUAUCCCCACUUUGCGUCUAAGAAAACCUGCGGGUGGUGUGCCCAACGAAGCAGACCUUUUCUGUUUAAUGGAAGUAAUUUUAAUCUUUUGUGUGCUAGCGUUAAGGUAGACCUUUUCUAUUUAAUGGAAACCAAAAUAGAUGCAGAGAAAGUCCAGGUAAACUUUUAUGGAAGGUUUUUUUUUAUAAGAUGUUUAGUUGUAGCCCUACUGGUAGGGCUGGUGGUCUUUGUUUAGUUUGGAACUCGUGCAAAGUUGUAGUUGCUGUUAUCACUUCUACUUCUCGUUAUUUGCAUUGUUUAGUGAAUGAUCCUUGUUCUAAUCAAGAUCAGUUUUUGUACUUUUGUGUAUGCUUUUCCUAAAAAACAGUUACAAUUGGAAUUGUGGAAGGAUAUUCUUAAACUAGACCCUAAGAAUAAACCAUGGUGUUUAAUGGGGGAUUUCAAUAAUAUAUUAGACAUAACUGAGAAGAAAGGUGGUUGCCAAGCUACAACUUCAUAUAUGACCAGGUUCAUCAAUUUUUCAAACAGAGGAAACCUUUUAUCUCUAAAUGCUUAUGGUGUCCCUUUUACUUGGUGUAAUAACCAAGUUGAUAUCAACAGAAUUUAUGAGAGACUUGAUAGGCUUUAGCUAAUACCAGUGGUGGAUCCAGGAAUCUUACCCCAAGGGGUCGCAGUGUAAAAGUUCAAAUAAAAAUUUAGGAUGGAAAAACAUAUUGAAAAUGAAAUCAUAGUACUUUCAUUCAUAAUUCAUAAUGGAAACAAUAUUACAAACUAUAAUUGUCCACGACGAGGUUUCAUAUUUUGAAAACGAAGCAUUAUAGCUUCAUUUUCAAUACAAGCAAAAAUAUCUCUCUCAAUAUAAACAAGCAAGCUAUCACUCAACCAUUGAUCUCCCAUUUUGUUCCUAAGUGGACCCUUAACAAUAUUCAUAACAGAAAAUGCUCUCUCCACUGAAGCAGUUGCAACUGGUAAAACUAAAGACAAUGAAAUGAGCAAAUAUACAUAAUUGAAUACUUGAUGCAUUCUUGUCUCCACCAUUUUUUUUUGCAAGAUCACCAAUCCCUUCCAAUUGAGAGAAAUCACUACUGGAACACACAUAAUGAAUAUAAAUCUCAAGUUGAUCUUCAAGUGCCAAACGAUCUUCAUCCGAAAAGUCUUGAGGAUAAAAUUGAGCAAGACGAAGUAACUUUGGUUUAUCAAAAGCUACAAAUGAAUCUUUCGGACUCAAACAUGCCAUACAAAUAAGCAACUCGGUAUUUACCUCAUUAAAGCGAUCCUCUAACUCCGUAAUUUGCUCAUCAAUGACAUAAAUAAAGAGCUCCACACGAUAAUGAUGACGAUUUGUCUUUAUUGGAGCAUAACGCCUUGACCUCCCUGGAAGUAUAAAUGCAUCUUCCAUGUUAGGAACAUCAAUAUGAUGUUUUUCACAAAAAGAAGAUACUUCAUCAACCAAUGCAUCGAACCCAUUAUUCCUCAUCCAAUAUAGCUUUUCCUUGCAUGAUUUCACUAAAGCCAUUGCAUUCACAAUUUCUUGAUCUUUCCUUUGCAAUGCUUAUGACAAAUCAUUUGUGAGUCCCAAUAUGACUUUCAUCAAGAAAAGGUGAAACACAAACUCAAAAGUAAGUAUCACUCUCAUUAACGUAUUUGCUUCACCCGCACUUUCAUUGGGAUUAUCAUCAAUAACCAUUUGAAGCACAUGAACCACGGAUGAAAACAUAGAAAUGAUGCUAAUCAAGGUACCAUAGUGUGAGUUCCAUCGUGUGUCACCGGCACGUUUGAGACUUGUUUCUUGAUUUAAGCCUCGCCCCGUUAUAAGACAAUCAUUUUCAAAAGCUAUCACAAGCUCUUCUUGAAGUUGCCCUCUAAGUGAAUCACGCCGCUUACAAGAUACUCCAACAUGAUUAACCACAUUAUUAGCCGUUGCAAAAAAAGAGGCAAUGUCUAUAUUAUUCUUUGCUACGGCAACAAGAGCUAGUUGAAGUUGAUGAGCAAAGCAAUGAACAUAAUAUGCACAAGGUUGUUCUCUCAAUAUCUUUGUUUUAAGGCCAUUCAACUCACCUCUCAUAUUGCUAGCACCAUCAUAACCUUGUCCUCGUAGCUUGGAAAUGCUCAAACCGUAGCGAGAAAACAAUGUGUCAAUAGCAUCCUUUAGUGAACUUGAAGUAGUGUCGGUAACAUGUUGGAUACCCACAAAUCUUUCAAUUACAUGCCCGUUGUCAUCCACAUAACGCAACACCAUAGCCAUUUGCUCUUUCACAGACACAUCACGUGCUUCAUCCACCAAUAUUGAAAAGAAUCUAUCUUUUAGACCAUCCAUGAUAGCAUCAAGUGUUUCAAGGGCACAUGAAUUCACAAUUUCUUUUUGAAUGGAAGGAGCUAGUAAUUUGAGAUUCCCCGGAGCAUUUUCCAUCACAACUUCUCUAACUUUAUCAUUAUUAUAUGCAAGAAAUUGCAAUAACUCCAAGUAAUUUCCCCUAUUGCUUGAAGUGGCACUUUCAUCAUGGCCACGAAAAGGAAGACCUUGUCGCAAUAAAAACUUAGUGCACUUGAUUGAAGCAAUCAAGCAUGUGCGAUAAGCCUUACGAGCUUGGUCAGAGUGUUUGCUCACUGCCGUUUCAAUAUGUGUAGCUUGAUUCAUCAAAUUUGUAGCAGCUUCUCUAGCCUUAUUAUGAACACUCCCAACCGGUCCAACAUGCAUCUUAAAUCUUUCUCUCCCUUUCUUCCAAUUCUUAAAUCCAUCUCCAGUGAAAGCUUCACUACCCACUUGUUCAAAAUUGGUUUUAAAGAGAUAGCAAUAGAGACAAAAUGCCGCAUCUUUAGAUACACUAUACUCCAACCAAUCAAACUCAUCAAACCAUUGGGGAAUGAAGCGUCGAUUAAUUCCCGACAUAUUAGUUAUUGGGAAAUUAUGACCUCUAGGUUGACAAGGUCCUUUUUGUAGAUAUAAUCUUCAGACUUUAUCUCUCAUAUUAGCGUCAUAAUCUAUUAUUCGAGUUCUUAAUCCAGGAUCCGCUUGAAGAUUACCCAAAACAUCAUCUAACUGACUUUGUCUUGAACUUGGAGUUCUUGAACUACCGACAGUAUUUGAACUAUCAACAUUAUUCGAACUACCCGAACCCGAUGAUGACUUUCUCUUAAAAAACCGUUCCAUAAUAAUGCUACAUAUACAAAAUAUUCAAAAUAAAUACUCACAAUAUAAACAAACCAUAAAUAUAAUCAAAAUAAAUAUGAAUUGGAUUUCAAUUAAAUUAAAUAUCUCAUCUUGCAUUCUACAUAUACAAAAUAAUGAAAAUAAAAACUCACAAUAUAAACAAACCAUCAAUAUAAUCAAAAUAAAUAUGAAUUGAAUUUCAAUUAAAUUAAAUAUAUUCUACAUAUACAAAAUAUUCAAAAUAAAUACUCACAAUAUAAACAAACCAUAAACAUAAUCAAAAUAAAUAUGAAUUGGAUUUCAAUUAAAUUAAAUAUCUCAUCUUGCAUUCUACAUAUACAAAAUAAUGAAAAUAAAAAAUCACAAUAUAAACAAACCAUCAAUAUAAUCAAAAUAAAUACUCACAAUAUAAACAAAGGGAGGAGAUGGAGUUGGAGCCGCUAGCAGGGGAGUAGCAAGGGAGGAGAUGGAGUUGAGGGUUUGGGGGCAGCAGCAGCAAGGGAGGAGAGGAGUUGAGGGUUUGGGGGGAUUGAGUUAGGGUUGGAGGAAAAGAAAUUGGGGCUUUUGAUUGUAUAGAAGUCGGGUAGGAAGGCUGGGAUUGGGGGGGGACACGGUGGGAAUUUCUUUUUUUUUUUUGUUUGUUCGGCCUGGCCCAAAACGACGCCGUUUUGGCCAGGUCAUUUAAAAAAAUUUCCUGGGCCAAAACGACGCCGUUUUGCCCGUCUGUUUUGAAAAAAAAGAAGCGCGCGCGAGCGCUGCUUCUUCUUCCUCUUCCUGCCGAGUCUUGGUUCAGGAUUUUUGUCGAACAAUUGGCGUGCGAGUCCGACCCCGACGACCCCGACGACCCCAGCUCCAAGAGGUCGCAUAUGGGAGCUUCAAGGUUGUUUCCAUGGUUUCCAAGGGGUCGUGCGACCCCGACGACCCCACUGUGGAUCCGCCACUGGCUAAUACAUAUUGGUUAAAUGAGAACUCGAACUAUAACCUACAUAACUACCGAAUUUAUGGGUCUGACCAUGGACCUAUUCUCUUAACCUACAACUUAAAAAAUUGUUAUAAGAAUAGAUUUGAAGGCUGAAGCUAUGCGAUUUCUUCAUCCUGAUUUUAAGGAUUUUGUUAAAGAAUGCCUGGUGGUGAAAUGGAGUGUUUGGCCCUAUUGAAACUUUUAAGGCAUGUGUUGGGACUUUUAAAUAUAUGGUUAAGGUUUGGAAUAAAACAACUUUGGUAAUUUAAGGGAAUGUAAGAAAAAAAUCCUUGGAGACCUUACUUUGGUGCAAGAAACCAUCAUGAAAAACCAAAAUGUUGAUUCAGAGAUUGGUUUAGAAUUAAAGCUUAGUGAGGAACUUAAUUCAAUUCUAAGACAAGAAGAAGUCAUGUGGGCGCAGAAAGCUAAAGUCAAUUGGCUGCAAUUAGGUGAUAAUAACACAAGGUAUUUCCAAAUGCUGGCAACUGUUCGAAAAAAAAAAGAGAAAUGAAAUUAGAAAGAUUAAGGAUAGUUGUGGGUUUUGUUGGAAUGAGGGUGAGGGUCUAGAACAAGUUUUUGUGCAUGACUUUAAACUGCACUUUUCUUGUGAUAGUCCCCCUGUUCUCAUAGAUAUCUCUUCAAUUGCAGAUAUUAUUGAUCCUUGUAUUCACAACCAUCACAAUGAACUUUUACUCAAGCCUGUUGAAGAUAUAGAAAUUUGGGAUGUAGUUAAAAGUAUUGGUGCGUUGAAAGCACCAGGUCCUGAUGGAAUUGGUGCAAGUUUUUUUCAUGAAUACUAAGAUACAAUCAAAGAUUCGGUGAGUGCUAUGGUUAAGAACUUCUUUGAAAAUAGUACUACCUUGAGCCUUAUUAAUCAUAUCAACAUUGCCCUCAUCCCAAAAGUGGAAAAUCCAGAGGUGGUAAGUAAUUAUAGACCAAUUAGUCUUUGGAAUGUGAGCUAUAAAAUAAUCACGAAAAUCAUCAUUAAACGGUUAAAGCCACUUCUCGACUAUUGCAUAUCUGGAAACCAAGGGGCCUUUGCUCCGGGACGUUCUAUUCAUGAUAAUAUUUUGAUUGUGCAUGAAAUGUUUUCUAGUUUUAAAGGUAAGAAAGGACGGAUUGGAACAAUAGGAAUAAAGCUGGAUUUAGAAAAAGCAUAUGAUUAUCUUAAUUGGGAGUAUAUCAUGUAUGUGCUUCUUAGAUUUGAUUAUGCGGAAAGAUGGGUGAGUUUAAUUAUGGAAUGCAUUACUUCAACUUCCUUCUCGGUUUUGAUUAAUGGUUCUACUCAUGGUUACUUUUAUCCUAAGGCCAUCUUUAACCGAAGGGUCCAGAGGGCCAGAGGGUCGAAAAUAACCCUAAAACUGUCUCCAACCGAGGGCUAGGCCAGAGGGCUCUGGAAUCUGGGAGGGCCCCACGGGAUCGGAGAGGGCUGGAAGGCUGGAGGGCUGGCUGCUUUCGGCCAGCCAGCCAGCCCUGGGCUGGCUAUUUUUUUUUUUUAAUGUUUUCCUAUUGCUGUCGGUUAUAACCGACAGCAUUAAAGAAGAAUUUUUAAUACUGUCGGUUAUAACCGACAAUAAUAGUUAUUCAAAGGCAAAAUUUUUAUUUUUAAUUACUAUUAGUGUCGGUUAUAACCGACACUAAUAGUUUGAAUUUUUUUUAAUAUAACGGCUAGUAGCCGUUGUAUUAACUUUUUUUUUAUAUAUAUAUAUGAAUUUAAACUUCUUUUUUCCCUUUUUUUUCCUUUUCAUAUGAAUCAAAUUUUGUUUCAUAUUUUUUUUCAAUUCUAUUUUACAAAAUUUGUUUCAAUUUUUUUUUAAAUUCUAUUUUUUUUCCUAUAACUUCUAUUUUACAAAAUUUGUUUCAUAUUUUUUUUUAAAUUCCAUUUUUUUCCUAUAACUUCUAUUUCACAAAAUUUGUUUCAAUUUUUUUUAAAUUCUAUUUUUUUUUCCUAUAACUUCUAUUUUACAAAAUUUGAUUCAUAUAUAUUUUUUUUUCAUAUAACUUCUAUUUUACAAAAUUUGUUUCAUAUUUUUUUAAAUUCCAUUUUUUUUCCUAUAACUUCUAUUUCACAAAAUUUGUUUCAUAUUUUUUUUCAAUUCUAUUUUUUUUCCUAUAACUUCCUAGGCCAUUUAUACAACAUUAAAUUAAAUUAAGUAACAUGAAACAACAUUAAACAAUAUGAAACAACAUUAAAUAACAUUAACCAACAUACAAAUUAUACAACAUAAAAAAACAUUUAGCCGUUAGAUUUGAAUUUAAAUUGUAGUUUUUAAAUAAUAAAUUAUGUUUGGCCCUCGGUUGGAGACAGUUUUUUGUGACAGUGCUAAAACGAGCCCUCUGGCCCUUUGGCCCUCGGUUGGAGACGGAGGCCAAUAUGGCCAUGUACUGUUCAUUAAAAUAUUAAUAUCUUGGGGAAUCUUGGAGGGCCAGAGGGCUAAAACGAGCCCUCUGGCCAGCCUUCGGUUAGAGAUGGCCUAAGAAUGGAAUUAGGCAAGGGGAUCCUUUAUCACCUUAUAUUUUCAUUCUUUGUAUGGAACCGUUGAUUAGACAUUUUAAUGAAAUGGCUACUACCUCUAAAUCGCAUGUUGGUAUUUUGUCCUCUCCUGGUGGAUUUAGAAUAUUAAAUCUAGUUUUUGUAGACGAUUGUUUGUUAUUUGCUAGGGCAACUACAAAAGGUGCUAGGAAUGUACUUCAUGUUCUUAAUAUGUUUGCCAAAGCUUCAGGUCAAAAGGUAAAUUUCCACAAAUCCUCGCUUUAUUUUUCAGAAAAUACUAAUGCUCAAACUAGAAAUGCUAUUGUGAAUGUUUUACAUAUUCAACAUAAAACUACCAUUGGCAAAUAUCUGGGCAUUCAUAAUAUUGUGUUUUGGAAAGAUCCAGUGAAUUAAUGUGAAUUAAUCAAAAGAGUCAAGCAAAAGCUUGUUGGGUGGAAGGCUAAUACUCUCUCUAAGGCAUGAAGACUAACCUUCAUUAAGUCCAACUUAUCUAGUAUGCCGAACCAUAUCAUAACUUGCUUUAAAUGUCCUACUCGAGUAACUAAGAACUUAAACAAGGAGUGUAGAGACUUCUUUUGGGGGAGAGAUAGGAAGUUAAAACCUAUGGCUUGGAAAAGAAUGUGUACUUCUAAGGAUCCACAAGGGGGGUGGGGGGGGGGUUCGGCAUAAGAAGAGUGGAUCAUUUCAAUAAUGCAUACUUGUCUAAGUUAGGGUAGAAAGUUUUGAAGGAUGAAAACAAUUGGUGGGUGCAAAUUGUUAAAAGAAAGUACUUAAAGAAAAAUGAUUUUUUUAGUUGCAAAGUCAAGCAGAACCACUCUUUGGCCUGGAAAGAGAUUUUGAAUAGUAGACAUGUUAUUCACAAGGGAAUUAGAUGGGUUGUGGGUAAUGGUGAGGAUAUUCUUUUUUGGACCCAUCAUUGGGUUUUUCCUUAUCCAUUGUUCAGCUAAUUCCUGAAAAUUAAUGACAGAACAUAAAUUGGGACACUAAAGUGAGUGAUUUUAUUGAUAGUAAAAGUUAGGAUAGAGUUCGUCUCUCCCAAGUGUUGGACCUGGAUGUUGUGAGGAAAAUUUGUCUGGUGCCUAUUUCCCUUCAAAAUAAAAGGGACAAUUUCGUGUGGGAACACUCCUCUAAUGGUGAGUUCUCAAUCAAGUCGGUGACUUGGAAUCAAAGUAAUAAUAAUCCAGAAGUUAAAAGGCAGAAGCUCCUUAAGAAGAUAUGGAAGUUAAUGAUACCUCUGAAGGUAAAAAAUUUUGCAUGACUUUUUACUCAUGAAAAACUGCAUACAGGAUGAGAUUGAGUAAAUUUAUUCAAAAUAUUGACAAAUUGUGCCCUAUGUGUGGCAAUGAGGAUGAGACUCAAAAUCACAUUUUUCUUAAUUGCGAGCAUGUUAAAGAAAUGUGGAACCUCUCUCUGGUAAGUCCUUGGAAGAAUAAUUUGACUCAGUUUAAUAAUGUGUUAGAUUGGAUGGAACUAAUUGACAAUGUUGAAUGCAAUGAUUUGAGUGAUCUUAGUAAAGCGAUUUUGAAUUGUUGGCAAAUAUGGAAUGAUAGAAAUAAUAAAGUUUUUAGAAGUAUGAUUCCUAAUCCGACUAGGAGUGUCUCCAUUGCCGCAAGUGUAGGCUUAUCUUUUUUUAAGGUUAGUAGUAAGAAGAUCUCUAGGGAUGAUCCUUGCCACCAACACCCCAUUUGUUGGCAUCCUCCUCCCUAUGGCUAUGUGAAAUUAAUCUUUGAUGGGUCGAUUAGUUUAGAUCGUUCUGCAACUGCUUUUGUUCUUAGAAAUGAGGAAGGGCAACCUGUUGGUGGGCAUUGAACCUUGAUGGUACCACCAUUUCGAUUGUGGAGGCCGUUGCUUUAAAGGAAGGGCUUUUUUCGCUAGGCAAACAUGUGUGAAGAAACUGAUGGUGGAAGGGGAUUCUAAGCUUGUUAUCCAAGUGGUGCAAGAUGUUUGGAUCCCCCUGGCCUCUUAAGACUAUCAUAGAGGACAUCAAAUGGUUGACUUCUAAAUUUCAACAUAUCAUUUAGAAGCAUAUUUAUAGGGAGGCUAAUUUCGUGGCAGACGCAUUAGCUAAUGUGGGCCUCACUGUUGCCAACCCAUAUUUUUUGGGAUUUUUGUCUUCUGAAUUCGGCUAUGGAGUCUUUUAAUUUUGAUUGUAUGGGAAAUGAUUGUAUUAGAGGUUUUAAGCUUUAAUAAAUUUCUUCUUCAUAAAAAAUAAAAAAAAUAUAAUAAAUAUUGUAAAAAAAAUUAAAAUUGGAAGACUAUCUUAACUUGCGAAAUUUCAAAGACGGCCGUUUCUUAAUUGUUACCACAUAUUCUACUUUUGUUAUUGGGUUAGCCAUACACUUUACAUGUUUCUAACGAUUCAUAUGACAUCAUCAAAUAAUACAAGUCUUGGAUAAGAAUAUACAAUGCACUAGAACGCCCUUGUUGGCGAUCCUUGCAUUAAAUGAACGGAAUGUCACCAUGUAGAUUUACCUAUGCCAUACAAGUCCCUUCUUAAGAUAAGGGGGCAAAUGGAUCUAUUUCGAGAGAAAUAUUAGAGAGAUGAGGUUAUAUCAUCUCCUUAAUAAAGAUGAAAUCAACUUGCACUGUGAGCCCUAUUUUUAUUUCGAAAAUAAUGUAAUGUGGUCCACCAAAAUAUAAUCCCUCUAACAUUUGCAGCUUGCACGACUAUUUUUUUUCAAAUAUGUAUUUUUCUAGUGGAGGAAAGAGGCAAACCAUAUCACUCUAAAACAGUCUCGAGAGCGAACCGAUUUUCAUCGGCAAAAUUUGAAAACGAUCGCUGUAUUACAAGCAUCCACAAAUUCUCAACCCUCAAGCAAGAAGCUGCUCCAAGUGUCGCCUUCGACAAAACAUGAAUAAACUAAUCGGUAGUGACAUGCUGUAUAUAAAUAAGAAAAAACUAUUCUCCCGCAUUUGUGAACAGCUCGGUUCAACUUCUACUUCCACAGGCAACAGCUUCUUCCUCCACACUGUUGUAAAACAAGCUCAAUUUACUUAUCGCAACAGCCUCUCCAAAUAGUGAUGUUCUUGUUGAUUUCAAUAUACGAACUUCAACAUAAUCACCCACUACGGGAUUCCUUUCCUCAUUUGAACCAGCAUCUCGAUGUGGUAACAGCACGUUAACAAAAGAAACUCUAUGACCUCUAUCACUUUUGCCCAUGAGUUCUGUAUCUGGAGCUUUCUUAUUAGGUCCUUCUACUAAGACAAGUUGGGUAGUUCCCACCUGUGAGUCGUAGCACUGACCUGUGCUCUUAUGGAAAGCCUUGAUAAGUUCCGCCAGCCUCCUCUGCUUCACAUCCUCUGGAACAUCAUCAUCGUAGUUUCUAUUUGCAUGGGUUUUAUCCCUCAUGCUAUAUGCAAAAAUGUAAGCCAUAUCGUAGCCAACAGCCUUUACAAGGCUCAGUGUGUCGUCAUGGUCCUCCUCUGUUUCCCCACAAAACCCUGUAAUAAGGAACAAACAUGUCAGUAGGGAAUACAAUACGUUUAAAGAGAAACGAGAUAUUGUAAGCUUCCAAUUAUCUGGUAAAGGGGCAUAAGAACAUUCUUGAGCAAAGAAGGCAUGCUAAUAAAUACAUGUGGAAAAUUAAUAUGAAACAACAAUUCUGCUUUUCGGUUCAGAUUUAAAAUCCAGAUAACAAACUGAAAAUAUAUAACAACUUUAUGUAAGGACAUUGAAAAAGUGAGAAUGCGAUGCAAUUCCCGAAUUUACGCAGUAAACUAAAAAAAAAAAAAAAAAAAAGUAGCAUAAUCUUGCGAAAACUAAAAACAACCGACAUGAAAUUAGGACAAACGUAAUCAACAGGUUUGUGGGUAGGAUUCAUCGGUUGCGGAUAGAUGAGUAGCUCAGAACUCUGAAAUUUAGUUUAACAAACAUGAACCCACAGUUAAACAUCAAAAGGAAAAGAGGAAUGCACAACUCUAAACUGAGGACGAAGGAUCAAUUAACCAAUCUCAUGCUUUGGCAGCCUUCUCAAAUAAAAAAAUCGAAGUUGAUCAUAAAAUUCUGGUAUCUCUAACAACCUUUGAAGAGAGAAACUAGAUAUUUCAAGUAAAACCUCCUUCCAAGAAUAUUUGAUCACUACUAUUACCUUGUACAAGAUUUCCACUGGGUACCACAAAUCAACAUACAGAAAUAUGGUGAAGACGGAAAAACAGAAGCUAAGUUCCUUCUCACCAAAAGUUGAUUGCAAGUUUUAUAAGCAAGAUUACCAGAAUGUAUAGAAUAUUGAUAAGAACACUUACCGCAUAUGAAAUCACUGCUGAUGCCCACAUCUGGAAUAAUUCUCCGUAUCUUUUGCACAAGAUCUAAGUAUGCCUCACGGGUAUAGCCACGACGCAUUCUUUCUAGCACAGUGCUACUCCCACUUUGUGCAGGCAAAUGGAUACUUCUGCAGAUAUUAGGUCUGUCUCGCAUUAAAUACAGCAACUCAUCAGGGAAAUCUUUAGGGUGUGGGGAUGUGUAUCGAAAUCUCAUCUCUGGAAAUUCUGUGGACAGUCGAUCCAAGAGAUCAGCAAAACGUGAACCAACUUUUUUCACCUUGCACAUGCUGGAGAAGCCUUCGCUGUAUCUCCAAUUAGUUCCUGCUUCAACUUCCUUUUCAUUCUCAGAGGCAUCAUUGUAGCUGUUUACAUUCUGGCCUAGCAGUGUUACCUCUUCACGCCUUCUUCCCAAAGCUCUCCCACCUCCCGCACAAUAGAUUCCACAGAACGCGAGCGCUCUCUGCCUCUAGUGAAAGGAACAAUACAAAAUGAGCACAUAUUGUUACAUCCCCUCAUAACAGAAACAAAAGCACUAAUUGAAUUUUUGGAGAUUCGAACUGGGCUAAUAUCAGCAUAAGUCUCUUCCAGCGAAAGAAGAGUAUUGAUUCCUUUCUGACCAUAGUCCACAUCUUCUAAUAAUCUCGGCAAGUCUCUGUACGCAUCAGGCCCACAAACCACAUCAACCAUUUUGUCUGAAUCGAGUAUCUGGUCCUUUAACCUCUCCGCCAUACAUCCCAAAACUACAACUUUUGGAGGACGUUUGGACUGCGACCUCCCUAUUUUAACAUUGUCCUUCCAUUCCCUCUUAAGAAACCAAAAAUAAUUAAGCCGCUGCCACACCUUCUGUUCCGCAUUGUCCCUGAUAGCGCAGGUGUUAAUAAAAAUAACCUCUGCAUUCUCAGGGACAUCAACGACUUCACUAUACCCAGCAUUCUUCAUAAUAGACAGAACAAUCUCCAUGUCAUUAAUAUUCAUUUGACACCCAUAAGUCUCGUGAUAGAUACGUCCUAUCGGAGCAACUUCAGUAGCAGUCAAAUUCACAUCCCUACACAUAAAAAACAGGAAGAAAAAUAUAAAACCAAAGCUAAGCAUGGGAUACAGUCUGCACAAUAUGAAAUCCGGGUGUAAGAACAUCGAAAGACGUUGAUCAAGAGUUGUUGGAUUGUCCUUUUAUGUUCAACUUUCGUCUAUGAUCUAUCCGGAAAAUUUCUCCUACAAACAUGGCAAAACAUCACAGUAACAUUUUGGACCAUAUGCACUAGCAUUGCUCAGAUAAAAAUUUCAACUUGAACUUGCAUCUCUUAUAACUCAACAGCCAGCUAAUUUUGGAUGUUUAAAAAAGCUGCUUCUGUUCGGUCGGUUAUACAACAAAGGUCAUUACUUUAAACCUUUCCUGAGACAACCCAAUUCGAAUUAUAGCAUAAUUUCCCCAAAAACUAACAAAAUACAUUAAAACUAAAAGAAUUUACACUGUGUGUGGGUUUGAAGCGUGGACUCACUGGGGCUGAGCUUCAGCACCGGCGAGAGCAGCUUGAGCGACAAAGUGGCGGAGGCUGGGGCCACCGGACUGGCCGGAGAGAGAAGAAGUGUUGGGGCUAAAAUUCGAGAAGCUUCUGGAGCUACUGCGGCCAAGACUCCUCCUUUGUGGCCGAGGCUGCAGCUGCUGGCGGCGGUGGUAGCAUCGGGAACGGGACUUCUCCGGUCCCCAAUUGAGGAACCCGAGAGUGAAGCAGGACGGCCUCUGGAACUUCAGGCGCAGCGCGCAGUGUGGGUUGUUCAGGAUCGAGGACAGGGACGACGAGAGCGACGUCGCCAUCGGUGAGAUUGUGUUCGCGCUUCUCAGCUUCUCUACGUCAGAGAGAGUUGGAUAGGGGUAACGAUUUACGACUAUCAGGAAAGAAACCCGGUAAUAGUGUGAGAGACGACAUGUCGUUUUUAUUUGGGCCGGCCCAAUAACGCUUCUCACUAAUGUUAACUAUGGGAAAAUAACACAAAUGGCACCUGAACUUUUCGGUUUUCGUGCAAUUACCAUAUGAACUAAAUCCUUUUACAAUUAAACAUUCAAACUCCUUCUUCUGUUAUUAUUUGCCAUCCAAACUUCUGAAAGGAAUGCUCCCCGGAUCCCUUCCAGCUAAGCUUUCUUAUCAAACAAUCUGAAUCUUUAAAAUUUGAUCCAACAGCUAAAGACAAUGGCUCACUUUAAAAAUUAUAAUAACUUUAGCCGUUGAAUCAAAUUUUAAGGGUCUGGAUUAUUUGAUGAGAAUGAUUAGAUUGAAGGGAUCCGAAGAAGAUCCCUUUCCUCAAACUUCUAGCUUUAAAAGAAAAGUCAACUAUUUUCAUUUCAUUUAUACUAAAUCUCGUCGAAUAUCUGACAUGAAUGUGGACAUUGAUCAAGAGAAACGAUGACAAUGACGUUAAAAAGUUGUAUUCGUUAUAAUAUAGAUAAUAAAAGUUAUUAAUUAUGGCAAACUUGACACGUUUAAACACCACACGAUUCUAAAAUCGCACGGUUUAAAACAUGAUACGAUUUCAUGGUUACUCUUAGGAAUCAACGGUUAUGAUGAGGAGAGGAAAAGAAUACUUGUAGAGGAUGUUAAGAAUGUUGACUUUCCAAGAAUAUAAUCAGACAUUGGAAGAUUGAUUUCCCAAUGGACAAAUUAUCCGGGAACAUUUCCAUUAAUCAAGGCAGGAAUAUGCUAACCGUAAUUAUGUCCAUAACUUAGAGGAAAAGCCAACUGAUGACUUUACAAAUUGGUUUUCUUUACUUGGUAGAAAUAUUCAAAGAUACUGGUCCUUUGGGGUGUUAUUAGGAAUUGGAUCCACUCUGGAUUUUAAUGUCUGGAGCCUAAAGAUCAAUCCAUCUGGGCAGCUGAUUGGUGUGUAAAAUAAAUCAGAGUUGUUGGUUGUGUGUGGUAGGCUAAGAAAAUGAGUUAAUUAAGAUUAUUGGAUUCAAUUUGUGUGACCCAUAUUAGUUGAUCCUUAUGCUCCGGACAUUAAGGUCCGGAGCGGAUCCAAUUCCGUUAUAUUAUAUUAUUUUAGUGGUAAGGUAUUCAGUUUUUAUUUGUGCGUCUGAAAUUCGAAAUCUUUUAUCUUCUAAAUUAUUGUAAUAGUUUUGAACUCUUUCAUCUCUCAUAAUAUAUUAAUUGGAUAUGUUGAAGGAUUCCGCACGUUUUACCUAACCUACUCUUACCGACCGUUAGAACUGCGCUAAUACGAGUGGCUUAAAGAAACUAAAAGCAGUUAUCGAGCAUAAAGUUGCCUCAGCUGCCAUUUAGUUUUGAUUCGGUUUUUACUUCGGCCGACCAUGCAGACUCAUCGUUACAACAAUAGUUUAAAAACCUUAAUAUUAAAAGAGGUUCAAAGCUCGAACCUUCCAACCGCUGACAAUAUAGUGGAAGGAUCAAAUUCUUUACGAAAGUCACUUAAAUAUUCAACCUAAUCCACCUAGUUGGGAAAGUGGAACCUUAGUUCAAAGGUGCAAACUGCCUUUCGGCUUUCACUUUCUGGAGCUCUUCUUUCCAAGCAGUGGCCGACGCAUAUACUGAAAAAAAAAAUAAUGAAGGCAAAGUGCUUUUCUUCUCUACUGACGGAAAGUGAAGGCAAAUAGAAGGUUCCUACACAAGCAUGAACCUAUCAAGAUGCAUAGAUUAAGAAGGCAUUUACCACUUAGCACUACAAUGUCGGAUAAUUGUUUUAAUUUGUAGUGAUAAGUUACAUGUUGAAUUUUUGUAAAUAAGUUCAAUACUAAGUUAUUAUAGCUUAUUUGUUUUGUGUCUUAACUCAGGUCUCUUACAUUUUAGUGUAAUUUUAUCAUUAGAGCAUAACAAGGAAGUGUUUGCACUAGCUGUUGUGAAUUAAGUUAGUUACCUUUGUAUAUCCGCUCCUUUGCACUAGAGAAUCUUGUGUACAAAUGGCGCUCUCAAUGUAUAUAAAACAAAAUAAGGAAAACUAAUGAAGUGGCUUGAAAAGUUUUAGUUUUAAUUAAAAAUCAUGUUAUAAAUUUUGUUUAAUGAUUAGUACAAGGCACAUAUUAAAGUAGUCCAAGUAAAAAUGGCCUAACUAUAAUAAAUUAUGAUUUGUCGAUUUUACCCCUAACUUUUUUAGGUUGAGUUCCAGAUUUUCGUCGUUAAUGGAGUUCAUUGUUGUUUUGCAGACCUUCUUCUUUUUCUUUGAAACAAAAUUAUAGAUCCUCAUGCUAUUUAAUUUAUAUUUUGUAUUAUUUCGUUGAAACGUGAUUGUCGUUAUUAUUCAUAAAGUAUUCGAAGUACUGUUUUUCAAUUUUUCUUCGUUAGUGGAGUUCAUCGUUUGUUUAUUCAGAAAAUAAAUUUGAGAUCUGCAGGUUAUUCAAUAAUAACGACGGGUCACUGUUUCUGGACUGUAAAAAUAAACUGUUUCUGGAUCCAAAUGAAAUAGACACACUGUUUCUUAAAUGUAAGCUAGAAAAGAAAUAGUGAAAUUCAUUGUAUUUGGAUUCAAAGCAAAAUAAGUAUCUUGUUUCUUAAAUAUAAUCAAUUGAUGCAUGAAAAGAAACAAUCAAAGGUUAAAACAUAGAUUGUUUCAAGAAUCUAAGUCACUGUUUCUGGAUUUUGGAUACAAUGUUUGUUUGUGCAUAAAAACAAACAAACAUUGUAUCUGUUUUUUUUUUUUAUAGAAACAGUGUUAUGUUUUGGGUUCUCCAGAAACAGUUUUAUGUUUUGGUUUUUUUUUUUCUUUCCUAUUUACAGACGCCUGACAUGUACGUACAUCAACGGGACCGUAGGUCCUUAUUGGAUCUGAUUGGAAUAUAAUACUAGCACUAUAAAUUGUUUGUGGUGCAGAUAAGAGGAUGAGGAUGAGGACGAUGACGAGGAAAAGGAGGAUAAGGGCACGAAAAAGGUAGACAAUAGUUUUGGAUGGUUUUUUAUUAAACUUUGAGUCAUUUUGGUUAAAUAACUUUUUAGGAUAGUUUUUUAUUAAAUAUUUGUUGGUCCAAACCCUUUUCAUUAAAGCUCCCAACAAAAUAAGUUUUUGCGUUUAUUUUUAUUCAUUUUAUAUCUAGUGGAAUUUUACGGUAAGCUCACAUAACGAUUUGUCAUAAUAAUUACCUAUCAAACUUAUCGAACUGAAUUUGAAGUCUAUUCUUUCAACAAGUAAAGAAGGUUAAAACAAGGUUUUUUAGCCAAAACAGUUAUUGAGAUUGACAUAACUUUUCAUUUUGGUCACUGAGAUUUAAAAUCGAUACAAUUGAUUUUUGAGUUUAUCUACCGUUAAUCAUUUUGAUCAUUCUGUAAACGAAAAAUCUCUGUUAAAUAAGGAGAAAUGACCAAAAUAUCCUCAAUUUUUGUCAAAUCAUUUUGGCCUAUUGUUUAUUAAAUUAAGGGUAUUUUUGUCAUAUUGUUUGUUCUUUAAUAUAAAAUUUUCACGGAAUGACCAAAAUAAUUGAUGAUGUACAAACUCAGGAAAUACUUGUAUCGAUUUUAAAUCUCAAAAUCUAAAGUGAGAAGUUAUGCUAAUAUUAAAGACUAUUUUUGCUUCCAAAAAAAAAUAAAAAGACCAUUUUAGAUAAAAUGCCAAACAACAAUUGGUAGGAUCUGAAGUGUCCAAACACUUGAAAAAGUCCGACAACCACCAUGACAAAGUCAAAAAUAAAAAAACCAAAGAGAGAGGGACGGUGUGAUGGUAGACCAAAGAGGCGACGACGUCGUCUACCGAGGCAGCACCUUGGCAAAGAUAAAGAAUAAAGAAAAUAUAAAAAUAAAGAAAAUGGAUAUGGUGGGGAGCACCCAAUACCAGUUGUGAAAUCAACCGUGCCCUCCCCCUCCUCUCCCUUUUGUCCCUUUCCCCCUCUCCCUCUCUCGUCAACACCUCCUCCAUCCUCACAUUCUCUCUCUAAAACUCUCUCUCGACCAAUUUCCUUUCCGGAGAAAAGCAUGACCAGCUCCUCCGCCUCUGGCCGCAAGGUUUGCCCUAAUUUCACACCCAGUCACUUUUUCCGUGCAAUUUCUGUUUCUGGGUUUUGAUCUUUUUAUUGGGUUUUGAUUGUUGAUUUUGUUGGGUUUUGGAAUUUGUAGACUUUGAGUAAGAUCGCUUGCAAUCGGCUCCAGAAAGAGCUUCUGGAGUGGCAGGUCAAUCCUCCGGUGGGCUUCAAGCACAAAGUCACCGAUAAUCUCCAAAGGUCUUCUCUUUUUUUUCUUCUGCUCUCUGUUUGUUUCUCGAGAAAAGAUAAUUCAUUGGAAUUGGAGGAAGAGGAGAAUUCAGAAUUUACAUAAUCUUACACUUAUUGGGUUUUCAGUUUAAAUUACCCCUUUUUGAAUUUUUUGUUUAGGGAAAUUGAAAUCCAACUGUUUAGGGUUUAUGAUGUGUAUUUUUGUCCUUCAAUGUUCGUGCUUUUCGGCUUUAGUUAAGUUGGUUCAAUUUUAAUUGUUGUGUUUUGGUAUUUGUGAUCCAAAAGGUGGGUGAUUGAAGUCAAUGGUGCUCCUGGAACUCUCUAUUCUAAUGAGACCUUUCAGCUUCAGGUUGAUUUUCCUGAGCAUUACCCGAUGGAAGCCCCGCAGGUCUGUGCAAAUUCAUUAGAUUGUGUGAUAUGACUUUGCUUCAAGAUAUAUGUUACGAACGAUAUUGUGUUGGGUAGAUUUUGAUUUUCAUGAAGCACUUAACCGGUUUUGGGUCUGUAUACUUGUGGCUGGUUUGAACAGGUUAUAUUUGUCCCUCCAGCUCCACUACAUCCUCAUAUUUAUAGCAACGGUCAUAUUUGUUUAGGUAAUUUAUGGGUUUCAGUUAAGCGUUUGAUAUCUGAUUUGUAUUUAGUUACAGCACGAAAAUGUUUCUUUUGCUUGAUUUGCUGCAUUUGCUCAUUUGUUGAAACCUGAAAGUGAUACUUGUCUUUAUAAUGGGCUCACGUCUUCCUUUGUUGCUUCUUCUUGCUUCUUCUUGCUUCUUCUUUCUUUUAACACACAAUUUUAUUAUCAUUGCUUAAAACAUGUGGUAAGUGUUGCCUGAAAGUAUUGUGCUUUUAUCUCAAUCUCUUGCUGAAAAGAUGUAGUUUUCAGCUAGCUGAUACAAAUUUUGUUUGAGAUAAUAAGGCCUUCACUCCUUUAUCAGCUAUUGUGAUGACUUUCAAGACCCUAUCACAAACAGGGAGGAAUAAACUGAGGAAAAGAGAGGAAAAAGUGGGGUGGGGGUUGCCUAGUAAAGCUGGCCUUGGAAAUCCUACUGAAUGUGAUUUAUGUUGUCUGUCGACUAAGCUAAAUUUAUCUUUACUGGAGAUUUGAAUAAUUGCUAGAUAUUAGAUGCUAAACUGGGGACGCUAUACCGCUUAACAACAGAUUUAGGUUGUCAUUACUUACUGUGUGCUGUAUCAAACAAUAUCUUGAUCCAUCAUGAAUCCACUGACUGAAUUUUAGUUAUACUGUAUUAGAACAAUAUAUUGUUUCAUUUUACUCUCACGGCCUCAUAUUAUGUGAUCUAUGGUUGAUAUGGGAUUUUGUAGAUAUUUUGUAUGAUUCAUGGUCACCAGCCAUGACUGUUAGUUCCAUCUGUAUUAGCAUUCUCUCCAUGCUAUCAAGCUCGACCGUGAAGGUUUGUGUUCCACUUCAAUUUUUUCAUCUUUGGUGAUUUCAGUUCUUUUAACUAUCAAGCCUAGAUCAUGUCCCAUCAAUUUAUUCUGCUAAAACUUUCAAACGAGGAAAUGACCGAUCAUUAAUUUGUGAAAGAUGGACAUUCCCUUGUUGAUUAUCAAUUCAAUGGUAUAGUAGAUUCUAAAUGUGUUGGGGAUGUAUAUCUGAAGCCCUUUUGUAUAUGCCUGCAGCAACGCCCAGAAGAUAAUGACCGGUAUGUAAAGAACUGUAGAAAUGGCAGAUCUCCCAAGGAGACGAGGUGGUGGUUCCAUGACGAUAAAGUGUAAAAACCAUGCACUGUCUUCCUGUUCAAAGGAGGACGAAGACGAGAGAAAAAAGGCAAUGAUAAAAACUGGGAGUUGUUCCAAUUGCUCAGUAACUCUUAUAAAUUGACAAUGCUCGGUACUUGUAAAGCAAAGGGAACAAUUUGUGUUUCUAUCGAUUCGUAAGGAACAAACUGAGGUCAGAAGUUGCUAUAAGCUUAUGAUUUAAGUCCCUUUUCUUCCCAAGUGCUCACCUCCUGUAAGGGAAGUGAGUGCCUGGCUUUUAAAAUUUUCGUAUAUCUUCAUCCGUGCAAUGCGAUUUUCAAGAUAUAACAUUGAAAAAAAGGCAUCCAAUUUUUCAAAUCUAGUGCACGUAUGUAAAACUUAUCUGUAAACAUGACAGCUUCACCAAGUAUGUGUUCAUGUUGAGUGAUUACGUACCGGCAAGCUCAAAUGAAUGAUAUCAAUUCUAAGAAAAUUGUCCCAAACAAUUAAGUAUUUUAGUUCAUCUUUAUUUAUGACAUUGCAUAUUUUGGUAGUAAGUAAACACGAGUUUUUUUUAACACGGUACAAAAAAAUUAUAACAUCACGAUGUGGAGUUCAUUUCUAUAUAUGACUGCCCAAGUUGGGAUAGAAAAUUUUAUGAAGGCUUACAUCAUACAACAAUAUGAAUUGUUAGUCCCUGGUUUCCUAGUUGUUACUUUCAUUGAAUUGAUAUACGGCACAUCUCCAAUUCUUGGUUAAAUAUGAAUUGUUAGUCCCUGGUUUCCUAGUUGUUACUUUCAUUGAAUUGAUAUACGGCACAUCUCCAAUUCUUGGUUAAAACUUAAAAUUUUAGGCUUUAAAUUAGCUUCUUCAAAUGUCUGAUCUUGUGCUUGUGUAUGUUAGGCUUUGAUAAAUCUAGCCCCGAUUUUGAGAGAAUUAACUUAAAAGUCCACAUAAAAUCUGUAGAAGAAAUUGGAACAACAAGACUAAUCUAGCUUAGAUUUCAAGAGAAUUCACUUAAAAGUCGACAUGGAAUCUGUAGAAGAAAUUGGAACAACAAAACGAUAUUUUCAUUUUCUGUGGAUGAUUCCAAAAUAUCACUAAGUUGAUGAUGUUAUUUGGAGAUAUAGUUUGUGCAUGAUAACACUCCAUUUAAAAUUUCACAGAAUUUUAUUCCAAUACACCCCUAAGCCUAUUUCAAAAUGAAACUAAACAUAUUACUUUAAUUCCCUCAAAUAUCUUACCCGAGAAUCUGAACUAAAUCUACGACUCAAAUAUUUUCAAAAAUCAAAAUUUUUUGUUUGAAAACUUUGUUCUUGUGCAUUUGUGGUUAACUAUCACGUUAAAAUUUCACACAAAAAAGAUAAAAUUCAUGCAAAAAGAAAUGAAAGUCGUGUUCAUAACAAACUAAUUUACUUUCACGUAGUUAGCAUGAAAUGUAGUGCGCAGUGUAAUUUUUGAGGGUAAUGAAAUAUGAUAAAAAUAAUUUCUUCCAAUGUAACACAAAGAGAGCGAAAAUCCCAAUCGUCUUACGGUUCUGGUUUAUUUUUCUGGGUAACUCUGGAAGUGAAAUUCUAUGAAUCUCUUUCGUCUUUCAAGGUUUACAAUUUGUCUUGAAUAUGCAAGACUUCGGGGAAAGUUGUUCAAUUUAGCACACAUUGAGCACAAUGCCUUCCAACAACUCGAGAAACGCAUCAAACAGUAGCUCCUAGUUGGCUCUCUACCAUGAUCCUUCAGCGCCCAAUGUUGGAUUCUCGAACGCAGAGAAACCCCAGAAUGUCUUCAAAGAGUAGGGCUGAGAAAUUGUUACGCCUUCUUCGGUGAUUUUAGCUAUCUGCAAUUACCAAGUUUAAAAUGUGUCAUCUUACUGGUACCGAUGCAUGUUCAAGGGUGACAAUAAAUUAGUAGGAAGUCCUCAAUUUACCAAGGAUACUAAUUUUUGAACGCAAAGACUUUCCCACCACAGCUAUAAUCAUUUCGAAAAGUGUAAGAAAGUGUGGAUAUGUGUAGAAAUAAAACAAUUGUAUACUUCCUACCUCAAUCUAGAACACUUCCUACGCUAAAAAAUGAGCGCAGACAAGGAGGAAGCAUACCCCUAGUACUGUAGAUUGUCUCACAUAACUACAGAAUGACAAAUCUUUAAUAAAAAGAAGUAUUUGGACGUGAACACGUGUGUGAAAGACAGAGAGAGAUAUUGGAACUUACAUGGACAAUAAUAGCAAGGUUUAUAAAUUCCGAAAAACAUCAAAGACGACAGACAGGCGGAUUCUAUGCCAUUUAAAGAAAAUAAACCGAUAGACAGAUAAGAAUUCCCACAGGAAUUGCUAGCAAAAAGAUCUAAGGUUGUUCUUAACAGCCUAAAAACUAUGAAAUCUGUAACUUAUAGCAUUGUCAUUAUUAUAGGGUGCCAAAAGACAGAGAAAAUAACGUUUAAGUUAUCACUACCUGAAGCUUGUUCACAGCAGACCGAUCUCGAUAGAGAAGGACACGCAUGCACUUCUCCAGCAGCUUUACAGCCUCUUCGAAAGUCAAGUUCUCAUGCCACUCAUCACGAAGAAUAGGCCGUGCAAGGUGAUUUCCAAAUCCCGUAGCCACAUGAUUGUCCUCAAAAUUUACACCUAUCAUGCUAACCUGAAUAAAGAUAAAAAGUAUGACAAGCAACUAAGUCCCCUGAUUCAUGAUGCACACAGCACACUGCAAUGUGUUAAGGGAAGGAUUAAAUGAGGUUUACCAUGCCAAGGUACUUCUGUCCAUUUUUCACUCCACCGAGGACAAGAGAGUUCCACAAUGGAUUGAACUUGUUACGCCUAUUGUACAUCACACGGGUCAAAUAGUUGUGCACCUCUUUAGGUCCCAAAGAGUUCCCAUCAUCCCACAUGUUGUCAUACAGGCUACAACCAGAAAAUCGAAAUGAAUAAUCCUAAACCAACUGUUUCAAAUAAUACAAAGAAGCAUAGAAAAAAUCACAAUGGAAACAUUAUAGAAGGUAGCCAAACGCUUAUCUUCAUAAUUUUUCUUAUCAAUAAUGCUUACACGAGUUCAUCAAGAUAACGUAAGAGCUCCUGAAAGUCGCUUAUUUCUCCACUUGCACCAAGAAGAGAAUGCUUUCCGAUUGGCUUCAUUCUUUCCACACUCUUGUAUCGCAGGGUAGAGCCAUAAGAACCUAUCAAAACAUCCAUUCUUUUGAUACUGUUAAGAGACCUCAACAGACACAUAAAAAGAACAUACAUGGGCGUCUAACUUUUGAGUCAUGAACAAUAGGAUCCCCGACGCUAUAAAAAUAUAUGAUGUCUAUGACUGAUAAAGCGAUAACCAUAACGUAAAAAUAGGAGAUACUGUAAGAAAACCUCAACAGACACAUGAAAACCACAUUAGGUGAUCUAAAAAUCCAGUCUGACCAUUAAGAGCGGCCGCGGGGCGCCAUACAAGAACACAAAAACUAAUGUAUCUAACUUUGAAAAGACUCGCAUUUGAAUUUUGAACUGUUUCUCCUUCAGAUAAAGUGAAACAAAUACGACAAGCCUACACGAACAACUCCAAAGAUUUCAUAACAAUUUUCGCUACAAGAAGCUAAGAGAAAUGGCGGAAAGAAUCCCACUUUUUUCAAACACCAGAAACAAUAUAUACUCCGCAUUAACAUCAAAUCUUAAUUUCCCGUAACCAAACAAGAAGCUAAAUAAAAUAAUGGACCAAAAAAUCAAAAUCAAAACUUGUUUUUGUGACGCAAGGGUAAUGGAAUUGGAAGCUAACCUCCCAUAUCAGCAGCCAUCAAAAUUCCAUCUUUAUACUUGAGAGCCACAACAGAUGUACCAGUUACAUAUGGGUACCUUCAAUCAAACAAAUUAUUAAAAUUUAAAAAAAAAAAAAUUUAAAAAAAUUAAAAACACAAAUUAAAAAUUAAAGGAUUGAAAUUUUCAUACAAAAAGUUAAAUCCGCAAAACCACAGUUACCCAAAUCCCCAUACAAACGAAAAAUGCACAUAAAAACUUAAAAAUCAAACAUUAAGAAAGCAUACAGGGUCCUCUGCGAGCCUUCAGGAUUGCACAGUAGGCCGGGUUUGGAUUGGUUCGACUCCAUUAACUACUCAAAGAUAAUUAGAAAGUUAAAAUCAAAGUAAUUAAAAAAUAAUCUGGGAUUUGGAAAUCGAAGGGUACUCGAAACUUACACUCGUUUUUGUUUUCGUAGAGCUUGAAAUCGCAGCUUUUAGUUUCCAGCACCUCCGUUCUCUUGUGUUUUGCUCCGGCCUGUGAUGUGGGCUUCUUUCGUAAUUUUGAAUGAGUUUCUGGCCAGAAAAAAAAAAGAACAAAAAAAGAGAGGGUACAAAUAAAAAUUUUAAUUUUCUUUUCGCUCAAGAAAUUGCAAUCCGAAUCAGUUUUAAGGUUUGGAAAGCCCAUAUGGAAACGCACUAAAUUUUAGGCCCAAAGGUAAUUAAUGACCAUCAGCCCAGUUCAUUGAAAAAAAACGAGUCUGUUGUUUUAAAAAGUAAUAAUAUGUGAGCCUAUGCCACUCGCACUUCUGUAUGAGUUUCACUUCUGUAUGAGUUUCGUUCUUUUAGUCACUUGGUAAUCAAUGAUUGAGUUUCGUUCUUUUAGGUAUCGUUUGAUAUGCAGACGAAACGGAAUGGAACAUGAUGGGAUGGGACAGGACAGGACAGGACGGAACGGAGAAUGAGCAAAUAUGCCCUCGGAUGGAAACAAGAAGGAAGAAGAAGGAGACGGAGAUGUUAUAAUUUUGUGUUCAUUGGAUGUGGAACGAGUCAUUCUAGGGAGGUGAGGCGGAACGAAAAUUCACCCAAGAUUCGUCCCGUGGAACAGCGCGUUCCACCCGUUUUAGGCGCACCAAACGUGAGACGGAACGUCUCGUCCCACUCUGUUCCGUCCCAUCCCACGUACCAAACGGUACCUUAGUCACUUGAUAAUCAAUGAUUGAGUUUCGUUCUGGUCAUUCACUCUUUGACUUUAAUAUAAACGGUAGGAAUUAAAACAUUAAAAAGAACAUGUCACCAGAUCCAUUACCGAACAUCUUUCUUAUGCUAAAUAUUUUGUUUUAAGUCAUAUUUGGGAAGGAUUAUGUUACUUAGUUCGUUUUGGUUAAUCCUCGUAUAUACUUUCCAGUUUCGUGUUGUUUUCUUGUUUCUGGGAAGUUUCGGUUUUCCUUGACGCAUAAGGAUAAUGGUAACUUUCUUUGUCUUUCCUAGUUGUAAUAGUUCUUGAGUUUCAAUCAGGAUUUGGUUUUAGUUUUCCCUUUCCAGAUUAGGAUUUGAAUUUGAGUUUCCUUGUGUAGCAAGUAAACAAGUAGUGGGUCUUUUUGAGUGCCUAUAUGUAGAGAGAGAAUCUAAACCUUUCUUUCACUUGUACUCUGAGCAUAGUGUUGGUUGUAUGUCAACAAUCUGUGAUAAUUUAUAUAUGCUAAUAAAUAAUAAAUGCAAUAGGAAUUAACAGAAUAUAAACUAGAAUACGAAUUAUAAAAACAAACAACUUGAAGAUCGAGGCUUGCGUACCGCAAUGUCCUUGAAACAGAAAUUUCGUCCCUACUCUGUGCUUGUAGUUCUACGGAUGUCUGCUUCACCAGGAUUCAACGAUCAAGUUAAAAUUCCAGCACCGGAAAAUUUAACUUCUGGCGAAUUUAGUGUGGUUCUCUCAGUAAGAAGGUUUAGGAAUGUAGAAGAUGAAGUUGAUUAUUUUCUGUGUUUUAGAUGCUAUGCAAAUGAAUGUAUAUAUAGCAUAUGGAUGCCUUUUUGCAACAGGUAUGAGAAUGGGGUGUGACUGUUGGGAGACAUCUCUUCAGAGGGGUGCUUUGCUCUGUGUUCAAAAAGAACUCUCAGACUUCAUCUGAAAGGAUGAGUCUUUUCAUAAAAAAUAAAUAAUUAAUUAAAUUCGAAUUUAAUUAAAAAAUAAUUAAGUAAAUCUGAAAAAUAAUUAAUUAAAUAAUUAUAUAUUAAUUACCAAAUAAUUAAUACACCCCAAAGCCCAACCCCAAGGGUGAGCCCAAUUUUAGUCUCCAGGCCUAUUACUCCAAUCACUUUCUUUAAAGGACAAAGCCUUAUAAAGUGAUAAAAUCUUUUGGGAAUGACCAAUGUGGGACAAGAAAAUUUCUACUCAAACUACUCAAAUUUCCAACACAUAGGAGCACAGACACUACCACUCAAGCCUUGCUGUGUCCGAAAAACCCUUUGGGCUCUGACCAUGCCCAAAUUCGCCAAUGCUUUUGCUCUGUUGGGCGAGAGCGAAAGUGAAGAUGUCAAGGAACUCAUCGAGGUGGUUGAUGAAAGGGCAGAUGUUUCGCUUCUAGAAGCCUUGAAGAAGAAGAAUGCGAUUGCAAAGAAGGAGGCCGAUGCAAAGAAGAAGAAGGAGGCAAAGGAGAAAGAGCGUCUGCAACGCGAAAUCCAGUUAAAAAAAUAAAAAACCAAAUGUGAACCGAAGUCUUCGUAGAUAACUAAAGAAGAAGUUGGAUAGAAACCAAGACGACAACAAUGCGGCAGCUGCUGAGGUUACAAGUGCUGCUGUGAUUGUUCCUGCUGAGAACAAGUUUUCUCCAUCGUACACUUUGAAAGAGUAUGAGAAGGAGGGAGAGAAUGACAAAUCCGCCACUGUCGAGCAGCCCCAGAAGCCUAAAGAUCAGCUUAAUAGGUGGAUUGAUAGUCUCCAAUGCAGGCAAGGAUCGUAGAUGGCGCCGAGAUUGGAUGAACCAUCAACCUGAUGCCAAGGUUUAUGUCAAUUGUUCGCAGCAAGCGGAGGUGGCAGAGCCGCAUAUUUCCUGAAUGCUGCGGAAUUUGCAGUCCUGUAACAAAUUGUAUUAAACUUUCCUAGUUCUUACUUGAACUAUACUUUUUUGCAAGAGAAGGGUCAUAGAAGCCCUAUUUUCUUUUAAAAAAAAAAGAGGACACUGGUGGCAAACCACGGUUAUCCAACUUACCUAAACACAUGCAUGCCGCAUGAUGUGUUUCUUUAGCCAAAUUCAAAUAAUACCAAAUCCAACAAUAGUUGCAAGAAACAAAAGUAGACUAGGCAUAACCUAGUUGGUUAAUAAUUCAGGAGUUUUCUUAAAUGAUAAAGCAAUGUUACACCUGAAUUCUCGCUCUCUUAUUUUAUGGACAAAAUUAUAUUGUUUUAAGGCAAUGUGAUCUCUUCAACAAAUCUUUAUUCAGUUUUUGUAUAUAUGACUAAAAUUUCAUGAUUAAACGUAUUAUCCAACUAUACAAAUUCCCUCAUUUAAUCAAUAUAAAUAGGUCAUCAAAUCAUACAUAGAGUUUGACAUAAACAUUGCACAAAGAAUUGGAUCGAUCAUGAACCUUUGAUGACUAUAACAAUAUAAAUACGCUCUACCUAGUUCGCCUGCACAUGAAUUGCAGACUUGGAUAUUGUUCGUGAUGGCUAACUCUCAGUUUGUACCAGCAUGUAUCAUGUUCAUUGCCAAUAUUGUCAUCGUCAACAUUGGCGCGGCAAUAGGCGGAUGGCCUAAUGGGCAUGCAACAUUUUACGGUGAUAAGCAGGGUGGAGGAACCUAAGUUUGAUUGUGUUUAUAAAGAAAUAAGUUAUUACUCGAAAUAUGUACGUAUAAUAUUAGUCAAUCCUAAACCUAAUGCGUACGUUUUUGUAUUAAUAUGACGACUAUAUAGUAAUCCAAAUUUAUCUGUAGUGCUUACUAAUUUUGGAUCUUUCAUGCAUUCAACUUUGAUUAGGGGGAGCUUGUGGAUACGCUGAUACCAACAAACAAGGCUACAGGGUGGAAACGACAGCCCAAAGUUCUGCUCUCUUCAACAAUGGCCAAACUUGCGGGGCUUGUUUCGAGGUUACGUGCGUGGAUGAUCCAAAAUGGUGCCUACAAGGCACCAUCAAAGUGCUUGGUGCAAUCCUCCCUCAAAGCACUUUAAUUUGUCCCAACCAAUGUUUCUAAAGACUGCAAAAUUCGCGGCCGCCGGAAUAGUCCCCGUUGGCUUUCAACUAGUGCCAUGCUUUAAGAGGGGAGGGAUCAAGUUCUAUCUCGGUGGGCGCCCUAAUUUCCUACUUGUGUUGAUACACAACGCUGGAGGGCUGUUGAAUUGGUCGAUGUAAAAGUAACAGGCUCGAGCACUGGUUGAGCACUGGUUGGAUACAAAUGACGCGUAAACUGGGGAGUGGGGACAAAACUGGCAGAUUGGAGGAGGUUUGGAAGGAAAAAAAUGGUCUUUCCAAGUAACAACUAGUGAUAGAAGGACGCUGGAGUCUCUCAAUUUUGUGCCUGCCAAUUGGCAAUUUGGACAAACAUAUGAAGGGAGAAACUUUUAGUUAAAAAUUCUUGUGGAACAUUAGUAGACCGUGAAACAAGUUUUCUGUUUGAGUACAAGAAGAAAGGAGAGAAUCACAAAACCGCUGCUGUCGAGCUACCCCAACAGCCUGCAGAACAGCUUACUGAGUGGAAAGGGAGAUUCUAACUUGAGUGCGAAGAAACAAGCACAUUGCUCUAGCCAUCUGACCUAAAAGUAUUUCAGAAUAUUUUGCAGAAUCUUCAAAGCUGCCUACGAGGUAUAAUUAACCCAUAAAAACAGAGCAAUCAUAAGAUUAUUAUGUACAAAAUAGUUGUUGACUGGGUGCUAAACCAAUAAAUUUGGGCCAGCUCAAAUUUUUCAUCUUUGACUAUUACACUAUUGCCCUCAAAUCAACCGACCGCGACAACCUUUUGAUGACUAAACAGUUCAAUUAUGUAUAAAAGCAUCUUCAUCAUUCUGCAGGCAGUCAAAAAUCUCUCUCUCUCUCUCUCUCUCUCUCUCUCUCUCUCUCUCUCUCUCUCUCUCUCAACCAUGGAUUUCAUGAUAGAUGUGAAUCACCAGAGGAUCCAAACCAAUGGAAUAUGGCUUCAUGUAGCCAAAAAAGGGACAGGUCCUCUGGUUCUCUUGCUUCAUGGCUUCCCAGAAAUCUGGUAUGCCUGGCGCCACCAGAUCGAAUACUUGGCGGAAAACGGCUACCACGUGGUGGCGCCAGAUUUGAGAGGUUACGGCGACUCUGACGCUCCUCUCAACCACAACUCCUACACCAUCUUCCAUAUAGUUGGAGACCUCAUUGGCCUACUUGAUCAUUUUGGUCAACAACAGGUGACAAGCUUUUUCUCUACAUGAAGUGAUUUCCGCACGACUUUAUUCUCGCAUGUAUAUUUUACACAUUUGGUUGAUUAAAUUAAACCGAGGAUUAAGGGCCAAAAAUAAGUAGAGCCCAAAGGAGAAAAGAGUUGUGCGGAAAUCAUUUUCCUUUCUUGAACUGCAAUCAAAGAAUUUAAAACUUCAUAUGAACAUAUCCAUGUUGUUAUGUAUGUGAGGGGUUUGGAUUUUUGAAAAUCUAAUGUAAUGGUUUGUGAUUUGAGAAGGCAUAUGUGGUGGGACAUGAUUGGGGAGCAGUUGCUGGUUGGAAUUUGAGCUUGUUUAGGCCUGAUAGAGUGAUAGGGCUGGUUAACCUAUCAGUUCCAUACUUUCCAAGAUCUCCAACAACCAAAACUACCGAAGCUAUAAGACAAAUUUUUGGUGAAGGAAGUCAUGUGAUUCAAUUCCAGGUACUUCCUCUCUCCAGAUGUUUGUAUCAAAAUUAGUAGCCACACGAGAUGUUUAUGUUGUCCGACUGUCACCGAUGGGGUUCUUACCUGAACGGUGUGGUCCAAAUUCACAAUCUAACAAUAUAUGUAUGCAUAUGUCACUUAAUUAUUGUUUCUUGGCUGAGAAGGAACCGGGAAGAGCAGAGAAAGCGUUUGCGAGGUAUGACUGUAUGACAGUGAUGAAGAAGUUCCUGCUGGUAACUAAUAAUUUGAUAGCUCCUCCGGACAUGGAGCUUAUCGAUUACCUGGAGACACAAUCAUCAUUGCCGGCAUGGCUAACUGAAGAGGAUAUCCGGGUCUUCGACAAAAAAUUUGAGGAGUCUGGAUUCACCGGUCCUUUGAACUACUAUCGCGCAAUGGAUCUGUAAGUUUAUAGAAACUUUACUGUGUAUUCCCAAGCUAAAAUUGAUUCAAAAAUAUGCCUUAGGUACAACCACCAUAUGCUUGAAGACUUCUAAUCCGAAUUGUACUUAAAAUAUACUCAAGUUACCAGCUUCUAUAUCCAAGAGAACCAUAGAAUAUUUUUUUGAUUCGAAGGAUAUUCUAAUCUAAUUGAAACUGAGAAAAGGGGGAUUCGAACUUGGUGUAGAAGGGGAAGCCACCGCUCUAACUGACUUGUCUACGCUUAAGUCUGUAAAAAUGCAUGGAGCCAACUCAACUGUCCUGCUUUUUUUUUUUGGUCGUUUUUAUUAGUCGGUUGAUGGUGAUGUAUAUCAUGUUAAACAGGACUUGGGAGCUGCUUGCGCCCUGGCAAGGAUCGAAAAUCAUGGUACCCGUGAAGUUCAUGAUCGGCGACAAAGAUCCAGGGUUUAAAUCCGGCGGAACAAGUGAAUUUGUGCAAGGUGAUGAGUUCGGAAGCCUUGUCCCGGACCUUGAGGUGGUUAUCGUAGGCGGCCACCAUUUCAUCCAACAAGAGAACCCUCAAGAAGUCUCCAGCCAAAUACUUUCCUUCCUCCGUCAACAUCCUGCAGAUCAGUGAAAUUUUCGUGUUAGAGUGUUUCUGUAUAAUUAUUGUUCUUCUUAAGACAUGUUGGAAAUCUGUUUAUAACCUCAUGUGAUAGCUACUUGAGAAGUUUUCAUGGAAUUGAAGGGUAGGGACAACAUUGAUGCGGAUCAUAUCAUCGAGGAUGAUACCGAUCAAUUUUAUGUUAAGGGCCAAAGUGAGGAAUUCUGUAAACUUCAAAAACCAGUUACAAUAAAAACUCAACUACUUUGUUUGAGGAAGCAUAUAGGCCUUGUUCCGUAACAGAAAUCUAGAAACUCGACACAUUACAAUACAAUCCAAUACAAUUUACCAUAGAGGUACAAUCCGUGAUACGAAAACCAAAUUCAGAACAAGAAAGGAAACAAUAUCGUCAUGUAAGCAGAUGUUGCGUUUCCAAAAUAUAAUCACAAUGGCACGGUGAAACACAUAGAAAACCAUAUACUAAAACACUUUUCUAUACAAGACAGAAGCAAAAUUCUUGGAAGGCAGUUUCCAGGAAAAUGACAUGGAUAAGCACUAAAAUUUAAUUAAAUGAAAUCAUCCAGUGAAUAUUAGUAUAUUCUUUCUACAAGAUGAUAUUUUAAACUACAUUAAUUUAUUUGAAACGGAAUUCAAACUUAUAUACAAGAAGACACAUACAUUAACCACCCAACUGGUUUAACCCCAUGUACUUAAAAAUUAGUCUUUAGGUCAACAAAUUGUACUUUUCUACACCGUACUCGUAUUGGAGCAUUUGAUACGUUACCCUUCUCUGGCCCGAUUCAAACUUGUCAUCUUUGACUGUUUGACAACCAGAAUUUUCAAGUCACAACUUCCCAAUCAUUUUCUGCAAAUUAUACAUAUAAAAAUGAUCUCUCUCUCUCUCUCUUCUCUCUCUCUCUCUCUACCAUUCACAACAUUAAGCACCAGCCUGAUGCCGUUGCGGAUGAUGUCUUUUUACAGAGUGUACAAAUCGAUUGAAAUUUUAAAAUCCUCCAUUAUUACAAGAAUAGAGAUUUGAAUUUGAGUGUGAGGACGUUAUCGCAUAGGUCCGACCAACUAACUUAAACACAUCCACAUGGUGUAUUUCUUUAGCCGUUCUAAUAGUACAAAAUCCAAGAAUAGUUGCAAGAAACAAAAUUAGACCUAGAUAUAGCCUAGUUGGUUAAUAAUUCAGGAGCUUUCUUAUAUUAUUUUACACUAUAUUAAAAUACAUAUGGCUCGAAUAAAAGAAUUAAAAUUAAUGAAACAUAAAAAAUCUAUCGCCUACUUAAAUUCGAGUAAUAAUAGGGAUAUCAAAAUUUUAAAACAAUGUAUCAUCUCAUGUGGCAAAGUGAUGCAUACAACUAACAUUUAUUUAGAUAGAUUAUUAAUUGACGUGACAAGUACACAUCACUUACCACAUUAGAUGGUACACCACUAUCAUACAAAAAUGUUACCUCUCUAAUAUUUUUUCCCUUUAAAUUCAAAUUUUAACAAUUAGACAACAAAAAUGCUAUUUUUUUUUUGGUUAAACGAUAAAUUUUGUUAUAUUAGAUAUUAGAUUAGUCACUGACAAAGUUCGAACUCACGCCGCCAUGCAAAGACUCAACUCUUUUCCAUAAUUGUGGUAAAAGGCCACUUGCACAAAAAUACUAUUCUUAAUUAUCAUCUAUUUUUACUAUAAUUUGUAUUAUAUCUCUAAUAGAAAUAAGACCCACAUGCGUUGGCGGGCCUUAUAUCUAUUAGAAAGAUAACAUAAAAGAUAAUACAACUAGAUAGUAAGUGUAGCAUUGCUCAUUAGACAAUACCCUUUGCGUCAACUAAUUGAAACAUGAAGUCUUGCUACUGAGUUUCAUUUCGUAUAUUGUCCAUUCAAUGCGAGGGCUGGUAUUAUGUUAAGGGUUUAAAUAAAAAGGCAAUGUAAAUCUCUUGAACAUACGUUAAUUCAACUACAAAUUUCAUGAUUAAACGUAUUAUCCAACUAUACAAAUUCCCUCAUUUAAUCAAUACUAGCUGCAUGCGCUCAUGCGCGUGCAUAAUGCAUUUUCUGAAUCACGACGUGCUACACGCGACUUACACCUUGUAAAUGUAUUUAUAUGUGUGAAUUGCUUCAAUAAUUUUUUUUAUGACAAAAAGAAAGUGAAAUAUUUGAAGUAAAUGAAUAAUAUUAGAUCAUGUUAAAAGAAACCCCUCAUAAACCAAUCAAAGCAGCUGAAUCCACCCCUUAGUGUAGAUAACAUCAUUAGUUAAAAAAAAGACCAUUUGACAACUAAUUGAAUCACAUUAUUGUGAGCGUGUGAAAACCUUUUUUUUUUAUGGAAAUUUGGAAAAAUAACCAAAAUUUAGACCCCAUGUAGAAUUAUAGCCACAAUUUUAAGUUUAUGAUAAUUAUAACAAAAAAUUGAUAUAAAAAUACUAAUAUACCCUUAAAUAGAAAUUAACAAAUAGGGAGAGUGUUUGAAUACAGAUCCAAAAAAACUCAAGCACAAGGAUUUUCUCAGUUUGAUUUGUGCGUGAUAAACAAAACUUGUUAUCUGGUUAAGAUGGUGGGGAUGGUUAAUUUGAUUAUCCAGACAUCUUGCUCUUGUUUUCGAGGCAGAAUGUCUUGAAUAAAGGAUUGAACAUCAUGGGUAUCCUAGUUUUCUGGACAUGAUUUUCCUCUCCUCGUUUCGUGUUUGCCCAGUGAGAGGGUUAUGUUUGUGCUAGUAGCAUUUUCAUUGACAUCGCUCAAGCACAUCCAGUUCACAUCGAGUCAUUUAUCCGGCAACACCUAUCGAACAUCAUUUGUUUCCGCGAAUGCCUCGUGGACAACUGAGGAAGAUUGCUUCAACUGUGAACACUCAUGUCUGAUACCUCUUGGAGAGCAUGUCUAUAUAGAUUUACUACGGCACCACCCCACCACACACAUUGAUUCGUUUACAUUUCGCAAUUUUUUUUUAUAAGUUUGGGGCAUCUAACUAGCAUAAAAAAGAAGAUGAUUAUCUAUAAGCUGGGUUUUGUCGAUUUCGAAUUUUGUAUCUGUUGAUGCACAAAACCGAAAGUCUUGGAACAACGUAAAUCCAACCGUGAAUCUGCAAGAAAUGUAAAUAACACAAGAUGUAUCGUGGUUCACCCCAAGGUUUGGGCUACGUCCACACUGAUUGUAUUUAUCUGAGAGUAUUUGUGAGGGAGAGAACCUCUGAAUAUGAGAGGGGAUGUGAGAGGGGUGAGAAGGCUCCAGAAUUGGCUUCCCUUAAUUGUGAGGGUGAGAAGUCCUUUUAUAGAAUAAUGACUCCUCACUUAUUGCAUAUUUGCCCAUUCCUUUAUCACAUAAUUACAUUUAAGUUCCCCAAAUAUUUGUAUGAGAUCUAAAUACGAGGCCCCAAAUAUAGUAUAAACAGUAUCAUUUUUUAUUUGGCAUUAUAUGAUUUUGGUAUGUUUUGUCUUUGAACUUGCAGUGGAAAUAGAUUUAAAUAUCCAUUUUUUGAGUUUUUAUUUUGAUACAAUUAUUAUGUAAAGAUAUAUUAGUACUUUCAUAUCAACUUUUGGUUAUAAUUAUCAUAAAUCUCAAAGGAUAGCUAUAAUUCUAUUUGAAGUCUAAAUUUUGGUUAUUUUUCCAAAUUUCCCUUUCUUUUUUCUUUAUCAUCGGUAAUACGUGUCUCUUAAGAUGUUUUAAACGUGUUUAAAAAUAGAGAAAAUAAUAUUUAAUAAAUAACUGAUUGAAUCACAUUAUUGCUAACCCAUUAUGAGACUAAGCUCACCCCCCUCUUCCUUAGUGUAGAUAAUAUCGUUUGUUUGGAAAAAAACACAAUCAUUUGACAACUAAUUGAAUCACAUUAUUAUGCGCGUAUGAAAUACCUUUUUUAUAACCGACACUACACGCUUCUUAAGAUGUUUUGAAUGUGUUUAAAAAAAGAGAACAUAAUAUUUAAUAAACAACUGAUUGAAUCACAUUAUUGCUAGCCUAUUGUGAGGUACUAAAAAAAACUGUACAAAAGGAAUUAAUUAUUAAAAAACAUUGUUUAUAUGACAAAAAUACCCCUGCAUUAUUUUGGACUGUUUUUGAAUUUUUUUUGUUUUUUUUUUGGGGGGGGGGGCAUAUUUUUGUUAAAAAAAAAAUUGUGAAGCCCGUGACCUCAAAAGGAAUUGUUGGUUUUAUAUAUAGAGAUAAAUAGAUUAUCAAAUCAUACAUAGAAUUUGACAUAAACAUAUGUUGCACAAAGAAUUGGACAGAUCAUGACCAUAACAAUAUAAAUACGCUUUACCUAGUUCGCCUACCCGUGAAUUGCGUACUUGGAUAUUGUUCGUGAUGGCUAACUCUCAGUUUGUACCAGCAUGUAUCAUGUUCAUUGCCAAUAUUGUCAUCAUCAACGUUGGCGGGGCAAUCGGCGGAUGGCUUAACGGGCAUGUAGCAUUUUAUGGUGAUAAACAAGGCGGAGGAACCUUUGAUUAGUUUGAUUGUGUUUUGUGAAGAAAUAAGUUAUUAUUCGAAAUACGUACGUUUAAUAUUAGUCAACCCAAAACCUAAUAAGUACUAGUCCAAUUUUAUCUCUAGUGCAACACUGAUUUUGGAUCUUUCAUGCAUUCAACAAUGAUUAGGGUGAGCUUGUGGAUAUACAGAUACCAACGAACAAGGCUACGGGGUGGAAACGACAGCCCUAAGUUCUGCUCUCUUCAACAAUGGCCAAACUUGCGGGGCUUGUUUCGAGGUUACGUGCGUGGAUGAUCCAAAAUUGUGCCUACCAGGCACCACCAAAGUAACAGCAACCAACUUGUGUCCUCCAUCCAAAAAUGCUAGUGCAAAUUGGUGCAAUCCUCCUUCAAAACACUUUGACUUGUCCCAACCAAUGUUUCUAAAGAUGGCAAAAUUCGCGGCCGCCAGAAUAGUCCCCAUUCACUUUCAACGAGUGCCAUGCUUUAAGAGGGGAGGGAUCAAGUUCUAUCUCGGUGUGCGCCCUAAUUUCCUGCUUGUGUUGGUAGACAACGUUGGAGGGGCUGGUGAAGUGGUAGAUGUAAAAGUGAAAGGCUUGAGCACUGGUUGGAUACAAAUGACGCGUAACUGGGGACAACAGACUGGAGGAGGUUUGGAAGGAAAAAGUUUGUCUUUCCAAGUAACUACUAGUGAUAGAAGGGUGGUGGAGUCUCUCAACGUUGUGCCUGCCAAUUGGCAAUAAGGACAACAUAUGAGGGACAAAGGGAGAAACGUUUGUUAAAAUUCUUGUGGAACAAUAGUAGAUUGUGAAACUGAACACUGUAUUUGACAAAGUGUUAGUGGGUUAAAUAAAAUUAAUCUACAAGCAACAAAGAUCAUUUUGUGCGUUGCUUAAGAAAGAUCUAAAUGUAUGUAAUCUAAAAAUUCAACAAAAAUAAAAUUAUCUUCGUUCCUUAUCCAAAUUUGUCCAUUUUGCACAUGGAAUAAAGUCUUUUAUGGUUCUCGUUGGGGAUGAAACCGACUAGUGUGCGUGUGUGUGCGCCCGCGCAGAGAGAGGCCAAACCCUUCUUCUCAUGUAUUCUGAUCUUAACAUGAGAAACACUACAAGUCAAGCCUUAUUGAGCCCUCUAUGGCGAAAUUCACCAAUGCUUUCAAUCUGUUGGGCGAGAAGAAACUCAUAAAGAUUGUGGACGAGAAGGCAGACGCGUAGCUCCUAGAUGCGCUGAAAAAGAAGGCGGACACCAAAAAGAAGGCAGAGGAGUAGAGGAGGAAGAAGAGCAUCUGCAGCGCCAAACUGAUCCACUAAAUAAUAAACCAAACGUGAAUGGAAGUCUUCAGAGAAAACUGAGGAAGCAAAGGCAUAAAAACCAAUAUGAAAACAAUGCAGCAGAUGCCGAGUUUACUAGUACUACCGCGACUGUUCCUUCUGAGAACAAGUUUUUGGUUUCAAUCACUUUGAAAAGAGUACGAGAAGAAGGGAGAGAAUCACAAAGCCGCCACUGUAGAGCAGCCCCGACAGCCUGCAGAACAGCUUACUAAGUGGAAAGGGAGAUUUUAGCUUGAGUGCGAGGGAACAAGCACAUUGUUCUGCCCCGGAAAGUAUUUCAAUAUUUUGCAGAAUCUUCAAAGGCUGCCUAUAUUGACUUUGGCUCCACAUCACUAGGGUACUAAGUGUAAUUAACCCUUAAAAACGGAGCAAUCAUAAAGAUUAUAAAGUACAAAUAAUUGUUGACCAAAGUUUUUUUAGUGCUAAACCAAUAAAUUUAGGCCGGCUCAAAAUUUUCAUCUUUUACUAUUACACUAUUGCUCUCAAGUUUACCAACUACAACGACCUUUUGACGAUUAAACAUUUAAAUUACGUAUGGAUAUAAGCAUCUUCAUCAUUCCGCAGGCCAUUGACCAAUCUCUCUCUCUCUCUCUCUCUCUCUCUCACACACACACACACAACCAUGGAUUUCAUGAUAGAUGUGAAUCACCAGAGGAUCCAAACCAAUGGAAUAUGGCUUCAUGUAGCCGAAAAAGGGACAGGUCCUCUAGUUCUCUUGCUUCAUGGCUUCCCAGAACUCUGGUAUUCCUGGCGCCACCAGAUCGAAUACUUGGCGGAAAACGGCUACCACGUGGUGGCGCCGGAUUUGAGAGGUUACGGCGACUCUGACGCUCCUCUCAACCCCAACUCCUACACCAUCUUCCACAUAGUUGGAGACCUCAUUGGCCUACUUGAUCAUUUUGGUCAACAAAAGGUGAGAAGCUUUUUUUCGACAGAAGUGAUCUCCCGCACGACUUUUUUCUCCCAUGUAUAUUCUGACAUUUCGAUUGAAUAAAAUCAAACAAAGAACUAAGGGGCAAAAAUAAACAGGUACGGCAGAAAGGGAAAAGAGUUGUGCAGAAAUCAUUUCCUUUCUUGAACCCCAAUUAAAGAAAAUUUAAAAUUUUAUGUGAACAUAUCCAUGUUGUUAUGUAUGUGAGGGGUUUAAGGAUUUUUGAGAAUCUUAUGUAAUGGUUUGUGAUUUGAGAAGGCAUAUGUGGUGGGACAUGAUUGGGGAGCAGUUGCUGGUUGGAAUUUGAGCUUGUUUAGGCCUGAUAGAGUGAUAGGGCUGGUUAAUCUCUCAGUUCCAUACUUUCCACGAUCUCCAACAACCAAAACUACCGAAGCCAUAAGACAAAUUUUUGGUGAAGGAUGUCAUGUAAUUCAAUUCCAGGUACUUCCUUUCUCUCCAGAUGUUCGUAUCAAACUCUGCACCCACCCGAAAUGUUUAUGUUGUCAGACUGUCAUUGAUUGGGUUCUUACCUGAAUGUGUGGUCCAAAUUCUCAAUCUAACAAAUAUAUGUAUGCAUAUGUCACUUAAUUGUUGUUUCUUUGCUGAGAAGGAACCAGGAAGAGCAGAGAAAGCGUUCGCGAGGUAUGACUAUAUGACAGUGAUGAAGAAGUUCCUGUUGAUAACCAAUAAUAUGAUAGCUCCUCCUGACAUGGAGUUUAUCGAUUACCUGGAGACACAAUCUUCACUGCCGGCAUGGCUAACUGAAGAGGAUAUCCAGGUCUUUGCCGAAAAAUUUGAGGAGUCUGGAUUCACCGGUCCUUUGAACUACUAUCGCUCAAUGGAUCUGUAAGUUAAAGAAAUUUCUCCGUGUAUUCCCAAGCUGAAAUUGUUCCUCAAAAAUAUGCCUUAGGUACAACCACCAUAUGCUUGAAGACUUGUUCUAAUCCAAAUUGCUAUUAGAAUAUACUCGAGUUACCAGCAUCCAAGAAAACCAGAGAAUAUUUUUUUUUGAUUCUGAGUGAUAUUCUAAACUAAUCUAAACUGGGGAAAGGGUGAUUCGAACUUAAUGUAGACGAGGGAACACACUGCUCUAACUAACUUAUCUACGCUUAAAAUGAAGCCAACCCUCCUGUCCUGCCUUCCUUUUUGGUCUUUUUGUUUUGUUGGUUGAUGGUGAUACUACUUACCAUGAUAAACAGGACUUGGGAGCUGCUUGCGCCCUGGCAAGGAUCGAAAAUCAUGGUACCCGUGAAGUUCAUGAUCGGCGACAAAGACUUCGGGUUUAAAUCAGGCGGAACAAGUGAAUUUGUGCAAGGUGAUGAGUUCAGGAGCCUUGUCCCGGACCUUGAGGUGGUUAUUGUGGGCGGCCACCAUUUCAUCCAACAAGAGAACCCUCAAGAAGUCUCCAGCCAAAUACUUUCCUUCCUCCGUCAACAUCCUGCAGAUCAGUGAAAUUUUCGUGUUAGUGUGUUUCUGCUUCAAUGACAAUUUCUGCUUUCUGUAUAAUUAUUGUUCUUCUUAAGACAUGUUAGAAAUCUGUUUAUAACCUCAUUUGAUUGCUACUGGUGAAAUUUUCAUGGAAUUCUAGGGUAGGGACAACAUUGAUGCGGAUCAUAUCAUCGAGGAUGAUAUCAAUCAAUUUUCAACGUUGAAGGAUUAAAGUGAGAAGUUUUGUAAACUUCAGGAAUCAAUUACAAUAAAAAAUCAACUAGUUAGUUUGAGGAAGGAUACAAACCUUGUUCCACAAAAGAAGUGAAACUUGACACAAUACAAUACAAUCCAAUCCAAUUUACUGUUCAGUAUAAAUCAGUUCAAUGCAAUCCUAUAUGGCUGUCUUUUUAGUCAAAAUAGUUCAUGAGAUUGAUAUAACUCCUCACUUUGGUCCUUGAGAUUUGAAAACUAUAGAAGUGGUCCCUGAGUUUGUCCACAAUCAAUCGUUUUGGUCCUUCCAUGAAAAUCUCUGUUAAAUAAAAGACCAAAAUAACAAAAAUACUCUCAGGAACCAAUUUUAUCGAUUUUAAAUCUCAAGGAUCAAAGUGAAGAGUUAUACUAAUCUCGAAGGCCAUUUUGGUUAAAAAAUCAUCCCUUAAUCUAUACACAAAGAGAACAAUCUGUGAUAUGAAAACCCAAAUUAAAACGAAAUAAGAAAAAAAUAUUGUGAUGUAAGCAGAUGUCGCAUUUCCAAAAUAUAUUCACAAGGGCACAGUGAAACACAGAAAAAACCAUAACUAAAACACUUUUCUAUACAAGAAAGAAGCAAAAUUCUUGGAUGGCAGUUUCCAGGAAAAUGACAUAGAAAAGCACUAAAUUUUUUAUUCAAUGAAAUCAUCCAGUGAAUAUUAGUAUAUUUUUUUUACAAGAAGAUAUUUUAAAUUAUAUUAAUUUAUUUAGAGGGGGGUAAGGCUAGCCGACAUUCACCUCUCCCAGACCCUGCGUAAAGCGGGAGCCUUGUGCACUGGGUACGACCUUUAUUUAGAGGGGGGAUUCGAACUUAAAUAUAAGAAGACAUACACCGACCAACUAAUCUAACCAUAUUUAAAUAAAAUUAGUAAUUGGGUCAACAAAUUGGGAACCGGAUCCCCUCUGGAUCCAUAUAUACUAAGCUUGCUGAGCAGGUGAUCCGGGUUGUUAAAAUUUGAUCUAACGGCUACAAUUAUUAUAACUUUUAGAGGAUCCAUGUUUGUAGCUAUUAGAUCAAAUUUUAACGGGUCAGAUCGCUUGCUCAGCACACUCAAUUUUAUUGGAUCCGGUUCCAACCAAUUGUACUUUUCUACACCAUAACUCCCGUUCUUUCUCCCAAAAAAAAAAAAAAAAAAAAAAAAAAAACACUCACGUUGGAGCAUUUGAUACGUUACCCUCUCUGGUCUUAUUCAAACUUGUCAUCUUUGACUGUUUGACAACCAGAAUGUUCAAGUCACCAACUUCCCAAUCAUUUUUCUGCAAAUUGUACAUAGAAUAGUGAACUCUCUCUUUCUCUAUCUCUCUCUCUCUCGCUCUCUCUCUCUCUCUCUCUCUUUCUCUCUCUCAGGAAAUAUGAAUGAUGAGGUGACUCACCAGAGGAUCAAAACUAAUGGAAUAUGGAUGCACAUAGCGGAGCAAGGGACAGGGCCUCUGGUGCUUCUCCUCCACGGCUUCCCGGAAAUAUGGUAUUCGUGGCGCCACCAGAUCAGUUUCUUGGCUAAGCAUGGCUACCAUGUUGUUGCUCCUGACAUGAGAGGCUAUGGCGACACCGACGCCCCUCUCAACCCUUCCUCCUACUCCAUUCUCCACCUCGUCGGCGACCUUGUUGGCCUCCUUGAUCAUUUUGGUGGACAGCAGGUUUCUCUCUCUCUCUCUCUCUCUCUCUCUGAUUGUUUCUUUUACUUAACAAUUGUCGUUCAUGAGAUUUGAACUACGAUCUAACAAAGCGGAGAGUUGGGUUUUUAGCAAGAGAGUUUGAUCGUUUGUGUCUUGUUGGAAAAGGCAUUUGUUGUGGGACAUGACUAUGGAGCCAUUGCAGCUUGGCACCUGAGCCUUCUCAAGCCCGAGAGAGUCAAGGCCGUCGUUGCACUAUCUGCUCCAUACUUCGAAAGGUCUUCAAGCACUAGGAAUUCCGAUUCGAUGAGGCAGCUGUUCGGCGAGGGGUGUUACGUUCAUCAGUUUCAGGUUCUUUUACAGCAAAACACAAACAUGUAGAAAUUGUGUUUUAACAAAUGUGUGUUUUUAUGAUUGGAUUUUCUAUGGCGUAGGAGCCAGGAAGAGCAGAAAAAUCGUUUGCGAGAUACGAUUAUUUGACGGUGAUGAAGAAGUUCCUGCUGUAUAACAAGACAGAUUAUCUGGUGGCUCCUCGUGGAAUGGAGAUAAUCGAUUAUCUGGAGACACCGGCGGUGUUGCCGCCAUGGAUUUCUGAAGAGGACCUCCAAGUCUAUGCUCAAAAGUUUGAGGAAUCUGGCUUCACUGGUGCUCUCAAUUAUUUUCGUACAAUUGAAAUGUAAGUGUAGCCACAUUGGUCUCGUCUGUGCACCUAAGUUCAAAUCUUCCACUCCGAUAUUUAGAUUAUUCAACAUAGAAAUAGGAACAUGUCACGGGCUUGGUUUACCUGUUGCACCUGUCUCUUUGAACGUGACCUGACCUAAUCUCUCUUCACGCGGUUUGGUUUGGUGUUGGGGCUGGCUUAAUUGCAAUUGUCAACCCUAGAGAAUCUUCAAUGGCUUUUAGGUUUUGAUUUGGUGAUUUGAUGCUACCAACCAAAAUGGGUCGGAUUUUGGGUCGGGUUUACCCUACUAACCGAAGGGCUUGGGUGUGCUUAAUUCGAAAUGAGAUCCACUCCUGAUCUUUUUGUUCGGAGGCCGUAGACCAAAAGAUCCAGACCGUUCAAGAGAGAGAAAGAGAUCCAGACUAUUCAAGUUUUUGGAUUUUUGUAAAGUGGACCAGUGGAAUGGACUAAUGAGAGUCGUAGGAUUGAAAUCGAGUGGUCCGGUUCUCUCAAUCUGUGGGCUUCAGACAUAGAAAUCAACUUUACCAAUCACUACACACGCUUGAUUUAGCUUGCACAAUACUGUUGAUAUGCUCAAUCACUUUAAUACUCUACUCAGUCUCACGUCAUAACGUUCGAUGGUAUUCAAUGGCUUUUGCUAAUUUUUGACAGCUGUUAACUUUGGAAAUGGAAACAGGUACUGGGAGCUCAUGGGACCAUGGCAAGGUUCAAAGGUUAAUGUUCCAGCAAAGUUCAUUGUGGGUGACAAAGACAUUGGUAUUGAAGUUCUGGGCACAAUGGAAUAUGUAAAAGGAAGUGUUUUCAAGAGUCUUGUGCCGAACCUGGAAGUCGUGAUCUUGGACGGCCACCAUUGUAUCCAGCAAGAGAAAGCUCCAGAAGUCUCCGACGAGAUUCUUUCCUUCCUACGCAAGUUUUCUACAGAAAAGAGUUUGCCAGUCUAAAUGAGAGUUUUGCCUUACCUAUUUUUCAAUGUUAAUACAAUGUAUGACAUUUGCAAGCAUUUGUCCGUGAGUGAUACGAUUCGCAACUAUUUACAUGCUUUUCCAAAAAUACCUUCCGAUACUCUUUUAAGUUAUGAAAUUUCAACUGAGAUAAUGUUUGAUGUAGAAAGAGUACUCAAAAUUGAGGAUGAAGAGAAGAACCUUACUCGUUCGUUCUAGCCAAUUUUAGAAAUUUCAGUACAUUUUCGUAUACAAUAAAAGUGAUCGAAGAAGCAGGAACAUUUUUCAGAAGAUUUGGUGUGAUUCCCUUGUAGAAACCUCGAAUGCCCUCAAACCUACAAGCCGCAGCAGGAAAAUAUGGAAAUAGAGAAGUUAGCAUCCGAGACAAAAUCAAAGGGGAAUUUAUCAAAUAAGAGCAACUUAAUGCCUUCAAUAACUAGUCUUCUGCUUUCAUACGUUAAGGGUAAUUGUCAUCCUUACCGUGCAGUUUCCCUUACUACAUGCCAGCUAUCCAUAUAUCUUGGAAUUCCUUCGCUACUAGGUCGUUGCUGACAAAAUGAGACAUUAGAAAGUUCCAAUCAUCAAUAAGGAAUACGAGCGAAUAAAACAUGUAGAAUCACAAAGGGCAACUUCCUGAACCCAUCGUGAUAAUAAAAGCUCAAACUGUUUCAGACUGGAGAAACUUGCACGUAUUGAGACCAUGUAAAGAGGAAAAAUAUAUGGAUAUACCAACCUGCAAUCGAGAUCGUAUCACCUGAAAAAACAUGAAAAGAAAAAACCAGGUCAUCGAAACUGCAUAAGUAAUAAUCUAAAAUUGAAAUGAACAUCUAAAAGAAUUUUACACCAGAGCUAAUAAUAUGUAUUUAUGCGUGCCUGGAAUGGAUAUGAUAGAAGAAUGGCCGCAACUUUAGAUGAUCCACCCAAUGCUGCAUAGUCAACUGAAUUCUGUGCAGAAACCAUUGGGCCAUAAGAUUCCGUAAACAGGCUGCUUAAUUGGCAAAAGAGCAACAAACAUAUGUUACCGUGCAACAAAUGGUGGUCUACAUUGCAGUAGCUGUGCAAACACUUAUACUUCUCCUAGAUGCAUCGUCAGGAAUUUAAUAUGCUCAAGUAAAUCAAUAAAGCAAAAGUUCCAAAUUCUUCAGAUGAACUAAAGUGGACAAAAAAUUGAACGACUGUUCCCCUGUGAGUGCAAGUGUAGAUGAGAAGAAAUUAAACUGAUGAUGAUUUGAUAAGAUGGAUUCCCAUUUGUGAAACAUGUAGUGUAUAAUCCUACAGCACUCUUUAACAUGCUGCGAUGUUAAUGCCAUAGAUAGAGGAGAUGAACAGGCACAAGGAAUGUGUGCUUUUCUCAAUCAUGAAUGGGUAGGUAUAUUGAGCAGAAGAUGCGUACUAUAGUAUAAUCCAAAUCCUGUUAUUACCCAAAUAUCCACUUUUUUUUUCCUUUCUCUUUUACGAAUUUGUAGAACAAAUCUCAUUUCCCCACCAAUCUGGGAUUUCUUCAUUUGGAGCAGUAAAUCCUAACCAAUGACUAGAGGACAAAUUUUCCAACAUCCGAAAAGGACCACUAUAGCGAACUAUACAAGAUAUGGGAAUGUAAGUAAAAAAAUCCAGAAAUUCUCGAUGUAUAGACGGAAAUAGAGCCAUUCUAUAAAUACCAGCACUGUAUCAGCACUUCCAGAAUGCGUUCUGCGUCUUUUAGACUUGAAGUCAACAACGAUUUUACGGAGUUCUUCAUAUGCUGUGAAUUGAAUAGCACCAUGAGAAACCUGCUGAAACAAUAAGAAGACUGUAAGCUGCAAAUUCUAAAGCAUGAAAGACUGGAAACUUUUGGGCACAAUUGAGACAUGUGUAUACUCUAAUGCAAAUGCACUUAUAUGGUCUUAACAUACAAUUAAAUUUAGAAAUACAAAAUAAUCGCCAGAAGCACUUCCAUCUCUCCGCUCGGCAUUGUAAAUCAUUAGAUAUGUCAGAUACUCCCAUAUUUUUCCAUAACAAAUUCUUCACAUGUUUCUUCAGUUUCCUUUUGCAUUGAUUAACUCAAGUAUUUGACAAAAUACAGAGAUCAACUUGAGUAUAAAUUUCGACAAUCAUUUCAUGACAUCACAACUAUGAAUAUGGUUUUUUUUUUUUUUUUUUUUUUUUUUGUAGUGAAUUAGUGAUGCAUACAAGCUGUACAGAGAGGCUGUUAGUGUCUGUGGGGAGACAAGAAAGUAACCCCAAAUCCUCUAUACAAGCUGUACAAAGAGGGGUCAUAUUAAAAACACAAAAAGAUCAUAGACAAAAAGCAUACCAGAAAGAGACUGGGAAGAAGACCUUUAUAAAGCGCAGCCCACCCUUCCUCUCUGAUUAUGGUUCUUAAGGCAUCUGAGAUAUGAAAAAAAAAAUUAAAAAGCAAAGUAAAACAAAGGUUAUGAACAUAAGUACAUGAAGAAAAUUCUCUAAAACAGACACAUCACAGAUGAUUGAGCAAAAGUUUUUAGGUGAUAGUUAUUGCAAAUUCCCUUGAAUCGGGAAGUUUUAAGUUUGGUAUAUGCUUGAUAUCAUUAUGCUCAUCUUUCUAAAAACAAGUUAGCGUUAAAGCAAAGCAAACUUCAUUACAAUUACAAUCCUGUCAUAUUGUCUAUGUCCUACUUUAUAGCCAAUCAGACCAAUCUUAUAAAAUAGGUUAUCUUCUAAUUCUAGAAGUCCUCAUCAAUAAUAGUUUAUUUUCAGCACAAAUUAACAAAUAAGGAAUAUUUAGCAAGCAACAAACUAGUAAGUGAGCCGAACAAACUAAAAAGGGGAUAUUGCAGUCAUUCCUAUCAAGUUAAAGUAAGAUAAGAAGCAGACCAUAAAACCCAGAAUAUGGUCGAGUUUGAUGGAGAGGAGUCUGAAGCUGCAAUCUUGUUUUUACAAGCCAAAUAGGAUUUGUGCACAAGGAAACCUGACAAAAUCACAACAUUGCUAUCAUCUAUAGGCAACCAUCCACUAAACUUCUGGCUACCUUCUAAAAGUAUUGGAAAGAAACAGAAAGUGAUUUAUUAUUCCUCUAAACACUUCAUAUAAAAUUUCAAAGUUUGAAACAUAUUAAUGUGAUUUCCUAACUUCCCACCCUCCAACAGUGUCUUGAUUUCAGCAUACAAAAAGUUGGAUAACUAGCAAUAAUAGGCACGAUAUGCAAUAUGCACAUAGAACUGACAAGCAGGAUUGCAUAAAACUUUGAUAAUUAACAACCGAACGUUCCAUUAACAUUUUCUACAACCAUAUUAUUCGAAGGUAGCAGAAGACUCACCAAAGCACCAGCUUCUGCCGCAGAAGCAAGAUGAAGGCCAGCGCUCAGCUGCUUUUCCCUGUCCUUCGAAUACCUUUCUUUUGCUCUUCCAUAGCUACAUACAACAGAAGUUUUCGGUUCACUCAUAACUUCCUUCUGAAAACAAUGAAAAGACCAAAAUUGAAAGCAACCCAAUUUCAACUGCAUUGCGAAAGUCGAACCCUUUUGAUAUCUCAAUAUUUAUCAAAUAAAAAAGCUCCAAUUUUAUACUAGAAAAAACCAUACAUUUCUACUUACAAGAAGAAAUAUAAACCCCAUGAAACAGUGGAGCCUAGAACCGCAGGAGAGAAGCCUGCGUAGAGUCCUCUCAGGCCCUGUAAAACACAAAGCAAUGUGAUCCCAAAUCAUCAUCUGACAAAAAAAAAAAAAAAACCCCUGGGGCGUUUGCAGGAGGAUAGAUUUUUACCUCCAAUCGAGCAAUGGUAAAAAUGGCGUGAGCCGUGUUCUUGUAAGUCGGAAGAUUCAAGACUCGACCGUCGUUGACUUGAAAUCUGGUCCGGACAACGUCGAGGGGAUGCAUAGCGGCGACGGUGGCGAAUCCUGCGACGGCGCCGGCGGUGGCGGUUUCCCACUGCCACCGCGACGCUGACGACAUUUGUAUUUCACGACAGAUUUAGAAGACGAAUUGUACUCUUUAAGCUGUGCAGCUCUGAGUUCUGAAGAGUGAAGCGAGCAGGCUUUUCUAGGCGAUCGACCGCGACGUCGUCGUUUACGAUUUUAAAUCGAACCGCCAGGUAUUUUACCGGUAACGACUAACGAGUAACGAAGUGGCGGCUUUGCCUCUCGACUCUUGAGUGCCCUCAGCUGUGACCCAGACCGUGCCGUUGUGUGUGCAAGGUGCGUACUUGGUGUUUUAUAAAACUGGUAUCUUUCACAGUUUUUGGUGGAAAAAAAAAAAAAAUGUGAAGCAAUAAAAAAAAUGUGAAGCAAUAAAAAUAAACUUAUUUUCACAGCACAGUAGAAUUAGUUUUUUUUUUUUUCAAAACACAGUAAUAUCAAACCAGCUCUUAUACCGGUUUGUUAUUGAGGUGCUUUUUAUAAAAAGUGGGUAUCAAAAAAAGCUGAGCUCAAAAAGAUGUUUGGUAAACACUUAAAAACAAUUUAUUUUUACAACUUUUGGUGAAAAAAAAAAAAACUAAAAACGUGAAGCAGCAUAAAUGUUGGAUUAUAUGUUGAAUGUUGGAUUAUGAUUUCUUGUUAAACGUUGGAUUAUAUGUUUAAAAUAAAGUUUAUAAAUAUUUUUCUUUUAAAAAUAAAGUAUAUUUAGUAAUUCACUUUUAUUUGUUAAGAAAAUUAAAUUAAUGGCACAUCUAGUAUUAUACUAUUUUUUGUCAUUACACACAAUCACAGCUGUUUUACAUAAAAGUUUACCAAACACUAUAAUACUGCUUUUUUCCAAAAGCACUUUUACAAAAAAGUUUAACAAACACUCUGCUGCUUUAUUUCACAGCUGCAUACUCUCACAGCACAGCAGAAACGGUUUUUUAUUUCAAAGCACAGCAAUACCAAACUAACCCUUAAACAGUGUCGUUGGAAAGUGUCUAGACUAGGCUUAUUUUCAAACUAAUUAGGUCCUAUCCUUCGAAGUGAAAUUAGUCACCCUAGGAUAAUUCAAGUUUUGAAACCUCAAUAGAUUUUGGGAUUCUGAAUUUUAACAUACAUUUCAAUUCUAAUACAAAUUGUCUCGAAAGUUUUUGGCAUACGAGACUUCGGAUGUCAAAUUUGAUUCGGAUAACGCCAAAUUUGAAAGCUUUCGUAUAAAAACUUAACCAAUUCAAAAUUGUCUAUCCAACUUGCACUCCAUAGUUCCCAAUUUUUCUAAUACUCAAGUGCAACUAGGGUUUAGACCGACGAAUAUUAUAACUGGUCCACAAAUUUCAAAUCCUGGAUCAAAUUUUAAUCCAAACCCUGAUUGAACUUAUUGCAUCGGAAGAAAAAUUGCUAGUUUCAACUCAUCGUAUUUGAAUUCACUUCGUAGUAAGUAUGGUAUAAAGAUAUGUUAAAUUGAUGAUAAGUAAGCCCGAACAGACACAAGAAAGAGGCAUAGGUUCGCACUACGGAAUUCGCAAUAAUGUCCCUCAUGAUCUCCCACCAUUCACAAGACAAGAACCUGCAGCCUCAUGCGCUGCCGCGCUAGCCCAAGAAGACAUUGCAGCACAAGGAAUGCCUGAACAACAACAAGAACUUGGACUAAGUUGGCUUUUUGGAUAUUCUGUACCUCCUCAUCUCCUGCCACCAGUAGCAAGCCUUCGACACUCCAUUCUGUUGAGUCCCACGUUGGCUAUACAAAAAGAGAAAUAAUAGUUUAAAUAUCAUAACUCUACUCCAACUAACACUGAUGUCUUUUGUGAUAAAACUCCACACCUGACGGAUUGUGCAGGUAAUAAUUACCAAGUUGGGGAUAGUAUUGGUGUUGUUGGAAGUGGGCUCUUGGCCCGUUUCUCGGAUAAUUCUACACAUUCAGUUUCAAGAACCUGCUGCCCCUCAUGUCUUGCAAGCCAGGAAAGCCAUUGCAACGCAAGAACUAGGGCCAGGUUCGUACUGUGAAACUCAGAACUCUGUACCUAAUGAUAUCCCAUCGUUUCCAAUCCUCAAGAAUUCAAUUCAACUUCAAAAGCCUGCCUGCUCCACAAGCCCAGCAAUCCCAAAAAGCCAUUGCUGCUGCACAAGAACAUCCAAAACUGGAACCGGGAUCUUAUUAUAAAAACGUCAACUACGUGCCUCCUGAUAUCCCACCGGUCCCAAGCAUCCAACACCUGAUUCAAAUAUGCAGCAAGCCUUUUGAGAAGCAGUUGGCAAAAAACGAUGUGACGCGAGAGUUAAGGCUGAAGGAUUGUGAUGUGGAAACGCACAUCUUGCCGUUGUUGAACCCGUCUGAGGACCCUAAACAAGGAAUCUGGAUCACAGUAUACGACAUCGCUGGUAGUGAGUACAAGAUGAUGUUUAAGGCCACAAGAGUCCGCAAUAAUAUUCAAGCCCUUACCAGUGUAGGUUGGAAACAUUUUGUUGAACAUCAUGGCCUGGUGAACUGCCAAGAUUUUGUUACCCUGUGGGCGUUCAGGAAUGCACAAACUGGAAAGCUAUGCUUUGUCAUCUGUUUGAGAUAUGGACUGCAGCAUGAAAAGGUCUAAAAAUGUCGAUGAAGUUUCAUUUGGUUCCGGUUCCAUCGACUUGUAAUUUUGAGGUGUACACAUGGAUCAAGAUCAUUUUUGUGAACCAAUUUAUCAAAAUGCUCGGUGUAACUUUAGCAAAGUAGAUAUCAUAAAUUCAACUUUGUGAAUCAAUUUACGAAAAUGCUAGGUCUACAACAGUUGGUAAAGUAAACGUAAUGAAGUAGAAGAUAGGACUGAAUGUAACAAAUCGAAACAAAACUUGUGCAGAUACAUUAUUCUUACUCAAAGAAAGAUGAGCAAAGCAACUGUAUCGAUGAAUGCCUUUCAAAAAACGAAUGCUUUUCAUCAUGAAGAUCUCCUAAUAGACUCGGUUAACUGCACUUCCACUGUGAUGAAUCACUAUUUUGCUACUCUACAUUUUAACAAUCCUUGCCACCUGAAACUUGAACUUCUUCAAGCAUCUCUCCUCCUGGAGAGUCACCAAAAGAAAAUAUAAACCAUUAGGUACUGAAGUUGCAUAACCACAUCAAACCAGAAAAGAGUGCAGUAACGUGCAACGAUAACAAGUGCUGUCAAAAACCAUUUCCUGAAACCAUUGACAAGUGAUUUGGCCGAGUGGGUGAUACCAUUGUGCACUUAUGUGUACUGCAAAACUGACGUGUAGCCGUAUGCACAUUCGGACACUCAAAUAAUUUCCGAGGUAAACACAGAUUUUCCUACUAAUUCCUCUAUGACAUUCUCCAGCUCCCCAACAAGGUCAUGCUAUAAAGCCCUAAAUACCAAGGAAACCUAUUCACUAUUUAGAGACUGGAUGAACACUGGAUUCGGGACACGACUCAAAACUCAUAGUACCUAUAUAACAUCCCUAAAUUCUCAGUAACCUUUACAUAUGAACAAUAAAUAGCCUAAGACUAGCCGUUAAUCAUACUGAACAAAGCUGGAAUUCUAAACCAGCAUGCUACGAAAACUUUCCGGGUUACCGAUCCCUGAAAAACAACGAAAAAGCUCAAAAAGGGUUUAUAGCUCCUACAGCCAAACUACAAUGCACACCAUACAUUCAAACUUCAGUUCACAAAACGCAGGAGCAGAAUUCCAGAAUUUACCUCACUCCAUAGAAACUUUGGCACCAACUUCCUUCAUCUUGGCAACAAUCGAUUCGGCCUCCUCCUUCGUAACCCCCUUCUUCAACAGCGUAGGCGCCUUCUCCACCAAGUCCUUGGCCUCCUUCAGCCCCAAAUCCGUAAACGUCCGCACCUCCUUAAUCACCUUGAUCUUCGCCGCAGCGUCGAAAGAAUCGAGCUUUACAUCAAACACCAACUUCUCCGCCUUCUCCUCGCUUUUGGCCGCCGCCGCGCCGCCCUUUCCGGCCCCCCUCAAGCCGCCGAAUCCCAUCCCGGGCAUCAUCAUCACCAUCCCCGGCAUCUCCUUCACCCCCAAUUUCUCCCUCAGAACCUCCGUGAGGUCCGAGACUUCGAGCAAAGUCAGGCCCGAGAUCUCGUCCGCGAUCGCCGAUACCGAUUCGGACGGCGGCGGCGGCGUCUGCUCCGGUACAGCGGUGGUGUAAUUGCACACUACAUGAGAGAAAAUCUGGGGUUUCGAUUGGAGAGACGAAAUGGGAAUAGGAUUUGGGGGGUUUAGGGUUUUUUUAAUGCAGGAAAAAUGUGGGGAAAUGAAUCGUAAAUAUCUCAUUUUUUUGGGUUCGGGAAUGCGAUUUUAGGGAAUUUGAGGUAGCUAUCUGGGCAUGGCGGUUGUCGUCGGAGCAUAGAAUUUCAGAAGGUUGGUGGGUCCAUGGCUUUGAAGCUCUCAGAAAAAGAGUGAAGAGUGAUUGGUAUGGCGCGAGUGGGAGUAACCCGCUGAAGCCUGCAGGCUUAAACCCUACAGGGACGAAGGGUUAUGUUUUGGGCUUUGUGAAAUAAAAUCAAUUAUGAGCCCAAAUCCGUUUUGGGGCCCAAGAACACCAUGUUCUUGUUUGUACAAAAUAUCCGUCGAUGUGGUGUCAAAUAAGUAGUGGAUCAAGAGUAAUGGUAUUCUUACCGCAAUUUUAUAUUACAUUUAUUUACCAUCUUAGGUGGCAGAUGAGUUGGACAAGUUACAUCAUUUAAUUUCAAUCUUUUUAUUAAUUAAGGCGGUGUAGUCAAACUUGGAUUUGAAAGGAUUUAAAAGAUUUUAAAAUCCUAAUCUAGUCAACUAAUGGAUUUUAAGAAUCCAUAUAAAUCUAGGUGUAGUCAAUGAAGAUUUUAAUAGUCAGUUUUAAAGUUCACCCAAAUCUAGAUGUAUUCAAAAAUUAAAGAUUUUGUAGGAUUUCAUUAAGUUGUGGAUUUUGUAUGAAUUCAUUAAGUUGUGGAUUUUGUAGGAUUUGAGAGGAGGAAGUAUAUAUAACAAAUACCAAAUAGAAUCCUACCUCACACCAUAGGAUUUUAAAUCCUAGUUAAACGACUCCUCUUCUUCUCAUUGCCAGUCACUUUCUUUGCUGUAUCUUCUUCCUUCAUUUUUGCAAUAUUUUCUUCAAUUUUUGUUGUUGGGUUGCAUCAUUUUAUGCAAUUUUUUCUUCAAUUUUUUGUUGUUGGGUCGCAAUCUUUCUUCAUGUCCGCAAUGUUUUCGUUGCUGCUGGACCCUCAUGCUAAUUGCUGCUACGUGUGCGGCAUGGGUUCAUGAAUGAAUAAGGUGACAACGAUUGAAUUCGUUUCUUCAUGUGUGCUUAUUUAUGCUUUUUUUGUUGUUGGGUCGCAAUCUUUCUUCAUGUCUUCAUGUCUACUUAUUUAUGUUUUUUUUUUUUGGGUACCAUGAAUGAAUUCGUUUCAUUAAUAAAUAUCAAGAAUAAAUAAGGUGACAACGAAAGGGAUAAGAAUAAAGUGAGGGAGGAAGUAGGAUUGGAAAUGGGUGCACUGGGGAUCUUUGAGGAGUUAGGUUUAUGUGAUAAUCUUGACUUCUUUUUUUUCGGCUCCAAGGGAUGCAGCUCCAGAUCAUGAACAGUUUCAUUUGAUUAAAUUUACCUAGGUACAUUUAUCACCAUUUGAUUUAUUUGAUGGUUAAGAUUCAACAUUACAAAAUCUUUCAUUAAAAUCUUCUCAAAUCUUCCAAAAUCUAUAGGAUUUUGUAGAAAUCUAUAUAAUCCUAUGAAAUCCAUCACGUAUCAAAAUCUAUUAAAAUCCCCUCAAAUCCAAGUUUGACUACACCCCCCUAAAACACUUAAAUAAUCUUAGGUGGAAGAAGGAGACUUCUUGUAUACCAUAAUCAUCAUUUAAUUAACAAUCUUUUUAUCAAUUAUUGAUUAACAUUUUGAAAUUAAAUGCUAAUUAAUUUAGAUGAUAUGGCUGUCCACAUCAAAUGACACCUUAGGUGAUACAAAAUUAUGGUAAGAAUAGCAUUAUUGGUGGAUCAAACUGUUUCAUGUGAGUUUUUAUUUUCAUGUCUUAAUAUAGAAGACUAUGUCUUGGCGCUAUAUGAAAUAUGAAUAUUAAUUAAUAAUAGCAUGACACUUCGAAUUCGAUAUGAUAAAUUUUUUUAAACCCUUAAAUUAUGUAUCGAAAGAGUAGUAUGAGAUAAAAUGUAUUUCCGAUUUUAUCUAAUCUAUCUGGAGGCCUAUUUUAGUGUCACAAACUUUUUUUGUUUUCAUGCCGGGAGGCUUUUAACAAUAUUUAGUGUAACAUCUCACAUCGCCCAGGGGAGUGAUCCUUAAAUGUAUAUUCUCAUCCUUACUUAGCACGAGGCCUUUUGGGAGCUCACUGGCUUCGGGUUCCGUCGGAACUCCGAAGUUAAGCGAGAAGGUGGCCAGAGCACUCUCAUGAUGGGUGACCCACUGGGAAGUUGCUCGUGAGUUCCCAGAAACAAAAUCGUAAGGGAGUGGUCGGGGCCCAAAGCAGACAAUAUUGUGCUAUGGUGGUGGAGCGGGGCCGGGAAGUGAUCCACCCCGGGCCGGGAUGUGACAUUUAGGUUAUGAAAGAAUAUGAAAAAAAAAAAAUCUUGUUAUUUUAUUUGAAAAAAAAAAAUAAAAAACUUUGGGUCUCAGUUUUUUAUUCCUAACUCAUAGCCUUCAAGUGAUUUUUCUUCAUUACUUAUAGGCGCUUAAUAUCGACACAUAUUUAACUGUUAAAUUUAAUUUAAUUAUAGAAAUUAAAUGACCAAAGACAGUUAAAUCAAAUACAACGGUCAAAUAUGUGACUAGGAACGGAAGAAAAUUUCCAAAAAGCCAAAUGAAUGAAGAAAAAUGGUGCAAUUUCCAUUAAAUUUCAUCAAGUGAUGCCCAUAAUUUAUCCUUGAAAUCACAAAAUACACACACACACACACACAAAAUGCCCACAAUUUAUCCUUGAAAGCACAAAAUACACACACACACACACACACAAAAAGAAGAAAAGCGAACUCCAUACAAAUUUCCAGCACCCUCAUAAGCUAAGAGUUAACCUUCCUGCAGCUCUUCCUAAUCUCUCCCCUCGACCCCGUAAUCGGAGAAAUAUUCCCCAUCUUAACCAUGGACUUGGCAAACUGCUCAAAGAAAAGCUCAUUGUUCUCUGCAUACUGCUGCACCAACUGCUUUGACACCUGACUUUUCGUGACGAGAACUUCGUCCGAGUUCAGAAGCCCCUUGAUGGCCAGCAGGUUCUUGAAGUAGCUGUUGUCGAACUUUGUAGGGCUCACAAAGUCCAUCACGAACAGGUUCUGGUCCCCGCCGGAUCUCGGGCACCUGGUUCGAAGCUGGGCGGCGUAGGACUGGUCGAGGGUGAAGUCAGCCAGACCGUUGCCCGACUGGUUGUAGAGCCUCUGCCUGAAGGAGGUGCACCUGGCAUUUCCAAUGGUGUGGCUUCCUGCAUGAACACAAAGUUUAGCGCAUGUUAAUAUUUGGGUAAUUUUUAUUUUGCAUGUUGGAGUUGUGUGGCUAGAUACAAGUUAAAUGUUAGUGAUUACUAAUAGCACCAAAGUCUUUUGAGAUAGUACCCGACGGAUUUGGAUCCUCUCCGAGGUAACUGGUCAAGAUCCUCCUGACCAGUAUUCGUGAACCGUUGGAUUUUUAUCCAACGGCUACAAACAGGGGACCCUCUAAAAGUUAUAAUAAUUGUAGCUGUUGGAUAAAAAUCCAACGGUCCACGAACACUGAUUAGGAAGAUCUCGACUAGUUGUCUCGGAGAGGAUCCACUGUCAGACUAGGUGGGCUCCAACAUAGUGCAAAAAUUGGGAAAUUAAUCUCUUGGUGCUAAUUCUUAUAAAGUUCAUCCACUUUGUGAAAAUUAACCUAUUUCACCCUAGUGAAAAUUGGCCCACUCCACCUUAAUAACAUCGAACAAAGUUAAUCACUCAACAAACAUUGACUGUAAAAGGAUAAAUUAUAGUCCACUUCUAUGAAAAUUCUUGGUUUUGCCCUUGAAGGUUAAAUUUGAGAUUAAUAUCGGUGAUACCCACACCGAUUUUCUGUAAAACAAGGUAGUAUAUAUAAAAUGGUGUGUUGGGAAAAAAUUUACCAGAUAGUGCAACAAGAUCAACAAUGUCGAGCUUUUUCAAUUUGAACUUGGUGAGAAUAGUUUGGAAUGUGUUGUUUGGGGCAGGAAUGUUGUUGUUGGAGCCACUCAAACUUGCUCCUCUUGAAUCCCUUCUUCCAAGUGGGACCUCCCAGUUUGGCCCACCAGUCUGAAAUUUUAUGCAACAAUUGACAGACAGCAUAUGUUAGAAUUUAGGCUUUUGUCACACACCAUGCAACUUACAAAAAAAGCUAAAAUUUGUAGAAGCACUUACCAGAACAGUUGAGUCUCUAGCAGCAAGAGCCAAAAUGUCAGCACAAGACACAGUGCUGGGGCACUCAUUCUCCAGUGCAGACUUGAUUUCGUCAAUCACUUCGAACCCUCGCGCUGAAUUCUGGUUCGGGACAGACCUCUUUUCGGUGAUUAUGUUCUGGCUGCUGUCCAGCAGAAGUGAUGCAUCACAACCCUGCAAAAUAGGUAGCAAGUAGCAAAACAAUCUUAAGUACCUCACUCACAUAGAUGUACGUGUAACUAGAAGUAACUGGGACACUUUUUGUGAUCGUAUACCUUCACGAAACAGUCAUGGAAAUGCAGCCUGAGCAAAGAAGCUGCCAUUCGGGUUUCCCUAGCAACUGCUUUCGCAACAACGGACUUGACAAUCUCUUUGGCUCUGGGGCAGGAGCGGUCAUAAAACUGUGGGUAGAGAUACCCACCAGGAGUUUUGUCACAGAAACAUAGUGGAGAAAAUGCAAGAAGAGAAAGAGCAAGAAGGAAGCUCAAAGAGUUGGCCAUAAUAAUGUGGUUUCUUGGAGAAGAAGACUUGAAAUUUGAAGACUUUGGUUUGAUGAAUCCUUUGGUUGGAUUGAUGAAAUUUAUAGAGGGGACUUUGUCGGGGGAGAGAGAGAGAGAGAGAGAGAGAGAGAGAGAGAGAAGCUGCAUGGAGUUGGUAGCUUACGAUUGCAAGCUGCUACACCAGUAGACAGGAUCAAAAGAGAAGGUUGGAGUGGUAGCUUUCAUGCUUUUGGCAGAUGACAAAUCAUAAUUAUGGUAACUUCGUUUCUAAUUAAGAUGAUAAUAAGUUAGAAGGUCUAAGCUUGUUCUAGAGGAACAAAUCUUUUUGACUCACAAUGCAAAACUGCUAGACAUAAAAAAAUUUACAGUGUGAUUAUGAAAAUUUUAUAGUGUGAUACUGGAAUACAAUCAUGUGGUAUAAUCAGUCUACAUGUCACAAUAUAAACUAACCACGGUUCUUUAGAGUUGAAUGGCUACAGUAUCAAUCAAAUAUUCAUGAUACCAUAACACAUGAACUGGCUAUACCACACGGUAUUUUAGAUUUGGAAUCCGAAAUCCAACUAGAUUGACAUGUAAUCAUUAUAAAGAAACAUUAAAGCCUCUUUCACUUCAUUAGGAGAUUGGCAUCUUUUAUAUUUUCAAAAUGAGAAUACUUCAAUAUUGGUGUUCGAUCACAUCAUUCAUAAGUACUCUGAGCAAAAACGAGGAACUCCAUGCAUUUAGUUUCACCUGAUCCCGAACUAGUUCCGCCUAGUGUAAAAAUUAAAUGCCCAAGUUCCGGCUCCCCGAAUAUGCUUGUAUCAAGGGAAAAAAAACCUAGUAUACAUGUCUUGUAUUAUUGUUUGCUUUUGCCUUCCUUACUAAUUCAUGAGUUCACAUUGAUUCCAUUAGUUGGUUAAUCAUUAAAUUUUUCCGUUAUCAUGAAGCUUAUAUGCUCGUGGCUUUCUGAGAAUCAAUAAUUUUCAUAGAUAAUUGUUGCGCGUUCAAUGUGUUGUCCUGUUACAUACUUACACCUGUUUGGGCAUGUUAGAAAACUUGGAUUAAUCCAAAGAAUAUGAUAACGGGAAUAUUAGGUUAAUCUGGACGGUCCAAAAUCUAUAAUAAAGAUAUCGUAGGCUUGGUAGGAGAACUACUUCUAUAAGCAUCCCUUAAUUGCAAAUAAAAGCAUAUGCCAUUACAUAUAGCAAGUAUAUCCCUAACAUUGCACUUGACAUAUUAACGAACAAGCAUAUGACUAUUUUGUCUAGUCGCAUUCAAUUUUUACUUUGUUAAAGAAGAUUCUAAUUUCAAAGCUCAUAAACGAUAUUUGUUAAUUAAAAAAAAAACAUGAUAUGAAUUGAAUUCGUUUGACUCACAAUAUCACCGUGCUAUGACAAUUUGAUCUCGUUGAAAGACAAACAUUUUGCAGUGAAACUUCUAAACCUUUGUGUGUUAUACUAGUACAAGUUAGCUGAUAUUCAGCGUGCUAUGAAAAUUUGAUCUCGUUGAAAGACAAACAUUUUGCAGUGAAACUUCUAAACCUUUGUGUGUUAUACUAGUACAAGUUAGCUGAUAUUCAGUGUCAUGACGGUCAAAUUGCACCAUAUCUUCUUUCAUUGGGCCUCGGUGUUCCUCGAGUAGGAGUAUGAGAAGGUGAACGUUCCCAAGAGGCUUCACUGGCAAAGGCAGUAUUAAGAUCUUCGUGUCGGGUGUAACUUUGCCUUGUGUCACUCACCUAUUUUUGUAUCCCCAAAUUAAGAACCAUUAGAAAGUAUACAGUGGACAUGGGCACUGAUUAAGCUCAGUUGCCUUGUAAGGUUUCUCUACAAUUUAAAACUAAAGCAUCUUGCAGCAGGAUCUAUUUGUUCCUAAGAAUUCGAGUCUAACAAAGAAAUGUUCUAGGACAAUGCAGGGAAAUUGCCGUCUUAACAAUCAGAAAAAAUCAUGAUGAUUGUCCUCAUAAAACCUAUACAUUUACCUAAGGAAUGGUGCCCAACAUGCUUCAGUUCCCCCCGGGCUUAUGGUUGAGCCCCUUAUUGCAUGGUCCGCUUUACGUUUUUAAGAAAGCAAAGAGUACUCAUCAUAAGAAUAUUGUUGAUUAAAUAAUGGGCUCGUUUGGAAGGGUUUUUAAAAUGAUCGAAAACGCGUUUAAUGAAAAUGUUUUUGGGUUCGAAAAACACUUGAAGUGCUUCAUUCACUUGCAUUUUUAGUAAGGAUUGGUCUCAAAAUCAUUUUAACAAAAAACGUUUUCAGUUAUUUAAAAAGUACUUCCAAACGAGCUUGAUAUUAUAUUUCGGCCACAUAAGUAGUUUAAAUUCAUUAGCCUCUCAUAUGCAUAAGUCAUAAGGCAACCAAUCAUUUGCUAAGUCCAAGGCAUACAACAUAAAUCUUAAUGCUAGUGAUGUAUGCUUACAGUUUCUAAACAAGCAGAUAUAAUUUGUCAUGCCCGGCAAUGCGUCUAUCCCACGCUGUAUGUGAUCAAGCGUAAAUAUUAAACAUAUAACUGAAGACAUACCAAUUGAGCCUACGAUGACAAACUGGAAAUUAAAAAACCAUCCAAGAUAUUGAAGCCAAAGAAAUAAGGCCUACCUUCUGUUCAACUCGAGUCUUGUAUAUAAUGUUGGAUAUAUGUCAACAAUCUAUGAUAAACUUGCAUAUACUAAUAAUAAAUAUAUUACAGAGAAUAAACAAGAUGAAAUAUUAUUUAAGCAGAGAAACAGAAGAUCGAGGCUUGCGUACUGCAAUGUUUUUGAAACAAAAAUUUCGUCCAUACUCAGUGCUUGUAGUUUUACAGACGUCUGCUUCACCAAGAUUCAACGAUCUAAGUUAGAAUUCCAACACCGGAAAACUAGACUUCUGGCGAAUUUGUUUGUGGUACUCUUAGUAUGCUUGGUAUAUAAGGAUUGAUGAUUUUCAGUGUAUUGAAUGAUAUGUAGAUGCAUGUAUUUAUAGUGAGCAUAUGUCUAUUUGCAACAUACAUGUUUUUAGGAGGCGACUGUUCAAUGCAAAUGGUGUGUUGCUUCAUGUGUUUCUCAGAUAUGUUCAUAGGCUCUCAGACUUCAUCUGAAAGGAUGAGUUUUUUCAUAAAAAAUAAUUUAAUUAAAUUCGAAAUUAAUUAAAUUUUUUAAUUUUCAAAGCCUGGCGAAUUUGUUUGUGGCACUCUCAGUAUGCUUGGUAUAUAAGGAUUGAUGAUUUUCAGUGUAUUGAAUGAUAUGCAGAUGCAUGUAUUUAUAGUGAGCAUAUGUUUAUUCGCAACAGACAUGUUUUUAGGAGGCGACUGUUCAACACAAAGGGUGUGUUACUUCAUGUGUUUCUCAGACAUGUUCAUACACUCUCAUACUUCAUCUGAAAGGAUGAGUCUUUUCAUAAAAAAUAAUUUAAUUAAAUUCAAAAUUAAUUUUCAAAGCCCUCCCCCCAGGCCCAUCUAUUGAUAAUUACACCCCAAAGCCCAACCUCAAGGGUGAGUCCAAUUUUAUUCUCCAAGAUCCAUCACUCAAAUUACUUUUUAUAAGGGACAAAACCUUAUAAAGUGAGGAAAUCUUGUGGUGGUGAGCAACGUGGGAUAAUGAAAUUCUAUUCAAAAUUUCUAACAUAUAAACCCUCCACAACAAAACAGUGUCGAUGAUGCAGUGAAUCUGAUCUGAGACAGAUCGCUCAAACAUCAACUUCAGCUAAAAAUAAGGCUAUACUGGAUUGAUUAUAAGGAUGUGUAUGAUAGACCCCCCACCGUCCCUCGCAAAGCGAGGAACCUUGUUGGCUUUGGGUCGCCUUUUUAAUCUGUUUGUUGCCAUUGAAUGCCUAUACAGCAUACGAUGCAGUUGCUCACAUCACAUGUUUUAGUUAUCGAAUUUUAUCAUGGCAAUUGAUAAAUAUUUGUAGUAUGGAUAUUUUUCAGUAGGAACUGGCUUACUUGCAGGAUACACUCCAAAUGUAGCCCAUCCCGUUGUAAUCUCUCCACUUUUGCGCCUGCCUAUGUUCUGCGAUUGAGCAAACCAAGCUCUUUCAGUUGAUAUUAUUACAAACCACUACUGGUAUCAAUUUUCAAGACAUUUACCCACUCAGUCAGCCAAUUACAUUUCACCAGCAAGUUCGACUGCAAGAAGUGUCGCUUUAAUACGAUUUGGCACAUUGCAUCUCCAGAACUUGUUCUCUUAAGAUAGGUUAUGUUUCUCCACAGUUUGAAACAUGAGAGUUUUAAGAGAGCAAUAUGAGCUUACCGCACAUUUUGGCAAGCAAAAACUGGAUGGGCUCAUAACCCUCCACUGGGUAGUGAUAUUUAACUUCAUAUGGAGUAUCACGUGCCCUUUCACCUGAAAAUUACAAAUAGGAAUUAAGAAGACGUUGUUGUAACUUGUAAGGGAUAUCAACACCCACUGCAGUAAAGAUACCCUUACAUCUCCAUGCAACAGUUGAGAUUGUGGGUGAGGGUGACAAAGUUGGAGGGGGGCUCCCAGUUGCUCCCGACCCUAAUAACUUAACAUCCAGGCCAUUUUCUGGUAAGACCUGCAAAUAUUUAAUCAAACUGAGGACAGAUAAUUUGAACAUUUUAUUUACUUAUAAAUGGUUUUGCAUGCAUCAAAGUGUACGGAAGCCGAGCACCUUAAUAUUAGGUCUUUGCACCAAAGUGGAAAAGGAAGCAAUAUUGCAGCCAUAGAAAGGGUUACACGUCUCUGUUCGGUCCCAAAGCUGCAAAAUGCACUUUAUAGGUCAGAUUGAUGGAGGCUACUUUUUUCUUUUCUGGUUUAGGGGAAGGAGAUGUUAAACGACUCAUCCCAUACCUAAACUCGCAGUGAGACUUUUCAUAGCCUAAUUGAGUCAUGCCAUCGUAAACCUGCAAGUUCACAAAAGAUACAUAUUAGUCCCCAAGCUAACAUUCAACAUGCAGCAUGUGUUGGAUAAUUAGGUGAUGCAUAUUCUGUCCACUUCACACAUUUUCGGUGUUCAUUCAUCUUCAGAAAAAUAAGAUCAAAUAUUCAAAGUUGGCGCAAUAUGUAAUGAUUGCCUCAACAAAUAUUUAACGUUACAUUUUACCAUAAUGAAUUGACAAUGAAUUGAACUGUGGAGGAAUUAAACUUUGAAUUUUUGUUCAAGCUGUUUUAUAUAAUAGUAAAGGGGUGUGCUAUUUACACACAUUUUUUACUUCUCACACAUCCCUUAUUAAUUUAUGUUCUUUGAUCUUUUUCAAUUGAUCUGAUCUGGUGACCGAAAAUUAGAAGAGUGUGUGAGAAGUAAAAAUGGGUGUGUGGAUAUCACACCCCAAUAGUAAAUGAGAAAGCUUAAAACUUUUUAAAAUAAUGCGAGGAUAUAAUGGGUAAAAGGUGAAUUGGUGAUAAAUUGUUAUUCAAAAUUAAGAGCUAAAUUUAUGGCAACAAUUGUUAUUGUCACUUUAUCAUUGACUUGUUUAAUACAUAUUUGAUAAUUAACCAUGUCUGUAAUUUGAUUAGUUUAUUUUGUUUUUUUGCAUGAUUAUUUUAAAAUGUAUAUAAUAAAAUUAUGUUAAAUUCAAAAAAUUUUAUUGUUAGAAAUUCAACAGCCUAGAAAUAUAGCAGUUGAAAAUCCAACGGUUCGGAACAUACCAAGUCGCCCCUCUCAAUCGGGUGUGAGGGCGUCUGCCAAGCGGGCCUCGCUACCUACUUUUGGUUGGCCCAAAAACUUGAACUCUUGCGAACCGCACGUGCCUGACCCAAAAUCUCACCUCAAACGGACAGGCGCGUGAGAAUGGCCCGAUUGUUAGGUCUGGGGGGUUGGGCCCGCUGAAUGGCCCCAAGGUAGGCUGGAGCUGUUUUUGCUGGAGUGGGAGGAUUGACUCACUCAAUUGCAAGGGCAAUUCAAAGAGGUGGAGGUGGAGUUGCUCCAACUACUCUGCAGACCAAAAAAGGGUAGAGAAAUUUUCCAAAAGUAAAAGAAGAAAAAAGAGAAAAGUGAAAAUUGAUGACAACAACAAACAAGUGUUAAAAAUUGGAAGAAAAGGGAAAAAGGAAAAAAAACAACCCAAAAAUAAAAAGCCACAAGAAACCAUAUUCCAAAAUGCAAAUUCCAUUCCAUUUUAUAUUUUUCCAAAUUCCUAAAACAAACAAAAAUAAGGAAAAUUAAUAAAAAUAGUUUGAAAACUUUGUGUUUUAACGAUAAAUAUAAAAUAAAAUGUAAAGUAAAUAGUAUUAGAAUUAACCUUUUAGUGUAAAAAUAUAAUUUUUUAUUAAAAUGAACAGUACUGGAAGAUUUUCGUUAAAAUUUAAAAAAAAAAAAAAAGCAAAAAAGCAUUGAAAAUUCCAAAAAACAAAAACAAAAAGGCCUCCAAACACUCCCACACACAAUAGAGAGAAGCAGCACCUCUCAACCUCGAGCUCCGCGCUCCGCGCUCCGAUUCUCUGUAAAGAAACACAAUCGAACAGAAGAAUUACGAUCAAAGCUUCAAACUUUCCCAUUAAUUUCACAAAAUUUGAGCGCCAAAAUCCAUCGGAGCUUCGGCAAAAACCUGGAAACUAUCAUUAUUUACAAGCGUCUUCAAUCGCAGAGAGCCAAAUGUACGAACCCCACCGGCCGCAGUCGAAAACCCAAACCCUAGAACUAUGCCGCCGGGACUCGCAGUGACGGAACUUUCAAACCCUAGAAAUAGCCAAGCAUUCCGUGGGGUGGGUCGCGGCGCAGAAGCGGUGGCUUCUGGCUUUUCUCGUCAUGGUCUCCCUCUCUACCAUGAUCGCCUUCUUCAUCAGAGCCGCGUUUGACACCUGCGAUCGCGGCGGCCUCGACGUCGUCGAUAAGAGGGUUCCGCUGGGGGCGCCCAUUGGAACCAGUCCUAGCCCCCUCAGCUUCAUGAAGUCCAAGCUCGUGCUCUUGGUCUCCCACGAGCUUUCUCUUUCUGGUAAUGUCUCUGUCUCCAUUAGAUUGUUCAUUUUUAUGAAUUUAAUGCAUUUUUUAUAUUAAUCGUGUUUAAUUAGUUGUGUUAAGUUUUUAAUGACUUAUUAGAUUAUACAAACAUAGAAAGUUAGCAGCUUUAGAUGAAAAGCACCACUUGUAUCGGUGGAAUCUGUGAGCAUUAACUGGUUUUCGAUAACCCAUUUGACAAUAAGUCCUUUCCUGUCUCGCAUUAAAUACAGCACCAGAAACUUUGGCACCAACUUCCUUCAUCUUGGCAACAAUCGAUUCGGCCUCCUCCUUCGUAACCCCCCUUCUUCAACAGCGUAGGUGACACGCCCCGAUCCCGAUAUUUCCCCGAAUACUAGGAUAGGCACGUGCUGGCCGACACCCGAGGGUGACGAAAGCCAUUUAUUGAGUGUAAUUGCUGAAAAUAAAGGAUAGAUAAAACUUAUAAAUGUAAAAGAAUAAGGAAUAUGCAUUUAAGGAACGUGUUCAGAGCAUACAACUAACUAGAACACUAAAGAAAAUAAUAUGAAAUUAGAUGAACAAAGAAAUGGGUCCUACAUCGAGAGGACUCGAAGAUACCGAAGCGGAAGUGCCUGGAUGCCGGGAUUGUACGCCUCGAUUCUAAGUCCUGAAGGGGGCGCAAAACAAACAUGAGUGGACCGAUUUGAUAUAAAUAUAAUAAAACAAUUAACAACUUACUAACCCCCAGGUUUUAUGAAAACACAUAUAUAAUGAUAAACAUAGGUUUUCCGAAACCUAGCAUGAUGUGCAGUAUCUCAAAUCAUAACUCAUAUAUAAUAAUCACUAGUGAAUUGUCCGAUAUAACCUCCAGGCCCCAUGCCGGCUCCCCGUCUCUGAGCAGACAGUCAGAGGAAAAUACACUUCAGGCCCCAUGCCGGCUCCCCGUCCCUGUGCUAAAUAGCCAGAGGAAACAUACUCCAGGCCCUAUGCCAACACCAAACCGUCGCCCGGGACGGACCGGAAUCUAUCCCUACGUCCCGUAGCGGAAAGGACCACUAGGUAGGUACAAAACCAUUGAACAUAUAUAUAUUGAAAAACAACUUCAUAGUAUAAAGUCAUCCAUCAUCUAUACUAUAAAGAGGUGUUCGAAACAUGUUCUAAAUAUCAUAUCGUCAUCCAUCAGAUAUUCUAUAAGAACACGGGUUAUAGGAAAAAUAGUAAUAAUUCAAAAUAGCCUCAGUAAGCAUGUUAUCUCACAAAACGUUUCAUAGAACAUAAUCAUCAAAUCAUGUUUUUCAUGUAUGCAUUUCUACUAUUAAAACAUGCUUUUGAAGGGGUCCACUCACAGUACUUAGCCGUCGAAGAGCCACGCAAACUAACGAACAAGAAAACGUCACCAAUAAUUGCCCCUAAGCACAUAAAGGGUCCAAUUAAUAAAACUCUAUUUUAACAAUUGAAUUUGGGAAAACAGACGUUGGAAACGGAUUCAGAACGUCGAAUUACCCUAAGAAGGGUCCCGGACAAAAACCCGAAAAGUCAACCCUAAAGUCAACGUUGACCGGGGUCAACGGUCAAAUUAGGUCUAACGGGUUUUAGGCUUGAAAUCUGGAUUAAGGUUUAGGUUUAGGUUAAAUAGGAUUAGGAUCUAUUGGGUUUUGGAAUUCUAAGGUUUUGGGUUAAAAGGGUUUUGGGUGAAGAAAUGUGGUUUGGGCCUAAGCCCAAACACAUACACACCACAAACACACAUACACAUGCACGGCAUGCACAUGCAUGCAUGGCAUGCAUAUACACACACUUAAACACACACACACAAACUCACACACUCACACAGCACACACACACUAAAUAUACAUACACACACACACGGGUACACACUCACACACCCACACAAUCUAAAACACACACACACAUGGCCCAAAGGCCUCACAACCAAAAGGGUUGGGCUCAGAGGGAAGCCCAAAGGCUUGGUUGGUGGGUCGCCGGACCCAAUGGGAGAGAAAGCCGAAUUCGGCCGGAAANNNNNNNNNNNNNNNNNNNNNNNNNNNNNNNNNNNNNNNNNNNNNNNNNNNNNNNNNNNNNNNNNNNNNNNNNNNNNNNNNNNNNNNNNNNNNNNNNNNNNNNNNNNNNNNNNNNNNNNNNNNNNNNNNNNNNNNNNNNNNNNNNNNNNNNNNNNNNNNNNNNNNNNNNNNNNNNNNNNNNNNNNNNNNNNNNNNNNNNNNNNNNNNNNNNNNNNNNNNNNNNNNNNNNNNNNNNNNNNNNNNNNNNNNNNNNNNNNNNNNNNNNNNNNNNNNNNNNNNNNNNNNNNNNNNNNNNNNNNNNNNNNNNNNNNNNNNNNNNNNNNNNNNNNNNNNNNNNNNNNNNNNNNNNNNNNNNNNNNNNNNNNNNNNNNNNNNNNNNNNNNNNNNNNNNNNNNNNNNNNNNNNNNNNNNNNNNNNNNNNNNNNNNNNNNNNNNNNNNNNNNNNNNNNNNNNNNNNNNNNNNNNNNNNNNNNNNNNNNNNNNNNNNNNNNNNNNNNNNNNNNNNNNNNNNNNNNNNNNNNNNNNNNNNNNNNNNNNNNNNNNNNNNNNNNNNNNNNNNNNNNNNNNNNNNNNNNNNNNNNNNNNNNNNNNNNNNNNNNNNNNNNNNNNNNNNNNNNNNNNNNNNNNNNNNNNNNNNNNNNNNNNNNNNNNNNNNNNNNNNNNNNNNNNNNNNNNNNNNNNNNNNNNNNNNNNNNNNNNNNNNNNNNNNNNNNNNNNNNNNNNNNNNNNNNNNNNNNNNNNNNNNNNNNNNNNNNNNNNNNNNNNNNNNNNNNNNNNNNNNNNNNNNNNNNNNNNNNNNNNNNNNNNNNNNNNNNNNNNNNNNNNNNNNNNNNNNNNNNNNNNNNNNNNNNNNNNNNNNNNNNNNNNNNNNNNNNNNNNNNNNNNNNNNNNNNNNNNNNNNNNNNNNNNNNNNNNNNNNNNNNNNNNNNNNNNNNNNNNNNNNNNNNNNNNNNNNNNNNNNNNNNNNNNNNNNNNNNNNNNNNNNNNNNNNNNNNNNNNNNNNNNNNNNNNNNNNNNNNNNNNNNNNNNNNNNNNNNNNNNNNNNNNNNNNNNNNNNNNNNNNNNNNNNNNNNNNNNNNNNNNNNNNNNNNNNNNNNNNNNNNNNNNNNNNNNNNNNNNNNNNNNNNNNNNNNNNNNNNNNNNNNNNNNNNNNNNNNNNNNNNNNNNNNNNNNNNNNNNNNNNNNNNNNNNNNNNNNNNNNNNNNNNNNNNNNNNNNNNNNNNNNNNNNNNNNNNNNNNNNNNNNNNNNNNNNNNNNNNNNNNNNNNNNNNNNNNNNNNNNNNNNNNNNNNNNNNNNNNNNNNNNNNNNNNNNNNNNNNNNNNNNNNNNNNNNNNNNNNNNNNNNNNNNNNNNNNNNNNNNNNNNNNNNNNNNNNNNNNNNNNNNNNNNNNNNNNNNNNNNNNNNNNNNNNNNNNNNNNNNNNNNNNNNNNNNNNNNNNNNNNNNNNNNNNNNNNNNNNNNNNNNNNNNNNNNNNNNNNNNNNNNNNNNNNNNNNNNNNNNNNNNNNNNNNNNNNNNNNNNNNNNNNNNNNNNNNNNNNNNNNNNNNNNNNNNNNNNNNNNNNNNNNNNNNNNNNNNNNNNNNNNNNNNNNNNNNNNNNNNNNNNNNNNNNNNNNNNNNNNNNNNNNNNNNNNNNNNNNNNNNNNNNNNNNNNNNNNNNNNNNNNNNNNNNNNNNNNNNNNNNNNNNNNNNNNNNNNNNNNNNNNNNNNNNNNNNNNNNNNNNNNNNNNNNNNNNNNNNNNNNNNNNNNNNNNNNNNNNNNNNNNNNNNNNNNNNNNNNNNNNNNNNNNNNNNNNNNNNNNNNNNNNNNNNNNNNNNNNNNNNNNNNNNNNNNNNNNNNNNNNNNNNNNNNNNNNNNNNNNNNNNNNNNNNNNNNNNNNNNNNNNNNNNNNNNNNNNNNNNNNNNNNNNNNNNNNNNNNNNNNNNNNNNNNNNNNNNNNNNNNNNNNNNNNNNNNNNNNNNNNNNNNNNNNNNNNNNNNNNNNNNNNNNNNNNNNNNNNNNNNNNNNNNNNNNNNNNNNNNNNNNNNNNNNNNNNNNNNNNNNNNNNNNNNNNNNNNNNNNNNNNNNNNNNNNNNNNNNNNNNNNNNNNNNNNNNNNNNNNNNNNNNNNNNNNNNNNNNNNNNNNNNNNNNNNNNNNNNNNNNNNNNNNNNNNNNNNNNNNNNNNNNNNNNNNNNNNNNNNNNNNNNNNNNNNNNNNNNNNNNNNNNNNNNNNNNNNNNNNNNNNNNNNNNNNNNNNNNNNNNNNNNNNNNNNNNNNNNNNNNNNNNNNNNNNNNNNNNNNNNNNNNNNNNNNNNNNNNNNNNNNNNNNNNNNNNNNNNNNNNNNNNNNNNNNNNNNNNNNNNNNNNNNNNNNNNNNNNNNNNNNNNNNNNNNNNNNNNNNNNNNNNNNNNNNNNNNNNNNNNNNNNNNNNNNNNNNNNNNNNNNNNNNNNNNNNNNNNNNNNNNNNNNNNNNNNNNNNNNNNNNNNNNNNNNNNNNNNNNNNNNNNNNNNNNNNNNNNNNNNNNNNNNNNNNNNNNNNNNNNNNNNNNNNNNNNNNNNNNNNNNNNNNNNNNNNNNNNNNNNNNNNNNNNNNNNNNNNNNNNNNNNNNNNNNNNNNNNNNNNNNNNNNNNNNNNNNNNNNNNNNNNNNNNNNNNNNNNNNNNNNNNNNNNNNNNNNNNNNNNNNNNNNNNNNNNNNNNNNNNNNNNNNNNNNNNNNNNNNNNNNNNNNNNNNNNNNNNNNNNNNNNNNNNNNNNNNNNNNNNNNNNNNNNNNNNNNNNNNNNNNNNNNNNNNNNNNNNNNNNNNNNNNNNNNNNNNNNNNNNNNNNNNNNNNNNNNNNNNNNNNNNNNNNNNNNNNNNNNNNNNNNNNNNNNNNNNNNNNNNNNNNNNNNNNNNNNNNNNNNNNNNNNNNNNNNNNNNNNNNNNNNNNNNNNNNNNNNNNNNNNNNNNNNNNNNNNNNNNNNNNNNNNNNNNNNNNNNNNNNNNNNNNNNNNNNNNNNNNNNNNNNNNNNNNNNNNNNNNNNNNNNNNNNNNNNNNNNNNNNNNNNNNNNNNNNNNNNNNNNNNNNNNNNNNNNNNNNNNNNNNNNNNNNNNNNNNNNNNNNNNNNNNNNNNNNNNNNNNNNNNNNNNNNNNNNNNNNNNNNNNNNNNNNNNNNNNNNNNNNNNNNNNNNNNNNNNNNNNNNNNNNNNNNNNNNNNNNNNNNNNNNNNNNNNNNNNNNNNNNNNNNNNNNNNNNNNNNNNNNNNNNNNNNNNNNNNNNNNNNNNNNNNNNNNNNNNNNNNNNNNNNNNNNNNNNNNNNNNNNNNNNNNNNNNNNNNNNNNNNNNNNNNNNNNNNNNNNNNNNNNNNNNNNNNNNNNNNNNNNNNNNNNNNNNNNNNNNNNNNNNNNNNNNNNNNNNNNNNNNNNNNNNNNNNNNNNNNNNNNNNNNNNNNNNNNNNNNNNNNNNNNNNNNNNNNNNNNNNNNNNNNNNNNNNNNNNNNNNNNNNNNNNNNNNNNNNNNNNNNNACUCAAACUUGCUCCUCUUGAAUCCCUUCUUCCUAGUGGGACCUCCCAGUUCGGCCCUCCAGUCUGAAAUAUUAUGCAACAAUUGACAGUCAGCACAUGUUAGAAAUUUAGGCUUUUGUCACACGCCAUGCAACUUACAAAAAAAGCUAAAAUUUGUAGAAGCACUUACCAGAACAGUUGAGUCUCUAGCAGCAAGAGCCAAAAUGUCAGCACAAGACACAGUGCUGGGGCACUCCUUCUCCAAUGCAGACUUGAUUUCGUCAAUCACUUCGAACCCUCGCGCUGAAUUCUGGUUCGGGACAGACAUCUUUUCGGUGAUUACGUUCUGGCUGCUGUCCAGCAGAAUUGAUGCAUCACAACCCUGCAAAAUAGGUAGCAAGUAGCAACACAAUCUUAAGUACCUCAUUCACAUAGAUGUACGUGUAACUAGAAGCAACUGAGACACUUUUUGUGAUCGUAUACCUUCACGAAACAGUCAUGGAAAUGCAGCCUGAGCAAAGAAGCUGCCAUUCGGGUUUCCCUUGCAACGGCUUUCGCAACAACGGACUUGACAAUCUCUUUGGCUCUGGGGCAGGAGCGGUCAUAAAACUGUGGGUAGAGAUACCCACCAGGAGUUUUGUGACAGAAACAUAGUGGAGAAAAUGCAAGAAGAGAAAGAGCUAGAAGGAAGCUCAAAGAGUUGGCCAUAUAAUAAUGUGGUUUCUUGGAGAAGAAGACUUGAAAUUUGAAGACUUUGGUUUGAUGAAUCCUUUGGUUGGAUUGAUGAAAUUUAUAGAGGAGACUUCGUUUUUUUUUUGGGGGGGGGGGAGAGGGAGAGAGAGAGAGAGAGAGUGAGAGAGAAGCUGCAUGGAGUUGGUAGCUUACUAUUGCAAGCUGCUACACCAGUAGACAGGAUCAAAAGAGAAGGUUGGAGUUGGUAGCUUUCAUGCUUUUGAGCAGAUAACUAAAUCGUAAUUAUGGUAACUUCGUUUCUAAUUAAGAUGAUAAUUAGUUAGAAGGUCUUAUCUUGUUCUAGAGGAACAAAUCUUUUUUACUCACAAUGCAAAACUGCCAGACAGAGAAAAUAUAUUAGUACAAUGAACCUUAUAGAAAUUUAUUAGUACAAUGGACCUUGCAUCCUUAGUACAAUAUUUUGGUACACUAAUUGAUUGCAAGACCAUCAGAUCUUGAAAAAAUUUCAACGUAAUACUUGAAUACAAUCACGUGGUAUAAUUAAUCUACGUGUCACAAUAUAAACUAACCACGGUUCUUUAGAGUUGAAUGGCUACAGUGUCAAUCAAAUAUUCAUGAUACCGUAAUACAUGAACUGGUUAUACCACACGGUAUUUUAUAUUUAGAAUCCGAAAUCCAACUAGAUUGACAUGUAAUCAUUAUAAAGAAACAUUAAAGCCUCUUUCACUUCAUUAGGAGAUUGGCAUCUUUUAUAUUUUCAAAAUGAGAAUACUUCAAUAUUGGUGUUCGAUCACAUCAUUCAUAAGUAUUCUGAGCAAAAACGAGGAACUCCAUGCAUUUAGUUUCACCUGAUCCCGAACUAGUUCCGCCUGUGUAAAAAAUGCCCAAGUUCCGGCUUCCCGAAUAUGCUUGUAUCAAGGGGGGGAAAAAAAAAACCUAGUAUACAUGUCUUGUAUUAUUGUUUGCUUGCCUUCCUUACUAAUUCAUGAGUUCACAUUGAUUCCAUUAGUUGGUUAAUCAUUAAAUUUUUCCGUUAAUCAUGAAGCUUAUAUGCUCGUGGCUUUUUGACUUGAGGAUUAAUCCAAAGAAUACAGUGACAUAUUAGAAAAGUUGGUUAAUCCAAAGAAUAUGAUAACGGGAAUAUUAGGUUAAUCUGGACGGUCCAAUCUAUAAUAAAGAUAUCGUAGGCUGGGUAGGAGAACUACUUCUAUAAGCAUCCUCCCUAACAUUGCACUUGACAUAUUAACGAACAAGCGUAUGAGUAUUUGGUCUAGUCGCAUUCAAUUUUUACUUUGUUAAAGAAGAUUCUAAUUUCAAAGCUCAUAAACGAUAAUCGUUAAUUAAAAAAAAACAUGAUAUGAAAUGAAUUCGUUUGAAUCACAAUAUCACCGUGCAAUGAAAAUUUGAUCUCGUUGAAAGACAAACAUUUUGCGGUGAAACUUCUAAACCUUUGUGUGUUAUACAGGUACAAAUUGCACCAUAUCUUCUUUCAUUGCAGGAUCUAUUUGUUCCUAAGAAUUCGAGUCUAAGAAAAAAUGUUCUAGGACAAUGCAGGGAAAUUGCCGUCUUAACAAUCAGAAAAAAUCAUUAUGAUUGCCCUUAUAAAACCUAUACGUUUACAUAAGGAAUGGUGCCCAACAUGCUCCAGUUCCCCCGGGGCUUAUGGUUGAGCCUCUAGUCCGCUUUUCUUUUUAAGAAAGCAAAGAGUACUCAUCAUAAGAAUAUUGUUGAUUAAAUAAUGAGUUCGUUUGGAAGUGCUUUUAAAAUGACUAAAAACACAUUUAAUGAAAAUGUUUUUAGGUUCGAAAAGCACUUAAAGUGCUUCAUUCACUUACAUUUUUAGUAAGGAUUGGUCCCCAAAUCAUUUUAACUAAAAAUGUUUUCAGUUAUUUAAAAAACACUUUCAAACGAGCAUGAUAUUAUAUUUUGGCCACAUAUGUAGUUUAAAUUCAUUAGCCUCUCAUGCGCAUAAAUCAUAAGGCAACCAAUCAUUAGUCAUUUGCUAUGUCCAAGGCGUACAACAUUAAUGCUAGUGAUGUAUACUUACACUAUGUUUGGAUGGAGAAUUUCUAAAUUUUCAUAGAAUUCUAAAUGACGGGAAUUACAAUUCCCAGUAAUUGAAAUCAUGUUAAUUGAAAUUUCAGUGUUUGGAUGUUGGAUACAUGGAAAUUGCAAAAUGAAGGGAAUUACAAUUUUCAUUGUUUGGAUAUUCCCUAGAAUUUGUAUUCCAUAGAAGAAUACAAAUUUGAAAAAAGAAAAAUGUUAAACUGUUAACAAAGUCAUCAAUGAUAAAGGUCAUCAAACCCCCAAGAUUGGGGCUGCCAAACCCGCACUAAAGGGAAAACUGUCUAAAUUUUCCAGCAAUUAAGAACUUAUCAAAGGUUUGCAAUAAUAUUUCAUUGGAAAAAAAUGUUUGCAAUAAUAUGAUAAAAGUUGAUUGAAGUAGGAAAAUCCCUGUAAAGCACACUUGCAAAUAUCAACCAACAUUCGUGACAUGCAAGACUUUUAUUCUAACUAAUGUCUUACUGAAAAACACUAAAAUGAGAAACAUAAUGAAAACAAUCUUAUGCGCCUUGUGAAGUAAGCAAUAAUACCAUAUUCUUUUUCUUCUCAAUUGGGAGAGUCUUCAACAUGAGAAAUUGCUUGUCAUUUUCGAUCAACCAAGCACAUGCUUUGAUUUGUUCUUCUUCACUGAGAUCUAGUAUUGCAUUUACUUCAUCAUAUACCUCUGUUGGAUCAAGUUUCUUUGUGUCUGCAGAAAUAUAGUCUUGAAAUGAUGAAGCCAUCUUGGCAAGUGAAUCUGCAAUCACAUCUUUAGGCGUGGUUGAUUUUCUUUUUGUAUGAGGCACAUCAACAAAACUUGCUGCCUUUCUCUUGCUUUGAGUCUUUUGACCAUUGGUUGAACUAGGUGAAAUCUCAUUAAUAAUUUCAAUAUCUUCUAAACCUUGUGCAUCACCAACCAAAUCUACAUGAUCAGGUUCAUUAUGUGGAGGAGUCAUAAUCUCCACGGCUUCUACACCUGUUUCAGCACCCUCACCCGUCGCUCUAUCUUUGCCACAUAAAUCCACUAUAUCAUCCCAAUUUGGAAUGACCUUCCAACGAAAGCUUUUAGCACCAACAUGUGACUACCAAUCAAAACAUAAAAGAUCAAAAAGCAACAAUUAAAAGAAUUUCACACACAAAAGAAAAAUAAUGAAUUUGUUACCUUCACGUACUCUUGCCAGGCAGGGUCUUCAUCUACACUUAUCAUCUUUUUGGUUGCAUCCCAAUUAAAUCCACUUUGACUUAGUAUAUCACUCACUAUUGCAUAAAACUUUUUCCAAGACUUCACACGAUUUCGAAUGUUAUCUGCAAUGCCAAUGUAUCACGAAAUGCUGUCCAUUCGACUGUAGCUUGAACAGAUGUAAUCCCAUCAGAGUUAUUUUCAUUUUCCUCUCUUGUUGAACGAUUUAACAACUCUGAGUCGACAGAUGCUAAAAAUUGUAAAUCUUGAGCUUCUAAAACUGGAUCAGUAGCUUGCUCGGUUCUAAUAAAAUUAUGUAAGACACAACAUGCAUUUAUAAUCCUAACUUGUGUUUUAAUGUCGAAAAAGGAUGGUGUGCGUAAUAUGCUCCAUCUCUUUUUUAACAAUCCAAAUGCCCUCUCAAUAACAUUCCUUGCCCUUGAAUGACGCAAAUUAUAUAGUUCUUUGUAGUUUUCAGGUCGACGGUUUCCAACCCAUUCUUUCAAGUGAUAUCUAGUUCCACGGUAAGGUGCUAAAAACCCGGGUCCAUUAGUAUAGCCAGCGUCCACAAGAUAAUAUUUAUCUACAAUAAAAAAUUUAGAGAACAAAUUUAGAUAUAUUUUUAAGUUUUUUCUUUCUAAUAUAAAGCUAAUUGGUAUCAUACAUUACCAUUUGGAACAUGAAACCGGUUACUCCUAUGUAAAGCAUCACGCAAAACACGAGCAUCAGAUGCAGAGCCUUCCCAUCCAGGUAACACAUAAAAAAAUCUUAAAUCUGGACCACAAACUCCUAACAUAUUAGUGGAUAUAUCACCCUUUCUAUCUCGAUAUCUUGGUCUUUCCUCAGCCGUUAUUGUUACUGGUAUGAGAGUUCCAUCAAGUGCUCCAAGACAAUUCUAAAAAAAAUGUCAUACAAAUGAAAAAAGAAAAGAAAAGAUAAGUCUAAAAAGCUAAUGAAGAUAUCAAACGAAGACAUUUAUUUGGUAUAGUUGUUGAUUGAUUACCUCAAACCACCGCCACUUCUCUCUUUCAGAAUUGCCAAUAACACAUGGCUGAUAUUUCACAUAUUCUUGAAUAACACAUGGCUGAUAUUUCACAUAUUCUUGACUUAUUUUCAUCAUUGCAUGCAACACAUUGUGAAAUUGCCGACUAAUUGUUUCCUUGGAACGAUAAUAAUGAAAACCGAUGACUCUAAACUUCAAGUUGUGGGCAAGUAUAUUCAAAAAAAUUGCAACAGAUUCUUCAAUGGACACAUUUCUCGUGCGAACUAAUCCACCAAUCCCUUGUAAAAUUUCACAUAACUGCUUAAAUGCACUCUUGCUAACUCGUAAUUGUUCAAUGCACGUUGAAUCCUUUCCAUCGAACAAUCGGCCAAGGAAAGAUUGCCUUUCUUGAUCCCAAUCAUUUGAAGGUUCUUUGAGAAGAACACUCGUACUAUACCAAUGCAUGACCAUGACAAUAACAUAUAUAAUUGUGCUGACAAUAAUUUUCCUUUUUUUCCUAUUUUCCUCUUCAUUUAUAGCACGCUUUCACUUUAACCUCAUUAGCAUGUCUACAAUAUGAGUAUUUUCCAUACCUGUUUGAAUGUAUGAACAAAGAUAUAUUGUGAUAUAUGAAUGUAAACACACAAGGUUUUUUAGGCAAGAAUGAGGUGAUGCAACCAAAAAAACAAAUGAACUAACACCAAAGGCACAACAUUUGAUCAAUCUUGGCUAUUGUUAAUGUGAUCAUCGUAAACUUAUAUAUUUGAUAUAGAUGGGAUCUCUGAAUCCCAGUAGGACUAUACCAAUCCAACACUUAUUUAUAUUGCUAAAUGCAGCAAUGAAAGUCACGACUUUAAUCAUACUAGCAUCUGUAUUUUAGUUUUUUGACAGUUAACCUUCAAAAGCACAAUAUCUAUAACAAGGAACUAACACCAAAGGCCAUCAAAAACUAAAAAUGGGCUCAAUUGAUGGUGGUCAAAAACCAUGUGUAUGGUCAUCUCCCCAAAGAGGAUGUAAAAUUGACAUAAGAAAGCAGAUCUUCUACAACAGAUCGUUGAAUAUGAAGAAUAUUGUUGCAGAAGGAUUUGAUAUGGAUUACACAUUGGCACAGUACAAGCCAGAAAUCUUCGAGUCUCUUACAUACAAUGGAACUAUCUAGAAGUUGGUGUACGAUUAAGGAUACCCUCGUGAGGCUUGUCUAUUCUGUCUCUUACAUUUCAAGAAGAAAUUGAUAUUGCUAACAUAUCAGAUAUUCAAUUAAUCUGGUUUAAUAUUGCAAUUAAUCCAGUAGUGUUAGUGCUUUUUAAUUUCAACACUUAGCAUACAUCAUUUACUACCAUUUUAAAUUAUGAGCAAAUCAUUCCACCCUUCCUAGAUAAGGUUACAGAGCAAAUAGACAAUUCAAUCGGAGAAAUAAAACAUAAUAAGAUCACACCCAAAUGGCAAUUCAAUCGGACAAUUCACCCUUCCUAGAUAAGAUAGCACCCAAAAAUACAUGAUGCUUACAGUAAUAAGAUCGCAGCCUAAAAUACAUGAUCGCACCCAGAUAGGGAUGGAAUGAAACCAGAAAUACAUGAUGCUUACAGGAAGAUCGUACCCAAAAAGCUAAAAAUAAUUCAAGAUAGAAGAGAGUAGAGACGCUGACCUAGAACAAAGGAAGAAGAUGAUUCCACAAUCGAAAAUCCCUUCGAAGAUUGGAGAGUUAACAGAGUGAAGAUUGUGCAGCCCUUUUGUUGUGAAAUUUGGCGGUAGAUAUCCGAGUUUGGCGCCCUAAUCCUGAAGUUUGGCGCGCACAAAAUCUCCCCGCGGAUGAAUUCGGGAUUCUCAUCGUUGUUGGAAUUGUGAAAUUACACCUCUUUAGGCGGAAAUUAAACUCGGAAUUCUUCAUCCCUAAUUUCCACCUUUUUUUCCCGUAGAAUUUGCCGUUUCUCGCGCUGCAAGGUUCCCAAACGAGGGAAAACUGCUUUCCCAUCCUAAAUUCCCUAGUUUAAGUCAAAUUCUGUUUUAUUUUACCACAUCCAAAUGGAGUGUUACAGUUUCUGAACAAGCAGAUAGAAUUUGUCAUGCCCGACAUGCUUCUAUCCCACGCUGCAUGUGAUCAAGCGUAAAUAUUAAACAUAUAACUGAGGACAUACCAAUUGAGCCUAUGAUGACAAAUUAGAAUUAAAAAACCAUCAAAGAUAUUGAAGCCAAAGAAAUAAGGCCUACCUUCUGUUCAACUCUAGUCUUGUAAAUAAACCCUCCACAACAAAACAAUGUCGAUGAAGCAGUGAAUCUGAUCCGAGACAGAUUGCUUAAACAUCAACUUUAGCUAUAAAAAUAAGGCUAUACUGGAUUGAUAUAUAAGGAUGUGUAUGAUAGAUUUGUUUGGGUUAAUAUUUAACACUGGACUUAAUGUAUUGAGGCCCAAAGAUGUCACAACGGAAUGUGGACUUGCCCGAAGCCCAUCAAUAAAGCCUGAAAUAAAGUGAAGCCUUCUCAGCCAAGGUGCUAGGAUUAAAAGCACACCACAAAGUAGCAUACAAAUGUCCUAUUGAUUUUCCUUAUUAACACUAAGAUUUGUCAAUUGUAGCAUAUGAAAAUAAGAGUCUUUCCCAUAGAAGAUUGUUUUAUCUAACUCCUUAAUAUGUCACAAAAAUUGGGCUGAUGUCCCUACUGACCAGCCACCGAAAAAUAAUUAUUAGACUGACUUACACUUAUCUAAAGUCUACAAAAUUUUAUAUGCAGACACUAGACACAGAGAGAUACACUCGUACAAAGUUUUGGGAUUUUUGGAGUUGAUUUUCUAUUUAAAUUAAAUCAAACAAAAAUAGAACAGAAACAGAUUUUUAAGUAGUUCACAAAUUAAUAAAAACGAGUUAGGGGAAUUGCUAUCCACCACAAAAUAAUCAUGCAAACAUGUUAUGUUUCAUUCAAAUUUCUUUUAUUUCUGGAUGAAGAUACUCAAGUUGGCUCAAUGUUAAAACUCAACCUAUUACUCUUUCUUAUGUAGUAUGUUAAGAGAAUGGCGUUUUCAACUUAACUUAGUCCCUAGCAUGCAAUCGAGAAUGACGUGUUCAUAGAUUUAACAAGUAGAAAUCAUUAAGAACAAAAAGAGUUUGAGUCAUCACAAGGCAUCGUAAGUACUGGCGUUGUCUUACAUAUCAUAGAAAUUAGUUCACACGUUAAUCGCAAUUAACAAGUACUACUUUAUAACAUAUGUAGGUCCUCAUUCGACAAGGGCAAGCACACACAUAUUCAUAGCAUUAGAAUCCUAGAUAUGCUUACUAAGUAUGCAUCCAUAGAAAACAAAUAAAGAAUUCAUCAAUGAGACAAGUAGUGAACCGAUUUUCAUCCAUUCAUAAAAGUAAUUCAAACAAAAUGUCAUAACAAACUUACAAUCAUAUUCGGGGCUUGAAAACAACCCCUAACUACUAAAAAUUUAGUUACACACAAUUCCUAAGUUAAAACAAAAGAUAGACACGAGUUUGAGAAGAUAGAACCGAAAGAAAUCGACCGAGGCCUCCUCCUUCCUUUCCUUCAUUCCCCAACGUUGCUACCUUGCCUUUUCCUUCUGUUCUAUAUUUUUUUUCUCCUUAACUCACCCACUAAUAGCCAUUUAGUGAUGACAAUAAGUGAGAGGAAAUGGUAAAACAAUUGUAACUCUUUGGGUAGCAUUUAUGCCAAUUACUCCCUCUUAAUCCUCAUCUUUAAUUUCACUCCCUUUUAUAUUUGAAUAAGUGUCAGCUAACUUGUUCUUGGCUGCAUCAGUUUUGGCUGCUAGAUUUAUUAUGUUUACUGCUUUCAUUGCAAUUACAAACUGCUCGGCCUCUUGGUAACCUUUCCGUGUUAAAACGACCAUAACUUCUUCUAGAAAAAUGAUAUUAACAAUCCGUGAAAUACUCCAGAAAAUAGACAUCCGUAGCUUUCCAAGCAUAUAAGGCUCAUUCUCUAAUUAAUUCUGAGCUGUUUGCAAAUUGCUUCCAAAGUCAGCUGAUCUACACAUGCAGUUUUGACGAAUUUGUUACUUAAAAUCCCACUUGUGUUAUUUUUCCUUUCUUUGCUUGACAAAUCCCACAAAACACAAAAACAAAGUAAAUAGCUCAAAAAUAUAAGGAACUAACUAAGAAAAGACAAAUGAAUUUGAUGUAAAAUAUAUAAAAAUAUGAGUUUAUCACAAGGCAUAAGCCAUGUGCCUAUGACUGAAGUGACAAAUGACAGAGACCAGCUCACUAUCAGCCAAAAAGCACUUUUUGAUGGCAUAAAGGUGUAAAUACAAGAUGACUCACUACCCCUAAGGACCUUCGGCCAAGAACAAAGCUAAAGCAGUCGGGCCAAAUCGCUUAUAAAAUGGGAAAGAGACAUCAGAGACAAGGACACUCAACCAAUCAAACAAACAACAUACAAACUCUGCUCUCAAGCUAGAUUUGCAUCCAGAAAGCUAAAACUCACCUAGAUUCAGUCCUUUUAGCAAUAAUUCCCUUAGAAAAGUCAUCUUUUGUCUAGUGUAAAAGCUCUGCUACCUUCCCUAGUGUUGUAGUAUCGAUCCCUUUGUAUAAAACCUAUUUACCAUCCAUCCUUCUAGCAUACAACCUCUGUAAAUUCAAAGAGAAGUGGCUGCAAGAAGUUCAAUCUUGCCCGACAAGGUGAAAUCUUGCCCGAGUCUCUUUGUUUGUACUUUAGCUUAAUAGAUCUGUCGCUUAAAUGUACUUUUCAGCAUGUAUUCAAGUUUUUUUCCAACAGUUUUCUACCUAAUAGUCCUAUUUGCAAUCGGAUCUGAUUAAUUUAAUAGACUUCUUUUUAUUAAGAACAAACUGAGAUCGAGGAAAUGGUGCAAAAGGCCUUGAACUUCCUUAAUUUCAAACAUACAAGAUUAUGAACUAAAAGUCAUUGUUUACAAGGCAAGAAAAAGAACUCAAUGCAAACAUAACCCAUCUGUGACAAUCCUUUGAUAACAAGAAGUUUAAGUAACUUGGGGUGCAAGUAAUCGACUUAUAACACACUUAUUCUACAUCGGUUAUACUUAGAUAGCGGUGACACGUCUAGCACAUUGUUAGUUUUAAUUACGAGCCUCAAGGCCUACACCUAAGGCCCCACUAAGGCACCUUUCAAAUUAACUUUAAACUUAUCUUGCAGCAUAUCAAACAGUAAGAGCAUGCCCGACUACAAAACCUAAAGUGCCAUCCACCAUUGGGGAGCUGUGUGAGGGGUCAUCCUGUUUGCCUUGAACAAGACCUUUUCUCCACCGUCCUCGCAAAGUGAGGAACCUUGUGUUAAAGUCCCACAUCGGUGGGUGCAAGAAAACCAAAUGGGUUUAAAUAUGAUCACCUCACUCUAACUAAUACCGAUGUCUUUUGUGAUAAAACCCCACACUUGACGGAUUUGGCAGUGGUAAAGUUAAGGACAAUAUCAGUGUCGUUAGAGUGAGGCGGGCCCGACGAUAAUCCAACAUGGUAUCAGAGCCCACGGUUCGGGCCCGUGCAAGCCAAUGAGCUUGUCACAAAGAAGGAAACAAAUAUGAACUCUUAACAUAGAGACGACCACUGAGUUCCAUUGAAAAUAAGUGGCCCCAACAUGAGCCGACCUCUGAGUUUCAAUUACCUGUAUGGAUCUCCAUGUGUGAAACACUAAAUGGGGUUACAAAUGAGGGGGAGUGUUAAAGUCCCACAUCGGUGGGUGCAAGAAAACCAAAAGGGUUUAAAUAUGAUUACCCCACUCUAACUAAUACUAAGGCCUUUUGUAGUAAAACCCCACACCUGACAAAUUUGGCAGGUGGUAAAGUUAGGAACAAUAUCAGUGUUGUUAGAGUGGGGCGGCUCCGGCGAUCCAAAAAUCCAACACCUUGUUGGCUUUGGAUCACCCUUUUAAUAUGUUUGUUGCCAUUCAAUGCCUAUACAAAAUAUGAUGCAGGUGUUCACAUCACAUGUUUUAGUUAUCAAAUUUUAGCAUGGCGAUAAAUAUUUGUAGUAUGGAUAUUUUUCAGUAGGAACUGGCUUACUUGCAGGAUAACACUCCAAAUGUAGCCCAUCCCGUUGUAACCUCUCCACUUUGUGCCUGCCUAUAUGUUCUAUGAUUGAGCAAACCAAGCUCUUUUAGUUGAUAUUAUUACAAACCACUAUUGGUAUCAAUUUUCAAAACAUUUACCUAAUCACACUACUACAAAAAAGACUAUCACUGACGGUGGAAAAACCGACUAGAAACCCCAAUUACUGUCUUAUUUUUACCAAAAAUCUGACAUCAAAUCGUGCAAUGUCGGAUUGGAGAACCGAUGUUGUUGCUAGCGUCACGAAAAGGGUAUUGACGUUGGUUAAUCCCCUUAAUCCGCCACCAAGAAGCAAAAUAAUAUAAAAUAAAAAAGAACAACAGCGUCGGUUAAAACCGACACUAAGUCUCUCCAUUCAUUUCCUCGUGUAGAACAAGUGGGAAUUUUCCCGCCUAAUAUUUCAAAUUAUUCGACCAAUGCCGUCGGCUAAAAGCGACAACAUACUAGUUUAAAAAAAAAUGUUUAACCCAAAGAAAAAAAAUAACCAGCUAUUUUGUUUUUGUGUUAUCUCAUAUAACAUUUUAGGAUUUUAAUAAAUAAAAUUUAACUUGAAUAAAAUAUGUAAUAAAAAACAGAAAUAUAAUUUUAUUAUAAAAUAUCAUCACAUACUAAUUGAAAUAUAGUCUAAUUAAUACUUAAAAUACAUGAAAUAAUUAAUAUAUUUAUUCCAAGUCAUCAUCUGUUAGGUUGUCAUCAGUAUUGGCAUAAUUAAUGAACUCAGUAGGUAACGGUAAUGAUUCAUGAAAAUGAGUCUCUUCCACGCCAACCCUUGUAACAAAAUUUUCAUUGUCAAGUAUCCGAUCAUCCAAAUUUGCAUCACUAUCCUCUAAUACGUCAAACAAAUCCCUCAGAUGCGUUUGAACAACUAAAUGCCAAUCGUUUUCAAUUGUGUCCUCGAUGUAAAAUACUUGUAAUGCUUGUGAUGCUAAUAUGAAAGGAUCCUCUUUAAAUCCCAAUCGAUUGAAGUUCACCAUAGCAAAUCCAUAUUGAUCAGUCUUCAUUCCUUGUUGACUUUCACUGACACACCCGGACCUAGAUCGAGGCAUGCUGGUCGUCACGUGAGGGCGACGUAGCCAUGUGCACAACGCGGAAGCAAUAAAGAUAUAAAGAAAUGCGAAUAAAUAAAAACCAACUAACUAGGGCACUAGAUAAGAUAAGGUGCAAGUGCGAUAUUAAGUGUGAGUUCAUAAUCAGAGCAUGAGUAGCCUAAAUGCAGUUCAGCAGGACAAAUACUAAUUAUGCAACACCAAAGAUAAUCCUACAUUAGUGAUAAUCUGUCAGAGCUGCCGUGAAUUCCUCGUAAGCCACCGACAAGCACUCCUAACUAGAACCUGGAGGGGUGCAAAACAGAAAGUGUGAGUGGGCAAAAAUAAAGCUUUUCAAAACCAUUUCAUUUAUCAAAAGUUCUACCCCUUGCCGUAAAACCUAUAUAAUUUCCCAAAAAAAAGAAUAAAUAUAUACAUAUCUCAAAACCAUGCUUAGAAAACGAUAUUCAUAAGUAUGUCAUGCCAAUAAUCUCAAAAUAACUGAAUAAGUAACUCAGGUGAAAUAACAUAUCAGCCGGAUCCACCUAAAGUGGCAUGUACGGCUGAAUCUAUAUCUCAACAAGUAUGCCUGCACACGAAUCGAAACCACCUAAAGUGGUUUGUACGACAUGACUGGGUGUAAAUAAAUACGCUCUAGUGCUACGAUCAUGUGAAGACUGUGCGAAUAAUCACGGGUCACCUACGAGUCAAAACCACCUAUAGUGGUCUGUACGACAGGAUUGUGCACCUAACUUGGAUCCAAGGUGAGUGUAUGGUACGGAAGGUGAACAUCACGUGAAGGCAUGUGCCCUAGCCACGGGUAGGAGCACUAACACUGGGGUGUAGGUUUAUGAACUCUCAACACAUCUCACAUAAUCAUCAAUUCACAUAUAAACAAUUUACAACUUACCUGGUACUUACCUGAGUGUCCACAGCGUCAAAUCAUAUUUAUGCAUACUAUACUAAUUCAUAAUCUAAGCAUAAAUCAAUAGGCAUGGCAUUUCAAAACAUAAUUUCAUUUAAACGCAUUUUUUGGGAAAAAUACCAAGUAUAUAAGUAUAUUGAAAACCAAAAGCCCACUCACUGAUAUGUGGAAGGGUAGUAACCCCCGAGCCUUGCUUGACUGCGCUCGUCCUCAGGAUAGGUCUCAACUAUAUGCAAAACAACUAUAUAAACGUUAUUUUAAAGCACAUAAAAAAACUAGGUAAUAACUUCUCAUACAUAGCUCAAUUAGGGUAUUUGAAUAUACUACCAUGACCUACUCAAUCUCAGGAACACCCAUAUUUUUAAAAAAAAUUCCCGAGCACCCACGCGCCCUCACGCACCGGCCAAGGCACGGCCAGACGUUCGGCUCACGCUCAGGCACGUGCCUGGCACACUGACAGAUUCCCUAACGGCAUUAGGGAAUAUUUCGUUAAAAAUCAGUAUAUACCGUUAAAGAUACCUGACGCCGUUAGCAUAUUCCGUCAACUUUGAUAGAAUAUUCUCUUCCUUCUUCAUUGGCUCGCCAGAGUCCGAUUUCGGUGCUGCUGCUAUCGCCGGAAACUGGAAAAAUCUUAGAACUUCAAUAUCUCAUCCAUUUCUCAACCAAAAUCCAUGAAAUUUUCACCAAAAUGAAGCUUAGGAUGAGAGGAACGAUUCCUUACCACUUGUAGGACCUAAAACCUGCAAAAAUCUCAUCGGGAAAACCUCGAUAUUCCUGCCACCACUACAACUUCGCGAACUGGGAUUUCUCGACGUCCAAAACCCUUCAAAACUCUUCUAAAAGCUUCGUGAAGACGAUCUAAGACUUCCAAAAAGCUUAAAACUUCAAGAAACACUCACGAUCACGUCGAGAUCACUGUGCACUUCCUCGGAACUUCUUGGUUCUUAAAUUCCCGACGUCCUCACGUCCAACCAACGCUAUGGUUCGACUUUUAGUCUUGCAAGGAUUCCAAAAACACCAACUACAACCUCGAUCUGCGACUGAUUGAGGCUGGAUGGUCAAUGGCCGUACGAUUGUAAGGACAAAUAGAGAGAUUUCGACGAAGAGUGAGAGAAAGGGUUGCAUGUGUGAGUAUGUGUGUGUCCGGAUUGGGCACCCAUAAAAAAAACUUAAGUCCUAAAUGAGCCCAAAGAUUUAGCAUAAGGAUUUUAAAUGGUCAAAAUAUUAAGCUCAAACACACAACACAACUCAACGUUCAAGGGUAAAAUCGACAUUUCACACUAGCGAGGAUCGAAUAAAUUAUGUUUCAAGACAAGUUGUCACAUUCAUUAUUAACCCAUUCACACUUAAAUAACAUCACAGCUCGACCCCUACCUUUUGCAUCAGUAUGACCACAAUAUUUAACCUCGAAAAUAUCUACAACUCUGCCAUAACAAUUCACUUGCCCAAUUGCACCAGGAACAUUUGCAGGUACAAAGACACCACAAUUUUGAUUCUUAUGCUCAUCAUCCACAAAUUUUAUGCAAAAUCUGAACCCAUGAACAAUGUGACUUUUAUAUCUACUCACAACCUUACUAGGAUAAUUAUCUAGCCAAUGCAAGUCUUGAGAUAUCAACGUGUUAUUAGGAUGACAUCUUGAAUUCAUUUGUAAUACGAAUGAAGAUAAAAGUUGACAUGAUAACUAUAAACAUGUUAUAAUUAAAAUGUAAAAAUAUAAAUAAAUAAUGUGAUUGUUAUAUCAACUCACAUGUUGCUUGAACGAUUCUGUAAAUUCUUUCUUGCUUAGCUCCUUAAUUUGUGGCAUAGUUAACCUUUCUCGAUGAUGUUUAGUUUUCAGGAAUUCCUCAUGUUGCCUGGGCAAUUAUGUCCAAAUUUAGAUAAUUAAUUUUUCAAAGUUAAGAAAACCAAUAAAACAUUAAGACGUAUGAUUAAACGUUCUUACCUUCUAAAUGGGUUAACUUCACCACAAUUAUUUAGAAUGUAUAUAUGACACUUAUCAAGAACAUUUAGAUCGAGCUCCACAUUUUCUCCUGAACCCAUAUAACAUUCUUUGGAGUCAAAAAUUGAUAAUCCACCAGAUACUCCAUGUCCAAUACCAUCUUCAUUUCGGCCUCUACAGGUGCGACGAGACUCGACAUCUCUAAGAUACAUCGAACAGAAGGACAAGCACUCGUCCACCAAAUAUGCUUAAGCUAUAGAACAUUCAGGACGACCCUUAUUACAAACAAAAUGCUUUAGUAUUUGCAAAUACCUACAAUUAUAAAAUGCAACACAAAUUAUUAUAAUUAAAGUUAUGACUACAAUUGUAAAAAAAUUAUAAAAAAUUUGUUAAUUACCGUUUAAUUGUAUACAUCCAUCUAUAUUGAAUAGACCCUGCAAGAGCUGCUUCAUCUGCCAAGUGAAUUGAGAGGUGCACCAUUAUAUAAAAAAAUGCAGGAGGGAAUAUUUUUUCAAGUUGACAUAAUGUCAAUGCAAUUUUUAAAUUCAAUUGCUUGAAUCCUUCCUCAGACUCAUUCCACACGCCUUUUGUAGUAGUAUCUGUUGAUACACAAAGUCGGAGGUCUUGGAACAACGUAAAUUCGACCGUGAAUCUGCAAGUAAUGUAAAUAACACAAGAUGUAUCGUGGUUCACCCCAAGGUUUGGGCUACGUCCACAUUGAUUAUAUUUCUGAGGGAGAGAGAGUUAUGAGAGUGAGAGCUUUGAGAGGGGGUGAGAGGGCCUAGGAAUUGGCCUCCUUGAAUGCACAAAAUCAGUGAGGACUUUGGUACAACAGAAAAUGUUAAGUUUGUGACCUUCGCUAGAUUGCUCCGGUCAUUAGUAUGGAUAAGUAUGUAAAUGGAUAGAGACAGGGAAACAAACACAAGAUGUACGUGGUUCACUCAGAUUGGCUACGUCCACGGAGUAGAUGAGUUCUCAUUAAUUGUGAAGGGUUUACACAAGUACAUAGGUUCAAACUCUCCUUUAGUGAGUACAAGUGAAUGAUUUAGUACAAAUGACAUUAGGAAAUAUUGUGAGAGAUUGAUCUCUAUUUAUAGAAGAGAGUUUCUAGUUUCAUUCUGACAUUGACACGUGUCGUGUUGUGAUUGGCUUCUGAUGUUGACACGUGUCGCGCUAUGAUUGGCUUCUGAUGUUGACACGUGUCGCGCUAUGAUUGGCUUCUGAUGUUGACACGUGUCACGCUGUGAUUGGCCUCCUGGUUGGAGGGAAACUCUUCUGGGUCCUUGACGGUAUAACGUUGAUCGGUGCACAGUAGUUUCGGGAUUGGUUAAGUAUGGUACAAACAGUAUCAAUCAGCCAAUUACAUUUCACCAGCAAGUUCGACUGCAAGAAGUAUCGCUUUAAUAUACGAUUUAGCACAUUGCAUCCCCAUAACUUGUUCUCUUGAGAUUGGUUAUGUUUCUCCACAGUUUGAAACACGAGAGUUUUAAGAGAGCAAUAUGAGCUUACCGCACAUUUUGUCAAGCAAAAACUGGAUGGGCUCAUAACCCUCCACUGGGAUAAUGAUAUUUAACUUCAUAUGGAGUAUCACGAGCCCUUUCACCUGAAAAUUACAAAUAGGAAUUAAGAAGACGUUGUUGUAAGGGAUAUCAACACCCACUGCAGUAAAGAUACCCUUACAUCUCCAUGCAACGGUUAACAUUGUGGGUGAGGGUGACAAAGUUGGAGGGGGGCUCCCAGUUGCUCCCGACCCUGAUAACUUGACAUCCAGGCCAUUCUCUGGUAAGACCUGCAAAUAUUUAAUCAGACUGAGGACAGAUAAUUCGACCAUUUUAUUUACUUAUAAAUGGUUUUGCUUGCAUCAAAGUGUACGGAAGCCGAGCACCUUAAUAUUAGGUCUUUGCACCAGUGGAAAAGGCAGCAAUAUUGCAGCCAUAGAAAGGGUUACAUGUCACUUCACACAUUUUCGGUACUCAGCUUCCAUGAUAUGACAUUCAAUAUAAGAGGGGGUCUUGAUAUCUUAGCUGUUCAUCUUCAGCAAAAUAAGAUCAAAUAUUCAAAGUUGGCGCAAUAUGUAAUGAUUGCCUCAACAAAUAUUUAACAUUACUUUUUACUGUCAUGAAUUGACAAUGAGUUGAACUGUCGAGAAAGUAAACUUCGAAUUUUCGUUCAAGCUAUUUUAUAUAAUAGUAAAUGAGCAAGCUUAAAACUUUUGAAAAUAACGUGAGGAUAUAAUGUGUAAAAGGUGAAUUGGUGAUAAGUUGUUAUUCAAAAUUAAGAGUUAAAUUCAAGAUAUUGUAUGAGACUCACUUAUGUUUUUAUUUCCCAUAUAAUUGUUAUAUAUGUCAGUGUCCAUUUAAAGAUUAUGUAUGCAAAAUAAUCAAUCCAAUUAAAGGUCACUUCAUCUUAUUUUAAAAUGUAUAUAAUAAAAUUAUGUUAAAUUCAAAAAAUUUCAUUGUUAAAAAUCUAGUGGCCGAGAAAUAUAACAGUUGGAAAUCCAACGGUCCAGAACAUCCCACGUCGCCCCUCUCAGACGAGUGUGAGGGUGUCUGCCAAAAAAUAUAAAAGACGUCGCUGACGUCAAAUGGGGGGGGUGGUUGGGCCCGCUGAACAGCCCCACUGUUUUUCUGGAGUGGGAGGAUUGAAUCACUCAAUUGCAAGGGCAAUCGAAAGAGGUGGAGUUGCUCCAACUACUCUACCAAAAAAGGGUAGAGAAAUUUUCCAAAAGUAAAAGAAGAAAAAAGAGAAAAGUGAAAAUUGAUGACAACAACAAACAAGUGUUAAAAAUUGGAAGAAAAGGGAAAAAGGAAAAAAAACAACCCAAAAAGAUAAAGCCACAAGAAACCAUAUUCCAAAAUGCAAAUUCCAUUCCAUUUAUAUUUUCCCAAAUUCCUAAAACGAAAAAAAAGCAAAAAAGCAUUGGAAAUUCCAAAAAACAAAAGCAAAAAGGCCUCCAAACACUCCCACACAGAGAGAAGCAGCACCUCUCAACCUCGAGCUCCGCGCUACGAUUCUCUGUAGAAGAACACAAUCGAACAGAAGAAUUUCGACCAAAGCUUCAAAUUUUCCCAUUAAUUUCACAAAAUUUGAGCGCCAAAAUCCAUCGGAGCUUCGACAAAAACCUUGAAACUAUCAUUAUUUACAAGUCUUCAAUCGCAGAGAGCCAAAUGUACGAACCCCACCGGCCGAAGUCGAAAACCCAAACCCUAGAGCUAUGCCGCCGGGACUCGCAGUGACGGAACUUUCAAACCCUAGAAAUGGCCAAGCAUUCCGUGGGGUGGGUCGCGGCGCAGAAGCGGUGGCUUCUGGCUUUACUCGUCAUGGUCUCCCUCUCUACCUUGAUCGCCUUCUUCAUCAGAGCCGCGUUUGACACCUGCGAUCGCGGCGGCCUUGACGUCGUCGAUAAGAGGGUUCCGCUGGGGGCGCCCAUUGGGACCAGUCCUAGCCCCCUCAGCUUCAUGAAGUCCAAGCUCGUGCUCUUGGUCUCCCACGAGCUUUCUCUUUCUGGUAAUGUCUCUGUCUCCAUUAUAUUGUUAUCAUUUUUUAUGAAUUUAAUGCAUUUUUAUAUUAAUCGUGUUUAAUUAGUUGUGUUAAGUUUUUAAUGACUUAUUAGAUUAUACAAACAUAGAAAGUUAGCAGCUUUAGAUGAAAAAUCACUUGUAUCAGUGGAAUCUGUGAGCAUUAACUGGUUUUCGAACUAUUGGAUGGUUUUCGAUGACCCGUUUAACAAUAAGUCCUUUCCUGUGCCUCAUUACUUUUAAAUUUCCUGUUUUAUUCUAGUAUUUAUGGAGAGGGUAGCUUGUUCCUUAGUGUGUUAAUGCUGUUUGAUAUAUUUUCAUCUCAGUUGAGUUUAAUUUGUUUGUGAAUUUGGAAACAUGGUCUGGUGCAGUUGCAUGCCCUUCAUUAUGUUCGAGUUUAAUCAAUGAUUUCAUUGGGGAUUUAUGUGAAGUCAAGAUUAUAGAGUGGAAGAACUGAGUACGUUACUUCUCUGCGAUUGUUGAUUCUUAUAAGACGGCAUCUGUAUUGUUCUACUAUUCACGUAUUUUUGUAACUUAAUUAAUUCAAUAACCCGAUAAGCAGGGUUGUUUGAAUUAUUUGUCCAUUCUGUGUACUGAUGUGUCAUUUGAAAAUAUUACUACUCAACUUGAAAAUGUUUGUCGUCUUUUGAACAUUAACCUAUUUAUUGGGAUAAUCUUGUUCUCGAGCUGUCAUGCAUUUUGUAAUACAAUGUGUUCUUUGAAGAAUGCUCUUUUUUUCAGAUGAGAAACUUUUGUCCUUGGUUCGAGAACUUAUUGAGUCAAUAUUCUUGCCGGCGUCAACAGACUAACGUUUUCUAAUGUUGAUGCGUUCUUUUUGUUAUAUUUACUUGCACUUGUCAGCAUAUUGAAAUAAAUGGAGUAGUACCACAACUGAUGAAAGCUAUCUUCCUCCUUAACCAGAUAUCUGGUUGAAGAGUAUAUUUUAUCCCACCAAUUUCUGCUCUUUAUAUCUUACAAACGCUACUGGAGGGAUAAUAUAUUGAACAUUCUUCCAGGUGGACCUUUGUUGUUGAUGGAGCUAGCAUUUUUAUUGAGAGGUGUUGGCACUGAAGUUUAUUGGGUUACAACCAUGAAAUCGUCAGAUACAGAUGCUGUAACAUACAGUUUGGAGCAUAAGAUGUUGGACCGAGGAGUGCAGGUACAAAUUUCACUUUUAACUUUUUAAGAGAUUAUUUUGGAAGUCUUCUUUUGCAGUCUAGUUGUUGUCUUUGUUCUACAUAGUUAUUUUUAUUAUCUCAAUAUUUCAUGAUAUGGAAGCAUUCUGUUGUCCAACUGUACUAUAUUGGCCACGUGCUAAGGAAACUAUGCUAAGUAAAUCUAGCUUCCCAUCUGAUUUGAUCUAUACUAUGGCCUUGUCUGGCUCGGUCUUCUCUGCGUGUCAUUUCCUGUUUUUGAUAGGUUAGAUUUCUCUGUAACUUCUCCAUGUUUCUAAUACUGCUUCUAUACAUCUCUAGGUCCUCUCUGAAAAUGGCCAAGAAACUGUGAAUACAGCUCUCAAAGCUGAUUUGGUUGUAUUGAACACCGCAGUUUCUGGGAAAUGGUUGGAUGUUGUUCUUAGGGAAAAUGUUCCCCGUGUUCUCCCAAAAGUGUUGUGGUGGAUUCAUGAAAUGCGUGGCCAUUACUUCAAAUUGGAUUAUGUUAAGCACCUCCCACUUGUUGCAGGUUCUAUGAUAGAUUCACAUGUAACAGCAGAAUAUUGGGAGAAUAGGACUCGAGAGCGUUUGGGGUAGGCUUCAAAUAUUCUUCCUUUUUCUUUUUUAUAUCAUUUGGUUCACCGUUGCAUUCAUUUUCUCUCUGCAGUAUCAAAAUGCCCGAGACCUUUGUUGUUCACCUAGGAAACAGCAAGGAACUUAUGGAAGUUGCUGAGGACAAUGUGGCAAAGCGAGUUUUGCGUGAGCAUGUCCGGGAGUCUCUUGGAGUUCGAAGUGAAGAACUAGUAUUUGCCAUCAUUAACAGUAUGUAUUUUGGUCUGUUUUGAUGGUUUGAUUGAAUUUGGUUAUAAUGUUUCACCAUGAAUUUACCAGUUUGUUUGUUUUUUAUCUUUAUCUUGUUUCUAGUAUGCUGGUGAAAUUUGUGUUAAUUUCCGUGGGGAUAUGACAAAUAAAAAGUAAUGUUCUGGUUAGUUUAUGCAUACAUUGUGAGCACUAAAUUACACUUCAUGUCUAUAGGUGUUUCGCGCGGAAAAGGCCAGGAUUUGUUUUUGCGUUCCUUCUAUGAAAGCUUGCGACUGAUCCAAGAGAAGAAGCUGCAACUGCCAAAAAUGCAUGCUGUAAUUGUGGGGAGUGACAUGACUGCUCAUACCAAGUUCGAGCAUGAAUUACGUAACUUUGUAGCGAUGAAGAAAAUUCAAGAUCGUGUUCAUUUUGUAGACAAAACUCUGACUGUAGCACCGUAUCUGGCUGCAAUUGAUGUCCUUGUUCAAAAUUCGCAGGUAUUAGAAGCAUUUUUCUUUUAUUAUUGUGUUAUUCAAUCUUGUUUUGAUGCAUAUAGAAUUCCCAACUAGCCAACGAAUAAAGAAUAAGAUCCAUACAAAUAGGUGUUCAGAUUAUUCUUUUUCAAGUUUGACCCUAAUGUGGUUGGAAUUACAUAAAUUUUAUUAAAAUAUCCAUUUUCAUCUUGUAUUUUUUUUUUCAUUCCGUACAGGCACGCGGAGAAUGCUUUGGUAGGAUAACCAUUGAAGCCAUGGCAUUUCAGCUGCCAGUAUUGGUAAUGAACCUUCCUCCUUUUCGUUUCGCGUAAUAUCUAAUACUGAUGCUGCCUAUCUUAUUGACCCAUUUCAUUGUCUUUUUUUUCUUUCCCAAAUAAAAUAUUUAUCAGGGAACAGCGGCAGGUGGCACCACAGAGAUUGUAGUGAACGGAACGACAGGUUUGCUGCAUCCUGUUGGGAAAGCAGGGAUCACUCCUCUCGCGAAUAAUAUGGUAAAACUCGCCACUCACGUUGAGAGGAGGCUUACGAUGGGGAAGAGAGGCUACGAAAGGGUCAAAGAAAGGUUCCUAGAACACCAUAUGGCAAAUAGAAUAGCUGCGGUUCUGAAGGAAGUAUUGCGCAAGUCAGACAGCCGCUCAGAUUCUUAACACAUGCUCUCUUCUCCUCAUGUCGAGAUUUCAGCGCUUAAGUAGGUCGAUUUUCCUUUUAUGUCGACAUAAUCGUCCCUCGGGUUUUUCACCUUUCUAUUUCCAAUAGGGCUGUACAUUAUGUGCAUAUUAAGGCAAGAUCGAGAUUGUAGCUUGUUAAAAGGUUGACAUUAAUGACAUGAUCGAUUUUGUUAUAGCAUGGGAUUGGAAAAAUUGGCAUCUCAUUGACAUGCUUGCAACUCUCUUGUUACUGAAUUAUGAGCAUUUAUGCUUGUUAACUCUUAUCAUCUUUUAUAUGGGCGGGUAGGAUGGUUUGCCGAAAUAACUUGCCGACACUCGUUUCAUGAAACGGGGCAUUUCACAUAUAAGCUCACGUACCUCUUGCAUGAUAUAGCAAAAAUGAAACGGGCAUAGGCAAGUUUUGUGCGGUUUUGCCAGCUUUUUGUUUGUAAGUUUUUGAAAAGAACAUCAUAAACAAAGCGUUGGUUCGUGCUCACUUCCCCCAUGCAUCGGAGUUUGAAUCUUCAUGUUCGAAAAUCACUUGGAUUAAAAGUAAAAUUAAAGAAUCACUGACAUGUUAACAAACGUGUCAAUAAUUCUUUUUUUUUUAACCGAUCCAACUUAAUGUGAAAAAGUUUUGUUGUUGUACCGACGUGUUAAAAAGAAAAAAAUAAUUACAACUAAGAACUUAGCUUAAGCUUUACAUUAUAGCAAAAAGUUCAAAUUUUUCAUUACAACUCAGAACAAAGCUACUGAGCUAGUAAGAAGAUCCGUAAGACUUCAAGGAGACUUGGGUUGUGGAGAAUCACUUGCUGGCUUUGGCUUCUGCUUGAAGUUGUGCUUUGUAAACCAAGUGGUGUACAGAAAGUGCUUCUGAGCUCCUACAUGGUUGCAUAUCAAUCUGAGCUUCUGCCUCUCCCUCAUCCACCUCAGCACUAUCUUCAUGUGCCUCUUGCUCGUCAACCCUCUCAACCCGACUUUCUGAAAGAAAAAACCACUCAGACAUUUCAUCAAACACUUGGUGCGCGAAAACGAAAUCACUGAGAUUACCUUGACGUGAUCCCAGGUUUCGGAAAUGGUGAGAGGACCGUGCUCCUUGACGAUGUCGAAGAUGGCCCUGGUGAUGGUCUGUGUCUGCUCAGGUGGGGUAUUGAGCUCUAUGGGUUUCAUCGGAGGUUUUGGUUUCCGAGCGAUGCACCUGAUCGCUGUCCCAAACAUGUUUCUGAUUUCCCUUUGCUAAAGAGAGUGGGCUAACAAAUAUAACCCGUUAGGUAAAAUGUUAUUCAUUUAAUUUAGCACAGAGUAAAUUGUAACAAUGAUUCUUCAACUUUAAUUAAAUUGGAGAAACAGUUUAUCAACUAAAAAUUAAUUACCAUUUAUCCCUCAACUCAUCAAAAUGUGUAGUUUGGUCAUUUUCGUCAAUUUCGUCAGAAUUUUAUCAAAAUAAGUUAUGUUGGAAUGACCAUUGCUAUAAUUGAGGUCUCUCAACUCAUCAAAACGUGUAGCUAUGAUCAUUUUUGUCAAGUACAUCAAAAUUUUGUCAAAAUGAGUUAUGUUGAAAAGAUCAUUGCUACAAUUGAGUUAAACUUGAGAGAUCAUUGCUCCAAUUGGGUUAAAGUCGAAGGACCAAUGAUAAUAAAUUUUUAAUUGAGAGACCAUAACUACAUGUUCUGAUGAGUUGAGGGAUCAAUAGUAAUAGAUUUUUAGUUGAGGGACCAUUGCUACAAUUUAAUCUAUAGCACGUUCUUAGCGCUACUGAAUCUUUUUCCCGAGUACGAAUACGAUGGUGUUGGUUUUCGACUCCCAUCGACCAUAGAGCUAAGGAUUGCUGCGUGAACACCUGGUAUAUGUCGACCUGAUCGAAGAAUUUGUCUUCGUCAUUACGAUCUGGGUUGAGGUGACUGAUCUUCCACACGCCAUUAUCCACAGUGAAUCGAAUCAUAGCCUUACAGCCUGUUCUUGUGUCUAGUCUUCCCCAAUUUCGACAUAAGCCCAGAAUAGACACGUGACGGCAAAAAAUAGCGGUAGAGUAAUACUUAAACUUAACUGGGAGCGUCAAAUCACCACCUUUGUUUUCUUCCCAACCUCCCAGUUCCAGUUUAAAUAGCAUGUUCACGUUUAAUUUUACCAAAAAAAAAAUGAAUGUGGGAAUCAACCUACAUCACCAUUCUUUGAUUUUUUUCAAACUUGCAUGGCACGGGUCCAGUGUGGCGUCUCUUGCCAAUAGUACAAAUACAUGUUAGUUAUCGUUGCAUUUCAAAUAAUAAUAAUAAUAAAACGUGUUAGUUGCCUUGUAUCGUUGGCACAAAAUGCCACCGUAGCAGUUUAUGCUGUGCCAUGCAUGCUGCAAGUGAAUCAAGAUAACUCUUCUACACCGUGCUUAAAAGUCGAGAAACCAGUGUGUCCAGACUCCAGAAGCACUCAAAGGGUUUAUAUUCAUUUCUAGCCAAGACUCUGCACAUAACCUAGAAAUAAAAUGCCAAGACAGUGUUCUAAACAGCAAUAACACAGCAGCACAUAAAUUAAACUAAAACGGCGCACAAGUGAAAAGAUGCUACUUCAGAUCAGUAAAAUCCAUUAAUAUUAAUGUACUAUAGCACUUAACGGCGAUACAAAGUAUAUAAAGAUUAACCGAGAUAAAUUAUAGAUUUCAAACUCCAGUAUUGACAACAAAUAUAAUAACCGGAUACAUCUAACAUCAAUGAACCGACACUAGAAAAAGAAAACGAUGUACAAUGUUGGCUUCUACAAAAGAAGAAAAAUAAGAAUCUAACCUUUCAUUCUGAACAUCUUAUGCAAUGAAGUGCAAUUUUUUUUUCAAUCUAGGAGACUUGUCCUUUAGCUGUCACAACCGGGGGAUUCCACACUCCCAUUAUCAAGAGACAUAUCGCGAACAGAUUGGUCAUCUACUUUGCUCAAAUUUCCUAGCAUGUAGGUAGUUUCCUCGUCACUUUCCAGCAACUUUAUGGUCUCCGCUAACUUUUGUUUGACAAUCCUUUUUCCCGAAUCACACAAUGAGCCUAUACUGAAAACAUUCGUUCCUUCAUGCAUUAACUCACUUAGGCGCAACGAUUGAGCAGAGUUGGCCUUUCUAUCUGAUGACUUACUGAACUUAUUACUCGCCACAAUCCCUUUUUUUGCCUCUCUAGUCCAUCUCUUCACUAUGUAUUGUGUCGGUAUGCUUGUGAAGUUUUUAGAAUCCAACACUUUGAGGGCAUGACGACACAACAAGCCCAUCGAUUCAAAUAACUUACAAGAACAAGAAACUGUGGAUGUAGUAGAGUUGUACCGAAUCAUGAAGACUCUUUGAUGACCUUCUUCGAUUGCUUCAUAAAUAUAUUGGUUGCCGUCAUUACCAACUUCCACCAUCCUCACCCCAAAAAUGCUCAUAAGCUCAUCUUCAAAGAAUGAAUACAUUUUGACAGUGUACUCAGUAGCUGCAUGCUUAAAUAUACUACUAUUUACUCUAAGACGAGGCUUCGCAUUUUUACAACGAAAAUCCUCUUCCAACUCUGUGAACCGCAUCUUUUUUAUUUUUUGCUCGUAGUGCUGUACAAAACUAACAAGAUCCACUAUUUUUCUGGAAACUUGAUGGAAAAUGGUGUUCGUAUUCUCACCCCUCUGGCUUGAUCCAAUAUUUGCUGAGAAAGCAUCUGAGCUAAAUGCUGGACACCAUUUAUCUCGAAGUGAAUACAACAUCUUUAGCCACGAGUUGCUUUCAAGGUUGAACAUUUUAAUCAUGUCAUCCCAGGCAUGUUGAAGUUCUUGUUCAGUAAAACAAUCGUAAAAGCAUUUGUAGAAGUGCUUCUUGAAUUCAGGAUCAGCAUAAAGACUACCAAGAUGUUGUGUAGCAUUCUUGGAGAUUUGCCAAUUGCAUAACAGAUGGCGUGUCUCUGGAAACACAAUCUCAAUUGCCCUUGCCUUUUCCAUUGCUUUAUUCUCAUCUGUGAAAAUGGUUACUGGCUGUUUAUUUCCCAUUGACUCCAAAAAUGUUUCAAACAACCACAUAAAUGAGGCAGUGCUCUCGUCCAAUAAAAAUGCACAACCAAAUGAGAUAUUCUUCCAGUGGUGAUUAACUCCCAAAAAUGGAGCACAAAUUAGAUUGUUGUUGGUUUGAAACGUAGUGUCAAAGCAUACAACGUCUGCAAAACAAUCAUAAUCCAACUUUGAUCUACCGUCUCUCCAAAAAUAAUUUGUGAUCCGAUUAAACUGAUCCACCUGUACACUGUAGAAAAAACUCGGAUCCUCCAUCUGUUUAUGCUUAAAAUAGUUUAUCAAGCUUUGUCCAUCCCCUGCAAUCAAUUCAUCCUUCCCCCUUUGCAAACAAUUAUGCGAAUCUUUAUUACUAACCCCGACAUUCUCAGCACUUCCAAAUUCCUUUCCCAAAUAUGAUUGCAACUUUGGUGGUCGUAUACUCCCAUCAACCUUAGAGCUGCCAAGUAUAGUUGCACGAACACUUGGUAUAUUUCUCCCCGACCUCAGAAACUGUCGCUCUUCAGGCCUAGCAAACUCGUGAUUAUGAAUUGGAUUAAUGUACGAGAGCUUCCAUACACCAUUUUCCACAUUGAACCGAAUCACAGCCUUGCAACCUGUCCUUGUGUCCAAUCUUCGAACUUUUCUCGCUUCACACAAGUCUUCAUCUACUUGAAACCCUUCUUUCGAGCACGUGUAUUCUCUCUGCCGGACAUUGUUCUGCGAAUCUCUCCGAAGAUGACCUUUCCGAAUACUAAAACCUUUGUUGAAGGCAUAGGUGUUGCAUAGCUGGUACGCCUCAGCUUCAUCACUAACCUCCAUUCCUACCCUCAGUUCAUCAAUUUCUCCGAAAAUUUCAUCAUUGUCGCUUUUUUCUAAUGAUUCCUUUUGAGAAUCACUAUCCAUUUAGCUCAAAUCAGCCUAAUCAUAAACGAAUAAUUAAUUUAUGUAAAUAAAAUUAAAAUUUAACUCCUAACAAAAUAAAGGUGCAAAAUUUAAGAUGAAUCCCAAAUUUUUCAAUAAAAUCGAAAUAGCCCAUUUCGCUAAAACAGAUGUUAAUUCAUAUUAUCAAUCGCGAAAUUAAAUUGAAAUAAUUGUCUGAUUCUUCCCCAAAUUUUUCUCAGCCAUUAAAAUUUCAAAACUUUCAACUUCAAAAUUUUCAGAAAUGAAAAAAAGAAGGCAACAAUCAUAUCAUCAAAGAACCAGAGAGGAGAGACGAUUACCUGGUUUUUCCGAUAAACGAGAGAGAAGAAGAGAGUCGAUACGUCGUCGUUUAGAGGAGGAACGGGAGGAGGAGUUUGGGCUGAGAGGAGUGCUGGCACUGUGUGAAUAGAAAAGGGUCUAGAGAUUAGGGAGGAACAAAACGCAGCGUUCUCAUCCCGUCUCUAUCAAAUACAAAAUUUCACUUUUGGCCUUUCUAAUUUACGCCGAGUUUAUUUUAGUCCUCCUAAUUUUUAUUGUGUCAAUGUUGACCUUGUAAUAUACCAAAAGUUGCAACUCGACAGCUGGUUUGAGAUUGUAGUGCUUUUAUAAAAAACAGCUUAUUAAAAUACCUGAAGCAUCAAAUAUAUUUGGUAAAAUAAAAAAAGCAUUUUUUUUUUAUAAAUUAAGUUUAUCCAACACUCAAAUACUAUUAUUUUUGCAAUUUGUUAUAAACAUUUUUACAUAAAAUAAAUUUACCAAACACUUAACAAAUUUAGUUUACAGCUGUUUAUUCUCAGAAAUAUUUUUUUCAAAAAGAACAACAACACCAAACUAACCCACAUUAUAACCAUCUUUUGAAAAAAAAUUCAAGAAAACUCCUUAAAAUCCCAUGACUAAUAGUGUAUUUUAGAAGUAUUUCAAGUCAUUCGGUCUUCUGCAGGUUGAAACAAACAAGGGGUAACUCAUGAGUUCUGUGCAGGUGAAACAACCCAUCCAGAAUACACCGAGAUUAAGACGACGUUGGAUGACAUUCUGGACAGAUUACAAGUUCAUGGCUACCAGCCAAACCUGGUUUCGGCCGCUUAUGCUGUGGGAGACGAAGAAAAGACGGGUAUAUUAAUGUCUCAUAGUGAAAAGCUAGCUUUAGCAUAUGCAUUGCUCAGUAUAGAUUCUGGUUCCGCCAUUAAGAUCAUGAAGAACAUUAGGAUUUGCGGACACUGUCAUUCGUUCAUGUGCGGCGCGUCCUAGGUUACAGGGAGGGAGAUUGUCGUGAGAGAUAACAUGAGAUUCCACCAUGGAAGAAGAUUACAGUGCAAUGUUUGAUAUGGCGGAAGGCCGGUUUUGAGUAAUAUGAUCAUCUAGGCAAAUGUUUCAGCCAAUGCAGUUGAUAUAUUAACAUAAUAGACAACAAAUUUUCACAUCACAAAGACAGACAUUGCGUAGUGCUCUCUGUGCAUUAGCCACACAAACAACUCAGCUCACACCAGAGGCACCAGUAGCUUAUUAUAUGACCGAUAUAAUAGUAACAAACCACUGUAUUUAUAUCUUGUGGUGUCCGCCGCGAAGCUUCUCUAUGAUCUUGUCCAUGAUCCCUUUCUUUUCGUGGUGCUCCUCCGUGUAAGCGGUGCCGCCGCCGGAGGGUGUGGUGGUCGACGUCGUAGUAUGUGAGUACCGGGGAUCAUCCUUGUGGCCAGUACUCGGCAGCUUGUCCUCGAUCUUGUCCAUCAUCCCUUUUUCCUGGUGGUGACCUCCUGGGUCGGCGGUGCCGUAUGCUGUGUCAGUUGUGGUUGAGCCUGGGAGCUUCUCAUUUAUCUUCUGUUUCAGCCCCUUUUUCUUCCUACUCCCACCUAGCCCAUCAUCCUCUGACUACAACACAAUAAUUAAAUACCCAACAUAUAACUACCAAGAGAAAAAUACAAGUUAACAAUUUCAUGGGAAAUUUUACAUUCCUUAUUUCUCUUGAAAUUGGGAUACCAAGUCCAUAAAAAAUCCACCGGAAGAAUUGAAUGCCUUUAUUGAAUAAUACUUGCAUAACCUAUCUUCAUCGUAGAAAUUUUAUAAUCAUAACCGUUUUUAUUUUUAAUCUCCAUUUAAGAUUAUGUGUACAAAAAUCAUUUGAAUAGAAUAUCGUUUUUAGUCAUCCAAAUGUAUCACAUAAAUCAACAGUGUAGAAAAAUCAUUUGAAUAUGAUAUCGUUUAGUCAUUCAAAUAUAUCUCAUAUAUAUCAACAGUGUAGAUACCAAGUAACAUAUAUUAUAAAGAUCAACAGUCCAUUUAUUCCAUAAAUUUGGAUGACUAAAUAAUGUUCGAUUAAAUGAACUUUUGUAAGGAUUGAUAAUCUUUAAAUUAAUAUUUAGAAAUUGAAUGGCCUCGAUUAUGAAACUUGUAGGAUGAAGAUACACAAUUGGGGAAAUGAGCUCAAUUCCCAGGAGAGGAAUGCAAAUAUUAUUCUUUCUAGUGACUAUAGUCAAUUCUAAUAAGAUGUGAUACGUUGAUUUGCAUUUACGGAGUACAAUACAUGAAACUAAUUUAAUCAGUAAGAUGAUACAAAUAAUUGUACAUAUUUACCCAAAAUUAAUACCAUUAGUAUCCUGGCUAAUUGUAUUAGGAUUUACACACAAAUUCAUUUUCGUGGAAAUUAUGCGGUUAAUUAAGUCUAAUCUUUUUGCUAGCAAGGUCUAAUCUUUUUAGACAAAACAAUGGUACAAAUUACAAUAUCCUACGAAAAUUAAGAUCAAAUCUUUAUAUGGGAAAAAGAGAUUACUUACAGAGCUAGAGCUUGAGCUGGCGGAGCGAUGAAGCAUGCCAGUGACACCAUGGUGCUCUUUCCUGCCGUAAUCGUGACCAAGUGUGCCGUGACCACCUGCCGUGGUGGCAGCAUAGCCAGUGGUCACAACGGCCGUGUGAUGAGCACCGUAUUCUCCGGUGGCAGCAGGAGCGAUGCCAGUAGUAGCACCGUGAUGACCAAGUGGGUUUCCAUACUUGUCCACUUGGGGAACCAAGGGGUUGCUGUUCUCGUCAGUUCCCUGAGUCGGGUUGCCGCAGGCGGCGGUGGGUGGUGCCCCGUAUUGAUGAUUUUGUAAAUGCGCCAUUCUCUAAAAACACAAUGAAACCUUUUCUUCUUCUUGGAAAUUUUUUAAUAUGCUUCGAUGAGGAUUUGAUUUUGAUGAAGUCUGACAAUUUGGGUCGGUUUAUAUAAGCAAAAUAACAAAACAUGCAUGUCACAGUAGGGUUCUUGCCGUUUGCCAAACUUUAAUAAUUUGUAAAACUAUCCCCACUCUCUCUCUGUAUACAUGUCGUAUACGGUAUACCUCACAUUGCCACAAAAGCAACUCCCGACAGCAAAAAUAGUGUUAGACAUGUCGUAUAGCUCACAUUACCAAUACCUUGAAAGCAACUGCCGACAUCAAAAAAUAAUAGAACUUGGAUUGUUCAUGCUACUAGCUUCCAUCGCUAGGACAUGUACUUGGAAGCAAGCUAUACAGCCACCUUGAAUCAAUGAAUGAACCUUGAAUCAACGAAUGAAUGAAAAGAAAUGGAAUUGAAAGCAAGCUACAGCUACCUCAAAUCAAUCAAUGAACGAAUGAAAAGAAAAGAAACCGCCUGCUUAUCUUGUGUGACAAGACCAUAGAGCGAGUGGCUCUUCUAUGUGUGAAAUUAUCUUGUGUGACAAGACCAUAGAGCGAGUGACCAUUCUAGGUGGGCAGCUGUGUGAGAGAGAGGAAUUCGAACUUGAUAUUGAUAUCAGCGGAGGCGUUUGCAAGUGGCAAACUAAAUAACAUGUUCAUGUUCUUAUUGCUACUCAUUUUAACAUAAUAGACAACAAAGUUUUGUAAGCAGUAUAUCAAUAAAUAAACUACUGCAACACAUCAUACCAACACUACCCUAGGAUUACCAACUAAUAUCAGAUUCACCAUAACUAGAGAAACACCAGUUUAUAAUCUACAAGACACUUACCUGGAGGCAUCGCCAUUGAAGAAACAACAGAAGAAGAAGUCUUCUACUUCCAACACUCGAAAGUCUCUUCUCUAAGUGAAUAGGGUUUUAGAUAAUAUUGAGAGCGUUAGUAAGGAAGCAGGGACUUCAACUAUAUAUAUAUCCAUCCAUUUUGCUACAGAUUCACUCGGUCCAACCUAUUAUCAGAAAGAGUGAUAAUCUCUAUCUCUUAAUAAGUUUUAGUCCUAUCAUGACUCUAUAUACUAGUAUAUAUUUGAUAAGGAUCAAAAUAGAACAGCUGCAACAUACAAAACUCCACGAUUCUUGUCAUACCAAAGCUCUCAGACUCCUUGUGUUUCACAUAACUAGUAUGACUAGUUAAACGCCACCCAAGUAGUCCAGUUGUAAUCUCAUUGUCAUUCAAACAAGUUUUACAUUCUCCCACUUGAAUGUCAAUGAUAUGCCUCAAUAUUAUAAGAAUCAUGAUGAUCAUACAGUUCACAAAAGCUUGCAACUGAUCCUUCAUAGUAACUUGUCAUCUUUAAGAAAAAUAUAGGACCACAAAAAACAAAGCACGAAUAGCUUGCACUUUGCACUCUGUGAUCACAUACAUAUUUAGCUUAAAAACACUAUGUCACUUUUGAGAGUCAUGACGUCAAGAACUGACAAUUCUCAGUUCCACAUAACAAAAUGAAAUAAUUCCAGUACCAAAGUUGUUUGUAGAAACAUAAUAAGCCAAUUUAAACAAAUCAAUAACGAUAACAAAUUUGCAAGAUAACUAACAAUCGUCAAUCAGUAAACAAAAUAAUUGAAACAAACCCAACACGGUUUAUGGAGUGCUUACUCCCACUCAUUAACUGAAUCAAGGACCUCUCUUACUCCCAUGUUGAAAACAUGUUUCUUGAAAACUCCCACUGGUAAAGCCUUUGUCAUUGGAUCAGCAACCAUUAAACUUGUGUUGAUGUACUCAAUUUCGACAGUUUCUUUCUUCACUUCAUCUCGUACUUUUAAGUACUUGAUGUCCAUCAAUCUGCUGGCAUAAGACCUCUUGUUAUUCUUCGAAAAGAAAACUGCAGCUUUGUUGUCACAAUACAACUUGAGAGACCUUUCAACACUGUCAACGAUUUCCAAUCCUUUCAUCAUGUUUUUAAGCCAAAUGGCUUGUUGAGUUGCUGCAUAGCACCCUAUAAAUUCAGCUUCCAUAGUUGAAGAUGCAAUACCUUUCUGUUUUGCACUCUUCCACGAUACUGCACCAUUAGCCAACAGAAAGAUAUAUGCAUUAGUUGACUUUCUGUCGUCCACGCACCCUGCCAAGUCCGAAUCCGUGAACCCUACCAAUUCCAGCUUGUCCACAUGACUAUAAGUUAACAUAAAAUCUCUUGUUCUUUUGAGACACCUCAGUACCUUUUUCGCUGCAACCCAAUGACAUACACCAGGAUUUGAUUGAAACCUACCAAGCACACUCAGUGCAAAAGCCAAAUCUGGUCUUGUGCAUACCUGAGCAUACAUGAGACCCCCUACAAGAGAUGCAUAGGGCUUGUCUUUCAUUCCCUCAUUCUCUAAUUCAUUUUUGGGACAUUAAACACUACUCAGUUUGUCUCUUUUGCCGAUAGGCAAUUCUCCAUUCGAACAUUUGUCCAUAUUGAAUCUUUUAGCAUCUCUAUCGAUGUACUACCUUUGAGAAAGACCAAGAGACUUCGUAACACGAUCUCUUACAAUUUAUAUUCCCAAAACAAAUCGAGCUUCCCCCAAGUCCUUCAUGUUAAAGUUUUGAGUGAGCAUACUCUUAGUUAACUGUAGUAGAGACAUAUCAGAGCUAGCUAAUAAUAUAUCGUCUACAUACAAUACUAAGAAUAUGACCUUCGCACCAAGGACUUUCAGAUAAAUACACUCAUCCAUUUUGUUCUCUUGGAAACCAGAAGCUGCCAUUACCUGAUCAAAUUUCUUAUUCCAUUGCCUCGAGGCUUGUUUUAAGCCGUAUAUAGACUUAUUCAGUUUACAAACCAUCGUCUCAUUCCCCCUUUCAACAAAUCCAGGUGCUUGUUGCAUGUAAAUAUCUUCUUCAAGAUCUCCAUUUAGAAAUGCCGUCUUGACGUCCAUUUGAUGAAGUUAUAAAUCAAAAUGUGCUGUGAGAGCUAGAAUUAUUCUCAUGGAAUCUUUUGUUGAGACUGGAGAAAAUGUCUCAUUAUAGUCAAUGUCUUCCCUUUGUGUAAAGCCCUUCGCCACUAACCUUGCUUUGUGUUUGUCAAUGUUGCCUUAUGAGUCUCGUUUUGUCUUGAACACCCAUUUACAACCAAUAAUUUUUGUUGUCCCAAUUGGCUUUGGAACUAAGCUCCACACACUGUUUUUCUCCAUGGACUCCAGUUCUUCAUGCAUGGCUUGUUUCCAUAAUGUUGAUCUUGAACUUGUUAUGGCUUGAUUGUAGGACAAGGGAUCAUCUUCAUCACCUAUAGUAUGUUCUGCCUCAUUUAGUUAUGUUUAUACCAUAUUUAGGGCCUCGUAUUUAGAUCUCGUACAAAUACUCGGAGGACUUAAAUGUAAUUAUAUGAUAAAGGAAUGGGCAAAUAUGUAAUAAAAGAUGAGUCCUUAUUCUAUAAAAGGACCACUCACCCUCACAAUUAGGGGAGGCCAAUUCCUAGGCCUUCUCACCCCCUCUCAAAGCUCUCACUCUCAGAGCUCUCUCUCCCUUAGAAAUACAAUAUCAGUGUGGACGUAGCCCAAACUUUGGGGUGAACCACGAUACAUCUUGUGUUAUUUACAUUUCAUGCAGAUUCACGGUCGGAUUUACGUUGUUCCAAGACCUUCAGUUUUGUGCAUCAACAAGGUAUACAAAAUCAGGCAACAAUGUUGCCUUACGUACUCGCUGUGAUUUUCGAAUAUUUGAUUCAAAAACUGCAGUUACUGGAUCAUUCAUAAGAUCUACUUCAGUUAAUUGUACUGGUGCAUGUACUUCAUGUUCCUGGACGUCUGCAUAGGGCACAUACUCCUCAUUUGUUGUAUCAUCUGCAUAAACCGUAUGUGAAUUGUCAUGAAAAGGUUAUGGCUGCAUGUUCAUGGGAAUAAUAAGGGUAGAUGGAUGCUGAUCAAUAAUGUCACUAUCAAGUGUGAUUUCUUUGAAUUUUGAGGAUGUAGUUGCUGAUAUGCUGAUGUCAGUUUCAUCCCCAUCUUCAAGAAAUCUUGCAUUAUGGGUUUCCAUAACCCUCGAGUGACUGUUAGGGCAAUAGAAUUUAUACCCUUUAGACUUCUCAGAAUACCCAAUGAACUUGCAACUGGUGGUCCAUGGAUCGAGUUUUUUCUCUGUUGGAUUAUAGAAUCUGGCAUCGGCAUUACAACCCCAUACACGAAAGUGAUGAAAACUCGGUUUCCUUCUUGUCCAAGCUUCGAAUGGUACCAUGUCAACGGACUUGCUCGGUACACGGUUCAAUAUAUAAUUUGUAAUUUUCAGUGCUUCUUCCCAAAGAAACAUUGAAAGCUUUGAAUGUGCAAACAUGGAUCGAAUCAUGUCCUUCAGGGUUCGAUUCCUUCGUUUAGCAACUCCAUUUUGAUGAGGAGUCCCAGGGGUAGUAUACUGAGCCACAAUGCCAUUUUGUUCAAGAUAAGUUGCAAAAGGUCAUUUGUGUUGUCCAGCCUCAGUGAACUUGCCAAAAUACUCACCACCUCUAUCGGAUCUCACAAUCUUAAUGUGUUUUUCUAGUUGUUUUUCAACUUCCAAAUGAAAUGUUUUAAAACAAUGCAAGGCUUCAGAUUUUUCAAAAAUAAGAAAAACAUAUGCAAACCGUGAAAAAUCAUCAAUGAAGGUUAUGAAAUAUGAUUUUCCACAUAUGGUCUUAAUUGGAAAGGGUCCGCAAAUAUCAGUGUGUAUAAUUUCCAGUAGAGAUUGGCUACGGUUUGACCCUAUUUUCCUAGUAUUGGUGAGUUUUCCUUUAAAACAAUCAACACACUCUUUAAAGUUGCUGAAAUCAAGUUGUGGCAACAAGUCUUGUUUUGUAAGUGUGAUGAUUCUUUCUUUAGAGAUGUGCCCCAACCUUUUGUGCCAAAGCAUUGAGGUUUUUUCAUGAGUGAGCACUUGUUUGAACCAGCACUUUGAACAUUAAAACAUUCAAUCUCAUACGUACAAUUCAUUUGCCACGUAUCAACUUUAAGAUAUGCUUCACUAAGUAAUUUAUUCAUGUCAUUGGAAUGGAAAAACUUUACACUUUGACUGUCACCCACUAAUGUAAAGCCGGAUUUAACUAACUUAGAUGCAGAAAUUGAUUUCCUUCUCAUGGAAGGUACAUAGAGUACUGGACUCAAAUCUAAAAUAAAGCUAGAGGAAAGAACUAAUUUGACACUUCCUAUGGAUUCGAUAGCAACUUUGCUGCCAUUCCCUACAUAGACAUUGUAGACUUCAUUGUUUAUCACCCUUGUUUUUUAGAAGCCCUGCAAAGAAUUAGUUAUGUGAAUAGAGCAGCUUGUGUCAAACCACCAACUUUUAGGAGGAAUGUAAACUAAAUUAGACUCAACACAUACAAAAAUAUUUAUUUCGUUACCUUUCUUAACAAGCCUAUUCUUGAAGCCAUUGCAGUUCUUUCUUAAGUGACCUAUUUCUUUGCAAAAAUAACACUCUUUUUCUUUCUCAAGUUCAAUGUUAACAUGCUUUAUUUUAUGAGAUCCUUUAGAGAUGAUGUUAGUAUUUUUAAAUGAAGAAGAAAUUUCUUUCUUCUUCUUCUUACCAGCAACCACAAUUGAACUUUGAGUGAAGUCCUUUUUGCGUUUUUCACCUUGCACAAAAUUCACAUCUACUGAUUUGUCACUCUUGAGCCGAUCUUCUUCUUGUGCACACAUAAUGAUCAGUUCAUCGAUGCCCUAUUUGUCUUUUUGAGUGUUAUAAAAAACCUUGAGCUGCCCAUAUUUUGAAGGCAAGGAGUUCAAGGCCAUAUGAACUAAGAACUGGUCAAUCAUGGGUACUUCGAGAUCCUUCAACUUCUAAGCAAGAUCAACCAUCUUGAGAAUGUGUUCUCUGACACUUCCCUCACCAUCAAAUUUCAUAGAGGUAAUUUGAAUGAGAAAAGUCCCAGUUUCAGCCUUGUCAAAUUCUUUAAAUUUUUCCCCAACUGCAGCCAAGAAGUCUUUUGCAUUGUCUUGUUUUGGAACACCCCCUUUAACUGAUGGAGCCAUAGCCUUCCUUGUAAUCAUCAGGGACAUUCGGUUUGUUCUCUCCCACUUUUCAAACUUUGCCUUAUGAUCUGCAGUGCUCUCUGUAGUAAUAGCUGCAGGUUUUUCCUCCCUUAAUGCCAAAUCGAGAUCCAUAAGGCCAAGAACCAUUUCAACAUCCUCCUUCCACUUCUUGUAGUUAGAACCGAUCAGAGUCUCAAUAUUGUUGAAAUUGAGAGAUGUCAUAUGAGGAGCUACAAAACCAAAUAUUAAUUUUUAUAGUUCUUAGUCAUUAUGUAUCAACAAACAGAAGAAAAGAUUACGCCUAAUCUUUUCCCAACAUAUAAUCAUAUAAACAUAGUAUCAUCUUUGGACAGAAACUAUUUAUACUAGAUUUGCAUAGCCAAAAUAUUGAAAACGAGGGCAGUUUACAUAACUCCAACACUUUUAAGCAGAUGAAGAAUGCAAUCUUGUCAAUUCAAUAUUUCACUAUACAUUGAUUGAUUUAUUUAUUUAACUUGAAUAAAUAAACACUUUUGAGCAGAUUAUUAUUCACUUGAUACAAAUAAAUCACAUGUCUAAUCCUUUAGACAACAACAAAAUCAACAAACUAAACACUUUUGAACAGAUUAGGUGUUGAGAUCCUUGUUUACGAUUCAAAUUUUAUUUAUUAGUUCGGUUUUGACAAAUAAAACAUGAAUCCAAAAGUUCUUCUGGGUUGAGUGUUCCAAUAUUGCAAUUGUUCUUUGAACGAUCUUCUCUAGACAAAAAUAGCAAACACAACUGGAGGUAUACACGGCAAUAUUUGAUUAUAUAUAUAAAUAUAUUGAUCAUGCAAAUUUCUUUGUAAGUAUGCAACGGAAGCAUUUAAUGACAUAGGAUCAAAAUAUAUAGAUCAAUCAAAUCGAAAGUUAACCAUAUAUUAAAUAAAGAACCCUAGUCAUGUUAGGUUGGCUCUGAUACCACAUGUAAGCAGUAUAUCAAUAAAUAAACUACUGCAACACAUCAUACCAACACUACCCUAGGAUUACCAACUAAUAUCAGAUUCACCAUAACUAGAGAAACACCAGUUUAUAAUCUGCAAGACACUUACCUGGAGGCAUCGCCAUUGAAGAAACAACAGAAGAAGAAGUCUUCUACUUCCAACACUUGAAAGUCUCUUCUCUAAGUGAAUAGGGUUUUAGAUAAUAUUGAGAGCGUUAGUGAGGAAGCAGGGACUUCAACUAUAUAUAUCCAUCCAUUUUGCUAGAGAUUCACUCGGUCCAGCCUAUUAUCAGAAAGAGUGAUAAUCUCUAUCUCUUAAUAAGUUUUAGUCCUAUCAUGACUCUAUAUACUAGUAUAUAUUUGAUAAGGAUCAAAAUAGAACAGCUGCAACAUACAAAACUCCACGAUUCUUGUCAUACCAAAGCUCUCAGACUCCUUGUGUUUCGCAUAACUAGUAUGACUAGUUAAACGCCACCCAAGUAGUCCAGUUGUAAUCUCAUUGUCAUUCAAACAAGUUUUACAAGUUUCACAUCACAAAGAUAGACAUUGCAUAGUGCUCUCUGUGCAUUAGCCACACAAACAACUCAGCUCACACCAGAGGCACCAGUAGCUUAUUAUAUGGCCGAUAUAAUUGUAACAAACCACUGCAUUUAUAUCUUGUGGUGUCCGCCACGAAGCUUCUCUAUGAUCUUGUCCAUGAUCCCUUUCUUUUCGUGGUUCUCCUCCGUGUAAGCGGUGCCGCCGCCGGAUGGUGUGGUGGUCGACGUAGUAGUAUGUGAGUAGUGGGGGUUAUCCUUGUGGCCAGUACUCGGCAGCUUGUCCUCGAUCUUGUCCGUCAUCCCUUUUUCCUGGUGGUGCCCUCCUGGGUCGGUGGUGCCGUAUGUUGUGUCAGUUGUAGUUGAGCCUGUGAGCUUUUCAUUUAUCUUCUGUUGCAGCUAGCUUCUAUCGCUAGCACAUGUACUUGGUGUUGGAUAAAUAUCAACAAUCAACGAUAAAUUUAUAUAUGUUAAUAAAUAAUAAAUACAAAUAAAUAAUUUACCAGAGUAUAAACAUAACGAAAUAAUAUUAGACAGACAAAUUGAAAAUCAAAGCUUGCGUACCGUAAUGUCCUUGAAAUAUAAAUUUCAUCCCUAUUCAGUGCUUGUAGUUCUACAAACGUCUGCUUCACCAAUAUUCAAUUGACACACCCCGACCUAAAUCAGGGCGUGUUGGCCGUCACGUAGAAGUGAAGUAACCAUGUGCAUAGUGCGGAAACAAUAAAGAUAUAAGAGAAAUAUGAAUGAAUAAAAACCAAACUACUAGCCUUACUAGUUAAGAUAAGGUGCUAGAACGAGAUUAAGUGUGAAAUACACAACUAGAGCAUAAAUAGCCUAAGUGCAAUCAAGCAGGACAAGUACUAAUUUACAACACUCAAGGGUGAUCCUACAUUUAUGAUGUUCUGUUAAAACCACCGUUGAAAUCCCCGUGAGCCACCAAAGCAUUUCCACCUAAAACCUAGAUGGGCGCAAAACAGAAAGUGUGAGUAGGCAAAAACAAAGUUUUGCAAAAUCAUUUCAUUUCUCAAAAGUUCUAACCCCUCGCCCUAAAACCUGUAUAAUUUCCCAGAAAAUAAUAAUAAUAAUAAUAAUACUAAUAAUAAUAAUAAUAAUAAGCUGUAUCAGAAAUCAUACUCAAGAUGAAAAUCCAUAGAAGUAUACCAUGCCAAAGUAUCUUAAUGCAAUGCCAUAAAUAAUCCAGACAAAAUAUAUCAAUGUCAGGUAUCGCAUCAGCUGAAUCCCUCUAACUCAAACUGUAUGGUUGAGUCUAUAGCUCAUAACCAAUCUCAAUCAUAUCAUAUCAAUUCUUGCACACGAGUCGGAACCACCUAAAGUGGUCUGUACGACAAGAGUAGGUGUAAAAUAAAUAUGCUCUAGUGCUACGAUCACAUGAAGGCUGUGCGAAUAAUCGCGGGUCACUUACGAGUCGGAACCAUCUAAAGUGGUUUGUACGAAAAGCCUUUGCACCUAACUUGGAUCCUAGGUGAGCAUAUGGUGCGAGAGGUGAAUGUCACGUGAAAGACUGUACCCUAACUUUGGACGGGAGCACUAACACCAAGGUGCAUGUUUAUGAGCUCUCAAUACAUCACAUCAUAUCUCACAUAACUGAAGUAACCUCAUAUCUUUAAUUUAUGAACUUACCUAGCACUUACCUGUGCGUCUGCAGCACCAAUCAUAAAUAUAUGCAACUACUAAUGCAUAAAUAAAAUAGGCAGAUACUUUACAUGGCAUUUCAAAACGUAAAAUCAUUCAAAUUCAUUUUUUGGGAAAAAUCUCAAAGUUUAUAGGUAUAUACGGAAAACCAAAAGCACACUCAUUGAUAUGUCGAAGGGUCGUAGCCCUCGAGCCUCGAUUGAUGGCACUCGUCCUUAGGAUAGGUCUCACCUAUAUGCGAAAUAACUGAAUAAACAUUAUUUAAAGCACAUACACAAAACUAAGAAAUAACUUCUCAUACAUUGCUCAAAUGAGGUAUUUGAAUAUACCACCAUGAUUUACUCAACCUCAGGAACAUCCUCAUAUUUUUAGAAAAAUUUUCCGACCUCCCACGCCCCGCCACGCACCGGCCAAGGCAUGGCCAAACGUGCUCCCAUGCGCGGCCAAACCCUAACUGAGCCUAACGACCAUUAGGAAUAUUCCGUUAAAACCUUAACAAAAGUUAAAUGCGUUACCUGACGCCAUUAGAAUAUUCUGUCAGACUUGACAAAAUAUUCUCCUUCAUAUUCCUGGGUUCGCCGGAGAAUGUUGUCGGAGCCGCUACGAUCGCCUGAAACUGGGAAAAUAAUCAAACCUUCAUAUCUUCCUCAUUUCUCAACCAAAACUCACGAAAUUUAUACCAAAUUGAAGCUUACAACAAGAAGAACAAAACCUUACCAAUUUCACGCCUAGAAAUCCAUGGGAUUUCAUCGGAUAAACCUCGAUAAUUCGGCCAAAAUUGAAACUUGCCAAACUUAACUUCCCGACAUCCAAAACACUUUGUUUUUCUUCUCCAAGCUUUGUGAAGACGUCCUAAGGCUCACUAGCAACUUAAAAUCUCCUAAAAACUUCACAUUCACGAUCAUAUGAACAGUGCCUUAAAACUGGGAUUUCUGGUUCUCGGGAAAACAAGGUCUUCACGUCAAACUAAAGGCAUAGAUGACCACCUGGACUCACGAGGAACACAUAAACAACCUCCUCGACGUCGAUCCGUGAAGAUAGGGUAAGGUUUGGGUGUUGUCCAUACGAGUACGAAAAUGGCAGAAAAUUCGAGGGAAGGAGAGAGAGAAAGUCAACGGGAAAGGGUUUGUGUGAGUGUGUGUGGUCCAGCUGGGUCACCAAUCAAAAUAAAUAAAAGCUUAAGUUUUAAUUGGAUCCAAUUAAUUAGGAAUAGAGCUAACUGGCCUUUUUUUCUUAGCCCAAUCUACACAACACCACGAAACGCUCAAGGGUACUUUAGUCUUUUCACACCACCGAUGAAAUAAUUCAAGACGGGCUGUGAUCAAUGAUCUAAGUUAGAAUUCCAACACCGGAAAACUUGACUUCUGGCUAAUUUCUUUGUGGUUCUCUCAGUAAGAAUGUUUGGGAUUGUAGAAGAAUUUUAUGUUUCUAUGUUCUAAAUGUCAUGCAGAUUGAUGUAUAUAUAAUAGGUUUAUGCAUGUUUGCAACAGGUAUGAGAAUGGGAUGAGUUUGUUAGGAGACAUCUUCUCAAAGGGGUGCUUUGUUCUCUGGCGUUCUUUCAUCACUUCAGACUUCAUCUGAAAAGAUGAGUUUAUUGAUAUAAAAAAUAAUUAAUUAAUUAAAAAUAAGUAAUUAAAAAAUUUAAUUAUAAAGCCCAAUCUCAAACUUGAGCCCAAUUUUAUGAUCUAUGACCCAUUACUCCAUUCACUCUCUACAAGGGACAAAAUCUUAUAAAAUAAAAAUCUUUUAAUAGUGACUAAUAUGGGAUCAUAAAAUUUCUACUCAAAAUUUCUAACACUUAAAAGCAAGCUACAGCUACCUCAAAUCAAUCAAUGAAACCGCUCCCAGUAGGUGGGCGGCGUGCUCGUCUUGUGUGACAAGACCGUAGAGCGAGUGGCUCUUCUCUGUGUGAACUUAUCUUGUGUGACAAGCCCAUAGAGCGAGUGACUAUUCUAGAUGAAUUCGAACUUGAUAUUGAUAUCAGCGGAGGCGUUUGCAAGCGGGCAAACUAAAUAACAUGUUCAUGUUCUUAUUGCUAAUUUGUAGGACCUUAUUAAACCAAUAUUGCAACAGUAGUUAAACCGGAAUUACCGUUACUCGAACGAGCACUAAAUAUAUUAAUAUAAACGACAGACAAAGUUACAUAUCACAAAGACAAACGAUACUGUGUAGUGUUCGGUGCAUUAGCCGCACCAGAGCUGAGCUCGCACCAGGCUCCGCUAGCUUAUUAUAAGAUUCAACAACACUAAACCACUGUAUACAUACUGUAGGCUUUUAUUAAUACAGGAAUGGUAUAUAAUGUCUACUGGUUUCCUCCGGGAAGCUUCUCUUUGAUCUUGUCCAUGAUCCCCUUCUUUUCGUGGUGCUCCUCCGUGUAGGUGGCACCGCCGUAGGGAGUUGUGGUCGUACUAGCAUGUGUUGUGGUUGAGUAGUGGGGGUCAUCCUUGUGGCCAGUACCCGGCAGCUUGUCCUUGAUCUUGUCCAUCAUCCCCUUUUCCUGUUGGUGCCCUCCUGGGUAGGUGGUGCCAGCGGUGCCGUAAGUUGUCUCAGUCGUGGUUGAUCCCGGGAGCUUCUCCUUUAUCUUCUGUUUCAACCCCUUCUUCUUCCUCCUCCCACCUAGCCCAUCAUCCUCCGACUACACCAAAAUAAAUACACGCCGACAUAUGAAUUUCUUUUUCAGAGGGAAUUACAAGUUAAUUAACAAUAUUAAUAUUAUAUAAUUAGUGUAUAAAAGAAAUUGAUGAUCAAAUCCUGCCAAUAAGAGUUGGAUCUUGCAUAAAAAUUGUAUCUACGCGAUUGUAUACAAGUUAAAAAUUUCCGAGGGAAUAACUUCUGUUUUAAAUGAAAUCUAUCUUGUUGUAUUAAUUAAAAAUUAGUAAACAUGCUACAGUACAAACAUUCUCAUGAAUAUAUAUUCAACCCUAAAUGUUGCAAAUCAAUCCACAUUUGCAAGGUGUACAUAGAGCAGAGAAAUGUUUUAGUUAAUCGAAACACGCCUAAUACACCUGGUCUAAUAAUGCUACCAUUAAAAUUUUUGCCUAUUGACCAGGUGACAUGAUACAAAUAACAAUAGGGGACCGCCUACAUAUAGAGAAAUUUUUAUUGUAUCAGAACACGCCUAAUUCACCAGGUCUAAUACUAUCGAUUAAAUAUUUUACUAGUUUCUAAUAAUACAAUUAUAUUGGGGUACUGGACCUUGCUACAGGCGCAUUGAAAAUUUUCUACGUGCUUAUAUUAGGAUUGAACAUAAAUUCAUGCGUGUGUGCCUAAUUAAGCCUAACCUUUUUGGCUAACUUGGUCAAUAGACAAAAUCAUGGUACGCGCUAUUAAGUGAAUCCUACGUAAAUUAACAUCACAUUUUCAUAUGAGAAAAAAAUAAGAAAUCACUUACAGAGCUAGAGCUUGAGCUGCCAGAGCGGUGGAGCGCGCCAGUGACACCAUGGUGCUCUUUCCUGCCGUAAUCGUGACCAGUGGUCGCAGCGGCUGUGUCAUGAGCACCGUAUCCUCCGGUGGUGGCACCUGUAGUAGCACCGCCAAGUGGGUUCCCGUACUCGUCGGUUCUCUGGAUCGGGUUGCCGUAGGCGUCGGUUGGCUGUGCCCCGUGUUGAUUAUGCAGAUGCGACAUUUUUCAAAUAACACAAUUUGAGUAUGGAAGUCUGGAUAAUUUUGUUUGGGAUUUGAUGGGAUUGGAGGGAAAAUAUGGCGGGAUUAUAUAGGGAACCAACAAAACACGCGUGUCACAGUAGGGUUUCUUACUUCUUACACCUACGUGAAUAGUGACCUUCGAUCCUGAUGACACGUUGGCUACUGGGACACCUGGCGACGUGAAAGAGGAACAAGUGUAUCCUGCUGUCGGCAUAGAAUAAUCAGAUAGAUAAGAUUAGAUAAGGGAGUCAGUCCUUAUCAUGGAGUUAAAAAGCUCGUGACACUCCACCGCGUCUGUGACUUUACGUGGUUGAUAGAUAACGACCUCUUGGAUAUGUUCAAGAUUGGAACUUGGAAAGCAUGGCAUGGUUACGUUUUUUACACAUGCAUGGCCGUGUAAUUAUCUUGAUUUUUCUUUUUUAUAGACGUGGGGAAUUUGGAUACGGAUGAAGGGUGACUACGUACACUUGCUUUGUAAUUAUCUUGAUUUAGAUUUUUUUAAUAAUUUAGAAUUUUUUUAUAAGAACUUUCAUGAAAAAAACUUGGACUAAAUUUAUUUUAAUAAAAACUCAUGUUAUAAUUUUAUCUAAUGAAAAAGACUUAAACUUUAAUGAAAAGACAUAAUUUUAAUAUUUUAAAAAUAAAAAAAACUGACACGCGGACUUACGCGCCCCUUACACAAACUAUUUAUGAAACUUAUUACAUUAUUUUGAAACUUAAUUGUACUACACUGUUUAUAAAAUUUAACGGUACGACACUGUUUAUGAAACUUAUUACACUAUGUAUGAAACUUUUAUGAAACUUAACGGUACAACACUAUUUAUGAAACUUUGUACACUGUUUAUGAAACUGUUGACCCUAAAAACUACCAAGCCUACGUUGUGUGCAGGCCGAGUAAUUAAUAAGCUAACUACGUCAUUCGGUUGUGUGCGGGGUGUGCCAACUUGUUGGCCGAGCUCGGUCAAGGAGUAAAAUUUGUUGAUGUUGCGUUGAUGCGCUACUGACUUCUCGAUCUUGCAAUUGCGGUUGAGGAAGGAACACUCUCGGCCUUCGGGUUCUAAAGCCUAAAGACAAGGCUGCUAAUUCUAUGAAGUUCAAUAUCAAAUUCGGCUCCCAGGGUGCCGAAUGUAGUAACCUGGUAACACCUCACUUUGCCGAGAAGGCUGAUGAGAUGACAUCUGCCAAUAAGGAUUCGAAAAUCCUUCUCGACCAAGACUUGGAUAGAUAACCAAUCGGUCUCGUCGCAGUGCUGUUUAUCCAAACUUAAGGUACUUCGCGAUCGGCUAAUUCUACGGCAACAAUGCUAUUUAUCCAAACUGAAGAUGUUCGCCGAUUGCCUUCACAGUGCUGUUUAUCCAAACUAAAGAUGUGCUGGUGAAAAAGAAAAUAAAAAUCUCAAGGUUGUUGACAGGUUUCUCGUAAAGCGAAAGUUUGCGUAGGGUAGUUUGUGUGUUGAGUUGGAGGGGCUUUUUAGCCGCUUGAUAUUUAUAGAUAUCUGCAGGCCCAAGUCACGAAAACCAAUCCUAAUUGCACUGUGACUCUAAGUCUUUAUUGGUUGCUAACCCCACGUCUUAUCAAAACUUGUUGUCAUCUUGUAACCCGAUGCAAUCUUGUUUUUAACUAAUAACCUUUAUCCAUUAUCAUCAUAACCUUUAUCCAUCAUCAUAACCUUCUGUUGAAGACCACAUGCAUGCAUGAUGACUAAUUCACCAACUUAAACUCUAAAAAGUAAUUUUAACUGAUGAAAUAUAAUCACCAUAUCCCUUAGAUACAGCCACGUGCACCAAUCACAUCCAUGAAUUCCAAGUCAACUUGAAUUGUACCACCCACUUCUAUAUCAGAAAUAGAACUUUGGUUUUAAUAAUAAUCAAUCACAUAGGAGAUUGCAUGCACCUGGGGCCUGAUAAGAUGAGCCUAUUCAAAUGUCCUCGCGCGCUCCUCUGAAGACGGAUCAGAUCAUCUUUUUCCAAAACAACUAACUGGAUAUAUCAAAUAUUAGGUUUAAAUAUCCUAGUUAUUAUUAAGAGAUAAUAUUAUAAUUAAAAUCACAAUAUCAUUUCUCAAUAAUAACUAAAAAUUAUUUCAACCACUUUAUCAUCCAACGGUCUAAAACCCUUCUCAUUCAACGACCUCGAUUACUCAGGCCGAUAAUGUAAAAACGGGUCCAAACAGAAACUUAACGAUACUACAUUGUUUAUGAAACUUAACAGUAGAUACUCGUCCUAGAUUUUCAAGUUCUUUCACUAGAAUGCAAUAAAAAGUUUUUUUUUUUUUUUUUUUAACAUGAUAGAGAUCAAUGUCCACACUUUUAAAGUCAUGCAUGGCUAAAAAAAACAUGAUAAAGAUCAAUGUUAACGCCCACACCUGACCAACUCCCUCCUAACCAUACAGCCGCAAAUGUGGUUUUGAAUCGAACGAAACCCACUUCAAUUUGAAAUUUUAAUUUUAGAGGAAUAAAAUAUGCUUGGAUUAUGUCAAAGGGUUAUGCAACUGAAGGAUUGGUUGGGUGCUCUUUGCACACGCUUUUAGUUAGGUUUUUUUUUUUCAUCCUCUUGUCCUUAUCAUUAAAUAAAGUUAUAGCAUAGUUUUUUUUUGUUAAAACUCAAAGUUUUGAAGCCAUUUUCAUUAGCUUUUUUUUUAUUGAUUUCUUUAUAUCUUUAAUUAAUCACGACAACAUAUAGAUUUCGUUUAGAAGUACUUUUAUAAUGACUAAAAUCGCUUCUAAUGGCAUGGAUUGUGGGUUUUAAAAACAUUUUAAGUGCUUUUUGAAAGAAGCUUAAGAUAUAUGCUUCUUGCAUGAAGCAUAAGAUAUAUGCUUCUUACAGGAAGCACAUAAAGUUUUUAUUUUAUUUUAUUUUUUUAAAUCCACUUGAAUUAUUAAAAAUUGGUUAAAAACAUUUAGACUGAAAAUGUUUUUUCAGUCAUUUUAAAUAUACUUCUAAGUGAGCUAAUAUAUAGAAGUUACAACUUUUCGCAAAGUUUUUUUUUUUGGUAAAUGUGUAAGAUUUAUUACUGAACCACACUAAAAUUUACAACAGGUGAGGUCCCAUUACAAGAAAAGCCAAAAAGAAAAUAUGGAUCCCCAAAACAAACCCAAACCAAAAGUUUGAGCCCAGAAAGAGCAAAAUAAACAGAAAACCCUAUUUUCCUUGUAACCGCCGAGAAUGUAUCACCGCAGAACGUUCAUCCAAUAGAUGCCAAAAAUCCAGCCAAACAAUUCCACAAAAAUGAUAGACAGACGACCCCACCAACCUUCACAAAGCACCAUAGAUGACAGAUUUGUAGCAAAACACAUGAAGCUAGUGAGAGAACUCAUUAGCAACAUAGUCACCAAAGGCAACAAAGUCGUCGAAGACAAAUCCAUGGGAGGUGGUGGUGUAAACACCCGAGCUAGAGCAAAACACACUUUUCUGAUCCAUGAGAGGUGGUGGUAAGAUCACCUGCAUUGAAGCUCUAUGCACAUCCUGAAAAAAUCGCGACAAAACACGAUUAAGAAAAGUAGCUACAAAUCAGAAAUCAAAUGGGUUUGAGGAAAGUCUAGGAGGUGGAGGAUGGGAAAGAUGGUGAAAAGAAAUUGGAAUUGAUGGUAUAGGAUUUGUAAAAUUAAAGCACAUAUUGGUGACGAACCAGUGAUUAUGCGAAGAGUUUGAGUCUAUUGUUGUAAGGCAUGACAAUAAAUGCUCAUGAAAUGUCAUCACAAGCACAAAUGCCAUCAUAAUUUUCAUAUUAAUAUUUUAUAGUUACUUUGAUAAGACAAUCGAUGUGUGAAUAUAACGAUUUACACAAGGUAUCCGCCUAUUAACCAUGGAAUCACGUAGUAUAUAUAAUAUUAUUCACUUGGAUAAUCUUUGUACAUUGUUGGGAACUUUUUGAUCUAGUUGAAUUUUGGCCAUGUGGAAACUUCUACUUCCUCUAGUUCGUUUCCAGUACUAAGUUCUAAGAUACUUUAAAAGAAUUAGUGCAUCUUAAGAAACAAUUGUUAAUUCAAUGACUCAAUGACUGAAUAAUUAUGAAAAAUUAUGAAUUGCCUAAAUGAAGUUGGGCGUGAAAGCUAAAAACUUAUCAAUUUAGCAUAAGAAAAUGUGUACAUGCUUGCAUGGUUUUAGGAAUGGCUAACUUAAGAGUUCUUAAUGGUAUGGGAAAUUUGAAGUGAAUAUAAGGAAAACUUGAAGAAAUCCGUGGAAGGUGAGGAUAAUUCCUCAUUUAAGAAUCAAGGUUUUUCACACUUAAGAGAAAAAUUUGCUGUGUCUGGUGCAAUCUUGUCUUGAUUCCUCUUCCUCUACGAUGUCUCCCACUUUCAUGUUGUCUCCCUCUUAAAUCUUUUUUUUUUCUUUCCAUGAGUGCAGUUAUAACUUCCCCUUUUAGUGUAAGGUUGAAGAACAUUACUAGCCUCAUGAAGAUUGCGCUGAACGCACUGGCCAAUCUUCUGGUCAAUUUUAACAAAUUUCUCUUUUAGAAAUGUCCAUCUUUGUUUUCUUUCUUUACUUUUCUAUGUAAACUUAGUUUAUUUUAUUUUUACACAACCGGACUUCGAGAUGUAAUUAAACUUGUACAUAAAAUUUUUGGACCUAACAUAUAUCAUCUCGUUAAAUAGGUUCCCGUUGACAAAGGAAGAACUCAUCUUUAUGUGUAUAGCAUUUUUGGACUACACGUCAAUGUGUUGUAAAAGUCAUAUUGAUGAUGUCCUAAUCUUUGACCAGUGCAACUUUGUGUUUAUCUCCAGCCGUGAGGAGAUAAAAGAGAAAAUAAACACUUUCAUUCUUUUAUGUUUUUUUCUUUUCAAAUUACAGAUUUUGUUAGAUUAUCCAAGAUUUCGUCCUCAUAUAAAAAUUUUAACAUUUUUUCACUAUUAUGGUAAAAUGCUACUUGCUCCAUUCAUUUAUGUUAAAAUAAAAGAAAAAAUGGAUAAUUGUUAAGCUAAAUAAAAAUUAGCUGAUGAAUAUGGCAGAUUGUUUUGUUAGUUAUGUUCGUUUCAGUGUAAUUAAAAUAGAAAUCUCAUGUUAAAAUUUAAAUCUCUAUGUAUUUCUCUUGUAUUUAAAAUUUUAAAAUUUUUUAGGUUUUGCUAUUUUUUUUUGUCCAUUGACAUUUUUACACUUACAGAAAAAAAAAUUCGGCUAUUUAACCAAUGAAUAACUUAAUUUGAUAUCAAAUUCGUCAUCCACUUAAUUCAAAACCUCACUUACAAGUGUGAGAGGUACCAGUAGAUCACUUGCAUGAUCAUUAGUGAAUAUCUUUUAGCUUUUAACUAUAUAAUUCAACGUAUCAAAAUUUUCUUUUUACUUGAUUGCUAUAUCGUUUUUAUUGACAUUAAGUAAUACCUGCUGAAUCAUUGAAUUUACUGGGUAGCAGUUAAACUUAAAAGCAUAAUACUAUUCUCAAAAAUAACAAAAACAAAUAUACUAUUAAUACAAAGGGAACGACACACAAAAUUACACAUAACAGAAACCAAAACAACAGUGCGCAACGAUGGAUCACCCACGCACGGAUCACGCAACCGAGGUCCGACCAGACACUCUUUUAUUAUACAGACUGGCAUUUACUUAUAGUUAUGUGAAACGGGAUGAUUAUCUACUCGGCGUGGCCACCAGGAAGCUUUUCUUUGAUCUUGUCCAUCAUGUUCUUCUUUUCCUGGGGCUCUCCGGUGCGCCCAGUCCCACCAUAAGCUGCAGCAGUAGUUGACGUGUCAUGAGAAUACUGGUCAUCCCUAUUCCCACCUGGCAGCUUCUUCUUGAUCUUGUCCGUCGUACCCUUCUCCUGGUGUUGCUCGCCUACUUUGUAAGUCGUCCCACCACCGUAAGGGGUAGUGGUCUGCGUUCCACCAGAGUACUGGUCAUCCUUGUUACCACCACCUGGUAGCUUCUCCUGGCGUUGCUCUCCUACCUUGUAAGUCGUCCCACCACCGUAAGGGGUAGUGGUCUGCGUUCCACCAGAGUACUGGUCAUCCUUGUUACCACCACCUGGUAGCUUCUCCUUUAUCUUCUCUUUCAGUCCCUUCUUCCUUCUCCCACCUAGCCCAUCAUCUUCAGACGACUACAAUAAUAGAAUGUUAGUUAGACCUGGUUACAAAAAAUAUAUGUAAAUAUAAUGCACAUAUGAUACUUGAAUACAAAGAAAUUGUUCCAUCUAGUAAGAUAAAAUGUUGAUGCAAUAUUUGAAUUUGAAGCAUUGAUUGUGUUGAUAUUCGAAAAACCAAAAUGCGCAGAUACAUAAGUUAUGUGAACAAAAUACGCUAAUUUCCGAAUAGCAUUGUUCGAGAUAAGACAUUUAUACUGUCAAAUAUUGUGUUAUUAAUUUAGAUCACUGAUUAAGUUCACCAUAGUACGCACAGUUUUUCUUGCAAAAGUACUAAAUUGGACAAGCGAAAAUUGUUGCUUGUCUGGUUUUCCUAGUAACAUACGUCUAGGGAAAAGUUUGUUCAUAGUGCCCACAUAUUUGCAGCAUAGCUCAUGCAUUUAAUGAAUUAAGUUGGAACUACAUAUAUAUGGAGGUGAAAAGAGAUGAACUUACAGAGCUAGAGCUUCCUGAGCGCUGAAGCACAGCGGGGCCGCCAUGAUGCCCAACAAUCCCUUCAUCACGAGUCUUAGGAUCAGCAGUCCCGUAGCCGGUAUUAGUCCGACCGUGUUGAACCGCGUUCCCGAACUCGUCGGUCCUAUCGGCUCCUGCGCUACCGUUGUAAGUUGGGUUCCCGAAGUACUCCUCGGUAGUUUUUUCGGCUGUUGUAUUACCAUAAUUCGACAUAUUUCAAAAGAUAAACAAACAAAUGAAACUGUAAUAACAAUGCCUUGCGAAGUUGCGACUAAUAAAACUUCAGUGACAAUACUUAUGAUUUGUUUGGGAUGAUGUGUUUAAUUUGGGUCUGGGUUCGUUGGUUUAUAUAGACAACUGACCUGCACCAGCAGGGCAUGCAAAUAUGGUUGUGAGCGUAAGUGCUUUUUAACAACUUGGAGACGUGGCACUGAGAGGAAAAUGAUGACAGGUGAAAAAUUAACGUCGGCAAGAUAUUUUGUUGCUUUUUGGGUCGGGCAUAUGGAUAAAGAAUGAUAUACAUAUCUGUUCCAUUAGUGACCAUGGAUUUGGUGACACGUGCCCUCCGUACCUGUUCCACUAGCUAGCUCCACGUGGAUACUCUCUUUUGGUUCUAGCCUUCUAGGUCAUAUUGUCUAGUAAUUUCAAAUGAGAAGUGCACUUCAAAAAUUACACUUUACAUUUCUAAUAAAUGUAUUUUUCUUUUUUAAUAUAUAAAGUUUUAAGUUUAGAAUGAGAUUUUUUGAAUGCUAAUAACAAUUCUCUUUCAAAUUUAAUCUAUAGUUUCUCAAGAAGCCUAUAGUCAUAAGACUCAUAACUUAAAGCCAUUACGAGAUGAUUUAGAGAUGAAUUUUAAAUUUAUAUUCUACGUAACAUGUUUUAAGUUCAAUUUCUACGACUGAUAAAUUGUACGAUGAUGAUAAGAGAAAACUAAAUUACCUCUGUAAGCUUUUUUCAUUCUUAAAAAGACAAACUACUGUAGUGAAGUUACCAACCUGUUCGUUUUUAAAAGAAAAAAAAUGCAAACUCACAACUUUGCUGGGAAACUGAGAGCUUUUUGACUAGGUAAUUUGGCAUGUCUGUUGGUGAUAGCCUUCUAGGUCUUCUUGAUCUUACCGACACUAUCCUACGAGUUAUUUUCUCGUUUUAAUUUUUAUUUAGAUUACAAUAUUCACAUACUGUUUUUUACACAAAAAUUAAUUUGAGUAUGAUCCCAUUUUUUUUUUUACAAUAUUCACAUAGUUUUUUUUUUACUUUUCACACAUAUUUCUUAAUUUUCAAUUAUUUAAUUAAAUAAAUUGAAGAAGAUCUAUGACGAAAAAUUAACAAAAGUGUGUUAAUAGAACUUUUCUAACUUAGACAUAUCUCGACAGACUUGGCACCAUUAAAUCUUCUGCUCCACACUAAUUUUAUACACUCCAAAUAAAAGUGAUAUUUUUUACAUAAAAUUAAUUUGAGUGUGAUCACAUUUUUAUGUCAUAUUGAUGUACUAUAUAAUGUAACAAAUGAUGCAGGUAUAUAAUUAGCAUCUAAUGAUAUAAAAUUUAUUAAUUAAUCUUGUUGAUGCACAAAAUCGGUGAGGACUUUGGUACAACAGAAAGUGUUAAGUUUGUGACCUUCGCUAAAUUGCUCUGGUCACUAGUGUGGAUAAGUAUGUAAAUGGAUAGAGACAGGGAAGCAAACAUAAGAUGUACGUGGUUCACCCAGAUUGGCUACGUCCACGAAGUAGAUGAGUUCUCAUUAAUUGUGAAGGGUUUACACAAGUACAUAGGUUCAAGAUCUCCUUUAGUGAGUACUAGUGAAUGAUUUAAUACAAAUUACAUUAGGAAAUAUUGUGAGAGAAUGAUCUUUAUUUAUAGAAGAGAAUUUCUAGUUUCAUUCUGACAUUGACACGUGUCAUGUUGUGAUUGGCUUUUGAUGUUGACACGUAUCACGCUAUGAUUGGCUUCUGAUGUCGACACGUGUCGCGCUGUGAUUGGCCUCCUGGUUGGAGGGAAACUCUUCUGGGUCCUUGACGGUAUAACGUUGAUCGGUGCUCAGUAGUUUCGGGAUUGGUCAAGUGUGGUACAAACAGUGCUCCCCUAAGUUCCCGAGUGAGGGAAGCUCCUCGGUUGGGGACUUGCAAGAUCCAAGCCAUUGAGUAAUCACAAAACUUCUAAGUACCGAAGUGUGGUAUCAUUUUCACUUGCCUUAUCCGUCUCAUACGUAGAUGUGGCAUCUUCUCUGGAAGUACUUUUCCUCCAUCCAGGGGUGGUAUCUUUAACCGAUGAAGAUGCACAAGGUAAUGUAUCAAUUUCACUUGAAGCUUACUUGUAGUUUCGAGCUUGGUCAAGUGCGAUACAAAACCCUAUGGUAGGAGUCCCCCAAGUCGCCAAGCUAAGAGAUUUGCUGAAAGAGGUAACAGACAAGGUAAGCAAUCCGACUUCCAAGCAAGCAACCUGGAUCGGAGGUUCGACUUCGGCUUCCGGUUGAUUUUUCUCCUUCUCCUUGUGUCGUAAACAGCAACAAUGAUAAGGAGAAGCAAAUGGAGAAGAGAUGAUAUAAGAUACUUUUUCUUUUGAAGAAGUAAUUUUCCACAGGCUUAUUCUUAAACUGGGCAUGAGGGUUUUCUGGUUUCCUCCAGAGUAUAAGGCCGACUCAAGAAUUUGAGGGUCAAAACAAAUCCAUCAAAUCAAGAGUGCGUUUGACCUUGAUGAUAUGGGAUACUUUUGUUGUUGACGAAGUAAUAGAUGAAUUAGCAUGUGUUCUAUUGCGAUUGUCUCCAUAUGCUUCCUUGUAUCAUUCUCACUUGCCCUAUUUGUUCCUCAGGCAGAUGUGGUAUCUUUUCUGGAAGCAUAAGAUGUUGAAGAUGAGUACUCGAGAGCAAUGCCAGGUAAGUAAUCAGGCAAGGGGUUCUAGGCAGUCAGUUCCUGACUGGAAGCUUGAUUCCAAGUGCUGAUUGAUUGCUUUCUUUCUUCUUGUCUUGCAGUUAAGAACAAUGGCAAAGGAAAAGACAGGGAAAAGGCAUGAUAUGGGAUACUCUUGCUUUUGACCCUGAUGAUAUAAGAUACUCUUGCUCUGGUGUGGCUGGUUUGCAUAGGUAUUAUUGGGGGAGGAAGAAAGCUGAGUAUUUCGAGAGGCUUCGUUGGGAAUGCCCUAUCAGAUAUGAGGAAAAGUUAAGCAUUUUUGCAGGUCUGCCUAUCCGUGGAGGAUGGAGUUCGACAUAUAUAGGAGUCUCCCUAACAACAAGUAGUAAUGUUAUUCCUUUACCCUUCUUGGUCGUAGCAAUGUAAUGGGAGCUGCAAGCUUCACGUGUUUUAACUUUGUUAGAGCACUUUGAAAAAGUGGUAUGUGGUAUUUAGAAAGCUGAUGUUGCGUGUGAAGAUUGCAGACAAGCUUUAUCCAAGGAAAUCUGGCUCUCGAAGUUCGGAGAGCGAUGUCUCUUUGGUUUUCGAACAAGCAAUCCUGUCAGGGAUUUGGCUCUCGAGAUUUGGAGAGUGGUACCUCUUCGAUUUUUGAGAAAGUAAUCCUGUUGGGAGUCUGGCUCUUGAGAUUCGGAGAGCGGUGCCUCUUCGAUUUUUGAGAAAAUAAUCUUGUUGGGAGUCUGGCUCUCGAAAUUCGAAGGGCGGUGCCUCUUCGAUAGCAAGUAAUAAUGUUAUUCCUUUACCCUUCUUGGUCAUAGCAAUGUAGUGGGAGCUGCAAACUUCACAUGUUUUAACUUUGUCAGAGCGCUUUGAAAAAGUGGUCUGUGGUAUCUGGAAAGCUGAUGUUGCGUGUGAAGAUUGCAGACAAGCUUUAUCCAAGGAAAUCUAGCUCUCAAAGUUCGGAGAGCGGUGCAUCUUUGGUUUUCGAAUAAGCAAUCCUGUCGGGGAUCUGGCUUUCAAGAUUCAGAGAACGGUGCCUCUUCGAUUUUUGAGAAAGCAAUCCUGUUGGGAGUCUGACUCUUGAGAUUCGGAGAGCAGUGUCUCUUCGAUUUUUAAGAAAGUAAUCUUGUUAGGAGUCUGGUUCUCGAGAUUCGGAGAGUGGUUCCUCUUCAAUUUUUGAGCAAGCAAUCUUGUUGGUAGUGUUUUCUCGAAUGUGAGUAAAGGUUGGGCAUUUUUGCCAGUCUGUCUUUCCACAGAGCACGGAGGUUGACACACAUUGAGACUUUCUAGUUAUUAAGCAAUGGUGCUGUUCCUUUACCCUUGUGGGUAAUAGUAGCGUAGCUAGACCUUCAAAAUUUAUGUGUCUAAACUUUUUCAGAGAUCUUUGGCAAAGUUAUUUGUGGUGCCUGAGGAGCUGAUGUUGCAUGUGGAAAGUGGUGCUUCUUCGGAAUCUGGAAAGUGGUGCAUCUUCGAUUUUUGAACCAACAGCCAUGUUGCUCUUUUUUUUAUAAGGGCACCAAUUGUGUGCAAGGAGUACAUUCAGAGAGUUAUUGCUUGUAGGAAUUUUCCCCUUACUUCAGAGAUUUAUUGCACCUCAUUUCUCCUUCAUCAUUUCUGAGAAUGUCUGGCCCAUCCGACCGUCGUUUUGACUUGAACUUUGGUGAAGAGGCAGCCAUGCCUUCUCAAGACAACAUACGACACCCAUCCUUCUUAUCUCCUACUGGUCCUCUUACCGUUUGGAACUCUGUGAUGAAGAAUGAUAUGACCGCUGCGGUGGUGGCCAAAAACCUUCUCACUCCCAAAGAUAACAGACUAUUUUCCAAAUGGUCUGAUGAGUUGGCUGUUAAGGAUUCUUUGGCUCUCAGUGUUCAGUGUGCAAGUUCUGUGUCUAAUAUGGCCCAACGCCUAUGUGCUCGAACCCGCCAAGUUGAAUCAUUGGCGGCUGAAGUGAUAAGUCUCAAAUAGAAGAUCAGAGGGCUCAAGCAUGAGAAUAAACAGUUGCACAUGCUCGCACAUGGCUAUGCUACAAACAUGAAAAGGAAGCUCGACCAGCUGCAGGAAUCUGAUUAUUAGAUUUUACUUGAUCAUCAGAGGUUUGUGGGUUUGUUCUAAAGGCAUUUAUUACCUUCGUCUUCUGGGGCUGUACCGCGUAAUGAAGCUCCAAAUCAACCUUCGGUGCCUCCUCCUUCUGGGGUUUUGCCUAGUACUGAGGCUCCGAAUAAUCACCCUCUAGUGCCUCCUCUUUUUGGGGCUCUGCUGACUGCUGAGACUUCUCCUAAGCAACCUUUGUGAAGGCUCCCUCUUGUUUGUUUAUUUUGAUUCAUGUCUAUGUACAUAUUUGUAACUUAUUGGAGAUAUCAAUAAACAAGCUUUGCUUCAUUUCAACGUAUUGUGUUAAAUACACCAAGACCUUCUUCACUAAGUUUCUUGAAUUUUUCCUUUUGUUGAAGCUUGUAUGUUGAAGCUUUGUGAGUGAAGCAUGUAGGUUGAGGUAAUGCUCCCUCCCUUAAUUUCCUAAGUGAGGAAAACUUCUCGGUUGGAGACUUGAAAAAAUCCAAGUCACUGAGUGGUCGUGAGACUUCCGAGUAUCAAGGUGCAGUAGCAUAUGGUAGGAGUCCCCGAAGUCUCUGGUUGAGGGAGUUGACGAAGGAGGUGUCUUGCUAGUAGCCAAGUUUCCAAAGUAACAAAACUUCACAAUUUUCCUUUCUAAGUGGUAGCCCAAAACUCUUUUUUCAUAUAUAUUUGUUAUAAAAGUUGUUAGGCCCAAAGAAGAGGAGGCCUAGGCUUUUUUAUUUUUUUUUCAAUUUUUUUUUGUUUUAAAUUUUCGAAUUUUUGAAUUUCCGAAUAUAUAUAUAUAUAUAUAUAUAUAUAUAUAUAUAUAUAUAUAUAUUUUAAGCUUUAUAGGUGAAGCUUUGUGGGUGAAGCUUUGAGGUUGAAGCUUUGUUGGGUACCAUGAAUUGAUUUUGCUUCACACUAUCUUGAUCAAGAUAGUGUGAAGUUUUUGUAGGUGAAGCUUUUGUGUUGAUGCUUUGUAGGUGAAGUUUUUGUGGUGGGUGAAACUUUUGUUGGUGAAGUUUUUAUGGGUAAAGCUUUUUGUGAUGGGUGAAACUUUUGUUGCUGAAGCUUUUAUGGGUGAAGCUUUUGUGGUGGGGGAAGUUUUUGUGGUGGGGGAAGCUUUUGUGGGUGAAGCAUUUGUUGGUGAAGCUUUUAUGGGUGAAGCUUUUGUAGGUGAAGCUUUUGUGGUGGGUGAAGCUUUUGGAGGUGAAGCUUUUGGGGGUGAAGCUUUUGUGGUGGGUGAAGCUGUUGUGGGUGAAGAUUUUGUUGGUGAAGCUUUUAUGGGUGAAGCUAUUGUGGGUGAAGCUUUUAUGGGUGAAGCUAUUGUGGGUGAAGCUUUUAUGUUGAAGUUUUGUGGGUAAAGCUUUUGUGUUGAAGCUUUGUAGGUGAAACUUUGGAGUUAAAGCUUUGUAGGUGAAGGUUUUUUUUUGAAGCUUUUGUAGGUUGAGCUUUGGAGUUGAAGCUUUGUAGGUGAAGCUUUGGAGUUGAAGCUUUUGUUGGGUACCAUGAAUUGAUUUUACUUCACACUAUCUUGAUCAAGAUAGUGUAAAGCUUUUGUUGGUGAAGCUUUUGUAGGUGAAGCUUUAGAGUUGAAGCUUUUGUUGGGUACCAUGAAUUGAUUUUGCUUCACACUAUCUUGAUCAAGAUAGUGUGAAGCUUUUUUUGGUGAAGCUUUUGUUGGUGAAGCUUUUGUAGGUGAAGCUUUUGUUGGUGAAGCUUUGAAGUUGAAGCUUUGUAGGUGAAGCUUUGGAGUUGAAGCUUUUGUUGGGUACCAUGAAUUGAUUUUGCUUCACACUAUCUUGAUCAAGAUAGUGUGAAGCUUUUGAGAAUUUAUAGUUGUCCUCCAUUGAUGAAGCUUUUGUUGGUGAAGCUUUUGGAGUUGAAGCUUUUGUUGGGUACCAUGAAUUGAUUUUGCUUCACACUAUCUUGAUUAAGAUAGUGUGAAGCUUUUGAGAAUUUCUAGUUGUCUUCCAUUGAUGAAGCUUUUGUUGAUGAAGUUUUUGUGGUGAAGCUUUGUUGGGUACCAUGAAUUGAUUUUGCUUCACACUAUCUUGAUCAAGAUAGUGUGAAGACUUUUGAGAAUUUGUAGUUGUUCUCUAUUGAUGAAGCUUUGUUGAAUUUCCUUUUUUUUUUUUUUUUUUUUUUUGGGAAACUAGAAAUUUGAAAAUUUGGGAGAGACAAUAUAUACAAAUUUUGCUUCCACACUGUUGAGUAAGAGAUUGUGAUGCAAGCCACACCUUGUAGUAGUCGAAGGUUUGGAUGAACCAUAUAAAUUGAAUUUGCUUCGAAGGUUUAAGAAUUGUAGUUGCCCUCUAUUGAUGAAGCUUUUGUUGGCACCACAAAUUGGUUUUGCUUCACACUAUCUUAAUUAAGAGUGUGUGAAGCUUUUGAGAAUUGUGGUUGUCCUCCAUUGAUGAAGCUCUUGUUGGCACCAUAAAUUGGUUUUGCUUCACAUUGUCUUGAUCAAGAGUGUGUGAAGCUUUUGAGAAUUGUGAUUGAACUCCUUUGAUGAAGCUUUUGUUGGCACCAUAAAUUGGUUUUGCUUCACACUGUCUUGAUCAAGAGUAUGUAAAGCUUUUGAGAAUUGUGGUUGCCCUACAUUGAUGAAACUCUUGUUGGCACCAUAAAUUGAUUUUGCUUCACACUGUCUUGAUCAAGAGUGUGAAGCUUUCUACGAGUUGUAGUGUUUGGAUUGUUACAGAGGGGAAAUGUCUGAAGCAGAUGCAAGAGAGCUGAAUAGCUUGAUCUUCGUAUGCCAUGCACUGAAGUUGUUGUUGACUUGUAAUAAGACUUUGUUGGUGACUAUAACUCUUGUUGGGCAUAAGUGCUCCCCUAGUUAAGUUGUCAAGCUUGAGGGUUUUUUAUUAUUUGUGAAUGCUAAGAGUUCACAUGUAUAAGUUAUACCACACAUCUUCUAGUAGGUGGAAUGAAUGGUGAGUUGCUUUCAUCACUUGGUUGGUGGUACGAAGGUGAGUUCCUUCAUCACCUUUCAUCACAUUUCAUCACCUGGUUGGUGGAACGAGGAUGAGUUCCUUCUUCACCUGGUUAGUGGCAUGAAUGGUAAGUUGCCAAAUGAUAUUAGAGUACGGGUUGUACAUAUCACAUGGUUGGUGGCAUGAAGAUGAGUUCCUUCUUCACCUAGUUGGUGGCAUGAGUGGUAAGUUGCCAAAUGAUAUUAUAGUACUGGUUGUACAUUUCAUCACCUGGUUGGUGGCAUGAAGAUGAGUUCCUUCUUCAUAUUUCAUCACCUGGUUGGUGAGAAUAAGGGCAAGGUGUCGAGGCACAUUGUAGCAAGUGUCAAGGACACAAAGUAUGUUGAACCCUUUCGAAGCACAGUUGGCUUAUGUAUGGAUGUGUUGGAAUGUAUAAUAUUUAUGUUGAUUGAUAUAAGUGAUGCUUAUGAAUGUUUUGCUAUGCAUGAAGGGAUUCAUGCUUUUGAUAUGUGAACCAUGUUGGUUGUAACACUUAGUAUCACAUACUUUGUGUCAAAGUACGCAUGUUGAAGCUCUGAGUUUGAGUAUAAGGGUAGGUCAGCAUAGACCCAGUGUUCCAGUGCUAGGAACGCAAAAGACUCAGAAGAAGUUCUCUGAAUUCCCUCUUCUUUAAAUAUUUUCCGAAUGACUUGUGUGACAAAAGAUCUCAAGCGGUUGAGGGUUAAAACAUUUGUAACGUGUAUGCCUUCUUAUAAUAGCAUUUCCUUCAGUACUUAGUCAUCCACUUUGAAAGAGUAAGGCUGACCCUAUAGUCAUAAUAGUCGACAGUACGUUCACCCCUGGUUGUCUUGAUACAAACUUUUAUCCUUCUUGUUGUAAUGGGCUUGCUGAAAGUAAAAUCAUUUCUCUUACCAAGAGACAGAUACGUUUGGUGACUUAGCAAGUAGCUAAAUAAGGCAAGAGAUGAUACAAUGGGUGUCUGAAUGGCCAAUAUCUCAUCACUUGGUAUAACUUGACUUCCACUUCCCAUUUGUUAAUAGGGGUUAACCAUAUGGGGCUUCCCUUGGUAUGUCCUUGCUUCGGUGGAGGCGUGGUUGUAAGCAUGUGUCAUCACCUCAGAGUAAGUCUUCCAAGUGUUGGCAUUGAUCAUGUACUUGAAGAAACAAUCACGUAGGCCUGCCGUGAAGGCCUUGAAGGCGAUCUUGUCAUCUGCCUCAGCGCAUCGAGAAUACUCAUGGCUGAAGCGACCGACAUACUCUUGUAGUGACUCGUCCGGCUUCUGGCAAAUAGUGUACAAGUCAUCUACAGAAUGUAAGUGAUCGGUCUAGAAGAUGUAUUGAGAGGCAAACAGUUUCCUCAAUUCCUCAAAUGAGUCUACUGUCUCAGGUAGAAGACGGCAAUACUAGUUUAGAGCUCCGCCAGAGAGGGUGGAGGGGAAGAGAAGACGUCGCUUUUCGUCGGUGUGUAUCCGAUAUGUCAUGGUGGACUCAAAGAGGUUAAGGUGUUUAAUUGGGUCAUCCCUUCCAGUAUAGAGUUGUAAACCAAGCUUUUGUUUUGUCUUUGCUUGAAUGGGGUGUCGAGGAUCUUUCUUGUGAGAGGGCCAUGCCGGGGUUGGUUCCAGUCAGGUAUCUUGGCCUGACGUUCGGCCUUCAACUUGUUUACUUCCUCAAUGAGCUUUAGGACAAGGGGGUCAUGAGUGGAGUUAUGUACCACUGGAAUUUUCUUUCGUAAGUCUCAAUCGCCUCUUGGAAGUAAGAAAGUUUGAGCAUGGGCAUGUGGUUUUUUCUUCGACUCGCCGUACUGACUUAUAUGGCGAGUAUAUCGGAAUACCUCAGAGUCCCCCGUACUUUCAUGCUUCUCUGGGACCUGUUGUUCCUUCCCUACAUUGGCAGCUGGCCUAGGUUAUGGGAGGGGACCGAAUCUUUCAGAAACCCUUGGGUCAUUGAUCUUCGAGCAUAUGUGGAAGGGAUUCUCUCGACGUUGCUUUAGGAAGUCUCGGUAGUCACGAUAAACGGCUUUCGAUCCUUCCAACCUUUCUGCAAGGAGGUGUCUUCUUCCACUUCUUUUACUUCGGGUCGAAACAUCUGGGUUGAGAGAAAUCUCAUGUUGAUCAAUGUUUUGAUGAUUAGCUCGCUCCUCAUCAGGGAUACCCAUGUCGAAUGGAGGUGACCCUCUGUGUUGAGGGGCACCCAGAUGAUGGUUAAUGUCCACAAGGACAACGAGCUCGCAUGUUUGAGUACACCUAGUUUCAUGGAGCAUCUCAAAGAGCUUCUCAUACUGCUCCUAGAGGACCUCAUUCUUCAUUGCUAUCUUGUUGUUCUGAGCUUCUAGCUUAUCAACUUUAGCUUGAAGAGCAACCUAUUUCCUUCGUUCUUUCGUUGCUUCACACUAGAUGCAAGAGAGGUGUCAUUCUGUGUGCUGUGGCUUCCUUCGCUCUACAUGUUGGAAAUGGAUGCCUGGUCAAAAAAGAGUGUAUGAAUGGUGGAAACCAGCUUGGCAAAGCUGAAGAGAGUGGGAAUAAGUGUCUUUCCCACAGACGGCGCCAAAUGUUGAUGCACAAAUUCGGUGAGGACUUUGGUACAACAGAAAGUGUUAAGUUUGUGACCUUCGCUAGAUUACUCCGGUCACUAGUGUGGAUAAGUAUGUAAAUGAAUAGAAAUAAGGAAGCAAACACAAGAUGUACGUGGUUCACCCAGAUUGGCUACGUCCACGGAGCAGAUGAGUUCUCAUUAAUUAUGAAGGGUUUACACAAGUACAUAGGUUCAAGCUCUCAUUUAGUGAGUACUGGUGAAUGAUUUAGUACAAAUGACAUUAGGAAAUAUUGUGAGAGAAUGAUCUUUAUUUAUAGAAUAGAGUUUCUAGUUUCAUUCUGACAUUGACACGUGUUGUAUUGUGAUUGGCUUCUGAUGUUGACACGUGUCACGCUAUGAUUGGCUUCUGAUGUCGACAUGUGUCGCGCUGUGAUUGGCCUCCUGGUUGAAGGGAAACUCUUUUGGGUCCUUAACAGUAUAACGUUGAUCGGUGCUCAGUAGUUUCGGGAUUAGUCAAGUAUGGUACAAACAAAUCUAAUAUGUAUAAUUUGUCACAUCAAGUGAUACAUAAAAAAUGGUGCAAAAAUUUCUCAACAUUUUCUUUGACAUAAAUGUGUUCAAAUAGUAUUAUUUUCAAGCACAUCAGUAUUCAUUCAAAAGUAGCUCGUCCUUUUUUUAUUUGCUAUUUUUGUUUUGAAUAUACCCUCCUUCCAUUUUCACUAUAUAUAUUAUUUAUUUUUUAGAAAAAAAGGAGACAAUUGGUGGUAAGUCAUUUUAUCUACUCCUUUUGAGUCCGAAAAGACUAUGGAAAUUUUCACUCUGCUCGUGACUACAGUCAAACAAACUACUCAGUUCAGAGCAUCGAACUCAGGACCUUCCAUAUUUUUUUGUUUUUUGGGGAGCUGCAAUCUAUGCCCUUACCACUGAGUCACUUGCUGUGGUUUUCCAUUUUCACUAUCUACUCUCUACGUUUAAGUGUGGAUUACAGAGUCCUCAGCGAAUUAGAGUUAACUAAUUCAAAAUUAUUUUAGUCAUUAUUGCAGGUAUAUAAGAUUGUACUUUUUAAUUGUAAUUAGUGUAAGAUUCUUAUUUAAAUAGGAUUAAUAUAACCAUUUAUCCACCCUUGGACUUCGUCGGACAAUGAUCAUACUCCACUAGCUAGUUCAAUGGAGGCGUUGUACAAUUAAAGAAUUGGGUGUUUAUUUAACUUAACUUUUUGAUUAAUGAGAUUACAAAUCAAACAACGCUUAAACAGAAACCAGAGUUUUAUUGCUCUAUUUGCACAUUUGUCUUAUUUAAUUUGUUCAAUUCUAUUGAUUCCUUUGAUUCAACGUGAUCUAAUCUGGAGUUUAAUUAUCUCAAUUUGUUCAUUUAUCUUGGAUUAAUUAUUUUUACUUGACUAAUUGUUGGAUUGGUUGGUUGUUGAUAUGGGAAGGUGUUGCAUGGACGAAGGAGAAGGACAAGCUGUUCUUGGUGGAUUAACUCUAUAAUCAUUUGAUCAUAUGAAAACAUGGGAUCCUCACAACAGCCAGUUUUCUCCCAGGAAGCGUCGCUCUCUCAUUCUACAACCCAUUUCGCAUUCUCCUCAUUUUUAGAAUGUAAAACCAUUCGUGCGACUCUAGAAAUCCAGAGGAGGUAGAAGGCGACAUGCACGAGAGAUUUUUCAGUGUAACCGUCACACGAGAUGGUACACCAUGUGUCGUUAUAUAAAUGGUGGGAUAUGUGUGUUAAAAAGUUAAUAACUUAAAAAAUAAAUUUUUUUACCAUUUACAUAAAAACACGUGGUGUACCACUCGUGUUCCUGCCACAACUAAAAAUCUAGCACUUUAGGGGGGAAAACUGAUCUCGCUUCUCCAAAGAAAGAUUAAUCCGAUAACGAUUCCAUGCACUAGAGAGUUGAUAGGGCCGUUUCAGUGGCCAGAAAAAGAAAACAAAGAAGUAAGAGAUGGAUUUCCAUUGCAGAAAAUAUUUGACUUGAUGGGUACACUUAAAUAAUUUUGCAGGCCACAUACCACAAGGGAUAAGAUGCAUCAGUUUUCCACCCGACUACUUUUUGAGAAGAAUGUUUCAGCCAGGAAGAUUUUCUAUCUUCUUCAACAACACAACCAAUGCAGACGUGAGUGGUAAGAUGUCGUACAAAGACAUGGUUUUUCUCCAUACUCUUAUGUAUUCCUCGGUUUGUUAGAAACAUCAGCCAAAAACACUCUUAAUCUUCGAUUAAUAAUUUAAUAUUACUGUCCCCCCCUUUGCCCAAAAGCACUUAUGGCCCAAGCAAUCAUUUUUUUCUUCUAUUCAAUAUCUAUCUUACAUGAUUACUAUAAUCUUGUGUAUUUUGGAUUGUGAAGGUUCAUAUUAUAUAACUCAAUCAUAAGAAGGUCGACUUCAUUUUACAUUUGUAAUCAGUUUCAUUUUCUCCCCAGUUGCGCAAGAUUUUACCAUAUAAUUGAUUGUUGCUUAUCUAUAUAUUGAAGAUUCGGAUAGACGCCAAAGACUUUAUAUAUGUUUAGAAGAGAAUGAUUUUGUUUGGAAUGAAUGUGUCUUUAGUCAUCUCUCACGGAUGGAUUUAUAAGAUGUUACAAUCCUAUCAUUAAGGAAAGAAAUAAUUUACAUAAAAUCAUAAUAAACUAAGAAUCCCAAGAUUACAUGAAUAUAUACACAAAAGUCAACAUUCCCCCUCAAGUUGGUGCAUAUAUAUCACACAUGCCCAACUUGUGUAAGAAAAUUGAAAAUUUAUGACUUGAAACAGCCUUUGUGAGAAUAUCUGCUAACUGAUGGUCUGUUCUUAUUGUCGGUACCUCAAUUAUCUUCCUUUCUAAUUUUUCUUUGAUAAAGAAUCGAUCAACUUCAACAUGCUUUGUUUUAUCAUGUUGUACCAGGUUAUGUGCAAUGUCACAGGCAGUUUUGUUAUCACAAAAUAAUUUCAUAGGUUGAUCAUGUUCCAUACCCAUAUCUCUUAACAAAAGCUUAAGCCACAAAAUUUCACAAAUCUCCAAGGCCAUACCUAUGUAUUCAUCUUCUGCACUGGAACAGACAACCACAUUUUGUUUCUUACUCCUCUAUGUAACCAAGUUACCCCCAACUAAUGUAAAGUAACCUAAUGUUGAGCGUCUGUCAUCCACUAAACCUACCCAAUCUGCAUCAGUAUAACCUUCAAUUCUAAGAUUCUUAUUCUUUUUAAAUAAAUUUUCUUUUCCUGGACUUCCGUUCAAAUACCGCAAGAUUCUCAUCACUGCGUUCAUAUGUUGUUCUCCAAGAUCAUGCAUGUAUUGACUCACUACACUUAAGGCAUAGGCAAGGUCCGGUCUUGUAUGUGCCAAGUACAUUAAAUGUCAUACUAACCUUUGGUAUCUUCCUUUGUCUAAUGGCACUUGAUUAGGAUCAACGCUAAGCUUUAAUCCUUCCUCUAAUGGUGUAGUUACCAGUUGGCAAGCUGACAUGCCGAUUUCGUGCAACAAAUCAAUAAUAUACUUCCUCUGAGACAAGAAAAUUCCAGAAGUACUUCUCGACACUUCAAUCCCUAGAAAAUAUUUUAGGGAUCCAAGGUCCUUCAUCUCAAAUUCUUUAAACAUGUAUCUUUGCAAGGCCGUACGUUCUUCCGGAUAUUUUCAUGUUAUCACCAUAUCAUUUACAUACACAAUGAGUGCAGUAAGCCUCCCAUUUUUCCUUUUCAAAAAUAGAGUAUGAUCAAAGUUACUUUGUCUAUAACCAAACGCUCUCAUAGAUUUUGUGAAUCUUCCAAACUAUGCUCGAGGAGACUGUUUCAAACCAUACAAGGAUUUCUUCAACCUGCACACCUUUCUCUUGUAAUUAUUUGGAGCAUUACAUUCUGGUGGAAGAUCCAUAUAAAUCUCUUCUGUCAAAUCUCCAUGCAAGAAGACAUUUUUCACAUCGAACUGCUGUAAAGGCCAAUUAAGAUUUGCAGCCAAGGACAACAAAACACGGAUUGUGUUGAUUUUGGUCACAUGAGCAAAAAUAUCUGUAUAAUCGAUUCCAUAUUUUUAAAUGUACCUUUUUGCUACCAGUCUUGCCUUGAAGCGAUCUCCCGUCCCAUCAGCUUUGUAUUUUACAAUAUAGACUCAUUUGCAUCCCAUAGGUUUUUUACCAGCUGGCAAGUCUGUGAUCUCCCAGGUAACAUUCUUCUUUAAAGACUUCAAUUCUUCAUCCAUUACUGCUUGCCAACGUGGAUCAGCUAAAGCCUUCUGCACAAUGUUAGGAAUAGAUAUAGUAGAUAAUUGAUAUACAAAUGACUUACUUGAGUCUGACAUGUGGCUGGUAGACACAACAUUACUUAACGGGUAUAACACAUUAGAUUUUGGGUUUGGUCUAUUAAUUAGGUACCUAGUUUUGCAUUUAAGGUCUGCUUCGCAAGUAAGUUUAGGAAUACCUUGGUUGACACAGUUAGGGAGACAACAUGGUGGUGGUGUAUCCGGGAGCGAAGAUAAUUGAUUAUGGAUAUUAGGGCUCAAAGGUGGUGAGACCGAUUGUGAGAUAGCAGGCAUCACUGAGUUGUUCAAUGGUGAGGAAGUUGGCAAAGAGUUGUCCAAUGGUGAAGAAGGUACAACAUUUUCCAGCUGUGUCGGUUCGUCCCUUUCGAAGUUUUCAACAUUGUUUUCAUGUGAAUGAUCACCACUUAACUCCAAGACAUCACCACCUAAUUCCAAGUUAUUCACAUCAUUAUUUUCUUGUGAAUCAUCACCACUUGUCCAAGACAUCACCGCUUAAAUCCAAAUGAUUCACAAUAUUAUUUUCUUGUGAAUCAUCACCACUUGUCUCCAAUAUAUCACCAUUUAAAUCCAAAUGAUUCACAAUUUCUAUAUCAGGAAUAGUAUAAUCAAGAGUUUGAACUUCUACUUGAUUCUGUCCAUGAAGUCCAGACUCGGAAUGGACAAAGUACAUAUCGUUUUCAUGAAAUACAACAUCCACAGUGACAAACAACUUAGUCGGAGGGUGAUAGUAGCGAUAUCCUUUUUUAUUUGAGGCAUAACCCACAAACAUACACAGUAAGGCUUGAGGUUCAAGCUUACUCAUCUGUUGUUUAUUGUGAUGAACGAAGGCCACACAGCUAAACGCAUAAGGUGGAAGAUUUGGUACUACAUGAGCAUCAACAUGUGAAGAGAGAACCUGAAGUGGUGUUUGAAAAUCAACUGACCGGGAUGGAACAUGAUUAAUGAGAUACACAUAUGAGGUGAGAACUUCUCCCCAAUAUGACAACGGGAGACAUGCCUCGAGUAAGGAAGCAUGAACAAACUUCAGAAGGUGACGGUUCUUAUGUUCUACAACUCCAUUUUGUUGUGAAGUAUAUGGACACAUAGUUUGAUGAACGAUACCCUAAUGUUCCCAAAAGGCACAAAGUUCAGACUUCACAUACUCGCCACCAUUAUCACUUCUGAGAACCUAUAUUCGUGACUUAUAUUGCACUUGCACCAUUUUGUGAAAUUGCUUGAACAAGGAAGUAACUUCACUUUUGGACUUCAUCAAACAAACCCAAGUCAUACAUGUGCAAUCAUCAAUAAAAGUAACAAACCAAUAACCACCACCAAAUGUAGCAGUUUUAGAUGGUCCCCAAACAUCAAAAUGGAUUAUCAUAAAUGGAACAUAACUUUUUGUCAAACUGGGCGAAAACGAAGUACGAUGACUUUUAGCCAAUUCACAAACACCACAUUUAAAGCUAGAAACAUCAUUCUUAAGAAAUAUUUUAGGAAACAGCUUUCGUAAAUAACCGAAAGAAGCAUGUCCAAGUCUAUGAUGCCACAACCAAACCUUCAAAGCUUUGUUCUGCUCCCCUUGAGGUCCUUCCACAGUAAUAGCUUGUGUCAACAUCUGGGUACUGUUCGAUGUUAUCUCCAAGUAGUAAAGUUUCCCCUUCUAAUACCAUAACCAAUCGUCUUGCGAGUCCGAAUAUCCUUAAAGACACAAAAGGAAUGCCAAAAACUCACAAGACAAUAUAGGGCGACGGUUAUUUGAGAAAUAGAUAAUAAAUUAUAAUCAAGAGAAUGAACAACAAGCACGGUAUCAAGACUAAGGGUAUCUGAAAGGGAGACAGUUCAUUCCCCGAUAAUAGGGGCAAGAUUACAGUUGGUGACACUCACGAUAGUUUUGGUGGAUGGUUUUAAGGUUUGUACCUGUCUAGAAUCACAAGUCAUAUGUUCAGUACCACCAAAAUCAAUUAUCCACGUAUUAUUUGUAACAGAGGCAGAAACCUUUAAAGUCGUGAUUCCAAUUUCGCCCAAAGUUCUCGAGCAAAAGUCACGCCAACCGUGAAAGGAAUUAAUGAUUUAUAAAGAGUUGAAUUAAUCCAGAUAAGAAUGUUUUAAUCAUUCUCAAACCAAGUGACAUAGGCUGGAUUGAGAGUUGCAAUCUGAUUCCCUAACAAAUCAAGAAGAAAUUUGGGCACUGCCGCCAUAGUUCUAUCAAUUAGACUAGUGAGUUUGUAACAACGGAAGAUCGGAGCAAACAAAGCGUUCCAUGUCAGAUAAUUUGUAGUAGUGAGCUUGAUCGGAACCAUGGAUCCAAUAUUUUGGAUUGUAAUGGAAGAAGAAAUUGCAGAGUUAUGGUUUGGAAUUACAUUAGGAAACGAAGGAACAGGAGAAUCCGAUUUCGAAGAAGGAGAUGCAGAGGUCUCCAUAACUGUAGGUUGAAGAAGAAAGCAUGGUCAAGAUCAAGAAAUCGAUCAAUUGAUUGGAGAAGACGAAGAAAAUUAGGCGGUGCAGAGAGAAGCGGGAAAAUUGGAUCGAAGAGGUGUCGUGAGACCAAAGGUGGUUGAUACCAUAUUAGGAAAAGUAAUUUUCCAUUCAUCAAAUGAAUAACAUUACACUUUGGGUAUUUAUACAAAAGCUAUCACAACUAACAGACAAGAAAAACCUUCAAAAUUAACUAAAUUUCCUUAGUCUAUAAGCAUUAUCUCUUGUAGGUGUAAUUACAUUUGUAUUCUUAAUACAUACUUGGUACCAUACUUUUAGAAAAAUAUAUCUUAACAAUUACAAUGAAAAACAACUAACGCAAGACAUCUUUAGAGGCGCGUGAUUAGAAGAAUGAUACCAAUUGUAUAUAAAUAAACUAAAACAUAUAGCUUACAAAUGAAGCAAAAACAUGAAACCACCCACCAAUGGGAGUACUUUGUUUCUGUUUUUGUUUUUUUUAAGUUUUAAAUUUUAAAUUCAUUCAAAACUAAAAUAUGGUGAAUUACUUUUAUCUUCUUUUGGUUCAACUGUACUUUUUGAAAUUCUUAAAAGGCAAUAGGGUUUAAUGUGAACAUUAAACAUUGUACAUCGCGCAUAAUGCAUCAUAAUUAUAAAAAUGUUUUUGUAAAUAAAAAAAUUUCAUGCCCCACCGUACCACGUCGUAAUAUAAAAAUAAAAAAAAUAAAAAAAAUUAUAAAAAAAAAACCUUUCACAUGUGUAAGUAAUAAUUCAUGUACCUCAAGUUAUUAUUAGUGAAUAUCUUUUAUCUUUUAACUAUUAAUUUUCAUACAACAAUAACAACAAAGUCUUUUCCUACUAAGUGGGGUCGGCUAUAUGAAUCCUAGAACGCCAUUGCGCUCGGUUUUGUGUCAUGUCCUCCGUUAGAUCUAAGUACUCUAAGUCUUUUCUUAGAGUCUCUUCCAAAGUUUUCCUAGAUCUUCCUUUACCCCUUCGACCUUUGACCUCUGUCCCGUAGUCGCAUCUUUUAACCGGAGCGUCAAUAGGCCUUCUUUGCACAUGUCCAAACCACCGUAACCGAUUUUCUCUCAUCUUUCCUUCAAUUUCGGCUACGAUGGUUUGGACAUGUGCAAAGAAGACCUACUGACGCUCCGGUUAGAAGAUGCGACUAUGAGACAGAGGUCCAAGGCCAAAGGGGUAGAGAAAGACCCAGGAAAAUUUUGGAAGAGACACUAAGAAAAGACUGAGUACUUGGAUCUAACGGAUGACAUGACACAGAACUAAGCGCAAUGACGUUCUAUGAUUCAUAUAGCUGACCUUACUUAAUGGGAAAAAAAUUUGUUGUUGUUGUAUGAAAAUUAAUAGUUAAAAAAUAAAAGAUAUUCACUAAUAAUAACUUGAGGUACAUGAAUUAUUACUUACACAUGUGAAAGGUUUUUAUUUUUUAUUUUUUAUAUUACGGCGUGGUACGGUGGUGCAUGAAUUUUUUUUAUUUACAACAACAUUUUUAUAAUUAUGGUGCAUUAUGUUUAGGGCUGGAAAAAAAAUACCGAAAAUCCCAAACCAUACUGAAACCGAACCGAAAAAAUACCGAACCAAAAAUCCCGAAAAUUUUGAUACCAAAACCGAACUGAUCCCGAAUAUUUUGGUUUGGGAUUCGGUCUCACACUUUGAAUAAUUCGGUAUUCCCGAACCGAACUUUGCUAAUGUAACAUAUAUAUAUAUAUAUAUAUAUGUUAGUGUGUGGUGUGGUGCUGACAAAAGUAGGAUGGGUGUGUGGUGUGGUGAAGUAGGAUGGAUGGGUCAUGGGUGCUUGUUUUCUAUACAGAACUAUGUCUGUCUCUCUCUUAUUUUCUGUCUCAUCAGUCAUUUUUCUCGUAUUCUCUCUCUACAACCCAUAAACCACCUAACCCUUUAUCUUUCACUUAUUUUCCAUAUCUUCUCUCUCGUAUUGUCUCUCUCUCUCUCUCUCUCUACAACCCAGAAACCACCCCUACUCACUUCAAAACCGAAACCACCCUUCCUUCCACUCAAUCUAAAACCGAGCUGACAUCGUACUCUCUCAUUUCAUUUUGCCUUUCUCAUAUGCCUUCACUUAGUCUCAGACUCUUUCUCCUUCUCGGAUUCGAAGCUCAGCAGCCACCCACCGUUUAACAAUCUCACUCUGACGAACUGUCUCCACUCCAGCAACCACCACAUCUCACGACUUCAUCCCCACCUCUGGUUCUCUCAAGUGAUUCUCUGUGUUUGGGAUUUCGAAUUAAGGUUAGGGUUUCGAAUUGGGGCUUAGGGUUUCAAAUUGGGGGCUCGGGUCAGGACGAGGACGCAUGUCUCUCUCUUCACUCACCCUACCAUAAAUCUUCGCUAAUUCACUAUCACUACGUCUCUUAUUUCAAUUAGGAUUUUUAAUGGAGGUUCAGAUGAUUUCAAUUUCUAUCUAGAUGAUUUCAAUUAGGAUUAUUAAUGUUCAGAGUAUAUCAAAUUUUUAUUUUUUGCUUAUAGCUAUUUCGGUUUUACUAAAGUUACGUCAUACGUACCGAAUCAUUAAAUUUCACUUAGCAUAAUACAGCUCCCAGAUAUUAGCGCACACAAAUAUAUUAUUCAUACAAAGGGAACGAAACACAAAGUUACAUGUUUAACAGAAUACAUAAAAGACAGUGCUGGACGACUGCGUAUCACACAGCUGAGGUCACACACCAGGCACUACCUUAUUAUACACCAGACACAAAGUUACACGAGUAAAGAUGAUGAUCUACUUCUUGUGGCCGCCAGGAAGCUUCUCUUUGACCUUCUCCAUUAUGCCUUUCUUUUCCUGGUGCUCUCCUAUGUUCGCUGUCCCACCAUAAGUUGCAGCAGUAGUUGACGUGUCAUGAGAAUACUGGUUAUCCUUAUGCCCACCUGGCAGCUUCUCCUUUGUCUUGUCCAUCAUACCCUUCUCCUGGUGGCGCUCUCCUUCUCCAUCCUUGCUGCCACCAAAUGGCAGCUUAUCCUUUAUCUUGUCCAUUACACCCUUCUCCUGGUGGUGCUCGCCUUCUCCUGCAUAGGUGGUCCCACCGCCGUACUGUGCACCGGUGGUCGGCUUUGCAUGCAAGUACUGGUCAUCCUUGCUAGCACCGCCUGGCAGCUUCUCCUUUACCUUGUCCGUCACACCCUUUUUCUGGUGGUGCUCUCCUUCUCCUGCAUAGGUGGUCCCACCGCCGUAAUGUGCACCGGUGGUCGGCUUUGCAUGCGAGUACUGGUCAUCCUUGCUAGCACCGCCUGGCAGCUGCUCCUUCACCUUGUCCAUCACACCCUUCUUCUGGUCGCGCUCUCCUUCUCCUGCAUAGGUGGUCCCACCACCAUAAGGUGUAGCGGUCUGCGUUCCAUGAGAGUACUGGUCAUCCUUGUUACCACCACCUGGCAGCUUCUCCUUUACCUUGUCCAUCACACCCCUUUUCUGGUGGUGCUCUCCUUCACCUGUGUAGGUCGUCCCACCGCCGUAAGGUGUAGUGGUCUGCGUUCCAUGAGUGUACUGGUCAUCUUUGUUACCACCACCUGGUAGCUUCUCCUUUAUCUUUUCUUUUAGUCCCUUCUUCCUUCUUCCACCUAGCCCAUCAUCUUCAGACUACAAUAAUAGAAUGUUAGACCUUGUUACAAAAAAUAUAUGUAAAUAUAAUGCACAUAUCAUACUUAUAACCCUAAGAAAUUGUUCCAUCUGGUAAGAUAACAUGUUGAUGUAAUAUUUGAAUUUGAAACAUUGAUCGUGUUGAUAAUUGAAAAAACAAAAUGCGCAGAGAUGCAUAAAUCUAACAAGGGAACAAAAUACACUAAUUUUCCGAACAAUAUUCUUCAAGAUACGAAUUUGUAAUAUGUUAUUAAUUUAGAUCACUAAUGAGCCCAUCGUUGGUGCGCGCAAUUUUUCUUGCAAAAAUGUUAAAUUUGACAAUAGAAAAUUAUUACUUCUUUGAUUUUUCUAGCAACAUAAGUACCUCUUACAAGAAAAGUUUAUUCAUAGUACGCAUAGAUUUGUAGCAUAUCUCAUGCAUCUAAUGAAUUAACUUAGAACUACAUUUAUAUAGAGGUGAAAAGAGGAGAACUUACAGAGCUAGAGCUUCCGGAGCGCUGAAGUACGGCAGGGCCGCCAUGACGUCCAACAAUCACUUCAUCACCAGGCUUGGCAUGAGCAGUCCCGUAGCCAGUAUCAGUCCGACCGUGUUGAACCACGUUCCCUAACUCGUCGGUCCUACCGGCUCCUGCACUACCGUUAUAAGUCGGGUUCCCGUAGUUCUCGUUAGUUUUUUCGGGUGUUGAACCAUAAUUCGCCAUUUUUCAAAAGAACAACAAACAGAUUAACUGUAGUAACAAUGUUUUGCGACUAAUACAACAAUUGCAGUGAGAUAUUAGUGAUUUGCUUGGGAUGAUGUGUUUGAUUAGGAGUUGGGUUGGUUGGUUUAUAUAGACAACUGAUUUGCACCAGCAAGGCAUGCAGAUAUAGCGGUGAGCGUAAGGCAUUUUAACAACUUGGAGACAUGGCACUGCUGGGAAAAUGAUGACAAGUGAAAAUUAACGUCGGCAAGAUAUUUUGUUGCUUUUUGGGUGGGGGGUGGGGGGUGGGGGCAUAUGGAUAAAGAGAGAUGAAUACCUGUUUGAACUUUGAACAAUAAAAAAGAAAACGAUACGAAUACCUGCUCCCCUGGUGACCAUGGGAUUGGUGACACGUGCCCUCUGUACUUGUUCCACUAGCUAGCUCCCACGUGGGUAGUAUCUAUUGGUUUUAGCCUAGGUCUUAUUGACUGGUUGGUAAUUUGGUAUAUCUACUGGUCAUAAACUUGUAGAUCUUCUAGGUCUUACCGACAUGCUAUAAGUUAAAAGGAUAAUCUUAUAGAGACUAAAAUUAUAGAAAAAGUGUGGAAAUUAAAUAAUAUGAAAAUUAAUAAUAUUUAUUAUUUAAAUAUUAAUAAAUGUGUUUAUUUUUUAUUCGUGACAUAUUAUUUAAUUUGUAAAUUUUAUUUCUAAAUAUAGUUUCUCUAAGAUAUUACCCUAUAAGUUAUAUUGUCGUUUUAAUUUUUCUUUUGAUUAGAACAACCCAGACAUUAAUAAAAAGAAUCCUAUGUCGACAAACUCCACACCUUUAAAUCUUCUGCUACACACAAAUUUUCUACACUUCAAAAUAAAAGUAGGUCACAUAAUAUUACGAUUUAUUGGAAUUUUAUUUUAUUUAUAUAUGAAAGGUCUAAAGUUUGAUUUUCAUAAAAUAACGAAUUUGAACCAUAUUAUUACUAGUCCAAGGUUAAGCCUGUACUUUCACUUUUAGUGUAGAUAAUAUGAUUUGUUGAAAAACAAAUAAUGUUAAAAAUUAAUUUCAAGUGUAAUGUUAGAAAGACCACCUUUUUAUAUUAUGUAUCACAUAUUAAAUAAAAUUAAUUAAUUAACUUGACAUGUUCGAUCACUUGUUACAUUAUGUAAUACACAAGAUUAUACAAAGAUAUCUCCUUAGCAUUUUCUUUGACGCAAAUGUGUUUUAAAUAGAAUUAUUUUUCAAGCAAAUUACUAUUCAUUCGAAAGUAGCUCGUCCAUUUUACUUGCUAGAACUAUUUCUCUUGAAUAUACCCUUCUUCAAUUUUCACUCUCUACUGUCUACAUUUAAGCGUGGAUUACAAAGUCCUCUAUGAUGAAUGAUGAUCACUGUUAGAUUAAGAUUGAUUCGAACCAUCUUCGUUUUUAUCGCAUGUAGUCUAUAAGAAAGCAAUUUUUAAUUGUAAUUAGAAUAGAACUACUACCUAAAAAUGGAUUUGAUUAAACCAUAAACAGAGGUGAUACUCUCUACAUCUAAUAGGUUAUACACAUUAAUUUGCGCUAUAUCUUUGAAGAGGUUGCUUACGAUUACCGUGCCCGACCUAUACAUAAAGGAAGUCUUGCCAUCAAAAUUAUAAAAAAAAUAUUGACUUUGCUGGAGAUGUAUCCCUUGUAUGGAAUUUAAUGAUAUUUUAUGAGUUUCGACUUUGCCGGAGAAUGAUUAUCCCUCCUCUAGAUUAUGCUCCAUUUCAGUGGAGGCGUAGUAAAAUUUAUAGAAUUGGAUGUUUAUUUAACUUAUCUUUUGGUACAGUAAGAUUUUCAAUCAAAGAACGCCUAAACAGAAACCAGAAUGUAAUUGCUCCACUGAUAAAACGACAUACAAAGUACAUACUACAAAAACACAAACGACACUGCGAACCGCUCGCGGCUCACUCGUGCACGUAAGAAAAAAGUUCACACAGUCACGCCAAGCACCGAUUAUUAGCAUAUUAAAACAACUGACAGGCCCUAUAAUUCAAAUAUACGAAUUCACAGAUAUGCGUAUAUUUGUAUUUAGUGGUGUCCACCGGGAAGUUUUUCUUUGAUUUUGUCCAUGAUGCCCUUCUUUUCAUGGUGCUGUCCGGUGGUUCCACCGUAUGGUGUGGUGGUGGAGUGGUGCUGUCCGGUGGUUCCACCGUAUGGUGCUGUGGUGGAGUGGUGCUGUCCGGUGGUGGAGUGGUGCUGUCCGGUGGUUCCACCGUAUGGUGCUGUGGUGGAGUGGUGCUGUCCGGUGGUGGAGUGGUGCUGUCCGGUGGUUCCACCGUAUGGUGCGGUGGUGGAGGUCGUAUGUGAUGAGUAGGCAUCAUCCCUAUGCCCAGUCCCCGGAAUCUUGUCCUUGAUCUUGUCCGCAAUCCCCUCAUGCUGGUGCUCUCCGGUGUAGGUUGUCCCACCGUAAGGUGUAGGAUGGUCCGUACGGCCCCCAGUCCCUGGAAUCUUGUCCUUGAUCUUGUCCAUCAACCCCCUUUCACGGUACUCCCCUCCGGUGGAGGGGGCGGCAGUAGUCCCGUACCCAGUUCCAGUCGUGCCAAUACCGGUAUGGGCAUGCGAUGAGUAGUGGUCGUCAGCCCUACGUGCCCCACCAGUCCCUGGAAUCUUGUCUUUGAUCUUGUCCAUCAUCCCUCUUUUCUGUUGCUGCUGGCCUCCUGUGUACGUAUCGUUAGUAGUCCCGUACCCGGUUGUGGCGGUACCGAAGCCAGUGGCUCCGGUAGUGCCAUGUUGAAUUGGGUUUCCAAACUGAUCUGUUUCUUGGGGUGUUGCACCGUGUUGGUUCUGAUAGUGCGCCAUUGUUUCAAACUGAUUGCAAUUUGAUGAAAUAUUUCCGACUAAUUUGAUCUCAGAUGCGGAUGCUUAUAUAGGCAAACCGCGUAGAAAAGCAUGUCAUGCACUAGAGUAAAUCCAUGCCUUCAUGCCACGUUAGCAGCUGAGGACACCUGGCAGUUUUUAUGACGACACGUGUAGUGUGUUAGAGUCGAACAAAAUAAGAUCCAUUCUUUUGUCGUCAAGCUGAAGGCUCGUGACGGUUCCACCGCGUCCAUAUGCGAUAGUUGGGGACUAGCUUACGUCCGUACAUCAAAAUCCGUCGUGUAUUGAAACUGGGGAAAUUUUUAUUGUUACAUGAACACGGACGGUACAUUACGUUUUUUUUAUGUAAGUGGUGAGAAAUUUUAUUUUUUAAAUUAUUAACAUUUUAACACACAUGUCAUACCAUAUGUAAAAUGACACGUGAUGUACUAUUUUGUCUGCCAGUCAUACUAAAAAAUAUCUCUUGAAACUGGGAUGGUGAGACGUGUCAGAUUUCGACACGUGUUGGUAUUUGGUUAAUCUUGAUCUUAUUUUUACCGACUUUAGUAACUGGAUAGGUGCCGAGGAUUUUAUCGUUUAUCGGGUCCCACGUCAAUAGAUAUUUUCCAUUGGUUCGUAAGCACUACUGAACCGGCCCAAUUUCAGCAAGUUGUGGUAGCCCACAUACGGGUCCAAUAGGCCUUGUCUGUGGCAUAGUGAUAUUGGGCUGAUCACCAUUUGUUGAGUGGAUUCGGAAAAUCUGCUACGUGAUACGAAAGAUGAAUUUUUAAGGCUUAUUUAAGCCCACAACUCUCGAAAAUCAACUUUAUUCUCACAAUUCAAAAUGUGUUUUAGGGAGUUUUAACGAAAAGUUCAUGGUAUUGUUCACUUUAACGAAAAAUUAUAUUUUUACACUAAAAAGUCAAACCUGCUAAUAUUCACUUUACCCUUUAUUUUGUCCUUAUAGUUAAAACUCAAAAUUUUCAAACCCUUUUCAUUAGUUUUUCUUAAUUUUUAUUCACUUUACCUCAUCCCGUCACAUCCGUCAAAAUUAUUUUGAAAGGCGGCUCUUCUACGGUGGAUCCCGAUUGCUAAUUUUGGUAUUUGAUUGAAUAUUAAGGUAUGGGAUACAUCAUACGAUGCUGCGGUUGCCCAAAGUUUUGGGUGUUCCAACAAGAUGAGCAGACCCCAAUCUGGACCUUCAUCUGGCUUGAAUACGAAGACGGUAGAUGCAUAUUUUUCUGUUCAUUUUUUUCCUCCUUUUUUACAAGCUUCAGAGCUUCUUCUAGGGAACUAGUAGCAUUUCCCAUCCGUACAGGUCUUCCUCUUGCAGUUUUUUUUAGUACGUCAAUAUUUUUAUACUAAGGGAAAGGGGAGUUCGGCUAAGUCACAUAAUGAGCAGUCUAAUUUGGUAUCGAAUUCACGAGAUUCGAACCUAAGACAUCUCACUUCUAAGUGAAGAGGAAUAUCACCAGAUCAUAGUAUUUAGUGGCCUCUUGCAGUUUUGGAAGCUUAAUUUUACGAUGUUUGGGAUACCCCUUCACAGCCUUUAGGGGAGUAUACUUGGAGGUUGUUUUGCUUUCUGUAUUAAUGUUAUUUCCUGUCCUUAGUGUAAAACUAUAUUGAUGCACUAAAAAAAAUGUUAUUAAAAGGGUAUGAAGAUCCUCUUGGGAUCCCUUUAUCGUAUCCGUUCAUCAUAUAUCGUGCGGCCAAUUUUCUUUAGGUACUGUUUAUGUUCAAUUUUAAAUAAAAAAAAUCAAAUAGAUUUAUGGUCACAUGAUGACAGAUGAACGGACAUGAUGAAGUGUUCCUUAGGAUCUUCACUAAGAGGAUCCGAAUAGGACCCUAUUCCAUUAAAAGGGAAUAUGAACAAACAAACGGUUUUUGAAAUUAUAACUUAUAUAUGUUAGGAAGUUUCAAAUUGAAUCUCUGGUCCAAUUUUGAGUGUGAAAAUAAUUUUUACACUCUUUUUCUUCGUACUCAAGUGCUCUAAGUUUAUUUUUUUUGUUUGAUUCUGUUUUGAUUGGUUCAAUCUAAAUGUUAAAAGGAUAAUACUAGAGAGACCAAAUUUAUAAACCAAAUGAUGUGGAUGUUGAUGAUUGAAUUAUUACUUAAGUGUUAAUAUACUUAUUUCCUAUUAAUAACACAUCAUUUGAUUUGCAAAUUUGGUUUAAAAUUUUAGUCUUCCUAACAUUAUUCGUAUUAAAAAUAAAUACGAGAGUGCAUAAAUCACUUUUUUUUAGUGGUUCGGUUCACAUUUUUCCAACAAGAUCCUCUCUGGAUUCUUUUGGUGAGGAUCCUAGGGAUCCGUAAAUCAUGUCCGUUCAUCAUACAUCGUGUGAUCAGUUUUUGUCAGGUAGUGUUUGUAUUUAAUUUUUAAUAAAAAUAUUUAAAAUGAUUUCUAACCGUACGAUAUACGAUGAACAGAUAUGAUUCACAGAUCUUUGGAAUCUCACAAAAAGGAUCCGAUUUCCACAUUUUUGGCACCUAAAACAAAGAAAUGACACCAUCCAUCUCUUUUCCAAAGUAGAAUCAUAAUCACCAUAGGAGUUGAUUACUUAUCAAUUUAUUGAAGAAGAUGUCAAUGUUUCCUUGCAUCCAAAGAUUUUUAAUAUAUAAGCCGCGAUGGUCAACUCAGGUGGCGAGCGAGAGUGAAGUAAUGGGUUAGAAUUGAGCAAGAGUAAAGUAAUUAAUUGGUUAAGAUCAAAAUACACAAUUUUUGUUUUCAAUAUAUGAACUACUCAUUAGUACGAAAAAUUAACGUUUAUGAUUGUAUGAUAUAUUAUUUUUACUUAAUUGCCAGUCUAAUUGAUAUAAAACCAGACAGCCCAAUAAUCUGAAUUAUCGAAGACUUACCCAAAAAUAAAGUAUAGGUUUCAACUCGUUCCAAUGUAAAAAACAAAUGUGCACUAUACAUGACGUCCCUUUGAAAGGCAAUAAACUAGGUAAAAUCUAGUUGAAGACAAGUCCUCACUCAAAAGAGGAAAGAAGAAAAAAAGAAAGGCAUGUCAAGCCAAUAAUUAAUUUAUUAGGUACUCCAAAGAUGAUCAAAGCCUAAUCUUAAUCGAGAAUUAAAAAAACCCUAAACACGCUUUGGAUUUCGCUUAUUAUAAUUAAAACUUUCUUGCUCAUGUGAGCAUUGGUGUCAUAAUUGGUUGGCCACAUGCUCUUAUCAACCUAUCAAUUAAGAAUAACUAAUUAUCAUGCUUAGCCUUUCUUUUCCAAAUGAUGUAGUGGGCGGCAACUAUUGCCUUGGCUGGGCCCCAUGGAUAGCGAGAUUUUACAAUAUAUUCAGAAUAUGAGUGGUAUGUCAUAUGUUAUUAUAGAAGUGCAAGAAUUUUUUUUAAGCGUUUAUCCACUUGUAUUCAAAUACUAUUUACUUCUAACAUCACAAGCCUUAUUUAUUCAUAUUGAAAAAAAAAAAAAAAAAAAAAAAAGCUCUCCAUUCUCUGUCGCUGAAAACACAAAGGAAAAGUCAUAGUCGCAGGCCCUAAGCCUUUUAAGCUUGGGUGCCGACAGCAACCCCCUCCCUUUUCUCCUACUUCCCUCUUUCUCUUCUUCCCUCUUUCUCUUCUUCCCUUUUUCUAUCUUUUCAUUUUUCCUUGAGUUUUAUCCCAAACUUUUUUAGCUUGGUCUCUAUUUAUUCUUGUGCUUAUCUCAGAUUUGAGCUUCAUGCUCCUUCUUAGGCAUUUUUCGCCACAUCCCUAGCAUUUUUCGUCGGUUUGCACUGCCUUUUAUUUUUUAGUUUUCCUUCCUCCAUCUCCUCUGGCUGUAACGUCCUGCCCCCAAAAUAUAUAUUUUCGGGAAAUAAUUCUAAUGAUGGGCCCAAUUAAACUCUUGUUUAUUUAACUACCAUUAAUCGUGAUUCUUUAAUUAAAUGCCUUAAUUCCACCCAUGAUUUAAUUCCAGAAUUCUCUCACCAAGACAUAUGAUUAUAUUCUCAAUUUAUCACCAUUUUCUUUUCUUAUGUUAAUUUCCAUUCUAAAGAUUAAGGAGGUGUAUUCAAUUGGGAAUUUGAGGCAUUUUAAUUCUUUUAAUGAAUCUAUGGGUAUUCAAUCAGGGUUUUAUGUGAUUCUCUGAAAUUCAAGGUGUAUUCAAUUAGAAUUUUAAGCUAGUUUAUUAAAAUCCUUAGAAAUCCGGGUGUAUUUAAUUAGGAUUUUAAAAAAGUUCAUAACAUUCUAGGUGUAUUCAAUUAGAAAUUGAUUUUAAAGAAUUUGAGAAAGUUGAAGAAUUAGAGGGAAUUAGAUAAAUUUCGUAGUGUAUUUUAAGCAUCCACAAAUCUCACCUCUCCCGAUGAGAUUUCGAGGGAAUUGAAUUAAAAUUUUAUAUAGAAUCUCUACAAAUCAAUUAAACUCCAUAAAAAUCCAUAGAUUUAUAAAUCCAUUAAAAUCUCUCAAAUUCUCAAUUGAAUACACCCCCCUAAUUCUUGAUUAUUUAAGGCUGCAUCUAACACUGUUAGACUACUUACGUACCCUUGAGCGGGAUCAAGUCUUUCGUAGUUCACAAUUCAUUCUUUUAUCCAUUACCGAAUUCAUAUUGACCAAAAGUCAACUCUUGAUCAACAGUAGGGUCCACAUGUCACAUCCCCGCCCGGGCCCGAUGUCCUCGUCGGCACACUUCCGACCAGGGAUUGGCUCUGAUACCAUUUGUCAUAUCCCAGCCCGGGGCGGACCACUUCCCGAGCCCAUUCCACUACCGUAACACGAUAUUAUCUGCUUUGGGUUUACCAUUCCCUCACGGUUUUGUUUUUGGGAACUCACGAGCAAUUUCCCAGUGGGUCACUUAUCCUGGGAGUGUUCUGGCCUCCUUCUCGCUUAUAUCCAAAAUGCAACUGUAAUCAACAUAAGCAACAACGAUGUACACAGUUCACAUCAACAAGAAGAAAAAAAAAAGCUAAAAUUUACAAUAACUUGGUCUUAAUACUAGCUGGAGAUUAAACAAGAUGCUUAUUAUAUAUACUAUGCAUACGAAACAUGAACCUGCAGCUUCAGUUCCAGCAACUUCCAAGCGCCCAGAUCAGAUAUUGAACCCUCCCAGAUCGCAAUUGGGUGAAAAAUUACACCGCAUACCAGAUAUUCGAGGUUGUUGUAGAAGAGGGUGUGCUUGUCCAGCAGGAUCAAUUGCACCAAAGAGUGGAAAACGGUCAUAAUCUCUACCAAUUAUUCCACCAAUCCUUGGAGGUACAAACGGGUUAGGGUUCCUCCUGAUACGGUUGAAAUAAGGCCUCUCAAAUGAUCUCCACGUCACUACUGCUUUCAUUUGUUGCUUCCUAGUCUCCCAAUUUCCAACAAAUCUAAACUUCCAAUUAGUCACUGUUCCUUCACCUCCGGUUCCUUCUCCUCCAUUACCAUUACCGAACUCAUCAGCGUACUUCUGCUUCCACAACUCAUCAUUAUUACCAAGAUUUUGCAGCUCAUUACAAACACAACCCACCUUGGCAAUGUUAACACCAACCAGUGGCUCUAGAAUCUUCAUUUUGAUCUCCGGUGGAAGGCGCAUAAGGCUUGGUGGUGCAAGCAAACUAGCAUUUGCGCAAAGAUCAAUCAGCAAUGGGAAUGUGAUCCCAUCUUUCACAAUCUUCGAUAACUCUAAAACGAACCCAUCUCUGUCAUUGAAAUUUUAGGUUCCAUAAACGAAUUCAAUCGUUUGCGCGAAAGCAAUCUCAGGAUAGGUGACCCACCGAGAAGUUCUCGUGUGAGUUCCAAAAAAUAAAACCGUGAGGGCGUGGUUGGGGCCCAAAGCGGACAAUAUCUUGCUACGACGGAGUCAUGCCCGGGAUGUGGUGGGGGCCCGUGCCAGAAUGUGACAAAUGGUAUCAGAGCCAAUCCCUAGCCGGAAGUGUGUCGACGAGGACGUCGGGUCCGGGAUGUGGUGGACCCGGGCCGGGAUGUGACAAAUGGUAUCAGAGCCAAUCCUUGGUCAGAAGUGUGCCGACAAGGACGUCGGGUCCCUAAGGGGGGUGGAUUGUGACAUCCCAAAUCGCCCAGGAGAGUGAUCCUUAAAUGUAUAUUCUCAUCCCUACCUAGCACGAGGCCUUUUGGGAACUUACUGGCUUCGGGUUCCAUCAUAACUCUGAAGUUAAGCGAGUUCGCUCGAGAGAAAUCCCAGGAUGGGUGACCCACUGGGAAGUUCUCGUGUGAGUUCCAAAAAACAAAACCGUGAGGGUGUGGUCGGGGCCCAAAGUGAACAAUAUCUUGCUACGGUGGAGUCAUGCCUGGGAUGUGGUGGGGGCCCAGGCCGGAAUGUGACAAAUCUUUCUUGCUUAACUUCGGAGUUCCUACGGAACCCGAAGUCAGUGAGCUCCCAAAAGGCCUCGUGCUAGGUAGGGAUGAGAAUAUACAUUUAAGGAUCACUCCCUUGGGCGAUGUGGGAUGUCACACCACAAUUCUACAUAAUUUGAUCUGAAAGAUCCACUGUAACAUCCCACAUCGAUCAACGGAGAUGGGUGAUAUGCCUUAUAUGUGCAUGCCCACCUUCUAUAGCACGAGGCCUUUUGGGAACUCAUUGGCUUUGGGUUCCAUCGGAACUUCGAAGUUAAGCGAGUUCGGACGAGAGCAUUCCCAGGAUGGAUGACCCACUGGGAAGUUCUCACGUGAGUUCCUAGAAACAAAACCGUGAGGGCGUGGUCGGGGCCCAAAUCGGACAAUAUCGUGCUACGGCGGAGCCGAUUUGGGAUGUGACAGAAUGGCAUUAGAGUCACUAUGUUGUUCGGUGCGAGUGUGCCGACGAGGACAUCAAGCCCCUAAGAGGGUGGAUUGUAACAUCCCACAUCGACCAACGGAGAGGGGGUGAUGUGCCUUAUAUGUACAUGCCCACCUCCUAUAGCACGAUGCAUUUUGGGAACUCACUAGCUUUGGGUUCCAUUAGAACUUCGAAGUUAAGCAAAUUUGGAUGAGAGCAUUCCCAAGAUGGGUGACCCGCUGGGAAGUUCUCGCGUGAGUUCCCAGAAACAAAUCUGUGAGGGCAUGGUCGGGGCCCAAAACGGACAAUAUCAUGCUACGGCGGAGCCGGUCUAGAAUGUGACACUAGUCGUGCUUUUCCUUCCUCUCCUUUGCUUUCGAUCCUCUUUCCAACCCAUAAUCAUGAACUAGAUCUCAAAGUGUUGAACUCAAUCUUAACACAAGACCUUACACUCAUAGUCCACUGCUGAACUAGCAUGCCGAGAAUUUUGGGCAAAUGUGGAAAGAUUCACUUCGAAACAAAGGUGUAGCUCUCAUUUUGGGCCUAAGUUCUUGUGGGCCUCCCGUUGGAUCUUAAGUUGUAACUCUCAUUUUACUUGAGCCUUUUUACUCUUUUAUCCCUUUUUGUUUUUUUAAUGGUUUUGUGUUUUGUUUGAACUUUAGUCCAUCUACCGCAUUUGUAAUUUUUCCUGUCUUUAAUGAAGUUUGUUUUAUCAUAUCUUGUUUUGUUUUGUUCAAGCGAUAUGUAGAGAAGGAACAUAAUAUGGUAAAUAGCUAGUGUUCUUAAUACGAUAAAUUUUUAUGGUUAUUAGAAAGACAAAUUAUGUGGUGUAUAAUUUUAUAUGUUAUAAUAAGGAUGUGUUGUAGGAUUCAUAUGUUCCAUUUCUAGAAUAAAUUAAGAAUAAAUAGAGACACUUAUUUACAAUUCAAGUAUAACAAUAACAUCGCAUAGCUGUGUUUCGAAUACAUCAAAAUAUUACUUUCUUAACGCAACUAAGAUAUCCAACCAACAAUAACAUGCUUGUAAUAGUAUACUAGUAGUUAGCUAGCUGGUAAUUAACUGGGAGUCUGAUAAUUAACUAUAGCUAGCUGAUAAUUAACUAAAUUAUGGCACAUCUUCUCUGACUUUAAUAUUAAGACUUUGGUCAAUGUGACAUUUUUGUUUCAUUUCUCAUGGCCUGAUAAAAUAAAAAUGUGAUUCCUGCUUGAUAAACUUUCAAUUUUAUCUUCUAACAUGACCAUUUUUUGCUUUUUAAAAGAGAAUAGUUCAUGUGACAUGUGAGGACUUGUUAACUAUUGACUGUAGGGUAUCCUUAAAUAUUAUAUUUUAUUCUUCAUAUAAAAUGACUGGAUAAAAGCCACCCAUUUUGUGUGCGUUUAAAUAUAUGAGAGGUCUUAGGUUUGAUUUUCGCUAAAAAUGUGAAUUUGAACCACAUUAUUGCUAGUCUAUUGUGAUGCUUAGCCCAUUUCUACAGUCCUUUAACGUAGAUAAUACAAUUUGUUAAAAAAAAAAAGACAAUUUAAAAAGGAAUUUGAAUAAAAUUAAAAUUAAUAAAUAGAAAUGUAGGAAGUGAGAGAAAGAAAGUGGAGAAGUAAAACUAUGGUUAUGUGUUAGUGGGAGAAGGAGAAAAACAGCAAAAACUUAAUUGUUUUGAAGUUACUUUAAUACUCAUAUUUUUUAUUUUCUAAUAUUUUCGUUCAAUUAUGUAUAAAAUGGUAUAACAGUAAUUUUAUUGAUUUUUAGUUGAUAAACAUGUUCUAUUUAAUAUAGUUUAGAUUAAGGAUAGUGCUAUUUUUUUUUAAGAAAAAGGAUAGUGUUAUUAGCACAUCCAUUUUUACAUUCCACAUACACUUAUUCAUUUUUUCUAUUGAUAUUCUUCAAUUCAUUCGGUCAAAUGACCGAAAAUUGGGAAGGAUGUAUGAAAAAUAAAACUGAGUGUGGGGAUAGAACUAACCUAGAUUUGUGUUUUAAUCAUGGCCUAUUUUUAUAAAUUAAUGUCCAUUGAUAUAUCUAAAGAGCUUCUUAAAAAAUAUAAAAAAAAUAAAAAUAAAAACUUUAGAGUCCACUAAAUUUGUCUAACCUUUAUCAUCCAAGUUCCAACUUUGAAAACCACACAAAAUUCCAGCACACAAUAUGCCAACAUUUUUAAUUUCUAAGAAAAUAAAAUAAAGUAUAUGCCAACAUUAUUGACACGGGAAAUUUAAAUAAAAAAUGUAUUGCCUAAAAAAAAAAGAAGCAAAAUGUAUACAAACAAGAAGUAUUUUAUUAAAUAAAUUGGCAACAAAACCAGAAGCCAAAAGGAAAACGGAAGUAUCGCUUACACAUCCUUACAUGUUCAACAGUAAAACAACAACCCAUGACCUACCCAUCAAUCAUUGUACGAACAAAUUUACAAAAGCCAUGGAUGUUCUAAGUAGUUAAAACUUACACCUCAAUUAAUUUCACUAAUCUCUCACUUAAUCCAUGAUUAACCCGACUGAGUUUAGCACAUAAACAUGUCUGCAGAGGCCAUGAUUGGUUGAUUAUUCAAAAAGCCAGUACCCCAUGGGUUCAGAAACCCAUCACCUCCACCAAUAAUAUUAUGAUUAUCUUCUUCCUCAUAGAUCCAUUUGCUUGAAUUAAUACAAUCCAUAAUAUCAUUGAGAGACUGCAAUCUGUUUGUGAGCUCAUCCAUCUGAGCUCUGAGGACUGAGUUUUCUGCCUCGAGCUUCAUGUAAAGCUGGUUGGUCACGUUCAUGGAUGUGAUGAUCUGGUUGUUAUCCCUUGUCAGGAGACCAAUCUGAGCCGUCAGAUCAGUCAGAUGCUCCUGUUUUCGCAUCCGGGAUCGACGUGCCGAUUCCCGGUUGGACAGCAUUCUUUUGCGCUUUCUCUGGUCCAUGACUUGGUUAAGAUCUUCAUCAGAUCCUGAGUUUUGGAGCUUGCUUGACUCUGAAGAAACCCCACUUGAAGAAGCCAUGUGUGAAAUACUUAUAUGCUUAUAAAAAACCAAAAAAAUCUAAACUUUUCUCUUACCCAAGAAAGUUAAAGAGUUAUUAUUUGAAGAACGCAGAUGCUAGAUUUAAAAAAUAAUUAAGAAAAAAGUAAAAAUUGUUUAUAAAAUGUUGUAAAACCAGUAGAGGAAAACAACAGAGAAGGAUUGGACAAGGUGGGUUCUGCGAAGGAGGGUGGAGUUUAUCAUACACCCAGAGAGCAGGAUUUCACUGAGUACCGGAAACAUGAUUAAAUCUGUAGGUUUGUAUAUUAAGCAUUGGAGACAAAGAAGAAGAACAAAUGUUAUGAACUUUGAAGCAGAAACAAGGUUUUCAGAACCGGGAGAGAGGUUAUGAAAUUUGAAGCAGACACAAGGCGUUCAGAACCAGGAGAGGAGAGAGAAGAGAGAGAAAGAGAUCAAAUUCUUGGGGUAGGCAGGAAAGAUAAUGGAGAGGAGGUUUUGAAGAGUGGUGGAGGGUUGAAUAUAUAGGCCAGCAAUGGCCACCUAAAAUAUAUAAACUACCAAAAACAAUUUAAGAACAUGUCUGAUUGUCUCAUAUAAUAUAAUUAUGAGGAAAAAGCAAUAACAUAGAAUGUGACUCUUAAUGGCCAAGUCCUCAGUAUUUGAAAAGUUCACAGUUGCAUAUCGGAUAUGUAUUCUCCAAAGAGUCAAUAUUUUCCACCGAUUUUUGUACCACACAUUCAGUAUGAAAUGGUUAGGAUAAACUUGUAAACUGAAACGUCUUAAGAGAAACUGUGUCUCUCAUCUCAUCUUAAGAUUAUGUAACAAUCAUCCCUGAAUUAUAUAUUGAUAUAUAACUUGAGAAAUACUUUCUUUAACCAAUGCUAUAAUUAUGGAUUAUUGUUACAAUUAAGCCUAAAUUAUUAUGUAACAAUAUAAGUUAUAACAUGUAAGCAUUUCCUUGAAGCAGCUAUGAAUCGUAAAUCUUUGCAUAAUAAAAAUAGACGAAUUGUGAUUACCAAAUGAUUAAAAAAUGCAUGAUCACUCAUCUUUAAAUUUGAUAUUAAAAAUAAAAAAUGAACAUGUUUUUAUGUUUUUAACAUAAGAUGAUAUUUUUUUCCCUCAAGAAUCCAUCAUAUAGUGGACAAGUGUUGCAAAAUUAGGUUACACCAACCAAAAGUCGCACAAGAGUCUUGUGCUAACAUAGUUCUGACUUGCUGUUCUUGUUGAAUCCCAACACCAACAGUACAUGGGCAUGCGCAUGUGGUCAGAAUUCUGAGAGAUGGUCCCUUACAAUGGAAAAUGAUCAUUGUCGGAUCUUUUUUUUCUAAGGAUUCCGUGAUCGUGAUUGUUUAUCGUAUAAUGUGCGAUCAGUUUUUGUUAAGUACUAUUUAUAUUUAAUUUUAAAAUAAUUUCUAACCAUAUAAUAUACGAUGAACGAUCACAAUUACAGAAUCUUUAAAUCCUCAAAAAAAGGAUCCGACGAGAAUCUUUUUCCCCUUCCAAUUAAUGAAUAAUACGAAGGGUAACGUCUUUCACAGGUUAGGCCCCAAAACCAGUGGUCAUUGGCUGCCCAGCGAUGGAGAUGCGUUUCAUAAAAAGAAAAAGUCAAAAAAAAUAUAGCCACUCGAGUCCUUGUCAAGUUGUUCUCGUGCCCUCGAGGAAUGCUCAAAUUACUUUUGAAUAUGCCGUGCUCGAGGGCACUAGAAGCUUCUAAUUAAAAUCUUGAUGGUUUUGGUUUUCAGUCAAUUCUCAUGUUUGAUGUUUGUAAUUUUAUUUGAGCAUGAAUUGCAUGUUUUAGAUAUUUAAGAUUUUAGGUGACCAAUUUUGUUUGUUCUAUAAACAAUAAUCUCCUUAGGACUUUGAAAUUUUGAAUUUGGAAAACACAUAUGAUUUAUUGGACCCUUCCUCAACUUUGAUUGGUAAUUGAGGUCUACCCCAUUUAACUUGUUAUACGCUCACAUACAUACAUACAUACAUACAUACAUACAUAUAUAUAUAUAUAUAUGGUGGGGAGGAAGAGAGAGAGAGAGAGAGAGGAUAUUCCACUUUUUGUAUGCCAUGUGCUUAAGAUUUAGGUAAUCUUUCAUUUAAAGAUGCCAGCUCCAGUUACUUUUCCCCAAGCACACUUUUCAUAUUCAACACUGAACAAAAGGCAAUAGUAAGUACUGGUGUUUUUUUUAUAAAAAUGCGUAUAAAAAAAACAGAGCUAAAAAAGAUGUUUGGUAAAUAUUUAAAAAUAAUUUAUUUUCAUAGUUUUGAGUAAAAAAAAGCUAAAAACGCGAAGCAGCAAAAAUGAGUUUAUUCUCACAAUAUAGCAGAAACAAUUUUUUUUUCAAAGUACAGCAAUACCAAACCAGCCUGUUGACUUUCACACUACAAAUUUAAAGGGGGCAUUUUUCUCCUCCAUUAUAAACUAUGGUGUAUGCUUAUUUUACAGUUAAUAAUCUACCACGUGUCCUUUUAUUUGGCCUUGAUUAAUUUUUUUUUCAAAAUUAAAAAAAAAAAUUAAUGUGAAAGUAACUAAAGUUAAGUGAAAUGACACGUGACAGAUGAUUAAGUGUAUGGUGAGCAUACACUAUGAUAGUGAGAAAAAAUUGUCCCAUAAAUUUAGGGUGGCAUUUUUGCUCAAUGCCAUAACUAUGUUGUAUGCUCACUAUACACUUAAUCAGUUGUCAUGUAUCUUUUCACCUAACUCUAGUUAAUGUUCACAAUAAAUGUUACUUUUUCAAUUUUGAAAAAAAUUAAUCAAGGUUAAUUGAAAGGACACGCGACAAAUGAUUAAGUGUAUGUUGAGUAUACACCAAAAUUUAGAGCGUUGAGCACAAAUAUUCCUAUAAAUUUAGCGUGCAUGGCACUGUUUUUUUCUGUAUAGAAAAAUUCUGAAACAAGUGAAAUGCCAAGGAGACUUUCAAAAUGAGACUCUCUAUAGAAUCUCUGACAUCUCAUAUUUUAAUAUCAAUUUUCAUGCUAACAUUAUAAAUAUUAUGCUAAAAGCAUGAGAUAGCAAAAAGUACAUGAAAAAUCAUACUUUUGAAAGACUCAUGCAUAAAACAAAUCAUUUAUAGUGUGAGAAGCUAAAUUGACAGUACCAAAAUCGCUGCCGAAUCUAAAAGCCAGUGAAAUCAUAAGCAACUCAGGGCAUAUUUGAAGUCUUUCUUGGACCUUAUUUUUCGUUAAAGUGAACAGUACCAAAAUUUUUUCAUUAAAGUUUUCUAUGAAAAAAGGAUAUGGUAUUGCAAGUUGCCGUGGAGGGCUUGGCCCCUAGUGUCAUUGAAAAAAGAAGGGGGAGGAAACCAGGCAGGCAAGCGGUGGGCAGAGCAGAGGUCAGUGAGUGGUGGGAAGUUGGGGGUUGAGAAGAAAAGUUGGCAGACAUAAAUAUCCAUGCUCAUCAACUUCUUCUGUGGAGGUCUCUUUCCUUGGGUCUCAACUUGUGUGCUCUUUUUCCUUUCAAGUGCACUUUUGAGUGUCAUGUUUUUAAUUUUUUUUUGUGUGUAUAUAGUUGGAUAUAAAUAUAUAUGGUGGAUGUUUCCCUAGUUUGUUUGCCAAAAUAAAUUUAAAAAGGCAGCAUAUCCAUGCAGCAGCUUUAGAAAUAGGGUGAUGCUAUAUUUUUACUUCUUAAAUACUCAUUGUUAAUUUUUGUUUUUUUUAUUUUCUUCAAUUCAUCCAAUUCGAUGACCGGAAAUUAAAACGAGUGUAAAAAGUAAAAAAGAGUGUGGAUAGCACUACAUAAGAGAGAAUGCAUAUAGAAAUGAAGAAUGGUGAGUGAAGGUUCAAGGAAUAAAGGAGAAGAAUAUAGGAAAUAAAAACAAGAGAAAAUAUAAUAGACAUAGUUUUUUGUUUUUAUUUUGUGUAUUCUUCUAUAUCCACUUCAUUCCCACCACUUAUCCUCCACCUCUGGCCGUCCAUCGUUUCUCUCUUAUAUUUCCUCUUUAUUGUUAACAAAAUAGUAAAAACGAAAUAGUUUUCAGACAACUUUAUAUUCAAUUCCGGUAGACAUUGACCAACCAAUUUCUAAACAAAAACGAGGGGCUAUUUAACCACUCUGCUAUCCAUCCAUAAUGGUUUUCUUCUCUAAGGAAUAACGUUUCCGUUAAUAGUUUUUAGUUUUCAAUUUUUGUUCGCGAUAGAGAAACUACAUGGAGGAAAAGAGGGACGAAGAAGGGUGGAGGUACAAAUGAGGGAUAAACAAAGGACGAUGAUUAAAAUAGAAAUUCGAAAUUAUAACUUAAAAGUUUGUUUUAGUUCUUCCUUUUCAUUUUAUGUAGCAUUUCAUAGACAUCUUCGACCUCCCUCCCACCACUGUUACUCCACCGUUCUUCAUCCCUCAUUUCUCCUCUUUCUCGACAUCUCUGUCAAGUUUUCAUAGCUCUAGGGCAGUCGUAGUCUCCGAUUAGUGCCUACCACAGAAGUACAAAGCAAAUGACACAAAUCAUAUGGUGAAAUUCUAGGAACGAUUAUUCCUUUCGCCUUCUGGUAAACCAGCAUAUGCUUCUGCAUAUACACUAAGCUUUGAGCAAGGGUCGCCUUUGAGUAAAGAAACCUAAAGAGAGAAUGAAAACAGAAGAGAAGAAUGGAAUAAAAAUGGACGCGUCUUUAUUCAAUUCCCUUGGUUAUAAUCAGGAAUGUCUUACAUGCAUUAUCCGUAAUACAGAUUCAUAGCCGUAGACUACAAAUAACAAGCGUAAAAAUACACAGAGUUACACGAUAGACCAACAAUACGUUUCUCUAAUGCAAGGUUUUCUAUAAUUAAUAAACACAUUGCACAAAGAAACAGGAAAGCCUUUUGAAAGUUUACCUAGGCAUGCACAAAAGACGCUUCUGGAUAAUAGUGAAGCAUCUGAGCAGCUUCUGGAUGGUAGUGAAGCAUCUCGUUCCACAUCAUCUCCCUAAUCAUUGGUUCCUCCAUAUUCUCAUCUAUGUCGAGACUGAUGGGAACCUGGGCAAGAGGAUUGGAUCUCGGAUCGUAUAGCCCUGACAUGUAAGGGUGUUGGAGUGCUUCUGUGACGGAGAUUCUCUUAGUUGGAUCAAACACAAGCAUCCUUUGCAACAAGUCUAUAGCUAAAGGAUCAGCUUGAGGGUAUAAACGGGACAAAUGUGUCCCUCUAGAAUAGGGCAAUGAUUUGAUGUACUUCCUGGCUUUUGGGUUGUCAAUGAAUGCAAGGUCAGGUUCCUGCUGGCUACCAAGAACAUUGAUAAUUAGUUUUAGUUGGUUGAGGCAUUCAGUUCCAGGGAAGAUUGGCUUCCGGCCAAGAAUUUCAGCAAAGAUGCAUCCUACGGACCAGACGUCAAUGGAUGUUCCAUAAUUGUCACAGCACAAUAGCAGCUCCGGUGCACGAUACCAGCGAGUGACAACAUACUCUGUCAUGAACUGGCCACUACCUCCGCUGGUUCGAGCCAACCCAAAGUCACAUAUUUUCAAGUCGCAGUUAGCAUUGAUGAGCAGGUUCCCAGGCUUCAAGUCCCGGUGAAGGAUGUUUGCUGAAUGAAGAUACUUGAGCCCUCGAAGUAACUACAAUGCAGAAUCAGAUUAGUCACAAGCAGAAUAACUAUUAGAAGAAUAGAACUCACAAAUUAACUGAAGCUUGGUAACAAAUCAAACUUUUAGAAGCUUAAAUGCAUAGAAACCCCGGAGUGUUAAGUUCUACAUAAGAAAAUGCAAGAAGCUGAAACAUCUCCUCAUACUUGGUCAAAAUGUGCUUUGGUAACAUGCUUUCUAUUCAUUCAGUUCCUAAAUCUUUUCCAGAAUCGUUUACAUUUCCAUGAACUAAUUCAGCUCAAAAUUAGCAUCAACCAAUUAGGAUGACUACUUAAAGAAUUAAUGAGAUAAAAUAACACAAGUUAAGAGAAAGCCUGUACCUGAAACAGAAAGUAUUUGCAAUGGUCACUGGAAAGUGGUUGUGAGGACUUUAUAAUUUGAUGAAGAUCCGUAUCCAUGAGCUCAUAAACGAAAUACACGUCCUUGAAGCUUGUCCUGUGGAUAGGCAUCAUAACAUCCUUCAGAGCAAUCACAUUCUCGUGCCGGAUAUGUUUAAGAAGCUUCAACUCCCUCAGAGUCCUCAACGCAUCAAUGCGGUUCUCAAACACAUUAUUGAUCUUCUUGAUUGCAACUUUCUCAUUCGUUUCCCUAUUGAUUGACGAGCACACUACACCAUAUGCCCCUCUCCCUAUGGGUUUGAUUGGUACGUACUUGAUGUCAACCUCAAACAAUGUCUGCCACAUUGAGUAAUAAUGCUUCCCCCGUUGCCUAAUUCCGUUCGGAGGCUCAACUAAAGUUGCCAUUUUCCUGCAAACCACUGUAAAAUGAUCCAAAUCACUCAAAACCCCUCAUAACAUAAAACAUAAUUACUUCUUACAAUUCCCUGUUUAUGAUAAUAUUCUUGCUACUUUUUCCUACUUUUAAUUACAUACAAUUCACGUCUACUUUUGGCUUCCUUUUUUACUUUCAACUCCUAAUUUUUUCAUCUUUUUCUUUUACUUUUCAACCCAGCAAUUUUCCAAUCCCAUUCACACCACAAAUUCUCCAACUUCCACACACCCUAAAAAACUACCCAAGAAACCAAACUCAAAACUGAAACUGAGAAGCACACUUAUUCCCCGAGUUCGAACUCCCUCCCCCGAAUUUAAAUUAGUUUAAAGUAGAAUAUCGAUCACAUCAAAACACUAGCUGAGAAACCAAAGUUUUACUUUUUACCAACAUGAAGGCUCCCAAGUUCACUUUCCCAAUACCCAAUUCACGAAUUCAUAGCUAAAUUCUAAAACUUUAUACAAAAUUCAACAGCAAAAAAAAAAAAAAAAAAAAAAAAAAAAAAAAAACCCAGAAAAGAAAUAAGAACAAACCUCAAUAAUUGGCGAGCAACAUUAACAGGAGAAGAGAGAGAUCCUCAAAGGUCGUGGGGACAAGUAACUGGCUUGUAAAUAGAUCUUCCCUUAUCUAUAUAUAAAUACAUAUAUAUUUAUAUAAAUGGCUCAAAAGCUCACAGUGGUAUCAGAUCAUCACGAGUUACGAUUCGUUAUUUCGUCGUGAUCAGUGAGAGAGAUCUUAGAGAGAGGGAGGAGAGAGAGAGAGGGGGGGGGGGGGUUAAUGUUAAAUGCAAAUUAGUUUUGGGUUUUGGGGGGUUUGGGGAAUUGGGGGAGAGAGAGAGAGGAGAAGGAGCCAAACCCAUGACACCAACACGGCAAAAAUGGGUGGGUGUAUAUGUAUAAUAUCACAAAAACGACAGCUUAAAAGAUCAACGCUUUCUUUCGGUCCUCGUUUUUGUUGCUUCAUGCACAAUCAAUCAAACACUAAAAAAUCAUGCUCUCGAGUUUACGAUCACGCCGUCGGUUGACGGCUCCGGUUCAGCUCGGCUGGCUUAUCAGUUCAUCUCACACUUCACUCGUUUUUGUAAUGGUAAAUUACGUUUUACCCCCUUAGGUUUUGGGUUAAUUUCAAUCCCUUACGCAUCUUUAAAACAUUUCAAUUUCAUACAUUUACUUAUCAUUUUAUUUCAAUUUCCUACAUCCGUUAGAAAAUCUGUUAAGUAAACUGUUAACUGAUGACGUGGCAAAUAUGUAAUCCACAUUUAUGCUGACGUGGCAGCCAUAUUUGUGUCACGUGACAAAAAAUUAAUUUUUUUAUUCAUUUAAAAUAUAAUAAUAUUUUACCUAUUAAAUUAAAAUAAAUAUUAUUUUUUUACCACGUGGCACAAAUGUAACAGUCACGUCAGCACAAAUAUGGAUUCCAUAUUUGUCACGUCAUCAGUUAACGGUUUGCUUAACAGAUUUUCUAACAGAUGUAUGAAAUUGAAAUAAAAUGAUAAGUAAAUGUAUGAAAUUGAAAUGUUUUAAAGAUGUUGUAAAGAAUUGAAAUUGAUUCCAAACCUGUGGAGGUAAAGUAUAAUUUACCCUUUUUGUAAUUUGCAAAUGUACCUUUUUUCAACCCUAUUUAAUUGGAAAUUUAUACCAUGAACGGCACAAGAAUUCAUUGUACUUAUCUAUUUUUGCAUAUGGUAAAUGUUUUAUUUUUAUACUUUGAUUCAAUGAUAUUUUUAGAAUGAGGAUCCUCUCCAAAUCCUCUUUGUGAGGAUCCGAGGAGCAUCAAAUCGUGUUUAUUCAUCAUAUAUCGUACGGUCAGUUUUCGUCAAAUACUAUUCAUGUUUAAUUUUAAAUAAAAAUAUUUAAAAUGAUUUCUAGCCGCACGAUGUACGAUGAACGGAUACGAUUUGAGUAUCCGUUGAGGAUCCUCAUUCAUAUUUUUAUACUUGAGGGGUGGAUGACUUGAGUUAAGGAGCUACAAAAUACGCUAGUUGUAAUAAUUAGAUAUCAAACUCGUUAUUUGAUGAAGUUUAAUAUGAGAUUUUUCAUAGUAAGAAGAAAUGUAAUGAAAAAACUGUGUUCAAUUUGAAGGUAGAAGUUGUGUUACUCAUUGACGAAACUUACCACUAACAAAAUUGUUGUCCAAUUUGACAAGAUAAAGAAAUGCUAGUCAUCUCCGCCAUUCUUCUUCAAUUACGAACCCAUCUCAUCUCCUUUGACAUAUUUGGAAAUAAGGAUGUAUAUGCUCUUAGAUAAUGCUAAACAAUUGGUGGUUGAUGUUUUUAAGUAUUUCUAACGUGUAAUUUUAGGAGACCUAUUACUUCGUACUCAUCGGUACAUUUUAUAAUGCUAAGUUCCAUAAGUUUGGUCAUAUCUUAAAUUUUUUAUUUUACUAUUAUUAAUGGGAGUGGGAGAGUUCGAAAUUAUUAUAAAAAUUUAGAGGAAGACGGAGUUUCAAACCAGACUCAUGGAUAAAAAUCCAACACCCUAUUUACUAGCAUAUAGGACCACAUGUGACCGCCCCUCCUUGCUCUUAUAUGACUUUGCCACUGGGGUAACAUAUACUUAACUACAAUGGUAUUAUUAAGAGUUAUGCACCACAAAAGGAACAUUAACAUAAUACAUGAAUGCUUUGUGUAAUCUGACCUCUAAGGAAACAUAUUUAACCCAUUUGAUUUUAGAAAUCAAUGCUAAUAACGAUCGCAAGAAUUUUGUGAUAUUGAUCAUACCGUGCUCUUAUUAUCUUAUUGAUUCAUGAUUUACAUGUAAAUAAAAAAGAAUAUAAUGUAUUAAUAUUGUAAUAGUUGAUGUAUAAUUAUAUGUGUAGGGAAUAUUAAGGUAAAAAAUGCUACUCUUACCACAUAUUUGUAUUAUCAUUUGUAUCAUCUUUUUAAUGAAGAUAAAACUUACAUGUGUUGGCUGUCCCAACCUAUCAGAGAGAUGUUGUACAAAUAGAUAGUUACGUGUAAUGUUACUCUAUUAAACCCUUUUGCUUUUGGUGGACUUGGCUUAAGCCAAACCAAAUGGCUAUAAGCCUAAAACUAAAGGGAAGCAGUCCAACUUGAAGAAAUGGUAAAGAUUGUGAAGAGUGUUGUCUUUGCUUUCCCUACAAUUCAGUAAUCUCUCUCUCGUGCGAAUCUUUCAAAGAAACAUUCUCUAAACGCACACUUCCUCCGCCGCCCUCCCCCACCUCUCAAGCAACCGGCGCAGCCACGUGGAGAUGCGGUAGCUGCCAGGCCGGUUCCUUUGCUGAGUUUUGCUUAUCUUGCUUGGUGGGACCCGCAUGAGCAAACCCUAUUUUGUUAUCCAUCUAGAUCUAAUAAUCUAAAGAGAAGUAGCUCAACUCUCACUUGCUUCCCAACAAGCAAAUCACAAAGUCUUUGUCUACAUCAUGAUGUCAUAUCAUGCGUAAUGCACCCAAACAAACCCAGCUGGGUUUGUACCAAACAAUUAAUACUUACAUCAACAACUAUCGCCGACAAGAUUGGAACUCAGAACCGACUCCAGCAAAAUUAGAGACUGAAUGUCCGUUAAAAUUAGGUUAUCUACAACAUGAUCAGAUCAUGCAUGCAUCCAAAAUCCAGUUGGGUUUGUAUCAAUCCCUAAAUAGUUUUUCCAACAACUAUCGUCCUUCUAUGAGAUUUGAACGCAUGAUUCCUUUAACAAAAUAGAGACUGAGUGUCGCUAGACCAAUAUUUAUUGCCUAUCAGAAACUUAUAUUGAAAAAAUAAAGAUAUUUACAUAAAUUAUAAUAGUUAAAAGUGAUAAACUUGCAAACUAUGCACAUGGCCAAAACUUUGUGCAUUCAUAAUGUAAGUGGUAAGAGUUUGAUGGAACAGUAAGUAGAGUACAGGGGCGCAUUUGGGUGGGGGGUUUUGAUAGCCAAAACAUAUCUUCUUCUGUGUCUAACAUUCUUCACCAGAUAUUGAACUGCAUUACAACCCAAAACAUAUUAGAAAUGUCACAAACUCCACCUAAAAGUCGAAUAAGUGAUGUUUUCGUCUCGGUUGCUCACCAUUUUCUUCUUCAUGUUGUUCUUCCUCUUCUUCUUUUUGUCAAGAGAGCCAAAGAGUUCCUCUUGCUGGGUAAGCGACUCCUCGAGAGCCUAAACAAGAAGCCAAUUCAAAUGAAGAUCAUACACAUCUAACGUUAAUAGUACCCUGCUAGUGAUUGAUGCAAAUGACAGAUUUUUACUUUCCUAUUGGAUUAUGUUUCAUGAUUUAUAGCGGAACUUAUAGAAACCCUACCUGCUUUGUUGCCAUAAGCUCUUUCUCCAAGGCACCAACCCGGCCUAGAGCAGUAUUCAGCAUUUCCUCCUUCUGAGCUGGCACGGUGGCUGGUUUCAUGUUCAAAACAGUCAUUCUCUCUUCCAACUCAGCCAUGCGUUUCAUGACAGUCAUGAGAUCUGAGCCGGAGAUGGCAGCGUGUGAAGAGCCCUGGCCUUUGACCAUUGUGUCACCGUCGCAGACAGUGCUGGAGUAGAAGGUGGAGUCAGUGAGCCUCUUCGGCAUGCUACGUGUUAGUCUGACCAUGGCGACAAUGCCCAUAAGAAACGUCAGAAUAGCAGCCAUAAUCUGAGAGCCGAACCCUUCAGGAAGUUUGCAAGCAUUGUUCCUGGUGAAACAAUCUCCUGCUGCAAGUAAAGGAAACUCAGACCCUACGGAAUAUCUUAGAGCUAGAAAAGGAAAGGAAACACAAUAUACAAGGUCACCUAAAUUCUUAGAUGAUUUAGCGUUUGAGAGGGCAAAUUUAACAUUCCCCGUCGCCAUUGGCCAACUUGAAUCCACGGAUUUACCAACCAUCGAGGCACUGUCCUCGCGCCUGAAAGACGCUUCGCGAGUUUUGGCUAGCGAUACCUGCGAAAAUUAUUUCACAGAGGAAGUUAGAACUGUCGCGACAAGAGAGGAGGGAAACUUCAGCUACAAGAUACGCAGAUAACAAGUAUAUGUGUGUCUAUGCUUAGAAACAUAUACAUGAAAAAAGGAAAGCUCUCAGUGUACGAGACAAUUGCUCGGUUGAAAAUUAAAUUGAACUUGGAAGCUUUUUGCACCUAUGCUUAGAAACAUAUACAUGAAAAAAGGAAAGCUCUCAGUGUACGAGACAAUUGCUCGGUUGAAAAUUAAAUUGAACUUGGAAGCUUUUUGCACUUACUUCUUCAUGGAAGCGAGAAAGUGCAUGAUUAAGUUUAGGAGUGGAACGGCCGAUGUUUAGAGCUGCACCGAGUCCCUAGGAAGAUUAUAUGAUCAAGGUAUAGAUGACAUUUACGAACCAGAAGCACCAAAAUAUAUUUUCAAAAAUCAUGCGACUGAGAAUUUUGAGAUGAUCUAAUGUCCGAAAUGUGACAAUCCAAAAAACUUGUCAACUAGGGGCAGGUUUAUAAGGAAAAAGAAAAGCAGAAGAUAUGUUCAAGUAAGACCUACUUGAACUCCAGGUUUUCUUGAACAUUUAUGAAUGCCGUUUUGAACCAUCUGCAAGUACAUAAAUCGAUACUUAUGAAUUCUAAUUAAAUUAGAAGUUAAAAUAAUGCAUAGUAGUAAUGAUGCAUAAAGGGGGGAAAAAAAAAGAAGAAGAUACAGAACGGUCUUUAUCUACCUUCACGAUCUCAGGUUGUUUCCAGGGUCCCUUGUCCGAACGCAUACAGCCUCCUUGAUCAGAACAAGUACAUGUACCUCCUAAAAACUUGGGCAAUUCGCUGGAGCAAAGUCAAGCCAGAAUAUGUACAUCAAAAUAAACGAACUGAUGGAGCAGCUUAUAUGGUAGUGAAGAUCCUAAAAAGUCUGCCUCGUUUUGAACAGACUUACCUAGCAUCAAUUAUUUCAAGCAACUUGCUCUGAUACUUGUUGCCAAGGACCUGGAGGAUGAUAGUUUUCCCCGAUUAAUGUAGCCCUGACGAAAACAAGCACUUUUUAGCAUCAUAAUGUAUAUACUCACAUUAAUCUUUGCUGUAGUCUUCGGGUCAAGGAACGACUUCACGCUGUUCCACAACAUUCUAAAGCCAGAACCAGCGUUGAUGAUAAACAUGCGAUUCAAGGUCUGCGGUAAAAACAACAAUUUAUGUGGCAUCAUAAUUCUGCCAUCGACAAAAUAUGUUCUGAAGUUCCCGAAAUUUAUAGACCAAAAGAUGUUAAGGUACCUCAGGAUAAUUGUCACCGUCAAUCUUCUGAAGGCGAGUAAUAAGUUCCCUGGCAGCUUUGUUGAAAUUCUUAAAUCCCUGAGGCAUUACAGUACAACAACAACAACAACAACAAAGCCUUUUCCCACUAAGUGGGGUCGGCUAUAUGAAUCCUAGAACGCCAUUGCGCUCGGUUUUGUGUCAUGUCCUCCGUUAGAUCCAAGUACUCUAAGUCUUUUCUUAGAGUCUCUUCCAAAGUUUUCCUAGGUCUUCCUCUACCCCUUUGGCCCUGAACCUCUGUCCCGUAGUCACAUCUUCGAACCGGAGCGUCAGUCGGCCUUCUUUGCACAUGUCCAAAUCAUCGGAGCCGAUUUUCUCUCAUCUUUCCUACAAUUUCGGCUACUCCUACUUUACCUCGGAUAUCCUCAUUCCCAAUCUGAUCCUUUCUCGUGUGCCCACACAUCCCACGAAGCAUCCUCAUCUCUGCUACACCCAUUUUGUGUACGUGUUGAUGCUUCACCGCCCAACAUUCUGUGCCAUACAACAUCGCUGGCCUUAUUGCCGUCCUAUAAAAUUUUCCCUUGAGCUUCAGUGGCCUACGACGGUCACACAACACGCCGGAUGCACUCUUACACUUCAUCCAUCCAGCUCGUAUUCUAUGGUUGAGAUCUCCAUCUAAUUCUCCGUUCUCUUGCAAGAUAGAUCCUAGGUAGCGAAAACGGUCGCUUUUUGUGAUCUUCGCUAGAUUGCUCCGGUCAUUAGUGUGGAUAAGUAUAUAAAUGGAUAGAGAUAGGAAAGCAAACACAAGAUGUACGUGGUUCACCCAGAUUGGCUACGUCCACGGAAUAGAAGAGUUCUCAUUAAUUGUGAAGGGUUUACACAAGUACAUAGGUUCAAGCUCUCCUUUAGUGAGUACAAGUGAAUGAUGAUUUAGUACAAAUGACAUUAGGAAAUAUUGGGGGAGAAUGAUCUCGUAAUCACGAAACUUCUAAGUAUCGGAGUGUGGUGUCGUCUUGACUUGCCUUAUCUGUCUCAUAGGUAGAUGUGGCAUCUUCUCUGGAAGUACUACUCUCUUCCUCCAUCCAGGGGUGGUAUCUUUAACUGGUGGAGAUGCACAAGGUAAUGUAUCAAUUUCACUUGAAGCUUACUUGUAGUCUCAGGCUUGGUCAAGCGCGAUACAAACCAUGUAGUAGGAGUCCCCCAAGUCGCCGAGCUAGGGGGUCUGCUGAAAGAGGUGACAGACAAGGUAAGCAAUCAGAGCUCCGACUGAUUGUUCACCUUCUCCCCAUCUUGCAGCAGCAUGAAGGAUAAAGAGAAGAAAAAUGAGAAGAGAUGAUAUGAGAUACUUUUGCUUUUGAAGAAGUAACUUUCCACAGGCUUAUUCUUGAACUGAGCUGGAGGGUUUUCUGGUUUCCUCCAGAGUAUAAGGCCGACUGAAGAAUUUGAGGGUCAAAACAAGUCCAUCAAAUCUAGAGUACGUUCCACCCUGCUGAUAUGGGAUACUUUUGCUUUUGACAGAGUAAUGGGUGUAUCGGCACGUGUGCUGUUACGCUUGUCUCCACAUGCUUCCUUGUAUCCUUCGCACUUGCCCUAUCUGUUCCUCAAGCAGAUGCGGAAUCUUCCCUGGAAACAUAAGAUGUUGAAGAUGAGUACUCGAGAGCAAUGCCAGGUAAGUAAUCAGGUAAGGGGUUCCAGGCAGUCAGUUCCUGGCUGGAAGCUUGAUCCAAGUGCUGACUGAUUACUCUCUUUCUCCUUGUCUUGCAGGUAAAAACAAGGCCAAAGGAAAAGACAGGGAAAAAGCAUGAUAUGGGAUACUCUUGCUUUUAACCCUGAUGAUAUGAGAUAUUCUUGCUCUAGUAUAGCUUGUUUGCAGAGGUAUUAUCGGGGGGAAAGAAAGCUGAAUAUUUCGAAAGGCUUCGUUGGGAGUGCCCUCUCAGAUAUGAUGAAGGGUUGAGCAUUUUUGCAGGUCUGCCUGUCCGUUGGGGAUGAAGGUCGACAUAUAUAGGAGUCUCCCUAACAACAGGUAGUAAUGCUAUUCCUUUACCCUGCUUGGUCAUAGCACGGUAGUGGGAGCUGCCAGUUUCACAUGUUUUAACUCUGUCAGAGCACUUUGAAAAAGUGGUCUGUGGUAUCUGGCUCUCGAGAUUCGGAGAACGAUGCCUCUUCGAUUUUUGAGAAAGCAAUCAUGCUGGGGGUCUGGCUCUCGAGAUUCGUAGAGCAGUGUCUCUUCGAUUUUUGAGGAAGUAAUCAUGUUAGGAGUUUGGCUCUCGAGAUUCGGAGGGCGGUGCCUCUUCGAUUUUGGAGCAAGCAAUCCUGUUGGGAGUGUUGUCUCGAAUGUGAGUAAAGGUUGGGCAUGUUUGCUAGUCUACCUUGCCACGAAGCACAAAGGUUGACACACAGAGACUUUCCAAUUAUCCAGCAAUGGUACUGUUCCUUUACCCUCUCUUCGCUUUUGAGAAAGUAGUCAUGUUGGGAGUCUGGCUCUCGAGAUUCGGAGGACGGUGCCUCUUCGAUUUUGGAGCAAGCAAUCUUGUUGGGAGUGUUUUCUCGAAAGUGAGUAAAGGUUGGGCAUGUUUGCUAGUCUACCUUGCCACGAAGCACAGAGGUUGACACACAGGGACUUUCCAAUUAUCCAGCAGUGGUACUGUUCCUUUACCCUUGUGGGUAAUAAUAUGGUAGCUAGACCUUCAAAAAUUUAUGUGUCUAAACUUUGUUAGUGAUGUUUCUUUGCUAUUCUUUUACCUUUCUUGGUCAGAGCGAUGUAGUAGGAGCUGCAAGCUUCACGUGCUCAACUUUGGCAGAGAACUUUGGCAAAGUUAUCUGUGGUACCCAUGAGCUAUUGGAAGUGGGUGAUUGAACAGUAAGAUUCAUGUGCUUUCUACUUCACCAGAAGUCUUCGACAGAAUGCCCAUAAUUUCUGCAAAGCUGAGUGUGCGUGUGUGACAGGUGCUGACAAGGCUAGAAAAGUAGGUGCCUCUUCGAUUUCUGAGAUCGGCCCUCGUGGUCUCUGAGCAGCCCAGCUUUUGAGAAAGCGAGCGCCUCUUCGAUUGAUUCGGAGAACGAUGCCUCAUCGAUUUUUUGAGAAAGCAAUCAUGCUGGGGGUCUCUGGCUCUCGAAGAUUCGGGGAGCAGUGUCUCUUCGAUUUUUGAGAAAGUAAUCACGUUAGGAGUCUGGCUCUCGAGAUUCGGAGGGCGGUGGUGCCUCUUCGAUUUUGGAGCAAGCAAUCUUGUUGGGAGUGUUUUUCUCGAAUGUGAGUAAAGGUUGGGCAUGUUUGCUAGUCUACCUUGCCACGAAGCACAGAGGUUGACACACAGGGACUUUCCAAUUAUCCAGCAAUGGUACUGUUCCUUUACCCUCUCUUCGAUUUUUAAGAAAGUAGUCAUGUUGGGAGUCUGGCUCUCGAGAUUCGGAGGACGGUGCCUCUUCGAUUUUGGAGCAAGCAAUCUUAUUGGGAGUGUUUUUCUCGAAUGUGAGUAAAGGUUGGGCAUGUUUGCUAGUCUACCUUGCCACGAAGCCCAGAGGUUGACACACAGGGACUUUCCAAUUAUCCAGCAGUGGUACUGUUCCUUUACCCUUGUGGGUAAUAAUAUGGUAGCUAGACCUUCAAAAUUUAUGGGUCUAAACUUUGUUAGUGCUGUUUCUUUGCUAUUCUUUUACCCUUCUUGGUCAGAGCGAUGUAGUGGGAGCUGCAAGCUUCACGUGCUCAACUUUGGCAGAGAACUUUGGCAAAGUUAUCUGUGGUACCCAUGAGCUAUUGUUGCGUGUGGGAAGUGGGUGAUUGAACAGUAAGAUUCAUGUGUUUUCUACUUCCCCAGAAGUCUUCGACAGAAUGCCCAUAAUUUCUGCAAAGCUGAGUGUGCGUGUGACGGGUGCUGACAAGGCUGGAAAAGUAGGUGCCUCAUCGAUUUCUGAGAUCGGCCCUCGUGGUCUCUGGGGAGCCCAGCUUUUGAGAAAGCGAGCGCCUCUUCGAUUUCUGAGAUCGGCCUUCGUGGUCUUUGAGCAGCCCAACUUUUGAGAAAGCAAGCGCCUCUUCGAUUUCUGAGAUCAACCCUCGUGAUCUCUAAGCAGCCCAGCUUUUGAGAAAGCAAACGUCUCUUCGAUUUCUGAGCAGGCGCCUCUUCGAUUUCCGAAGCUCCGUCGAGUGCAGAUUUUUAUAGAGGCUGACAUUAAGUUCCAAAGCACACUUGAAUCUCCACCAGUAGAAGCUUCAUUCUUGCACUUCUAAGAUCUUGAUUUGUCCGACCUCUUCUCUCUUCAACACCUUUGAAAAUGUCUGGCCCCUCCGACCGUCGUUUUGACUUGAACCUUGUUGAAGAGGCAGCCCCGCCUUCUCCAGACAACAUAUGGCGCCCAUCCUUCGUCUUCCCUACUGGUCCUCUUACCGUUGGGGAUUCCGUGAUGAAGAAUGAUAUGACCGCUGCGGUGGUGGCCAGGAACCUUCUCACUCCCAAAGAUAACAGACUACUUUCCAAACGGUCUGAUGAGUUAGCUGUUAAGGAUUCGCUGGCUCUCAGUGUUCAGUGUGCAGGUUCUGUGUCUAAUAUGGCCCAACGCCUAUUUGCUCGAACCCGCCAAGUUGAAUCCUUGGCGGCUGAAGUGAUGAGUCUCAAACAGGAGAUUAGAGGGCUCAAGCAUGAGAAUAAACAGUUGCACCGGCUGGCACAUGACUAUGCUACAAACAUGAAGAGGAAGCUUGACCAGAUGAAGGAAACUGAUGGUCAAGUUUUACUUGAUCAUCAGAGAUUUGUGGGUUUGUUCCAAAGGCAUUUAUUGCCUUCGUCUUCUGGGGCUGUACCGCGUAAUGAAGCUCCGAAUGAUCAACCUCUGAUGCCUCCUCCUUCUAGGGUUCUGUCCAGUACUGAGGCUCCAAAUGAUCCCCCUCCGGUGCCUUCUCUUUCUGGGGCUCUACCGACUGCUGAGACUUCUCCUAAGCAACCCUUGUGAAGGCUCCGUCUUGUGUGUUUAUUUUGACUCAUGUAUAUGUACAUAUUUGUAGCUGAUCGGGGAUAUCAAUAAAUAAGCUUUCCUUCAUUUCAACGUAUUGUGUUAAAUACACCAAAGCCUUCUUCGCUAAGUUCUUUGAAUUUUCUUUUGUUGAAGCUUGUAUGUUGAAGCUUUCUGAGUGGAGCAUGUAGGUUGGGGUAGUGUUCCCUUAAUUUCCCGAGUGAGGAAAACUUCUCGAUUGGAGACUUGGAAAAUCCAAGUCACUGAGUGGGAUCGGCUAUAUGAAUCUUAGAACGCCAUUGUGCUCGAUCCUGUGUCAUGUCCUCUGUUAGAUCCAAGUACUCUAAGUCUUUUCUUAGAGUUUCUUCCAAAGUUUUCCUAGGUCUUCCUCUACCCCUUCGGCCCUGAACCUCUGUCCCAUAGUCGCAUCUUCUAAUCGGAGCGUCAGUAGGCCUUCUUUGCACAUGUCCAAACCACCGUAACCGAUUUUCUCUCAUCUUUCCUUCAAUUUCGGCUACUCCUACUUUACCCCGGAUAUCCUCAUUCCUAAUCUUAUCCUUUCUCGUGUGCCCACACAUCCAACGAAGCAUCCUCAUCUCCGCUACACCCAUUUUGUGUACGUGUUGAUGUUUCACCGCCCAACAUUCUGUGCCAUACAGCAUCGCCGGCCUUAUUGCCGUCCUAUAAAAUUUUCCCUUGAGCUUCAAUGGCAUACGGCGGUCACACAACACACCGGAUGCACUCUUCCACUUCAUCCAUCCCGCUUGUAUUCUAUGGUUGAGAUCUCCAUCUAAUUCUCCGUUCUUUUGCAAGAUAGAUCCUAGGUAACGAAAACGGUCGCUUUUUGGUAUUUCUUGAUCUCCGAUCCUCACCCCUAACUCGUUUUGGCCUCCAUUUGCACUGAACUUGCACUCCAUAUAUUCUGUCUUUGAUCGGCUUAGGCGAAGACCUUUAGAUUCCAACACUUCUCUCCAAAGGUUAAGCUUUGCAUUUACCCCUUCCUGAGUUUCAUCUAUCAACACUAUAUCGUCUGCGAAAAGCAUACACCAAGGAAAUAUCAUCUUGAAUAUGUCCUGUUAACUCAUCCAUUACCAACGCAAAAAGGUAAGGACUUAAGGAUGAGCCUUGAUGUAAUCCUACAGUUAUGGGGAAGCUUUCGGUUUGUCCUUCAUGAGUUCUUACGGCAGUCUUUGCUCCUUCAUACAUAUCCUUUAUAGCUUGGAUAUAUGCUACUCGUACUCCUUUCUUCUCUAAAAUCCUCCAAAGAAUGUCUCUUGGGACCCUAUCAUACGCUUUUUCCAAAUCUAUAAAGACCAUGUGUAAAUCCUUUUUCCCAUCUCUAUAUCUUUCCAUCAAUCUUCGUAAGAGAUAGAUUGCCUCCAUGGUUGAGCGCCCUGGCAUGAACCCGAAUUGGUUGUCCGAAACCCGUGUCUCUUGCCUCAAUCUAUGCUCAAUGACUCUCUCCCAGAGCUUCAUUGUAUGACUCAUUAGCUUAAUACCCCUAUAGUUCAUGCAAUUUUGUACGUCGCCCUUGUUUUUCCAUUGGCGAUUCUAGUUUUUUGUUUUUCAAAUCCUUUGCUGAGUAAAAGUAGAGGUUAUGGUUAUCACAUACCACUCCUUGCACAUCGAGGAUAGUUGUACUUUGAUCAAUGUUCUUCUUUGCUGCAAUUGAACAAGCUGGAAACUUAACCGCAAAUGUCCUUUCAAACUCCUGCACAUGGUACUUGAGAUAGCGGUCCAUAGUUGUGGCUUGCAUCAGCUUGGUCGCAUCUACUAGGCCUAUUCUCUCGAUUUACACAGGUCGUCCUUCCUUGUCUAUGCCAUGAUGUCCUUGGGGGUAGUAUUGCAAGACUUCAUCGAGUUCCUUGAAGUAAAAGUCCUAGAAGAAAAGAUAGAUACAUGAGUAACUAGAUUGAUGGACAAAUAUAAACAAAAGAAAUUCUGCUCUUACUAAAAGAAAACAAACAUAAAAAUCGAACGGAAAGAAGUAAAAUGAAAUAAUUAGCAAACUUCAAAAGCCUAAGCACCUAUUUCUACAGAGAAUACCUCCAUGAUUGUGUCAGCACCGAAUGCCUUCCUCCACUCGAGCAUGUCAGACCACAUUUUCUUGGUUUUGUCGACAUCAAAUUUCCUGGCCUUCAAGAAUCUGUCUUCCAAUGGUUAAGUUAGAUUGAAUAAGAAUGAAGUAUCUAUCUUAAAAACCAUCGAAGACAAAAACUUCUAGUGGAACAAGAAGAGGAAGAAACCUGAGCAUCUUAUGAUAAUCAUCGUGCUUGAAAGGAAGAAGCUCCUCCAAUAUAAGAGCCUGCCGCAGCGAGUCAACAGCCUGUAUCUCCUCUAAGUCAUGUACAUCCUCAAUGUCGAUAGACAAGACUUUACUACUGCUUGUUCUACCCCUUGUUGAAAAAGAAUUUCUGAACCUAACAGAGGCAUUCAUUGCCUUCUUCUUCAACGACCCGACUUUAGUCUUUCUAUCUUCCUCAGAGAUUUCAGCAUCAGAUACUGAAAAUUACACAACAUAAGAGAUUCAUACCUAUGCGCAUCAAACGCGAGGCAUCCUAAUAUGCAAAGAUUUAUAAGUCUACCUAUCAAUGCAUUAAAUUCCAAGGCUUUUUGUUCAUUCCAACAUCCUAAGGUCCCUUUAAAGUGGCAACGCGCAUUACAAAUUCAAGACAAGUCCUCACGUUUGAAGCAUACAGUUAUCAAGAUGUGAAAAUACGUUGAUUAUAAAUGAAAUAUCACCUGGUAGAGAUCCAGACAUGGUGUUACUUGUGAGGAAAACGGUGUUUACUUGUCCGAAAACAUUGCGAAAGUAGUAGCUGAAGGGCGGAAGAAGAAUCAAGCACUCGUAUCACAAUUCACAGAUGCAGACCCAGAAGCAAAACCCUGCCCAAAUGCCUGCAAUUACAGUCCCACUUGUAACCAAAUGCAGCUUAAAAAAAUAAAAAAUAAAAAUAAAUAAAAAUAAAAAUAAAAAAACCAAACCGAAGAGGAAAAUCGUCUAAAAUGAUCAGAAAUUAAACCCCAAUUGUAAAAUAAGAUAUCCACGACAUAGUGACCAAAUAAUAAUGACAUACUGAAAAACUGAUUAUUUUGCAAUUGGAAUUUGAAAAAAUGAUCGUUUUGGCAAUUUCCCAACUAGAAAAGCAAAUUACUUCCAAGUAAAUUUUAGCAGUAACAAAAAUGAGAAAACUUAAAGGGGAAUCCAAUUGAACAAAAUGCUUGCAUUUACAUUCCCACUCACAAAAUCACAACCACAAUGCAGCCUAAACUAAAAUUUGAAAAUACAACUAAGGAUAAAAUUAAAGGAGUUUUAACGAAACACUAUCGGUACUGUUCACUUACCAACACUUUUGUAUCAUUUUUAUUAAAACGCGAAGUUUUUAAAUCUUUUUUAUUAGUUUUUCCUUAAAAUUAAUUCGAAUAAAAUUGUGCAGUAAUAAAGACAGAAAGAGGCCGAGCCUUGACACAACGAAAAUAUUGUUUUUUUAUAACCGAAAGGUUACGAAUUCGAGUCGUGAAAACAACCUCUUUGCAAAGCAGACAGCCUUGUUGGCUUGAGUCGCCACUUUAGUAAAAAAGACAGAAAAACAAAAUGGAAUUAUUAUUGAUUUCAUUACGUCUAUCCUCUGGUGAACAGUGUUUGGGGGGCGGGGGUGGGGGGAGUCCCGAAAAAAAAAAAAACAAAAAUGGGGUUUUGGGGGGAGAGGGAAAAGGAUGGAUAUAAAUAUCCUGAAUCCUAGUUGGGAUUUGAGAGUUCUUAGAAAAUGGCGGAGAGACAGCGAGGCAGACAUGUUUGGAAGACACAUAGAAGAAAAUUAGUAAAUCUUGUUUUCUCUUUUUAAGGUUUCGAUUCAGUUCAGAGCUUGAUGUUUGACGAGGUCUCGACACAAGGCGAAACGCAAGGCAACUCCACUCAAAUUUAAAUAACGUCUCUUUGAUUCUCCCGGUAAAACUGUAUUGCCUUCAUUUCAUGUAUGGUUUUGUUUUCAUUUUUAUAAAAUCUCGAGAGAACAAUUUUAUUAACAAUAAUCAUGAAACAAUAUAGGGCAUGUAAUUUGAUCAUGGCUUACUAAUAUCGGGCUCGUUUAGAAAUGUUACUUUGAAAAACAUACUUAGAAGCACUUCCAUCGUAAUACAUUGAAAAAUUUAAUAAAAAUUCAAAAACAACCUGAAAUAUUUCUUGAAAGAAACAUCUGGCAAGUGUUUUUCUUAUAUAGCAUGACCGGAUGCUUUUCUAACCCAAAAGCAUUUUAACUUUUCCUCUUAAAUAUUAUGAAAAUCGGUUUUGGUUAUCUAAAAUCACUUCUAAAAGAUCGUUAUAUCAAUAAAAUCAGAGGCACCUUGAACCAACAAAAAACAAACCAAAAUAAAGAAUAGUAAUGCAACAAAAUAAGUGUUUCAACUAACUGGAUUAGAGAGAGAUAUACAUUGUGUAUUUGUUGUCUCUUUUCUUCACCUGCUGCCUUCUUUUAUUUUUGGGGAUAAGAAGUUAGAAACCAACAUCCUCCCAUUAUAUAGCGCUCCAGCAGACUCCUAUGAGUGUUCAUAUAGAACUGUAGAUUUCCAAAUCUACGUAUUUGGGAUUUGAUAGGAGAAAAAUCUUGAGAGUUGGAUUACGUAGUUAAUUGUUUGAUUUUACUAUGAAUAACGGAUCAUAGAUCUUAAGUUGUGAGAAUGUAUCUUGCUCGACGUUCACAUGCAUAACAAACUUUUAUUCUAACUAAAAAUAAAGGAUUAUAAAUCUUAGAUUGUUACUUGUUUACGAGAUAAUUUGUAAAUGUUGUCCUAUCACAGUUGUACUUUCUGUUUUUAUAGUUAACUUUUUUUGCAUUUUUCUUACUUUAUUAUAAAAUCCACAUCCUUUCUUUUAAAUCGUUUCAUGCAAAUGUACGUUUAUAUCAAAUCAUGUUAUAAAUAUGUCAAAGUUAGAGGGAUAACCUUUUUAGUGAAUAGAACGAAGCAGAUGUAAAAUGUCAUACUGAAAUUAUAGCACUAGGGAAUGACAAAUAAAAGAGGGAGGAAUAGAUGAUAUUAUUGAGCAUUCUUUCUUUCUUUAUGUAUAUUCUCUUUGUAUGUAUAUCGAUGGCAGUAAGAGUGCUCUAUUUAUAGAGCAACUCCAUAUGAAUAUCUUCUUACACUUUGAAAAUUUACAGCAUACCUUUUGAAAAGCAUGAUCUCCUGCAUCCAAAGUCAAUUUCUAUUUUUAUGGGCAUUGAAAACUUUUGCCAAAUUAAUGUGGGCAUUCACUACCCACCAGUAUUUUCAACAUUCCCCUUGGAUGCCCACAUAUCAACAUCAGUUGUCUCGUUAAAACCUUGAUAGGAAAAACCCAGUGGGAAAAAAACCAUAGCGAAGGAAAAAGAGUACAACUUUUCCUGGAUUGUUGACAUAGUGUUAAAUAUGCUUAUGUUGCCUCGUUAAAACCUUGAUAGGAAAAUCCCAGUGGGAAAAAUCCUAAUUGAAGGAAAAAGAGUACAACAUGCAUGUAUCAUGGAUGCUCCCCCUGAUAUGUAUCUCCCCCUGAUUCCGCAUUCUACAAAUUUAGUUGUUUGGUAAGUCGACGUAAUCCGAUACUUUACACUAACUUUUGAAACGUGCAUUUUGGUAGAGGCUUGGUGAACAAGUCUGCCAGAUUUUCAUUAGAACGGAUUUGUUUGACUUUAAUAACUUUAGCCUUCUGGAGCUCAUGUGCACUGAAAAACUUUAGAGAUAUGUGUUUAGUUUUAUCGCCCUUGAUGAAUCUUUCCUUCAUUUGGGCAACACAGGCUGCAUUAUCUUUAUGAAUGACAGUUGGAGUGUCUGUCUUUGAAGUUAAACCACAUGAAUUCCUGAUAUGAUGGAUCAUUGAUCUUAACCAAGAACAUUCAAGACUUGCUUUAUGUAAAGCAAGUAUUUCUGAAUUAUUUGAAGAUGUAGAACUAAUGUUUGCUUUGUUGAGCAUCAUGAGAUUGCUAUAUCUCCAUUCUUGAACACAUAUCCAGUUUGUGAGCGGGCUUUAUACGGAUAAGAGAGGAAACCAACAUCUACAUAUCCAACAAGGACCUGGUCAUUUGUGAAGUUCUUUGAGUAGAAGACCCAUGUCUGUUGUCCCACGAAGGUAUCGCAAUACAUCUUUAACACCUUUCCAAUGACGAAUUGUUGGAGCAGAGCUAUAGCUUGCUAACAAGUUGAUUGAAAAAGCUAUAUCAGGUCUAUUACAUUGUGCUAAAUACAACAAAACACCUACUGCACUUAGAUAUGGUACUUCUGGACCAUGGACCAUUUCAUCAUCUUCUUUUGAACGGAAUGGAUCUUUCUUAAUGUCCAGAGAACGAACGACCAUUGGCGUGCUAAGUGGAUAAGCUUUGUCCAUGCCAAAUAGCUUCAGGAUUUUUUCAAUAUAAGCUGAUUGGUGGACCAAAAUUCCACUAGCACAGAGCUCGAUCUGCAGGCCGAGACAAAAUUUUGUUUUUCCAAUGUCUUUCAUUUCAAAUUCGCUUUCCAGAUAUUCAGUAGUUUUAUGGAACUCUUUAGGGGUUCUAACUAGGUUCAUAUCAUCAACAUAUACUGCCACUAUAGCAAAUCCAGAGUUGGAUUUCUUAAUGAACACACAAGGGCAAAUGACAUUGUUGAUAUACCCUUCUUUGAUCAAAUACUCACUGAGACGAUUAUACCACAUUCGUCUAGAUUGUUUUAGCCCAUACAAUGAUCGCCUUAAUUUGAUCGAGAGCAUACCUCGUGGUUUGUUACUUGUUUCAGGCAACUUAAGUCCUUUUGGGACUUUCAUAUAUAUGUUAGUAUCUAAUUCUCCAUAUAGAUACGCAGUGAUGACAUCUAUAAGUCGCAUGUCAAGUUUUCUGAAACCACUAAACUUAUUAAGUAACGGAACGUAAUUGCGUUUAUUACAGGAGAGUAGGUCUCCUCAUAAUCAAUUCCAGGUCUUUGCGAAAAACCUUAAGCAACGAGUCGUGCUUUAUAUCUUGCAAUAUCAUUUUUCUCAUUGCGUUUCCUUAUGAAUACCCAUUUGUAACCCACGGGAUUUACAUCAGGCGGGGUUUGGACUACUGGUCCAAAAACAUUUCGCCUUUUCAAGGAAUUUAAUUCUACCUGAAUUGCAUCUUUCCACUUAGGCCAAUCUUGUCUCUGUUUACAUUCAUCAACAGAGCGGGGCUCAAUAUCAUCACUUAAUAUGAUUUCAGUGGCUACUGCGAAUGCAAACAUAUCGUCUAUAAUUAUUUCAUUCUGAUCCCACAAUUCAUUAGUGCAUGUAUAAUUUAUGGAGAUUUCUUUGCUUUCAUGUACUUUUGUCUCUUCAGGAACAUGUGUCUCAUCAACGACAUUUUCUUCUUCUGGAAGUCCAGAAUCAUGAAUUGUGGAUUUGUCAUUCAUUCUCUCUUCCCCGAAUGAUUUCAUUUGGAUUCAGCUGUGUCCUUAUCUUUCUCUUUCGAAGGGGUAAAUCUUUUGAACCUGGGGGUCUACCACGCUUCAGGCAUGCACCAUAUGAAUCAUACGCUGCCACUUUAUUUUGUCCAAUAAGGACAUCAAUUCUUGCAAGUGCAUUUGCAACUGGUAUAUGUGAUUUUUUCACUUUCAUAGCAUCAUUAAAUGUAUCUGGCAUUUGAUUGGCAAUGAUUUGAAGAUGGACGAUCCUUUUUACUUCAUUUUCACAUUGAAUGCUUCGAUGAUAAAAAUGAGACAAUGUGGGAACAACCCAUGUCAGCUCUUUCCAUUCUUCUGGAACGGUCUUUUCUUCCCUUAACGACGGGAAGACUGUCUCAUCAAAGUGACAAUCAGCAAAACGAGCUGUAAACAUAUUACCAGUUAAGGGUUCCAAAUAUCUAAUGAUAGAUAGUGAAUCAAAACCCACAUAAAUUCCCAGUCUACGCUGAGGUCCCAUUUUAGUGCGUUGCGGGGGUGUAAUAGGCACAUAAACAGUACAACCAAAAACUCGUAAGUGUGAAAUGUUUGGUUGAUAUCCAAACACGAGUUAUAUUGAGGAGUAUUGGUGGUUGGCUAUAGGUCUCAAUCGAACCAAUGAUGCAGCAUGUAGGAUGGCAUGUCCCCAUGCAGAAACUGGCAAUGUGGUUUUCAUAAGCAGAGUGCGAGCUAUUAACUGAAGCAGCUUGAUCAAUGCUUCUGCCAAACCAUUUUGAGUAUAGACAUGAGGAACAGGGUGUUCAACAUCAAUGCCCAAUGUCAUGCAAUAAUCAUCAAAAGUUUGAGACGUAAAUUCACCAGCGUUAUCAAGUCGGAUUGACUUAAUGGGAUAAUCUGGGAACUGUGCUCGUAACUUAGUUAUCUGAGCAAGAAGUCUCGCAAGAGCUACAUUACGAGUAGACAAGAGACAAACAUGUGACCAUCUAGUAGAUGCAUCAACCAAAACCAUAAAAUAUCGAAAUGGUCCACAAGAUGGUUGAAUAGGUCCACAAAUAUCUCUCUGAAUUCUUUGUAGAAAUGAUGGGGAUUCAGCAUCAACUUUUAGUUGUGAUGGUCUGAUUACUAACUUCCCUUGAGAACAAGCUUUGCAAGGGUUAUCAUUUGUGAUAGCAUGUCUUUGCUCAAUAAUGGAUGUCCAUUAGAGUUGGUAAUGAUCCUACGCAUCAUGAUGGAUCCUUGAUGACCCAGACGGUCAUGCCAAAACAUGUAAACUUUUGAAUCAAUGAACUUCUGGUUCAUGACAGUAUGUGAUUCAACUGUCUUUAUGUAUGUAUAAUACAAUCCACUCGACAAACCAUGCAACUUCUCCAAUAUACGCUUUUGGGUAUCAUUGGAGGUAAUGCAUAUAUACUCUACAUUUUUUGCACUUUUUGUUUCAAUGUGGUAUCCAUUUAAACCUAUGUCUUUGAAACUCAACAAGUUUCGAGUAUAUCGAGUAGCAUACAAUGCAUUAUGUAUGGACAAUAUUGUUCCAUUUGGUAACAUAAUCUGGGCUUUCCCUGAGCCUUCAAUUACAUCUGAUUUGCCUGAUAUUGUUGUUACCCUUAUUCUUGUAAGCAUCAAGCUUAAGAAAUACUUUCGAUCACGAAGUAUUGUAUGUAUAGUUGUGCAGUUUGUAAGACAAAUGUUUCCGCCAUUUCUCAUGUUUUGAGAAUGACCAUAGUUUUUAUCCAUGCUUUCUGAGUAAAGAAAUCAGAGUUAAAAGCAAGUUAUAACAAGAAUUUACAUGCCACUUUUAUUGAAUCUGAAAUGCCAGUUUUAAACUACAAGUUCAGCAUAAUAAAAGUAUAUCAAACAUAAAAGAUUUAGUCGGACCGGUAUACUUCAUUCCCCAUUUCCACAAUGAAGUCUGAAACAUCUAGGUGGGUUGUGUUCAAUUGUCUUGAUAAGUCACACACUUGAUCAGGUAAAUCCAUUGGUUUAGCCUGGUCGAGAAAAUUGGUCUCGACACCCUUCUCUUUGAAGAAGGCUUGAUACAGAUCCACCAGAUGUUUUGGGGUACGACAAGUACGCGCCCAAUGCCCAUUGCCACCAUACCUAUGGCAGGCUCUUUCAGAGUUCCUCGGAGCAUUGUUCAUGUGAACUUUGCCUUUGUGGCGAUUCGCAUUUUAAAGCUCGAGCCUGAAUUAUGCCUUAGAACCUGGUUGUGAAACUGACCACCAUGGUUCUUGCCUUUCCUGUUCCACCGACCUCCCUUGUGGCCACGUCCUCGUUUAUGAUUAUCGCCACCAGAGGCUGUGGUGUUCACUUCGAGGGAAGCAGCAUUCACUUCUGGGAAUGGUGCAGAUCCAGUAGGUCAGGAAUUAUGGUUUUUUAUAAGGAGCUCAUUGUUCUGUUCAGAUACCAGGAGCACAGAUAUCAGCUGGUUGUAUUCAGUGAAACCUCGUGCUCUAUACUACUGCUUCAGGAGCACGUUAGAGACAUGAAAUGUGCUGAAAGUCUUUUCCAGCAAAUUUUCCUCAGUAAUAGUAUCCCCACAGAGCUUCAGCUGAAAGGUAAUUCUGAACAACAUAGAAUUGUACUCUGCCACUGACUUGAAAUCCUGGAUCCUUAGGUAAGUCCAUUCAUAGUGAGCUUUUGGAAAAAUCACCGUUGUCUGGUGAUUGUAUCUGCUUCUCAAUGCAUUCCAAAGAGUUAACGGAUCUUCAACCGUUAAGUACUCACUUUUUAGUGCCUUAUCAAGAUGACGACGAAUAAAAAUCAUAGCCUUCGCCUGCUCUUGAAAGGAUGAGCUGCUCUCUUCCCUGAUGGUAUCUCCAAGAUUCCCUGCUUCCAGAUGGAUCUUGGUAUCCAGUACUCAGUUAAGGUAAUUCUUCCCGGUAAUGUCCAGGGUAGCAUAAUCAAGCUUCGCCAAUGUCGCCAUUUUCUUUUCUGAAAGAAAAUGAGAUGUGUAAGAACUUGCAAUAAUAUGUAUUCCUGGAGGAAUAUAGUGUUAGAACUUCUGGUUCUUACAAAUUUUUCAUUUUUAUCUUUAGGCCAAAAUGAUAAGCACUCGAAACUUCUGGCUCGAAAUUUUUAGGGUGAAUGAGGAGGGCGGUUGUACCACACCAUUCUCAUUGAAAUGAUGUAAUAUAGAAUGGACGAUUAUUCCGCACCACUCAAGUAGCAGGAAAAUUUAAAUACGCAUAACAAUGUGGGUGAUUAUACCGCACCACCUAAAAUUGUAAUGAAAUUAAACUGCAGGCAAAUUAAAUAUGUAGGGUAGGGCAGGCGAUUAUACCGCUCCACCUAAAAUUUGCAGUAAAAUUAAAUCUGCAGUCUAAGAUAGACGAUGACAUCGCACCAUCUUGGAUCGUAGUAGAUUAAAUUUGCAGUUCAAGAUGGCUGAUUGUAGAGCACCAUCUUGGAUUGCAGUAAAAUCAACAUAAAUAAAUACUAGAUUAGUAAUCAAGAUCUACACCAAACAAGAAAUCAAAGAUGUAUGUAACCGUUAGGUUGAGAACUAGAAGCAGGCAUGGAGCAAACAAUUCGUCGCAAGGGUAUACUGAGCAGUUGAGGCAGAGGAAGAAGAUGAACAGUAAAAACCUUAGAGGAAACUUUUUUUUUUCUUUCGUUCGGCGAAGAGAAAUGAUUUGCAUUCGGCGAAGAGGAAUGAGAAAUAUUUAUAUUUUAGAGACUCGUGCUAAUAACGUGUUACAAAUAUGUUAAAGUUAGAGGGAUAACCUUUUUAGUGAAUGAAACGAAGCAGGUGUAAAAUGUCACACUGAAAUUAUAGCUCUAGGGGAUGAUAAAUAAAAGAGGGAGGAAUAGAUGCUAUUAUUGAGCUUUCUUUCUUUCUUUCUGUAUAUUCUCUCUGUAUGUACAUCGAUGACAGUAAGAGUGCUCUAUUUAUAGAGCAACUCCAUAUGAAUAUCUUCUUACACUUUGAAAAUUUACAGCAUACCUUUUGAAAAGUAUGAUCUCCUGCAUCUAAAGUCAAUUUCCAUUUUUAUGGACAUUGAAAACUCCUGCCAAAGUAAUGUGGGCAUUCCCUACCCACCAGUAUUUUCAACAAAUCAGAUUUUUUUUUCUGAACUUUCUUUAAAAACCAGGAUUUGGGUUGAUUAUUUCCUGCUCUGUACAAAAUAUUUGGAUACCGAAUUUCCUAAUUCAGCUCUUUUUCGUUGUCGCCCUAGGCACACGAAAUCUCAGAACCGGCUUACAUUUACCAUUUAUCAAGGAGAAGAUCUUGCAUGUAAACAGAGUAUAUAUCAAGUAAAGUUUAUCUCAAACUGAGGGUUUAGCAAUAAAAUCGUAUUUCCAUGCAAUUGGUUUACUAUGCUAGCGUAGUUUGUUCACG
rnacentral:lncRNA from 1 species